rnacentral:lncRNA from 1 species
UUGCUUCAACCGAGUUGUGAAUACUAUUUUGGAUUCGUUCUCGAGACUAGAAUGAAGAACUCCGAUUUGAGAAAGUUCGAGGCCCGCCCAUACAUCAUCCAUCAACAACACAAACUUCUUCUUGCUCAAAACUUCCCCCAGAAGGUGGACCCUCUCAUUUCGAGAUUGUCCUUCCCAGCUCUCGUCUUUAAUGUUUAGCUUUUUCCUUAUGGUGUCUCCAAUGCUAUCUUCAUUCACGUGCUUGGACACCACCACCCAAAUAACAACCUCGAAUCCAUGAUUUGCAUGCGAAAGCUUCUCGUUGAUCCUUCUCAUGAGGGUGGUCUUUCCCACACCACCUACUCCAUAUAACCCAAUCACUCGUGCUUCUUUUUUGUCGCAAGCCAUUUCCACACUGUAUUAAGGGAACUAUCAAGCCCCACAGUCUUGUCUAGGGGCAUAUUGAGCACUUGACGAGGAGGAGGCAGCAAUGACGUGAAAUCAUUGAUUUCUCAUUUCUUAUGUUGGAGCUCUCUCACUUCAUUGAGCAAUUGAUCAACUCUUUUCCCCAAUUUAUAGCUCGACCAGCAGUUUCGUGGAAGACAGCGACUUAGACAUUUGAUUCGGUCAUGUUCCCGGACUUCUUGAAGAACUUGAUCCACUCUACCUUCAAAUUCUUGCACCUCGCCUAACCAGUUCUCCACUUGAUUCGUGCGCUGUGCACCUCCUCCUUCUUCUUCACGUUCCACCUUUGCCUUCACAUCUUCGCUCGAGGCCUUCAAGUUUUCAUUUGCUUUAUCCAACGUGCGGACAUUAUCUUUCGGAUUAUAAAUGUAGCCCAAUGGUUUAAUGGCCAAGCCCCAUAAACCUUUGACAAGUUCUAAAAGAGGACUUGCAAGAUCCAUUGAUACUUUUCGGGAGAAGAGAUCGAAAAGUCUGUCUAUUUAGAUGAUUGGAAAGCAGGCGAAGGGGUGAAGUUCAAUAAGGUCUGUUAUAUUCAUCUUGAUUAUUCUGGCAUGUACACGAAGGAAAGAGUAUUGGAACCUUUUCUUUACUUCAACAAGAGAAAUGGAAGUAUUCCUCUCCGUUCUUGGUCGGGGUCAAGCCACAAAGAAUCUCUUCUUUCAGAAAUGAAUUUCAGCAACGUUUGAGCCAAGAGAGAAGGAAGGUAUCAUGGCUAGUCGCUGUUAGAAGCACCCAGAUGAUUUACGGCGUUUAAGGUCUGGUUGAGACGAUAUGUACAUGAUUGCUUUCUAUGGACAAAGGCAAAGAAUAUCAUUGACCUCUAUUUCUUUGAUUCAAGGCAAUGCUCGUGUUCUUCUUCCUCCUUUUGUGUAUGGAGUCUAUAGACAGGGUGGAAUGUGAUCUAAAGUGUCCAGAAGCAAAGAAUAAUUAUUUUUCUGACAGAAGCAAAGAACUAUUCGAUUCCUUCUUAAGAUGCAAGACAAUGUGAUUGAUGAGUCGAUAUUUUAGAAGCAUUCCCAAGGAGAUUUCACAAAUUAAAUAGCUGUUUAUUUAGUUCUUAUAAUUCGACAACUUUGGUAACUAUCGAAGCAAGCCAUAAAAAGCCUCUCUAAUAAGUAUUAGAAUUAAAGUCUGUUUGGUAUUUAUUUUUUGCUUUUUUAAAAUCUUACAGCGUACCCAGAUUCACUUUUAUUGAUGUAAAAUGCUUAAAACCUUUGAAAGUGAUCUUACAUUGACAUGUAGAUUCACUUAUGAUUUUCCCCAAAGUUUUUAAAAUUUAAAUAAUAUUUAUUUUUCUAUAGCAUUAGAGCCAGUUAUUCUUCUUCUUUUGUUUUUUUUUUUUUUUUGCAACUUUGUUUUUGAAUGUUUAUUUCUUGAACAUUUUAUUAAGAUUCAUGUGGAGAAUUUAUGUCCAAAUUCAAUUGCGUAGCCACUUGUUCAUCUUUUUUUUUUCCUCGAAUUUAAUUAAUGAAAAAAAAACGAUUUCUCAUGUAACAUAGACCAAACUUCACUUCACGGAAAGAAUUUGUUUUUCAAUGGCAUAUGUUUUCAUCAUCUCGCAUUUCUUGCACUAUACUGUUAUGUUUAAUAUGAUGGCGCGUUCUAGGGACACAUGGCUCGAACAAACUUUAGGACUUAAACUAUGAUUUUAAUAAUUUAAGUAAAAAUGUUCACGUCAAUAUCGGCUAUACCACGUAAGACGGCCGACGUCUACAUCAGCGAAUUAUAACCAAAAUUGAUCGAAUAGACUCAAUUGACAAAACAUGAAAAAAAAAAAUUUAAGACUUAACUAGCAAAAUUGAAAAGUUUAUAACUGAAUUGACAAAAGUGCAAUGGGUUUAUGACGUUUUUAGACAAUUUUCUCCAAAUACAUUGAAUUAGACAAAUAGGCUUUGAAUCUACUUUACCAAAUACAUGAAAUUUUCGUCAAAUGCUUUUACGGGCUCAAAGUGCAUUGCCAAAUGGACCCUUGCUCUCCCCUCUUUAGGAUUCCCUCUCCCGAGCGAUUUUAGCAAAAAUUAAAUAAUACACACACACAUAUAUAUAAAUAGUUAUGGCUUUGUACAAACUAUACCUAUGAAAAUCUCUUUUUAAAGGGUUAUCAUCAUCCUCAUAUUGUUAGUUGAGCUUUAUUGUUUGAAGUGUUACUACAAAUAAGUAAAUCCACGCAGCGGUGUAUAGAUGCUACAAAUCGUCUUUGGAAAAUCUUCAUAUUUGGACAGGAGAAGGAUCGGGGACAAUAAAUUAGCGCACAUUUGUUUUGCUACUAUUGUGGAAAAGCACCAAAACUUUUUUCUUGCAAUGAGAAGAGAGUUCAAUUUUAACAAUCUACAAUUUAAGAUGACACAUUUGGAGGUAACACCGAGAAAACACCAACUAGUAUGAUCAUCCCUUGAUCCUCCUUGAUGUUCUCUGGUCUACCAAAGAGUGUACUCACCCGUGGUCCUGCAUUGCCAAAGAUCGAAACACUAUUUGGUUAAGCAUUUACUAAGGAUCUGAAUUGCUUCAACAUCUUGAUCCUCCUUGAAAAGAGAUUUGAACCUCGUCUACGGAAAAAUUCGCUUUGCAUAAGUCGUGCCUAGAGGCUUGUCACCUCAUCUCCUUCAUUGUCUAACUGAGUUUGAACAAUUUUUUUUAACAAAACCUUAGUCAUAUAUGAAAUGAACAAUGCAGCAAAUGAAUAGACGUACUACUUUUCUCCAUCUUUCUCCAAUAGAAUUGACACUCCAAUUUAAUCAUAAGUUAAAUGAAAUCGCCAUCGGAUUAAGAAACAGAGCAAAUCAAUGUCGUCCGAUGGUUUCAAUGAAAACAUCCUCCACGUUUCUCUUUUAUUUUGGUUAGUUUUACUUCUUUCUAAUGCAUAUCAUCAAUUUCUUUUUUUUACAAAUUUUUGCACAUUAGCAUACGCUACGAAACUAUGGGGGUUCAUAUUUCCCAUGUCCGCAUUUAGUAUAAAGAAUGGAAUUCUCUCAAUUUACGGGAUAAAUUUCCGAAAUUCAUUUCUUUUGAGAAGUUGACGGAUGAGAUUCUGAAAAUUCAAAAACGGAUAUGUCUUCCUUGUCUUCCUUUUCUCCGUUCCUUCUUCCUCGAGCAGCCCGGGCAAUGCCCGCCACCACGCCACAUCGCAACUCCAAUCUUUCACUGCCAUCUUCCCUAGUUUGUCUCCUUUCCCCAACCUCCAUCAUUGUCAUGAUCCCCACCACCGCCAUCAUCCUCCUUCCUGGCUCCGCCAUUAUAGCUCUCCUCCUUCCCACGCGCCCGAAAGUGUUAGUGUAUAGCCUAGUCUUGACCACCAUCGCCAUCGUCCACUGACUACGCAAUUAUCCCACCGGAGUGGCUUCUACUUUAAUUGUCUGCAAACAUUCCUCCGAUCACCACCACCAUUACCGCACCAUGCUCUCUUUUUCUCCCACACGCCCACCCACCCACGCCCACACCCCACACUUGUGAUCUAAGGUCAGUUCCUCAAUUUCAAGGUCCCUGCCCUCAGGAGACCUACGAUCUGAGGAUAGUCAAGGCGACAAACCAGUUGGUUCGUGUUCGCAACCAACGCGCUGCUCUUUGUUCUUUGUCCCGAGAAAGAGAGUGGUAGAGCGACGGACAAUGCCGCCGGGAGGGGUAUUACAUCGAUGGUUCGAACAUUGGAGAGGACGAGGAGAUAGGCGGCGAUAAGAGGCAAGGAAGAAAGGGAACAAGAGGGGCGAGAGUUCAAUAUAUGGGGAUUGAGUGUAAAUAUUCACAAAGUAUGAGGCAUUCUGAUCAAUUUUUGAGUAACUGGAUAUAGUCCCGUUGCUCUCUGUGGCGAGUCUCAACCGUAAAUGUUGACAUCGACAUUUACACAUACACACACUAGAAAAGGAGAGACAGUGUGACACAAAAUUAGCUCUAUUGUCACCAGACACUAAUGUCUGGUGGGAAUGGUGGGGUGCAGACCGACAUGCGGCACAGUUCGAGCCAUGGUCCGAGCAUCCAACCCUUGGCGUUUGUCAAACAUUACUAAGAGAAAGAAGAAUUUGCUUCAGAAUCGUCUCAACCUUAUCAAGAUACUUUGGUUACUAACCAGGAUCAUGAAUAACUCUGUAUAAUUAUGCCAAAUCAUUGCACAUGUAUGGAGUGACGUCAUCCCAAUCUCCCCAUAUCAACCCGCCACCUUCUAUAGGACAAAAGGGAAAAGGCAUAUACAAUACCGGAUUAGAACUGUCAAAACAGGUCUCAAAUNNNNNNNNNNNNNNNNNNNNNNNNNNNNNNNNNNNNNNNNNNNNNNNNNNNNNNNNNNNNNNNNNNNNNNNNNNNNNNNNNNNNNNNNNNNNNNNNNNNNNNNNNNNNNNNNNNNNNNNNNNNNNNNNNNNNNNNNNNNNNNNNNNNNNNGGCCGAAUGACUUGAGGUAGCCCAAUUGAUGUAGAUACUAGAUGCUCUUUUUCACUCGCUCAUGACUAUCAAUCCGAAUGAAGCUCCUGCCGAUGAGUUCCUUAGAGCAUCUUCCUCGGCCGCCCAAACUUCGAUGCCACGAAGAUAGGCCUAGCUGGGGGUGACAGGAGUGGCUUGUCCUUGACUGACCACUUAAAUGAUGCUCCGGCUCGGCUCCCAACCACAUAUCCACCCUUGGCUGCCGGGGAUUCCCAUGGCACAGUGUUUCCACCGGGCUGAGCUUGAAGCGGGGGAAGGGAGGGUUCCUGAAGCCCGAGGAGGCAUCAGGGAGUGGCAAGCGAUUUCAUGAGGGCCACUGAUGGCACGGCACGUGAAGGAGGAAUUUCUUUUAUUUUGCGGAUCCUUUUUUUGUUUUCGUUUAUUAUUUUUUGGAGAUCUGCUGAGCCUUUUUCUCUGUUUUUUUGGGUGGGUUACGUGGGUGGAUGGGUUUGGAUCGGAUUAGUUAUAAGGCAUAUAAAAGGGUCAAUAAAUAAAUGCUAAUGUGAGUUAAAUGGGUGAAUUUGAGUUGAACUAACUCAUGACCCACCCAAAUCCAUCCUAACCCUUGCACAGGAUGAAAAACUCAUUCAACCAGAUAUCAUAUGGUAACAAGGCAAAGAGGGAGUUUUGCAGGCAUUGACUGUGAGCAUGAUGCAUUUAAAUGAUGUCAUGACAUGACUAUGUAACUGCCCAAGAUAAGCCCAUGAGCACACAACAAUAAAAACAUGAAAGCGGACGAGAUAUUUAUCCCAUGCAUAUGAUUAAAGAGCCUAAAGCCUAAACUAAAGCUUGAUAGUGUAGUGUGAGACAAAUUUCCCACAACAUAAAGUUUGAGGUAAACGAGUGGUUUGGUAUGCAUCAACCUCGGGUUCCGACUACCAUCUUCAAAUUGCAAACACACUAGCUUUCCCUCCACAAGAGCAAAUGCCCUUGAAGAAGAAUUGUUAUGAUGUGAUUUACUCAUGCGAAUUCCCUUAAAGUUUAGGUCUAAUUAGCCCAAUUUACACAGAUGAACAAUGUUACCAUGAAUCAUGACCUCUUGGGCGAGUGGCUGUUCAAGGAUGGGAAAAAAUGGAAACAGAAGAAUAAAACUUCAACUUACCAAAAAAAAAAAAAAUUCCUAUGCACACUUCAAAGUCAAUACAACAAGGCCGGGUCACCAAUUAUCAUUUUAGAAUGAAAAUUGCAAUAUGUGAAAGAACAGAGUUCAUGAUAUAUGCCUACAAUGGAAGCAAUACAAGAAUAACUAGGGCUCACUAAAGCUAUUGCUCAACUUUCAGCGAAUCCUCAAUCCGCUGGAUCAGUUGAUUAGCUGUCAAAGCACCUUCCUGAUAAUUGAAAACAGCUCAAUUAAGAUUAAGUAUAGAUGAUUAGAACAUCUUAAAACUGUAUAAGUUGCAAGCAAUCAAACAUCAGAAAAAUUUCACAACCGAAACUUGCAGUCAAAUUAUGAAUGAGAAUCAACUAACUUCCGAUUAAAUAACAUUCAAAGACCACAGAUUGUGCAUAAAUCUUAGGCAGUGCCCAUCAGUUAUUACCAUUUCUGCAUUGAGCCGGCAACCCUGUCCUUCACAGAAAAUUUAUGGGGAUACUCUCUGCCUAUUGCUAAAAAGAAAGUAUCACUUACUAUGCAUGGUUGCAGCAACCUGAGAACUAAGGAAGCUGUGUUACUGUUUUCCAGGAUGGUCGAGCUCUACAAAGGGAAGGCCUUUCAUUGAUCGCUGUUGAAGACUUAUGCGGUUUGUGCGUAUUUAUCAUCGGUCAUUAUGUAUAAACAUGUCGGUGCUUCAUCAUGGUUUCGUUGCUGGUUCCAUGUUUUGUGAGAGAAUAAUGAUGAAGUUGGAUGGAAUCCCCCGGUCAAAAACAGUUUAGGAGGAGAAGCGAGGCCACAGAUUAUCGAUUCUUCAAGCCACAAAAGGGGCGUUGGUGCCUGUAUGCAUCACAAGGGUUGUGUGCGCUUUUUUAACAAAAUGCAAGUACUCUUUCCAGUGUUCACCCUGUAUCUUUCACAUGAUAAUAAAAUUGCCAAAAAACUUGUGACUGCAGGUUUUUGUUCAUAUUGGGGUAUCCAGGGCAUCUCAUCACAGUAUCAAAAACUUUUAUGAGCCUUUACUAACAUAAUAAUUAUGAGAACUUAGCAGAUUAAAUUUCCACGUGAUAGCAAACGUGAAAAAGAUAAAACUUACAAAACGCUUGAAAGGCUUCCCAUCUUUAAAUAUGAUAAAGUUUGGUAAAUGCCUAUAAAUUUGGAAGCACCGAUCGACAAGCCUCCAAGAGGUAAACUUAAAAUGAAUCUUUUACAUAUGCGUUCCAAUCGGGGUAAACUCUUGCUUUGUGAAAUUAAAAUGUUGAAAUUUCAAUUCAAGUCAAAAACACGCCUGACUCACAAAACUAAUUAGAUUCGACCCCCAUUUUUUUGAACUUGAGACUUGUAUGCGACUAAUUAGGGAAGGUACAGCCAUUAAAUAAAUUGAUUCUUUUAAUCAAUUAAAUCUCUCAUGUGUACACGGGCAUUAUUGUAAAAGUGCACCGAAAAUACACAGAACGAUUUUAUUUGGAUAGGCUCAAUGGGCGCACACGACCUUCAUCAGUCGAUAAUUUCUUUUGUAGCUUAAUUAUUCUGGACAAAGUGGACCAUUUUUUUUUUCUUGUCCGCGUUAGCAGAAGGCAUGUGAACUAGAGAUUGGCCAGGAUCUCUAAUUUACCAGCAUUUGCUGCCUCAUCCACAAAUUGCUAAAUUUAGGCCUGCAUGCUUUAUUCGCGAAAGGUUGAGAUCCUCUGAAAAUUACAAAAUCAAUUUAUAUUUUUACAUUUACCUCAUAAAAAAUUGAUAUAUCUUAAUUUUUCUUUUCUUUCACUCUUUUCAUUUUAGACUUUCUCUGUGCUUAUCCCUCGAGUCACAUCGGUCCAUGACCUCGAAUUGAAGUCACCUGCCCUUAGGAAUGCCGGCCCGAGCAAGUCGCCUUGGCUUUGUUUGCAUUGGGGCCAAGAUAAAAGCAAUCAUCAGAAACUCUGAAUGCCCCUCUCCGUAUGUCCCACCCCCAUGUAAAGCCCUCGCCGCCAUGAUCUCCACGGCAUUGCCAUUACUGACCUUAAUUAGGGUUGUCAAUGGGUAGGUUUGGGUCGGUUUUAUAUGCUACCCAGCCCGACCCGAAUCAUAAGGGUCGCAUGCUCUAUCUAACAUGACUCGACUUAACUAGAAAUUCAUAGGAUUCGAAGUGAAAACACAAGUCGGGUUGGGUCGGGUUUUUGGAUUUUUUGGCUGCUUGCCUCUCUGUAUUGCUUGUCCGCAAGAGAACAAACCUCAUUGCAUUUGCUAUCAAGUAGACUUAUUGGGCCGUAAACUAUUUGAACAUGUCAAUCACGACUAGAAAUAUGCUCUGUUGCCAAUGGAGCUACGAAAAUAAAAAAUUGGCCGAGCAAAGAGUUCGAAGUAAGUGUGUUAGAGGGCGAGAUGGGGUCCAUCUUUAGAAAUGGGAGCCAUACAUGCUGCAAAGUGCAAAUUAAAUGGUAUGUGCAAAUUACUUGGUGGAAAAUUUGGGUCUUUCUGCUGCUCCCGCUCACCUCUUCUUUAUCAAGCAAUUUUAUGUCGUGAAAAGACUGUCAAUAUGGUUUUAACUAUUCCAUUUCCUAGGAGUUUGUCGGAAAAACCAGAACUGUUUCUAAUAUAGAUCGAACAAUAUAAAAGUGAGUAACAAAGUAAAAAAGAAUUCUUAAUUUAAUUAUCCUCAUUUUCUGGAAAAUAGCAGGCUUUAAAUUAAACAUGAAGUUUUCACCCAAAAUAAAAUAAAAUAAAAUAAACAUGAAGAGAAAUUUACAGAGUUAAGUCUUGAGAUAGAUUUCCCAGCUUGGUUAUGGUUCACAAGAAACACAGCAGCAGGUGGAAGUUCAAACAAAGUAUAAGACGGUUCUUUCAGCAUCCUUCCUCUCUGAGCAAGCUUAUCCGCACAUCGGUUGCCUUCCCUGAAAGCAUGCCCGAUUUUAACUCUCUUGAAAGCUUCCGGGAGAGUCCUACGAUCAUUCAAAAGAGAAGCGAAACAAGAUUAUUCAACAAAUUUAAUAACAGCAACGAUAUAGUUAUCGGAGCAUCCAUCUCCACCUACAGAUAAGUGAUGUGGACAGGNNNNNNNNNNNNNNNNNNNNNNNNNNNNNNNNNNNNNNNNNNNNNNNNNNNNNNNNNNNNNNNNNNNNNNNNNNNNNNNNNNNNNNNNNNNNNNNNNNNNUGCAUAUAUGUGGAUGGUAAUGGCUUAGAAGUAAAACAAGAGAAUUCCUAAGAAAAAGUGAGUUUGCACCAUGUUAAAAAUCAAAAUGCUUUUAGUUUCAAAGGUUCGUGCAAGUACACCGUUUCAAAGGUUUAUGCAUGUACACACUUACCUGAAAGGCAUGAAAAGAGACCAUCCAAAUCAAAAGAAACUAACCAAAAAGACCCAUACUUCAACGGCCACUAACAAAGAAGAAGGAAAUUACACACAGAUUCAUUGAUCUCAAACCAAAAGAAGAAAAACAAUCAUGAUUGUGUCACGGGCUGAUCGAUUAGGAUCGUGACCGUGCGGCGACUCGGACACUUUAGGAUCGGAUUGGAUCGCCGAAGCACCUAAGCCAAGCCUUGCACAGUCGAACGCUCACUCGCUCGCCUUACUCGGAUCGUAGAGAGAGAAAUGAUCUAGAGAGAAGAGCUCUGGAAAGAAAACUUGCUUUGUAUUGCGGAAGUAGUGGAUGUUUACAAAUGAAGGAGGACACCCAUUUUAUAGUUGAGGGCCUCGGAUUACAUCCAUUGAUCUAGAAUUUUAUCAGCGGACGAGAUCGCACCGCCUCAACUACCGACAUAAUGUCGUCUACCAUCUACCGACAUAAAUGAAAGGAACAGACUCCCGUAAUGUGACUUCAAUGACGGUAUUGCUCGCCCUUGCAAUGUUCGGGGAGAAGGCUCGGUGGGAAUCCGAGUGACAGCAGGACACUAACAAAGAAGAAGGAAAUUACACACAGAUUCAUUGAUCUCAAACCAAAAGAAGAAAAACAAUCAUGAUCGAAACACUCUUUCAAUAUGAAUGGCGGGGAGGCAAUUCAUCGAAGAACCAGCUCUACAACAUCAUGUCUCAAGUGAAGGCAGUUCCUUGUUUUUACAUGGACAAAAUUCUCCAAUCAGAGAUGAGCAAUCAAUCGGUAUGAGAAGAGACUUCACAUGUGGGACUUGAGAUAUUCAAAGUCCAUGAUAUAUGCAAACACACUCAUACAUAAGUCCAUCGAAUCUCCCCAGGGUAUACCGAACCAAUUCCAAAGCUAACCACGUGUUUUUAUAUUGCAAGUGGAGGAGCACGUUUUAUAAUUCUGAUUGCAACGUCAAGCCAACAACAGAAGUCGCAUGACGGAGAAAGGCUGGUGGCUCGGCCACAGAAGAACGGGGCGACGACAGUAGAACAAAAAUAAACAGAGUCGAGACGAGAUGGAAGGAGUCAAGACGACCCUAUCAUCCUCAUAGACAACAGUGGAAGGAAUUUCCUUCUUAAUGAUUUUGUCAAAUCUGCAUGUCGAUAUAAUAUCCCACCAGAUCAGCUUCACAUAAGUCCCAAAAGAAAUGCACUACAUAGAUAUCCCCAUGAAUCUAACAAUAAAAUAAACAGAGAUGAGACUAAGAGGAGGGCAGAGUUUGCAAAAUUGGAUUUUUCAACUGAAGAACCUCCGCAGCCUGAAGUCCGUGCUUGAUCAAACGAAAGAAUCUCUGGGAAAAAUUUAAAAUCUCGAAUCUGCUUCUCGGACGAUUCUUCCAUCACACCAAGAAAAAAAGGGCCCACAUCAAUCCCCUAGGCAAACCAGUCACCCGCGACUCACGAGCGAGAGACAUCGUAUCUAACCACGACCACACACCCGUAAACUAUUUAAUCGACAUCGAAACUCGUCCGAUGGAAACAGCAUCGAUGCUGAAAAAGGCCGAGGAAGAAAACCCAGCUGACNNNNNNNNNNNNNNNNNNNNNNNNNNNNNNNNNNNNNNNNNNNNNNNNNNNNNNNNNNNNNNNNNNNNNNNNNNNNNNNNNNNNNNNNNNNNNNNNNNNNAAGCGAGAGAGCGACUUCCUUCUCGAAGCCACGAGAGGGUUUAGCGACGAAUGAGAGCAGCUUCCUUCUCCGGCGGAGAUGGCGCUUCGACGGUGAUGCUGGUCUAUCUUUCUACCUAAGCUACAUCCUCUCAAAUAUUGACAAGCGAAAAGAUAGAUUCUUUAACUCGAAUGGUCUAAUUGAUUAAUGUCUCAAUCAAUUUUCAAUAGUCAAUAUAUAUAAAUUUAGUAUGUAUCAAUGAUUGAAAUAGAUUGGGACGCUCAAGAGAAACAUAUUGUCCCAAAAAGACAUAAGGUUAUUUAUUUGGCUAAGGUAACCUUGCGUUGCGGAAAAACUUUAAUUUAUGUUUUCAAGGAACAGAUGUGCACGGGGGUGGGAGGUGAAGGAAAGAAGAAUUUAAGGGGAGUCCAAAUCUAGAAUAGUUAAUAGGCAAACUGCAAAAUAAAAUAGAUACGAAAAUGCCUCUAGAUAGAAUUGAUUGAUUUAUGGAUGGAGUUGUAUAUAAUAUUUUACGUGGAGAUCAUGUAAUAACGUGGCCUUGUUCAUGUGGGCCAAACUCCUGAAAACUAGCUUAAAUAAAUAUGCAAUUUAUGGUCAUUUGAAUGGGUAUUUAUCUAUAAAUCACUUGAUAAGGUAUCUCUUAUCAGAUGCAGGUCUUUAGGAUUCUACAAGCUUCUAUACUUAAAGAAUCGACAUCCUCAUUAUUAUUUUUUUUAAAUUAUAAAUUUUGCUCCGCCAAUUUAUCGAGAGAAGUACGAAGAGAUGCUAUUCGUUGCGGUAUUCUUCGUUGUGCCUCGCAGUUAGGAAUCCCAAUAGAAAAUACAUAAACUAUGAAAAUAUAAAGAAACUUUGCUAAAAAAAAAAAAAAAAGAUACUUUGCUAAAGAGAGACAAACGAAACUCCUCUUUUUUUUUCUUUUUUUUUUUUUGUAAACAAAUAUUUUAUACUUAUCAGCCUGACUCACUAGGAAUCCGAUCCAAGCCCAGCAAAGAUUAAUAUUUUAUAUAUGUAUUCCGAUCAAGGUUGAAUCUCAUCAUUUCAUCAAAUUAAAAAGUUUGAAGUUUCAAUUUUAGGUCAAACACAUGUCCGACUCACAAAACUAAUCAUAUCUUAACGCUCAUUUUUUUUUGUGCUCGAGACCAGCUCAUGGAUGAUUGAUCCGGGAAGGUUCAACUAAAGAAUAAAUUGAUCUUUUUUUUUAAUCAAUAGAACCUCUUAUUCGCCGUACCAUUAUCGUAAAAUAAUAUUGAAAUUUGACAGAACGAUGAUUUUGUUCGGAUAGAUUUAGUGUGCGCGUGCGACCAUAUAUCACCGGGGCAUUCUCCUUGCUUACCAUUUAUGACUACUUGUCUGGGUCUCGAGAAAGGAUUGAUCACAUGGAUGCCACCUGAAUGCACCCGCCAAGUUCUUUUCUUGAGGGUCAAGGUAUUUACGAUUUUGCCCCCAACAAAAUUAUAUUAGAGAAGAACAAACAGAAGCUAUCGCAGCAAAUUCUUGUUUUGAUUUCCCUUCUUGUUACGUCCCCUCCACAGAGGAGGGAUCCCAACAGAGAAUACAUAAAAGCUAAGGAAUAAGAAAGGGACCGUGCUACACAAACGCCAAACGGAACUCUCUGUUCUAACAAUAAUAAUAUUUAGGGUGAUCAACCUCCCUCUCCCUCUUCCCUCAAUAAAAGAGAAGACCCCAUCUCACUCACUCGGCUCCCGAGGGUAGGAAUUCCAGCCUGGCGAAGUUGAUGGACUCAUCUUUGAUUUUACGUUCUGCCUCUCCAUAUGUCAUUUCCUCUACGGGACCCACGCCAGGCCCCUUGAAAGUGACCCGAGCGGCUGGGUCCCACUCGAACUCCGCCCACCAGCCUUUGUCUCCAUCUAUCGAGAAGCUUCCCCUCACGCUGUUCAAGUUCAACGGUAACUUUCUGAGACCAGGACACCCUCGUAUCAGGAAUUUCACCCCUUGCGGGAAAAAUAGAGCGCGGUCGCAAAUGCUCCUUAGUUUUGGAAGAGCAUAGAUCUCUAGAGAUUUGAGACGUGAGAAGAGUCCUGAAGCAGCUAAUUCCUCUCUUGCAAUUCCAUCCCCGAUUAUUUUCUCCAUCGAAUGACAGCGCCAGACUAUCAAACUUUGGAGUUUCGGAGUGUGCACAAGCCAGGACAAGUCCAAAAAUCCGCAAUUGGAGACACUAACCUCAACGAGGCUGGGGAAGCAAUAGCUCUUGGGCGCUUGUCCUAUCCCUUGAUUAAUCUCCAUCUUCACGAGCAUAUGGCAAUCGUAUAAAUGAAGCACCUCUAAAUGCGAGAAAUUGUCGCUCUCUUUUAAUGAGUGACUUAUUGGGAUGUGGGUCAAGCCCUCGCAAUUCUCGAUACCUACUCUCCUUAUGCAUCUCUGAAAGGAUUGGAAUAUUUUUAGGGCAGAGGAAGAUUUGUUCACCUUGAUAGAUAAAUCUGUGAGAGCUUGCAUGCGCCCUAGUUCCUCCACCAUCUCUUCUUCCUCAUAUAGAUUCGAUUCCCACAUGCUGAACACAUUCAACGGUAAGCUUGCGAUUGCCCCUGUUGGAAUUAGGAUGUGCUGCAUCAUACGGUCUAGUAGCAACCAUUGUAAACAAGUCAAGUUCCUAAUUUCCUUGGGCAACUCUUUGAUACGAGUGCAUGACAAGUUCAAGUAUUGUAGGCUAAUCAGAUUGCAAAUCCCUUCGGGGAAUGAAUUAAUAUUUCUAUUGUCGGACAUGUCAAGGACCGUCAGACAAGCUGUCAUGGAGUCGAAAAAUCCUCCUGGCAAGACACUCACUUUAGUUUCCCUUACAAUCAAAGUUCUGAGCUGGGAACACCCGAGUGGAGCUUGGUUGAUAUUCAAAAUCCAUUUCCCCCAUAGAGAUACUUUCUCCGCUUCCCCCCAUUUGGACAUCCCUUUUGUGGACAUAUCUUCUUCCCUCUCUAUCACUAGCAACUUGUUCUUUUUCCCGUGGUCGCGAGCAAUCCAAGUCGCCAUGUCGCGGAUAACGUCGUGCAUCUUUAUCUUUACAAACUGUAGUCCCAAUUUAAUAACCGUCUCACUUUCCAAUAGACAAGCCAUCUUUAAACUCCCCAAUACAUACUCUCCACUUUUCCGCAUAUUGUAUACAUCAUCGGUGUCUCCUAGCAAGCCCUCUCCAAUCCACAAUUCAAUAAGAUCGUGCGAGUCUAUGAGGUAAUCCUCAGGGAAGAGACAACAGUAAAGGAAGCAAAAUUUAAUGAUAGAGUCGCUUAAACUAUUAUAACUGAACUCUAGUAUGUGAUACACUUCCUCCAUACCUGACAGUUGAUGCGGUUUGUCCCUGAGAGUUGUUAGUGCAUAAUACCACUCAUGGGGAUGCUCUCUGCCAGCCAUGGCUCGCCCGACGGUAAUAAGGGCCAAUGGCAACCCUUUGCACUCUUUAGCAAUGUCCUUGGCCAGGCGUUGAAUGUCAUCAUCACAAUUUUCAAGAGAUUUGCCAAUGUUCUUCUUGAAUAAUGUCAGAGCUUCUUCAAGCUUCAAGCACGAUACUUCGCAUGUUUCAUUGGCUCCCAUUUGGUGGCAUACUUGCUUCGACCGAGUUGUGAAUACUACCUUGGAUCCGUUCUUUGGACUAGGAGGAAGAACUCCGAUUUCCGAAAGGUCCAGCCUCGCCCAUACAUCAUCAAUCAACAACACAAACUUCUUUUCAGCCAAAAUGUUCAACAAAUGAUGGACCCUAUGAUUAUGAGACCAUCCAUCCCAGAUCUCAUCUUUAAUGUUCAACCAUUUCCUUACGACGUCUCGAAUGUUAUCUUCAUUCACUUGCUUUGACACCACCACCCAAAUAACGACAUCAAAUUUAAGAUUUGUGCACAAAAGCUUAUUGUUGAUUUGUUUCAUGAGGGUGGUCUUUCCCACACCGCCCAUUCCGUAUAAUCCAAACAUUCCUGUUUUUGUUUCAUCUGCUAGCCAUUUCCACACUUCAUUAAGGGAAAUAUCAAGCCCCACAGUCUUAACCAUAGGUAUCGCAAGUAUUGCAGGGCUAGACAAUGGUGAUGUGAAAUUGCUGAAUUCUCCCUUCUUACCUUGGAGCUCUCUCGCUUCAUCGAGCAAUCGAUCAACUCUUUUCCCCAAUUUAUAGCUCGACCAGCAAUUCUGAGGAAGACAACGACUGAAACAUUUGAUUCGGUCACAUUCCCUGGCUUCUUCAAGAACUCGAUCUACUCCACCUUCAAAUUUUUGCACCUUGCAUAACCAGUUCUCCACUUGAUUUGUGCGCCGUACACCUCCCUCUCGUUCUUCACGUUCCACCGUUCCCUUCACAUCUCCGCUCAUGGCCUUCAGAUCUCCAGUGGCCUUCCCCAACGCCUCCACAUUAUCUUUCAAAUUACAAAUGUAGCCCAAAGGUUUGCUGGCCAAGCCCCAUAACCCUUUGACGAGUUCUAAAAGAGGACUUGCGAAGUCCAUAGAUUCUUUCAGGAGACGAGAGAUCGAAAAACGGAUUAUUCAGAUGGAUGGAGAGCGGCCGAAAGGGUGGAGUUCCAUAAUAGAGAGUCAUCUAGUAAGAGGCGACUUUUGCAGAUCCAAUAAUAGAGGCUCAAAGUAAUGGCCCCACGACAUACUAUGAUACAAGCUAGUGGACGUAAGCAAAAGUCAAAAGUACAAAACACAACUUAGGGGCUAAAUUAUUGCGCAUACGGACAAACAACUUUUUAUAAAGUUGGAUUAUGGUGGAAAUAAAGCGUUGCUCAAAACUCAGGGCUGAAUUAUUACGCAUGCAGACGAACAACUUUUUAGAAAGUUGAUCACAACUCAGUAGAGAUGUGCAACGAAAAUAGUCCAAAUUGAGAACCGCUUAAACCGGAUCGGAUCGGCUAGUUAUGGAAUCGGUAGUUGGUAAGUCGGGUUUCCGAUUUCAAGUUGGGAAUUGGAUCGAUCGGACCCAAUCAAUCGAUUAUAUAUAUAAUAUAUAUGUGUAUAUAUACACAUACACAUAUAUAUAUAUAUAUAUAUAUAUAUAUAUAUAUAAUAUUUUUAAAGGUAACCCCUUAUUCAGCCCUUCCCUUGCCUUCCCUUGUUCAGCCCUUCCCUUGCCUUCCGAUGAAGACAGUCUUUGCUUUAUACGGAGAAAAACCCACCGAAAAAAACCGAAGCUUUACUCUAGAAUGAAAUAAUAAAAUCUAUGCAGAAGCACGGCCCUGGGAAGUUAGAAGCCAACGUGACAAGUGUGGAAGCUUACAGCGUGAUCACUUCCAGGGCGUCUCCUGAUUUGAGUCUCAGCCCAACUACCUCUCAAAUCCAUGCUUCUCCUCUGCAAUAAAUUGACUUGCGGUUGGCUUUUAAAUUUAUUUUUGGUUUGGUUCCACCGGACCCGAUCGGACCAGUUGGUCCAUCCGAUUCUUGAUUUCAGGAUUGAGAGAUCCCGUUUUCGAUACCAAAAUUUGAGAAAUGCUCCACUCAGUCCAGUUUCCAAUUUCACGUAGGAAUAGGAUCGGAUCGGAAUCAAUCAGUCCCAUGAUUCAGGGGCUGAAUGAUUGCGCAUGAAUUAGAAAGUUAGUCACAACUCUAGGGCUGAAUGAUUGUGCAUGCGGACAAACAACUUUUUAGAAAGUUGGUUACAAGUCUGGGGCUGAAUGAUUGCAAAUGCGGACAAAUAACUUUUUACAAAGUUGGACUAUAACGCUCAAUUUCCAUCAUAAUCCAGCUUUCUAAAGAGUUAAUUACAGACUCUGCCACAAAACUCUCUAAAUUGCUACCCGGUGCGUUCGCGAGGGUUUGAAUAUAACAUACCUAUUACGCAAGAUAACACUAAUUCUUGCUUCCGAGGAAUUUCAGGAUAAUGUUAAUCAUACACGGCAAUAUUUUUAAAUACGUCAAUUCUUUGUUGAUUAGAUAGUUUCUCAUAGAUUGAUGCGAAUUAUAGCAGAAACACAAUUGAGUUCUAAGGAUACAUUUAUUUCACAAAAAACUUAAUAAUAAAGGAAAAUUUUCAUGGAUCAAUUUGUUUUCCUUUAUUUGGUAAUGUAUAAUAAAAAAUAUUUUUCGCUGUUUGGAUCUCAUUAGAAAAUGAUAUUGCACUUUAUCUCAACCAAAAAAAAAAAAAAAUUAAUUUUAUAAAAAACUUUGAAUUUUUAAUUUAUUUUUAUUUUUGUUUUUUCUUUUAUUUCUUUUUUUUUUCCUCUUUUCCUUCUUCUUCUCCUUCACUCCUCAACUUCCUCAUGCCAUCACUUCUGCUUCCUGUGGUGAUUCAUCACCGGCUGGCUUACGAGCUCGUUAAUUUGGCAAGGCUCGCCACUUGAGCCUAAUUGCAAGCUCGCCGGCGUCGAGCGAGCUCAAGCCACUGGAGGCCGCGAGCUUGCCCAAUCUGGUGAGGCUCUAGGCUUGCAAGCCUUUGGCGGUGAGGCUCGAGCCUCACCAGCUCGCAAGUAGACAUUGCAAGCUCGCCUGAUUUGGCGAGGCUCGAGGCUCGAGGCUCACCAUCAAAGGUCACAAGCUCGCUCAAUCUGGCGAGGCUUGAGGCUUGAGGCUUGUUGACCUCAUACGAGCUUGAGCCUUGCCAUCGAAGGCCAUAAGCUCGCUCGAUCUGGCAAGGCCAAAGCUUGUCGGCCGUCCCUGUGGCCGGCCAUAGGUGGAGAAGAAGCAAAAAGAAAAAGGAAGAAAAUAAAAAUAAAAAUAAACAAUUUUUUAAAAACAAAUAAAAUAAAGUUCAAAAUUUUUUUUAAAUAUUUUUAUAAGAAUAAUUAUUUGUAAACCAAGCAUCAAACCUAAGCUUUGGUAGAUUUGGAAAAUGUUUUCCGAUUCUUUCAAAUGAGAAAUUAUGUUCCUGAAUUUAUGUUUUGAUAGAAAACCUUAUUUUGUUAACUAGGAAAACGUUUUUCGUUGACUUAUUUUCCUAAGCAAACCAAACGUCAAAAAAUGAGGGAAAUGUUUUCUCUAAAAAUGUAUUUCAUAAAAUAAACGCACCCUAAAUAUCUUUAUUAAUAUUUGAGUUUACAAAUCAAUUGGGUCGUGAGGUUUUCACUUUCCAACUUCGAAUUGAUCAGAAAAGUUAAAGCUGAGAAACUAAAAGCAAAGACCAGGCCUUGCUUUGAUGGACAGCAUAUUCAACCCCAAACAACCCCCCUAGCAAAAACCCACCUAUAUUCAUUUGUUUUUUUUUUUUUUUUAAGUUACUUUCUAAGCAAAGAAGAGGAAUCUUAAACAGUUUUUUGUUCAUCAUUUCAAAUUUUAAGAUGUGAUCAAAUAAAGAUAAAGCAAGAAGUCUCAUCACUUGUUUGAUGAAACCAUCUACCAUGAUCGGCGAUAGAUAUAGCCAAAAACAUAACAGGAAUAGAUAAAUUCAGGUUAAUUACUCAAAAAAAUUAAUAUAUAUAUAUAUAUAUAUAUAUAUAUAUAUUAUUAAGAGGGAGAUGUAGAUGUAGGAUCGUCGCUGUCGUGGUGGUCGACUCACUCCAUAACGAGUACCUCCAUUGUGGUUGCCCAUACGCAACGACCAUCACGGUGGUCAUUUAGCAAUGCCGACCAUCAUGACAUUGUUAGGACGCAAGGUAGAAGACUGUACAUAAGGAGAUCAUUAUCAUCAAAUUUAAUUGGAUUACAUUCACUUAAAAGUUUAGAGCCAAUGAUUUGAUGGAGUUGUGAAGUCUGAUAAAGGAAAAUAAUGUUCAAGCGCAAAAACUGUUUGUUGUGGAUAGGCACUUCUCAAUAAGUCACCCAUCCUAUCAUGUUAAAGCAAAUAAUAAGGCUUUUACUUGUUACUUAUGGCAUACAUGUAAUUUUCAUCAUAUAUAUAAUAUCUUUUAUAGUUGUAACAUUAGAGCUUGUAACCUUAGGCUUGUAAUGCUAAUACUGAUAAUAGAGAGAUUGCCUAGUGAGGUAGUGUGAUUUUUCUCUUCCUAAUAUUUGGAAAGGAUUUUCCAUAUAAAAAUUAUCGCUUGUUUGUUUUUGUUGAAAUAUAAUACGUAGAAAUGAUAGGAUCUUGCAAUUUAUAUAAAUACGAAAUUGCUAGAGAAAUAAAUGAGGAAUAAUAAGGAAAUCAGAGACUUAUAUGCUUUAGUUUGAAUCAGAGUUUACAGUCGUUCACAUGUUCAAGUAUUUUUGCACUUAGAUUUAAGUUCAAACCCAUAAUAUUUAUAAAUAAAUACUCAUUUGGGCGUAAACUCACGGCACGAAAUCACGUUCGUUCAAACUCAAACAAAAUGCUCUAUGUAUACCAAAAGCAAGAACUCUAGCGUUCGUCUUUUGCUCUAUGCACCGCUUCGCAUUCUUGUUCAAGACUUCGUGCGGCUUCUUUUGGACAUGUUUCUCGUGUGGCGCUCCUUCAAGAAAACCCUUUGGAGUCCAAACUGUGCGGCUUUGGAAGAGCUCUUUCCUAAUCGUGUUUCUUAUGUUGCUUUUAUAUUCACAAAUAAAGAGAGAGACGUCCGCUUCUUGGUCAAACUUAGAUAAGGAAGAAAUAAAUCUUGACGACUAAAUCUUGAGAUUUAUCUUUAUCUCCAAUAGAAUAACAAUCCUCCAUUAUCCAUAAAUCACCGCACAAGAUAUCCAUAUCUUGGAUCAAUUUGUGCGAUCACUCUUUGGAUAUUUAUCCAUAUUUACCUAUGGAUUGAAUUUUGUAAAAAUUCAAAUUCGAGACAUUAAUUUAACAGUAUUCUUUAUUUUUUCUUUGUUCCUAACAUGAAUUAUGGUCUAAUAAAAAAGAGGGACAUCAUAUUUCUCCAGCUUGUUGGCCAUAUGAUUUGCGUCAUAAUUUAUCUCCCUCUUGCGUGUCAACAUUCCAAGAUCGAGUUUAGAGAACAUAAUUGAUAUAUAUUCAUAUAUACAAAUAUAUAGUUUGGAUAUAGAAGCAUCUCAGUAAUUGUGAAUUUUUGAGUAUGAGUAUGAAGUUCUAAUCUUCAAUUGGAAUUACAACCAUACUCCCUGCAACCGAAGAACUAUAUUCGAAUUCAGCAAGUUACAUAGCAUGUAUCUGUAUGGCAUUCUUGUCUUUAUAUUAUGGUGAUAGACGACAGUAAAAAAAUGCAUAGCAUUUUUGGGAUAAGGCUUAUUUGUUUUCAGUAGCCUUCAACUUAUUACCCAACAUUUGUAUGUCGACAUCCCAUCUUACACUUUUAUUUUCCCCUAUUUUUUUUAUAGGUAAGGAUUAGCAUUAUCUUAAAACUGGGUCCGUCACACAAUGCUUUUGUUGCUUUUCAGUAAAGAACGGAAGGUUAAUUGAAUCUUCCCCAAGGAUUUACAUUUCCAAAUAAAUUCAUGAUUCAUAAGCUGUGUCAAGUUAGACUCCUUGGAGUUUCUGGAAGGAUCAAUUAAAGAUUCCAUCAAAGACAGAGGCCGAUGGACCACAUUGUUGCAAACAGCAACCGGACCAGCAAUACCCGAUUCAAAGUCGAAUAUGUCAAGGACGUAUUUGUCUAAGCAGUUGGAAAAAGGAGUUUUUCAAUUACAGGAAUUAUUACAAUACAUUUCCGGACUCCUAAGGUAGGCUUGUCAUAGGUUGAUUCAGUUUAAUAAUUCGAACGGAAGCGUAUCAAAGGAACUUCAGAGGAGUGGCCAAGAUAAAAUUCAGCCCCCUCCGUUAGUAGUGAAUCAAAGAAAGCCUGGCCAACUUCAAACAUCCAAAACGAAGCCAUCCAUUGGGGGCUUCUAUCUAAACAUAUAUCUCAAUAUACUAACAAGGCAUCCUAAUCUGUCGCUGAUUCAGGAAAAACAAUUUCCCCGUGCAAAAGACACUUUCAAGCUGUAAAUUGCUGUAGGACAUAAGAAUACCCACCCCGGGACAUAUUAAUGAUGUCGCAAAGCUCAAUGCUAAUGCCCCAAUCAGGGGCAAUUCAGAGAUCAGUCGUCAUCCUCUCGCACACAAUCUACUGCAUCCAUAGCCUCUGCCUGUUACUUCAGGUUAUGUUGCAAGUACUUCUGUUGAGAACAGCCCACCCAAGAUGUCAAUAAUAUGAAUUCAAAUGCCAUAAAAUUCAAGCAACCUCACUCCCCAGCUUAAAAAAGACACCUAAAAAUCUAGGUAGAAAGCCCACGAUUCCUCCAACAUAGACAAAAAUUAGCACUGAUGAGCCAGGUUAUCACCUUUUAAUUUGCCUCUAACGAAAAUCCCUUUAAUUCAAAGAUAAAGAUGCCCGCUACAAAUAUUGAUUAAGAAGGUGCCGAAAGCUCACAUUUUUUUUUUUUUCUAAAAGAGGAGAAAUAAUAAAAAAAAAUUGGAAAUGCCAGUUUUGAAGGUGGAAAUGCCAGUAUUGAAGGAUCAGCCAAUGCCAGUACUGCCCAGCUUUACCACCGUAGGAGGACCGCAUCCGCAAAAACUGAGUCAAGGCUUCGAUCUUCAAAGGAAAUGUCAAGGGAAGUUGUUCCACCGAGAACAAUUGAUAAAAGGACUGAUCAAAAAACACCCUCUCUGUAUGCUCCACGCAGAGCCCUUGCGGCCACAAUCUCCACGGUACCGUCAUUGCUGGCCUUGAUGACGAUGGUCUCUAUCUCUCUGUCUAAGCUACAUCUUCUUGAUAUUGACAAGCUAGUCACUGAAAGCGAAAAUGCCUAUGAAUUUAGAAGCACGACUGUCUUGCCUCCACAUCAAGAGGCAACCGCAUCAAGAUCUCAAUCGCAUCGGAGGAGAUGCCGAGCUUGCAAGAAUGGAAGCCAAUCGCGAACACAAUCAAAAGGAGAAAUUUAGAAAUUUAAAUAUAUGAAUGAAGAAAUGAUGAAGACUCAUGUUAGAGUUAAGAAGAGGACAUGAUCCAAUCUAAAAUGUUUGAGAGUUUUAUAUAGUUGGCCCUUGCAAUAAAAUAUAUAAACGAAAUGCAAUCAGAAGCUAUCUGCCGCAUUCAGAAAUCCCAACAGAAAUUAGAUAACUAUGAAAAGAUAGAUGCUUUGCAAGAGACAAAUGGUACUUUUUCAAACGACAUUCCACUUGCAAAUCUCACUCACUCGGCCCAAUCAGUUUGAAAUUCCAUCGUGGUCCACUGACUGCCACUCUCUCGCACUUAUCAGGCUGCAUCUUGAAAUUCCAUUUCUUGGGUAUUACCCAGCCCACUGGAAAGUGACCCAGGUGUCAGGGUUGUCCCACUCAAAACCGGCCCACCAGUCAUUGUCCCUCGAGACCGAGAAGAUUCUCCUCGCACUGUUGGUGUCCAGUGGCAAUUUUUCGAGACGAGGGCACAGGGAUAUUUCGAAGGUUGCCCCUAAGGAAAGGAAUAAAGUGCGGUCGCAAAUGUACGUUAGUUUUGGAAGUCUUCGGAGUGAUAUAUAUUUGAGACGGAAGAAUACUCCUGAAGCAAUUAAUGCCUCCGCUGCCGCAAAUUCAUCGCCAAUGAUUUUCUCCAUCGAUUUGCAGUCUCCAACUUACAGCUCUGAGUUCGAAAGCUCAUCGCAGCUCUCUAGAUUAAGCUUCUCUAAAUGCAUAAAACCGUCGCUGCCAGUUGGUAAGUGGCUUAUUAGGACGCACAUCAAGUCCUUGCUCACGAUCCGUGCCCUCCUAAUGCAUCUCUGUAAAUUAGGGGAUUGCAAAAUGUUUGGAGCAAAAGAAGACUUGCACACGUGAUAGAUAAGUUGGUGAGAUGUUGUUUGUGCCCUAGUUCCUCUACCACCUCUUCUUCGUUUGCUUGACCUAAUCUUGUCCUAGGCCAUUGGCUGAACACAUUCAAUGGUAAGCUUGUGAUUGUCCCUGUUGGAAUUAAAUUUUUCUUGAAUAUAUUGUCUAAUAGCAACCAUUGUAAACGAGUCAAAUUCUUGAUUUUUCUGGGCAACUCACAGAUUCAAGUGCCUAACAAGUUCGAAUAUCAUAUAUUAAUAAAAUUGCAAAUUCCUUUCGAGAAUAACUUAAUAUUGCUUUUGCUGGACAAGUACAACACCGUUAGAUGAGCUAUAAGUGAGUUGAAAAAUUCUCUCGGCACAACUAUCACAAUAGUCUCCCUCACAAUUAAAGUUUUGAGCUAGGAACACCAUGGUGGCGUUUGAUAUUCCGAAUACAUUUUCCCCAUAGAGAUACUUUCUCUGCUUGCCCCCAUUUGGAGAUCAUCUUCGCAGACAUGUCUUUGUCUUUUUCUAUCACUAGCAACUAGUUCUCACUAGCAACUAGUUCUCCCUUUGCCUGUGGGCAUGAGAGAUCCAAGUCCCCAUGUCACGGAUGACAUCAUGCUUCUUUACAUACUGUCCAUUAUGAUCAUGCCCACUUUCCAAUAGACAAACCAUCUUUUAACACCCCAAGAAAAAUACUCUCCCUCAUCCCACAUGCUGUAUAGAUCAUCAAUGUCUCCUAACAAUCCUCUCCAAUCCAAAGUUCAAUAAGGUUGUGUGGUCUUAUGGAGCAAUCCUUAGGAAAGAGAUAACAGUAAAGGAAGCAAAGCUGAAGAGUAGAGUCAUUUAAGCUAUUACAACUAAACUCUACUGCAUGGUGCACUUCCUCCACCAUACCUGAUAGUUUGUAUGGAUUGUCCCUAAUCAUUGUUAGCGUAUGCAUCCACCCAUGGGGAUUCUCUUUGCUUGCCAUGGCUUGCCCAACGGUAAUAAAGGCUAGUGGCAAUCUUUUGCACUCUCGGACAAUGUCCUUUGCUAGCUCUGGAAUUUCUAGAUGAGAUUGUAUGGUUGAUUUGCCAACUUUAUUGUCAAAUAAUUCCAAGGCUUCUUCAAGUGUCAGGCACUGCACUUCUAAGGUUUUGUUAGCUCCCACUUGCUUGCAUACUUGCUUCGAUCGAAUUGUGAAUACUACUUUGCAUUCGUUUUCGAGACCAUGAUGAGGAACUCCGAUUUUUUAAAAGGUCCAGCCUCCCCCAUAGAUCAUCAAUCAACAACACAAAUUUCUUUCGGGUCAAAUCUUCCCACAAAUGAUGGGCCCUCUCAUCCCAGGACCAUCCUUCUCAGAGCUUAUCUUUAAUGUCUAGCCUUUUCCUUAUGACAUCUUGAAUUCUAUCUUCGUUCACUUGCUUGGAGAUUACCACCCAAAUAAUGACAUUGAAUCCAUGAUUUGCAGGGGAAACCUCUUCAUUUAUCCUUUUCAUGAGGGUGGUCUUUUCCACGCCUCUUGUUCCAAAUAACCCAAUCACCUUUUAUUUUUCAUUCACGAGCCAUUUCCAUACCAUAGUGAAAGAGCCAUCAAGCCUCAUGGUCUUGUCCAUAGGCAUCUUGAGCAUUUGAGGAGGAGGCAAUGACAACGUCCCAACGUUAAAUUCUCCUUCCUUAGGCUGGAGCUCUCUCGCUUCAUUGGGCAUUUGAUCGACUCUUUUCCCCAAUUCAUACCUAUACUAGCAAUCCGGCGGAAGGCAACAACUGAGACAUUUGAUUCGGUCAUGUUCCCCAACUUCCCUGAGAACUUGAUCUACUCCACUGACAUAUUCUUCCACCUUGCUAACUAGUUCGCCACUUGUUUCGUGCGCAAUGCACGAGCUUCUUCUUCCGCACGUUCCGCCCUUGCCUUCACAUCGUCACUCACAUCCUUCAAGAUUUUAGUUGCUUUCUUCAAAGAGUAUACAUUAUCUUUGAGAUUAUAAAUGUAGCCCAAAGGUCUACUGGUCAAGUCCCCUAUCCCUUUGACGAGUUCGAAAAGAAAAGUUACGAUAUCCGUAGAAUCUGUUCGAGAAAAGAUAAUGAAAAAGCUGACUAUUUAGACGGUUGAAAAGCGAGCGAAUGGGUGGAAAUCCAUAAGAUCUGCUCUUUUUAUUUCGAUUCUUCUGGCCAGUAGACGAAGGAAAGAAUUUCGGAACUUUUUCUUUACUUCAAGAAGAGAAAUGGAACUAUUCUUCUUCUUUCUUGGUCAGGUUCGAGCUGCGAAGAAUCUUACCAUUCAGAAAUGAAAUCCCCAAGCGUUGGAGCCAAGGAAAAAAAAAAGGAAGGUAUCCCGUGUUGCCUCUCUUAGAAGCACCCUAAGGAUCUAUGCGGUAUGAGGUCUGCUCGAGACAAUGUGAUUAUGUCUGCUUAAUGUGGACAAAGGCGAGGAAUAUCAUUGACCUCUAUUUCUUUGAUUCAAGAAGAUGCCCAUGGGCUUCUUCCUUCUUCUGUGUGUAGACUGCGCGGAAUGCGAUUUCUAGUGUACAGAAGCAAAGAACUAUUAUUAUUAUUAUUAUUAUUAUUAUUAUUAUUAUUAUUAUUAUUAUUAUUAUAGAAGCAAGGAAUGAUCCGAUUCCUUUUUUAAAUGCAAAAUAAUGUAAUUGAUGAGCCCGUCUUUUGGAAGUUCUCCAAUGGAAGUUUCACGAAUUUAUUUAGACGUGUAUUUGGUUCCCAUAAUUCGACAAUAUUGAUAACUGCCGAAGUGACCCUUAAAAAGCCUCGGGGUUUACUUUGUAAUCUCACAGGGACCUGAAUUCAAUUUUAAUUACAUUAAUAUUUAGAUUGGCUAUAAUUUUCUCCAAAGGUUUUUUUUUUAUCUAAAUAAUUUAAAAUCUAGUGAGAAAGUAAAAAGAGAAUUACCUUUUCUUUUUCAGAAAUCUACCAACCACCUAUGGAUAUUUCGAUUCACAGAAUUGGUGCAAUCCGAUUUGCAAAUCACAACUCACUUCAAAGGUCCAUGUCACUCCGCAGAAGCUAAGGGGAAAAAAAAGGGAACCAUCAUAGUUCCCCGUGGAUGAGACCUUUUGUCCAAACUAAAUCUCUCUAAAAGGUUCGUUCUUAAAAUAGAUCUCUCACAAAACGACUCUCCAAGUUGGGCUCUCGCUACAAAUCAUUCUUAAAAUUGCUUAGUCACCCUCUUCAUACUAUUGUCAAAACCCUCUCAUACUAAUCACUUAUACUUCUCUCUUAAAAUUAUUAAAAUAACGUUAACCUUUUGCACAAUCGCUAUUAUUUUACAAUUAAUCCGUCACAAAUAAUUGAAAAUCUAAACAUAAGUUGCAUACAAUCAACAAUUAAAUUUACUUUUAUUCAUUUGUUACUCCAUAAAUUUAAUGUCUUGUGGAUUUUAUUUCUAAACACGUUAUAUAUAGUUUAUCGUAUACAUAAUUAUAAAGUAAUGACUUGAAUUCAUUUAUCUAAAACUAAAUUAAAUUAAAACCUGAAUGUUAAGGAUUAACUUAUUUUAUUAAUAUUUUGCAAUUUGAAGUGUGGAAUUGUUUCCUCAUUACAUUCGAAUUUGUAUAUUGACUAAAAAAUAUGUCGACAAAUUAUUUUUUAUUUAGUUUAAAGAUAUAGAUAGAAAGAAAAAAAAUUGAAGGUAAACUUAUUUAAAUUCAUUCUAUUGCUAGUUCAAGAAAAAGCUUUGAGAAUUAAAUGACCGAUGACAUAUGUUAUUGAUAAAAAAAAACAUAAUUCAAAUGUUUAAAACUGAAUUGACCCAAUAGGUCCAAGACUUUUUGAACAAUUUUCCCCCUAAUCUUCCAUUGUCAAAGAUUGAAACACCUAUUUGGCUCUAUAUUACCAAAAAAACUGAACUACUCCAACGUCUUGAUCCUCCUUGACAAGAGAUCCAAACCUCGUCUAUGAAGAAAUUUGGUUAGCAUGACUCGUGCAGCGAGCCUUGUCUUGUUCACUGUUUAGCGAGGUUUGAAGGUCAAUAUUUAUAACAAAAUCUUAGUCGUUGUAUCGAAUGAACAAUGUAGCAUAUGUAUAGACUUGCUACUUUUCCCUUUAUCUGUCUCCAAUAGGAUUAAAACUCCAAUUUAAUUACAAGUUAAAAUGAAAUUGCCAUUGGAUUAGGAAAGUAGAACACGUCGACGGGGUUUCAAUGGUCUCCACGGUUUCCAAGAAAACGUUCUUCACGUCCAUUCUUGCUCCAUUGUGGCCACUUGAAGACCCACCAACCAUUUUACACUGAUGAUCGUGGGGAGUUGGGACAAUGUCAAGCUCGUCUUUGGUACUGUUUUUUUCCUCUCUUUCUAAUGCAUGUUAUUAUUCAAAAAGAUAUUUUCAGCAAAUUUAUGUAAAUUAAUAUACGCAAUGAAAUUAUGGAGGCUCACAUUUUCCAUGUCCUUAUUUAAUAUAAACAUUAGAAUUCCCUCAAUUUACGAAAUAAAUGCAUGACGUUCGUCCUUUUUAGAAGUUGACGGAUGAGCCUCUGAAAAUUCAAGAACUGACAUGUCUUCUCUUUUCUUCCUUUCCUUUCCUUUCCUUUCCUUCCCUUUCUUCUUCCUCGAGCAGCCUAGGGAUUGGCCGUCACCACGCCACAUCGCAACUCCAAUCUUCCACCGCCAUCUCCACUACUUUCUCUCCUUUCCCCAACCUCCAUCAUAGUCACGAUCAGCACCACCAUCAACCUCCCUCUCGGCUGCCCCAUUAUAGCUGUCCAACUUCCCACGCGUGCCCAAGCGUUCGCGUGCAGCCUAGUCUUCACUACCAUCGCCAUCGUCAACUGACUACGCAAGUAUCUCAUCAGACUGCCUUCUACUUCACUUGUCGGCAAACAUUCCUCCGUUCACCACCACCAUUAUUAUCACACCAUCACACACCCGCACUCCCCACACUCCUAGUCUAAGGUUACUAACUCAAAUUCAAGGUCCCCGCCGACAGGUGACCUACGAUCUGAGGGUAAUUAAGGCCAAAAACCAAUUGGUUCAUGGUGGCAACCAGCGCACUGCUCUCUAUUGUUUGUCCAAAGAGAGAGUGGUAGAGUGACGGACAAAUGCCGCUGGGAGGGGUAUUUCAAUGACGGCCUGAAGUACGAGGCAUUCUAAUCAAUUUUGACUAACCGGAUUAAAAAGUCAUUGAACUAGAUAUCAUUAUGGUACAAGGCAAAGGAGUUUUGCAGGCAUUGUCUGUGACCAUGAUCCAUUUAAAUGAUGGCAUGACAUGACUACGCAACCACACAAGAAAAGCCUUUGAGCACACAACAAUAAAAAACCAGUAAGCGGAUGAGACCUUUAUCCCAUGCAUAUGAUUAGAGCCUAGACUAAAGCUCGAUAGUGUGGUGUGACAAAUUUCCCACAACGUAAAGUUUUGAGUUAAACAAGUGGUUUGGUAUGCAUCGACCUCAGGUUCCAACUAUCAUCUUCAAAUUGCAAACACGCUAGCUUUCCCUCCCCAAGAACAAAUAGACUCUUGAAGCAGACUCGUUAUGAUGUGAUUUACCCAUGCCAAUUCCCUUAAGCUAUGUUUGGUCAUCCGGAUUUCUAAUCAGGAUAAGACUGGAUAGAAUAGGAUAUGAAAUUCAAGAGAUUUUGGUAUAUCCCAUCCGCCGUUUGGUAAUUGCAGUAAUAAAGUCAAAUUUAUUCACAUCAUAUCAUUUAUAUGUUAGUAUAACGACACAUUAGUAAAAAUGAACUAAAAUUUUACAAACGGAGAUAGUAAAAAUCUCUCGCUUCUUUUAUUAAUUAAUAUCUUUUUUUUCUUCCCUUCUCGUCAUUCUCUAAUAAAAUUUUAUUAAUCAUUAGAUUGUACUAAUAAAACCUAAAUACUAAAAUACCUAAAAUAUAUAAUAAAUGUAAAUAUAUAUUUAUAUAUUGAAAUUAUUUUAUAAAAUAUAAUUAAAUUAGAAAUAAAAAUAAAAAAUAAGAUUAAAUAAAAUAACUAAAUUUUUAUUUUUUAUUUUAAAUUUCUUACAUUAGAAUUCAAAUAUUAUUUAUAUUGAGAUAUAAUUUUAAUUUUGUUAAUUUAAAAAGUUGUUCAUUCGAGAAAAAUAACUUUCCAAUUGUGGAUGCUAGAAAUCCUAUCUACCUUUAUCCCACCUCCCCCAUGGGAUAAUUUUAUCCGGUAUAUAUCCUCCUUAUAUCCCCCUUCAUCCUAUCUUGAGUAGGCACCAAACAUAAGAUUGGAUAAAUUUUAUCCUAUCCUGAAUUUUAUCCUGACUGCCAAACGCAGCCUUAACGUUUAGGUCUACUUAGCCCAAUCAAUAUACACAGAUGAACAAUGUUACCAUAAAUCAUGACCUCUUGGGAGAGUGGCCGUUCAAUGACGGGAAAAAAUGGAAACAGGAGAAUAAAAUUUCCUAUGCACACUUCAUACAACAAGGCCAGGGCCACAAAUUAUCAUUCUAUAAUGAAAAUCAACAUUAUUCCGGAGGAUUUGUGAAAGGACAUGUUCAUGACAUAUGUCUACAAUGGAAGCAAUACAAGAAUAACUAAGGCUCACCAAAACUAUUGCGUAACUUUCAGCGAAUCCUCAAUCCACUAGAUCAGUUGAUCAGCUGUCAGAGCACCCCCUGAUAAAUGAAAAUAGCUCAAUCAAGAUAAGGGUAAAUGACAAACAUCUUAAAAACUGUAUAAGUUGGAAGCAAUCAAAAAUCAGAAAAAUUUCACAACCCGAUCUCACAAUUAAAUUGUGAAUGAGAAUCAACUAAUUUCUGACUAAACAACAUUCAAAGACCACGGAAUAAUGCAUGAGUCUCAGGCAAUGCCCAUCAGUUAUUACCAUUUCUGCACUGAGCCGGCAACCAUGCCCUUCACAGAAAAAUUAAGGAGAUACCCUCUGCCUAUUGCUAAAAAAGUAUCACUUACUAUGCAUGGAUUGCAGCAACCUAACAACUAGGGAAGCUGUGUUUUCCAGGACAGUCAGGCUCUACAAAGGGAGCCUUUCGUUGAUCACUGUUGAAGACUUACGUGGUUUGUAUAUCUAUCAUCAGUUAUUAUGUAGAAACAAGUUGGUGCUUCAUCAUGGUUUCUUUGCUGGUUCAUGUUUUGCAAGAGAGUAAUGAUGAAGUGGGAUAGAAUUCCCUAAUAAAAAACAGUUUAGGAGGAGAAGGGUGUCCACUGAUUAUAGGUCAUUAUAGAUUCUCCAUGCCACAAGUGCCUAUGUACAUUUCAAGGGGUGUCUGCGCUUUUUUGGCAAAAUGCAAGUACUCUUUCCAGAGUUCACCAUGUACCUUUCACAUCAUAAAAGAUUGAAAUUGCCAAAAAACUUGUGACUGCAGGUUUUUGUUCAAAUUAGGAUAUCUAAGGCAUCUCAUCACAGUAUCUAAAAAUUUUAUGAGCCUUUACUGACAUAAUAAUUAUGAGAAAUUAGCAAAUAAAAUUUCCACAUGAUAGCAAAGGUGAAAAAGAUAAGACUUACAAAACGUUCAAAAGGCUUCCCAUGAUAAAGGUGGGUAAUGCUACGGUACUUCUCAGUUUCAAUCUUCACAACCUGAAUUGUAUCUUUAAGUCUAAUGCUGACCUCAUUAAAGAUGGGAACCAUAAAUUGACAAGGACCACACCUGGGGACAAAAGCUCAAAUUAUAAGUAUUAUGCCAAUCAAGUUGCUCAAAGAUUUAUUAGAACAGGUAUCAUUGCUCCAAAUCUAUGGGGGAUGUACAUUACCAAGUAGCAUAAAAAUCAACUAAUACAGGUUUCUCAGAUUUGGCCAACAGAUCAUCAAAAGAGUUAUAUGUCUGCUUCUUAGCUUCAACCUGAAAAACAAGGAAUACAGGUAAGUGGAUGUUUCUCAUCUACAAAACAAAGAUAGGGUAAGAAUGUCACCAAAUGGUCCAACAUGGACAAGAGGAAGCACAUAUACAAGGGGAGCCAAUCAUGUUAUUAUCAUUAACAAUAGUAAACAGGACGCAGACAAAUAACAAGGGGAAAAAUUGCAUGACAUAUAACAAGGGAUAAAUGCAGUUGCUGAUUAGGAAGAAAUAUAUAUAUAUAUAUAUAUAUAUAUAUAUAUAUAUAUAUAUAUAUAUAGAUGCUGCAAAGCGGGUCUCUUUCUCUCCUACUCUCUUCAGUUACAUGGAAAUAGACUUGGAUAGUAACAUACUGGAAUCAUCCGAGAGACCAACAUAUAUAAAAUCUCCCAGCUAGUAGGAUAAAGUCUACAGUUGUCUGUCAUUGUUUGUGAUGAAAAGUACCAAAUCAACUCCUGCUAAGAGUUCGUGUGGUAUAGGUCAAACCCCAGGCUGCCCUAAAGAAGCUUUACAAAGAUGCCAUUGUAGGCCUUACUCCUAAUUUUUUAAAACUGUAGAUCAUUAUAGCUCUAUAUCACUUUCAUCAAUGUGCUUUAAGAUUCAGAUGAGAUGCUAACACGAGAAUGUAAAGUUCCUUAUACAUUAAAUGAGCAAACUCCUCAUAACAUAGCAACAGGUCCGAUUUCACCAGUUUGUUUCCUUCUAGAUAGAUCAUUUAUAGGUUGCAUUGUCCAAUGCAAAAUGAUGAAACCGUCGAAAUCUGUCUUCUUUGCUUGAGGAGGCAGAUAUGCAUUUGUAUGAAUUAUAUGAAACAGGUCAAUCCUAAAAUAUGCUCCAAGUAAUGACAUAAUAUAUCAAGUAAAGAAAAAGACACGAGACUGGUGAAAAGCAGAUAGAUGACCCGGCAUGACGUGCCAUUUUUUUUUUUCUAAUAGAUGAAGAUCAGCCAAGCGUGAAAUGACAUUGUUCAUGGUCACCUACUAAAGCACGUUCAUUGCAUUUAGGAAAAAAUCACUAUGGGUUUAGUAGGGAAAACCAUGGCAAGUGCAAUGCCAUGCAGCACGUAAAUAGCAACACGAGCUGUUUAGAUUGUCGCAUCAAUCUAUUCCGUACUGAAAAAUAUAGCUAACUAAAUCAUAAAAUAGAAUGAAGACGUGACACAUGAUAAUCACCCUGUUGAAAUUGAAGUCAAGCAGUGAAUAUGAAAAUUUGCCCAACGUUGUAUAAUUUAGAUUGCAUUGUUCGUUUGGAUGUAGUUCUAGAUAGAAUAGGAUAAGGUGAGACAAAAAGAGUUCUAAGAAAUAAUUACUUUUUUUCAGCCACAAAGAGACUUUCUUCUACGAGUAUUUGUCUGCAUGAGCUCUCGCUAAUGUUUUCAAGGAAGAAUAUAGCACAUAUCAACACAAGGGCGCGGCCAAAACUAAACCAAAUCAGUGUCUGAGGAAGCAACCGAGUAAGUGCAGAAGAAAAUAGGAAUCUUCAUUCCACCGUGAUGUUAGGAAGUUAUCAUCGCUUCCCUCAAUCGUAGAAUUUUAUGCCUGACCAUGUUUCUAAAGGCAUACACCACAGCCUUCGUGGCCUGAAUCUUUAGUUACCAAAAGCAACUCCGAGAAAGUGGCAUAUCUGUUCUUUAGAACCGGUCGUGUCAGAUGAAGCCAUCACAUGGUGGAAGCUCAGGAGCGACUCGUGGUGAAAAGAAAAUCUUGCCCCAAACACGAGAUAUAGAAAAGAAUGUAAAAUGUUCACCUGCGAGCUAGCUGGGCAAAAUCAUCAGAUUCAUCAUCCUCAUGAUUCACAUCCACAGGCGGCAACGGGCGGCAAAGCUGGAGUUUCUGUCACUCCUGGUUUGGUCAGUGGAACACCUUUGGCAAUGUCAUCACGUUGACAAAGAGCACGCUGCAAACUAUCAUUCAAGGCCAAUCCCAGACACGGAAGUUCCUCGUCUCUGAAGGUCAGUAGAGUGUGCAGAAUUAGGGGUAUAACAUCUGACCGCUAAAGGUUGGAUGAUUAUUUUUUGUUAAAGUUCUUAUGCUGUGUAAUUCACCAGAAGCACGACACGCUCCUGAUAAGAACAACAGCAAUCAACAAGAUCAACGACUACUUCUUCCUUCAAAGCCUGCCACCAUGUCUUCCAUUAUAAGAUUUAAAAUGUAAUGUCAAAAUCCAACUCAAUCUGCACUGAAGAUUACAAGCUACAUAACUGAAAAGGUAUCUUCACAAGGGAAAAAAUCAAGUCUGCAAGCAAAAAGGAGAAACAGACACAUGCAUGGACAGCAUAGCCUAUCUUAUGAGCCUAUUCAUGGGUACAGUGGGCAGAAGAUAAUUGUCGUAUUUUUCUAAUUCGACAUAUGCAAAGCCUUCCCACCAAAAAGAGAUGCAAAAGUUUGCAAAGUUAUUUUCUGCAAAAGUACAGGGAUGAACUCAGUAUCUAAGAGGGACAAGCCUUGAUGUGCCUAAAUACCAACUACAAAUUUUCGUUGCAGCUUUUGGGCGAUAACUAGAUCUCCAAUUUUUAGUAAGAACAAUUUUGUCAGCACGUAUUCAUCUAAGCAUUUAGAAAAAAAAGAGUUUUUCAUUUACUGGAAUCAUCUCCAUUUCCGGAUUACUAAGAUAGGUUUGUCAGAUGUUGAUUCGGUUUAGUAAUUCAAACAGAAGCAUAUCAAAAGAACUUCAGAAAAGUGGCCAAGAUAAAAUUCAGCCCCCUCCGCUAGAAGUAAAUCAAAGAAAACCCGACCAACUUCAAACAUUCAAAACUAAGUCAUACCGCCACACCAAUGCUUAUGAAAAAUCACAAUUCUGUCCAUUGGGGGCUUCUAUCUAGACAUAUAAUUCAGUAUACCAACAAGCCAUCCCAAUCGUCACUGUUUCAAUAAAAUCAACUUUCCCCUUACAAAGACAGUUUCAAGAAGCUACAAAUUGCUUAGGAUAUAGCUAACGACUAGUGGGGCUAAGCUAUUAAUAACCAAAUCAAUAGAUCGUUCGUCGUCCUUGCGGCAUAAUCUACUGUAUCCAUAGCCACUUACUUCAGGUUAUCUUGCAAGAAUUCUUGAGAGAUCGACUGAACCAAGAUGUCAAAAAAUAUGAAUUCAAAGUCCAUAAAAUUCAAGCAACCUCACUCCCUAGCUAAAGUUAAAGGACACCUAAAAUUCCAGACAGAAAGCCCACCACGAUUCCAACAUAGACAAAUAUAGCGACUGAUUAGUUGGGUUCUCACCUUUUUAGUUUGCCUCCUACGAGAACCCCUUCAAUUCGGAGAUAAAGAUACCCGCUACCAAUAUUGAUCAAGUGGAGAAAUUAAAUCUGGCCACUUCGGUAAUUAUAAUUCUUACCAUAGGAUCAGCCCCCGCCUGGACCACCCAUCCGCAAAAACGAGUCAAGGCUUCGACCUUCAAAGUUGUUCCACCAAGAACAACUGAGCUUAUCACGGAAAUUGUUGACGCUACUGAAUCUGCAGCCAUAUACAAAAGCAGCUACUCUAAACUCAACAGCAGAUGACCAGAACCUGCUCAACCAGAGCAAGCUAAUGUGGUCAAAUCGAGCCGUGACAUAAAAAUCGAGGUCGCCUGCCUUGGGGGACCCCAGCCCAGGUCCGGGGCCCCUAGGGGAAUGAAAGCUAGAGGUGCCGCACGUCUAGCGGGCAACCGCAUCGAGAGCUCAGUGGCAUUGGAGGAGACGCCAAAGCUUGCAAGAGAAAACUAGCUGCACACCUGUAGUGCAUGCUUGGAAACUAGUUUACUUGAAGAAAAUAAGAAGGGCGGCGUAAUUUUCUUGUCCGUGAAAUAAGCAAAUCAAAGUCUUGGCUCAAUUCAUCACAUUAUCUUGGUAAGGUUUGGGUUUUCGAGUGGAAAUUGUUUGAAUUCAUUCCCUUAAAUCGAAACAAAUGGAUGAAGAAAUGAUGAAGACUCACGUUAAAAUUAAGAAAAAGACGCGAUCCUAUCCUUGAGUUGUUCGAGAGUUUUUGCCAUCGUAGUGAUGAGAUAAACGUAAUGACCAUUCCUCCCAAAAUGAAUACAAAAAGGACGGGUAGAUAUUCACUACCCUACACGGUCCAAUUGGUGUCUCAAUCUAUUUCAAUCUUCAACCAUAGGUAAAUGUUAAAUUCGGUAUGCAUCAACGGUUGAAAGAGGCUGAAACUCGUGCGGAAAACGUCGUAGCAGGGAAUGCUCAGCCCAAAAGUAGACAAAAGUUAUUUAUCCAGCUAAAGUAACAUUCACGUUGCUGGAAAGCUUUACUUUAAGUUUUCAAGGAACAGACGUGCAUGGGGGCGAGGGAGUGAAGGAGGGAAGAAUUUGGCGGAAGUCGAUGACUCGAAACAGCUAAAUAUAUAUAUAAACACACACAAACGAAGUACAAAUUAGAAGCUAUGAAAAGAUAGAUAGAGAUACUUUGCUAGAGAAAGACAAACGAAACUUCUUCUUUUUAAAUAAUAUUUUACACAUAUCAGCCUCACUUACUCGGCUCGCGAGGGUAGGAGUCCAGUCUUGGCCUCGUAAAAGUGCCGAUCUUUCAUUUCACCUAAGUGCCUCUCCCAAAUGCCAUUUCUUCUCCGGGACACUCAUUACGCGGCCGCUGGGAAGUGAGUCAGGCGGCUGGGUCCCACUCAAACUCAGCCCUCCAAUGUUCGUCCCUAUUGAUCGAGAAGAAAAGACCUCUCUUCACUCACUCGGCCCACUGGGUCGGAAUCCAAUCGUGGAAUCCCAGUUAUACCUAUAAUUCAUUUUACGCACCGCCUCUCCAAAUGUCAUUUCUUCUUCUACGGAUCCCGCAUUCCGCCACUGGAAAGUGACCCGCGCGGUGGGGUCCCACUCAAACUCGGCCCACCAGCGUUUGGGCCCAUUGACCGAGAAGCUUUCCCUUGCGUUGCUCGAGUCCCAUGGCAACUUUUUGAGACUGGGGCAAUCAUGUAUCUCGAUGUGUGCCCCUGGAGCGAAAAAUAGUUUGCGGUCACAAAUACUACUUAGUUUUAGAAGCUUGGAGAUACCUAGGAAUUUGAGAUGUGAGAAUAGUCUCAAAGUAGCUAAUUCUUCUCCUGCAAUUUCAUCCUCAAUUAUUUUCUCGAAUAGCAGCUCCAAACCGUCAAUUGAUGGAGUUUCGGUGCAUGCACGAGCCAAGACAAGUCUGAAAAUCCGCACUUUGCAAUUACAACUUCAACGAGACUAGGGAAGCAAGAGUAGUUGGGCACCUGUCCCGUGCCUUGAGUAAUCUCUAUCUUCACGAGUAUACGGCAAUAUUCUAGAUGAAGCACCUCUAAAUGCAAGAAAUUGACUCUCCCUUUUAAUGAGUGACUUAUUGGGAUGCACGUCAAGUCCUCACAACCGAUGAUCUUCACUCUUCUUAUGCAUCUUUGUGAGGAUUGGAAUAUUUUUAGUGCAGAUGAAGAUUUGUACACUACGAUAGAUAAGUCGAUCAGCUCUUGCAUGCCCCCAAGUUCCUCUACCACCUCUUCUUCCUUCUCUAGACCCGAUCCCCACGUGCUGAACACAUUCAACGGUAAGCUUCCGAUUACCCCCGUUGGAAUCAAGAAAGUUUUCCUUAUAUCAUCUAGUAGUAACCACCGUAAGCGAGUCAAGUUCUUGAUUUCCUUGGGCAACUCAUUGAUACGAGUCUUCGACACGUUCAAGUACCGUAAAUUAAUUAGAUCACAAAUCUCUUCAGGGAAUAAUUCUAUUUUUUGAUUGCCGAAUAGGUCCAGCACCUUCAAACAAGCCAUCAUUGACUCAAAAAAUCCUCUUGGCAUGAACCCCACAUUAGUUUGCCUUACAAACAAAGUUUCAAGUUGGGAACACAUAGGUGGUGUUUGGUUGAUAUUUCCAAUCAAUCCUCCCCAUACAUAUACUUUUUCCGCUUCCCCCCAUUUAGACAUCAUCUCCAUGGACAUGUUUUCUUCAUUCUCUAUCACUAACAACUUGUUCUCCUUUUGCCCGUGGUCAUGAGCGAUCCAAGUUGCCAUGUCGCGGAUGAUGUCAUGCAUCUUUACAGUAGGUUGUUCAAAUGAAUCAAACCCACUUUCCAAUAGACAAGCCUUCUUUAAAUCCCCCAAGAUAGAUGCUCCCUGGUCCCGCAUACGGUAUAUAUUAUUAGUGUUUCCUAACAAGCCCUCUCCAAUCCAGAGUUCAAUAAGCUCAUUCGCUAUUAUGGGGUAAUCCUCAGGGAAGCGACAUCAGUAAAGGAAGCAAGCUUGCUGAGUAGCAUCAUCUAAACUAUCAUAGCUAAAUUUCAAUAUGUGGAAUACUUUCUCCACCAUACCUACUAGCUCGUGCGGUUUGUGCCUCAACGUUGUUAGUGCAUGCCUCCACUCACGAGGAUCGUCUUUACCGGCCAUGGCUCGCCCGACAGUAAUGAGGGCUAGUGGCAACCCGUCGCACUCUACAGCAAUGUCCUUGGCGAGGUCUUGAAUUUCUUGAGGACAUUUUCAAGCACUUUGCCGACGUUCUUCUUGAAUAAUGCCAAAGCUUCUUCGGGCAUCAAACACUGUACUUCGCAUGUUUCGUCGGCUUCCAUUUGGUCGCAUACUUGCUUCAACCGAGUUGUGAAUACUACUUUGGAUCCAUUCUUGAGACUAGCACGAGGAACUCCAAUUUUGGAAAGGUCCAGCCUUUCCCAUACAUCAUCAAUCAGCAACACAAAUUUCUUAUGGGUCAAAACUUCCAACAAAGAGUGGACCCUCUUAUCCUGAAUGUUCAGCCUUUCCCCUAUCACGUCUCGAAUGUUAUCUUCAUUCAUUUGCUUAGACACCACCACCCAUAUAACGACCUCAAAUUCAUGAUUUGCACUCAAAAGCUCAUUGUUGAUCAUUUUCAUGAGGGUAGUCUUUUCCACACCAACAGUUCCAUAUAAUCCAAUCACUCCUCUUUUUUUUUCCUUGUCCAUGAGCCAUUUCCGGACUUUAUUAAAGGACAUAUCUAGCCCCAUGGUCUCGUCCAUAGGCAUCAGAAGUACUGGAGGAGGAGGCAACGGUGACGUGAAAUUGCCCAAUUCUCCAUUCUUACGGUGGAGCUUUCCCGCUUCAUUGAGCAAUCGAUCAACUCUUUUUCCCAAUUUAUAGCUCGACCAGCAGUUCCGUGGAAGACAACGAAUGAGACAUUUGAUUUGGUCAGGUUCCCCGGCUUCUUGACAAACUUGAUCUACUCCACGUUUAAAUUGUUGCACUUCGUCUAACCAGUUCUGCACUUGAUUCGUACGCCGCACGCGUGGUUCUGCUUCUUCGCGUCCCACCGUUGCCAUCACAUCCCUGUUCAGGGCCUCCAAGGCUGUAGUUUCUUUGUUCAACGCCUCCACAUUAUCUUUCAGAUUACAAAUGUAGCCCAAAGGUUUGCUGGCCAAGCCCCAUAGGCUUUUGACGAGUUCUGAAAGAGGACUCGCGAAAUCCAUAGAUUCUUUCGGGAGAUGAGAGAUCGAAAGGAGUAAUCCAGAUGGACUGAGAGCAGGCGAAUGGGUGGAGUUCGACAAUAGAGGGUCAUCUAGUAAGGGACGAAUUUUACAAAUUCAAUAAUAGAGGCGUCAAGUAAUGGCCCCACAACAGGAGAAUAAUACAAGCUGGCAAAGGUAAGUAAAAGUAAAAAGUAGGAAUGUGCAAAAGAACCAGAUCCACCCGGACCGCCCGGAACCGGACUGGAACCGCUCAGAACCGGCGGUUCUUGAGGGAAUUGGUCCAAUUCCCGGUUCCAAUUUAUGGGAACCGGUGGGUACCGAUCCGGUUCCUAAUUCCAUGGGCGGAUCUACCCACCUGCCCACCCGGACUGGACCGGUUCCCUUUUAAUAUUAAAAAAAAAAAAUUACUAAAACAAACCUAGAUCUCAUGGAUGAAUACAAAGCUGAAUAUUAGGAAAUUCUUAUGCUUUUUGGUUGUUUAGUUUAUUUAUUGAUACAAUGAAGGUGAUGUAUUCAAUAAAGUCUUGUUUAGUUGCACUUUCUUUGUUUUCCUGUGUUUGGAUGGUGCCUCAUUUCACCUCCUUUGAUUUGUCUAUGCGACUUGUGAUAUUUUGCUGAACCUGAUGAGGGAUAUGUCUAGUUCAUAGCGUUAAGAGAGAUCCAUUUUUCCUAAACACUUACUACUCUCUCCACCUCUAUAUCAACUUACAUACAUCCAUUCCUUCAUUGGUUGCAUAUCUUGUUAUUCAAGAGUCGGAGUCGGAGUUGGAGGAAGACUCGGUCACUCAUCCAUUCUUUGAACGUGUAUGAUGAACAUUCCUUUGUCACUCAUUAGAACCUAAUGGACGUUCUAGGAGGGAGAAAGACUGGUGUCUCUAGACAAAACAAACAAGGAAGCAAGACAAUUGGGAACCUUUACCUUUGGUCAAAGAAAAUUUAGCCAUCUGCGGUUACUUGCAAGCAAGAAAUGGGAGAUGUUGCAUUCCGUCUGUUCGGGUUUUAUUUUUAUUUUAUCUACAAGAUACAUUUUAUAGUUGCACAAUGAAUCUUUGGUUCCACGUACUUAAAUUUGGUUUUCUUAUUGGCUUGCUUUGAUGUCACGNNNNNNNNNNNNNNNNNNNNNNNNNNNNNNNNNNNNNNNNNNNNNNNNNNNNNNNNNNNNNNNNNNNNNNNNNNNNNNNNNNNNNNNNNNNNNNNNNNNNUGAGUAAUGGCCCUACCCCUAUCGGGAAAAGAAAAUUACAAUAUUACCCUAAUAUAAUUUUUUUAAUAUAUUACUACAUAUUAUUAGAAUUUUUUAUCACCCCUGAUCUUAAAUUUGCUACUCCAAUCACCCAUGGUCCCUAAAUAAUACCGACUUUCGAGUACAAUAGAAAUUGCCAAAGAGAAUAGUAUAGGAUGCGAUGACACUAACCAUGGCAUUUUCCUUUGCGUGAUUGAUUUUGAAAUGACCAUAUAAAAAAUAUAUCAGUUUAUCAUUCCAAAUAUUUUCUUUUUAUUAAUAUUGAGUUUACUAGUUAACUGGACAGUGAGGUUUUCACUUUCCAACAACGAAUUGAUUAGAAAAGUUAAAGCUAAGAAACCAAAGGUGAAGACGGGCCUUGCUUUGAUGGACAGCAUAUUCAUACCCCGUUUCCCAUAUUAAUUUUUUUUUAGUUACUUUUUCAGCAAAGAAGAGGAAUCUUAAACAACUUUUGUUCCCCGUUACAAAAAUUAAGAUGUGAUCGGAUAAGAUAAAACAAGAAGUCUCAUCAUUUAUUUGAUGAAACUAUCUAUUACCCUAGGACCAUGUUAAUAAUGUUGCAUAGUUCAAUGUUAAUUCCUCAAUCAUGGGCAAUCAAUAGAUCAACCCACCCUAGAUGUCGUCCUCUCAUGCACAAUCUAUUGCAUCCAUCUCCUCUUUCUCUUAUUUCAAGUUAUCUUACAAGUAUUUCUAACGAGAUCAACCCACCCUAGAUGCCAAUUAAUAUGAAUUCAAACUCCAUGAAAUUCAAGCAACCUCACUCCCCAGCUAAAGUAAAAAAGACACCUUUAAAUCUAGAUAGAAAGCCCAUCACGAUUCCUCCAACAUAGACAAAAUAGCCACUAAUUAGCUGGGUUAUUACCUUUUAAUUUGCCUUUGUCGAAAUUCUUUCAAUUAAAAGAUUAAGAUAUCUGCUACUAAUAUUGAUCCAGACGUGCCAAAAGAUCACAUUUUUCCCUAAAAGAUUGAUAUUUUACACUUAUCAGCCUGACUCACUCGGGUCGCGAGGAAUGAAUCUGAUCCACGCCCAGCAAAGAUUGAUAUUUAUAUAUGUAUUCCGAUCAAAGCUCGAAUCCUUGUUGCUUCGUGAAAUUAAAAUGUUUGAAAUUUCAAUUUUAGGUCGAACAUAUGUCCUCUUCACAAAACUAAUCAUAUCUUAACGUCUAUUUUUUUUUUCUCUUUUUACUGGAGACCUGCGUAUGAAUGGUUGAUCAAGGAAGGUAAUUGAAGAAAAAAUUGAACUUUUUAAGGGAACGACCUACAUUACACUAAGCAAUAUAAAUAGGGAACGUUCCCUAUUUAUUUCUUAGAUUAAUCAUGAGAUGUUAGGGUGUAAAUAUCUCUUUCCAUGUUGAUAUUUUUCCCUGUAUAUAUUGCUUAGUGUAAUGUAUAGUUGUAUUAUGUGAAAGCAUUGUUAUUCUAUUGAAUGUUAGAUAUUAUCUGUUGCUUUCUGUUAUUGCUGAUUGCUGUGGGUAGUUAGCUGUGGAUAGUUAUAGAAGUUUUUGUAACUUCAUAGAAUUUAUUUUGCAUAAGACAAUUAUAUUCAUAAUAGUUUUAAGUUAUGAUUUUUUUUUUUGGAGGAUGAUUGGAAACAUAGUGACCUUUUGAUUCUGAAACCUUACUUGAAAUUAUUCAUUGAUAUAAUAGGUCUGUGCAAAGUGGAUGCAUAAAUGAUAGGCAUUAAUUAUUCGUGCAUAUAAGUCUGAUGUGUUCAGAUCGAUGGUUUCAGCAACUAAGAACGUAAUUGCUGAUAUAAAUGGCAACAAUUGUGGAAUAUUGAAUACGAAGAUUCAAUAUGUGCUGGAAAAGUUAGAAGCACUAAAAGCUCUUGACCAUAUUAUGGAAAAUCUAGAGUAUGUUGUGCGCCACAUUGAGCUAGUAAAGGACUGCCUAUCGGCAUUUGAGCCGAAAAUAGACAUUGGCUAUGUUGGUCCUAGCUCAGAAAGGGCUUUGAGCUCUAAGCGCAAACGUAUUGAUUCGUUCAAUAUGUGGGAAUGCAAAGGAUCAAGUCCUUAUUACAAAAGAUCAAAAGUUAACCAACACAAGAGAGGAAAACGUCAUCAAGUGAAGAAAAUGUCAGAGUGAGUGUUACAAUUGUAACAAGAAGGGUCACUAUGCUCGCGACUAUCGUGAGCCAAAGAAGGUACACACUCUUGUACAUUUGAGAACUUUGCUUUUGUGUCAAGUUCUGCAUUAUUGGCUGAAUUCAAUCCUUUGUGGACUGUAGAUUUAGGAAAAACAGACCAUGUAGCGAAGGAUAGAGAAUCCUUUGUGGAAUUCCGACGAUAUCGAUCGGAACUAAGUGGAUCUAUGUGGGAUAUAACUCCAGAAAUGAAGUUAAAGGGAUUAGCACCUGCCAAUUGAACAUGCGUGGUGGACGCAUCUUAUUCCUACAUGACCUUCCAUAUGCUCUAGAGAUUCGUCGAAAUUUAACGUCUGUUUUGGUGUUGGUUAAACUUGUUUAUAUAUAUAUAUAUAUAUAUAUAUAUAUAUGAACUUCCAUAAUAGAGGUGUAGAUUUGUAUUUAGAUACAAACUACUAUGGUUGUGGUCACUUUCUGGAUGGUUUCAUUGUACUAAAUGUUGACUGUGGUGAUGUCAAUAUUUGUUAUUCCCUUGUUUCACGUCUUCUACUUCAUAUGAUAAUGAUGUGAAUGUGUGGCAUGCUGGACUUAGUCAUAUUGGCCAACAACAUAUGAACAGACUUGCCAAAAAGGGCUUAUUGGGCAAUAUUGAAAAGGUCGCGUUUGUUCAUAUGUAAGCAUUGCCUAGAAAGGAAAACGACAAGGAAACCAUUUGGAAAAGGUAAAAGAGUUGACGUUCCUUUGCAUUUAAUCUAUUCUGACGUUUGUGGUUCAAUGAAUGUGAGAAGAAGGCAUGGGGCUGUUUAUUUCAUCACUUUUAUAGAUGAUUAUACUCGAUUCGGAUGUGUCUAUUUGAUUUCUCAUAAAUCUAAAGCAUAAGUUGUUUCAAAAGGUUUAUGAACUUUGAAGAAAAUCAAUUAGACAGGAAAAUAAAAGUAUUGAGAUCCGAUCGAGGUCGAGAAUAUUUAUCUGAUGAGUUCAGAAAAUAAUGUGAUUAAAAGGAAUAGAAAUACAAUUGUCUAUUCCAUAUACUCCUCAACAAAAUGGUGUUGCAGAGAGAAGAAACAGAACCCUACUGGAAAUGGUUAGGUCCAUGAUGGCGCAUGCUAACUUACCUAUCACUUUUUGGAGUGAUGCGUUGUUAACUUUUGCCUAUAUACUUAACCGGAUGUCUUCCAAAUCAGUUGCUUCCACUUCAUAUAAGUUGUGGACAGGUAGAAAACCGGACUUAAGUUUUCUUAAGCCAUGGGGUUGUGCUACCUAUACUAAUGAGUCCUCUCACAAAUUUGGGAAAUAUGGUCCCAAAUAAAAGAAGAGUAUUUUCAUGAGAUACUCCGAACACUCGAAAGGAUAUGUGUUCAUAGGUGAGCAAGAAAGUGGGAGUAUAACUGAAUUUGAAUCACGGGAUGUCACAUUCUUAGUGGAUGAAUAUCCUAAGAAGGGCGAAAUAGGAGAAGAUUACUUCAUAUUUGAAACCUUGGAUUAAGAUAAUGAUAUUAGUAUAGUUCAUCCAAGUGGGAGUAAUAUGAGAAAUGAUGAAUUAAAUUCAACUCAUUCUCAAUUGCAACCACAUGAUGAGACGACAUCAUCAUUAUCUUAUCCAAGUUGGAGCAUAAUGGGAAAUGAUGUGCAAAGUGUACAAUCUCUCAUGUAGCGAACAAGUCGCCAAAGUAUUCCCCAUCGACGUUUUUGACAUUAAAGGGGAAACUUUUAUGAUUGUUCCGCAAGAUGAGGAUGAGCCAAGAAAUAUUAAUGAGGCUCUAAAUUGCCCUAGUAAGGAAAAAUGGAUUUAUGCAAUGAAAGAGGAAAUUGAGUCAAUGAAAUCAAACCAAGUUUGGGAGACUGGUUGAUCUUCCAAAAGGACACAAAGCUAUUGGGAACAAGUGGGUUCUCAAAAUAAAGCGAAAGGCUGAUGGCUCGAUAGAAAGGCAUAAGGCUUACCUUGUGGCGAAGGGGUAUAAUCAACAGGAAUGAAUUGAUUAUGAAGAUACAUUUUCUCCUGUAGAGGGAUUUACCUCGAUUCGCAUUAUUCUGGCAAUAGUGGCUAGUAUGGAUCUUGAGUUACAUCAAAUGGAUGUAAAGACUGCUCCCCUCAAUGGAGAAUUAAAGGAAGGAACAUAUAUGGAACAACCUGCUGGUUUCAUAGUGAAAGGCCAAGAAGAAAAGGUAUGUCGACUUUUGAGGUCGAUAUAUGGCCUUAAGCAGUCGUCAAGACAAUGGUAUAUAUGAUUUCAUAAUGCCAUAAUGGCAUAUGAUUUUACAAUGAUAGAUGAGGAUCAUUGUAUAUAUAUAAAAAGAUCCAAAGGUCUAUUUGUGAUCAUAUCAUUAUAUGUUGAUGAUAUACUAAUUGCCGGAAGCAAUAUGGAGCUUGUCAAUACUGUCAAAAGUUGGUUGUCUUCCAAUUUUGAAUUGAAGGAUAUGGGAUUGUAAACCCAUAGACACUCCUAUUGCGAAAGGUGAAAGAUUGAGACAUAAACUGUGUCCAAGGACUCCAUAAGAGAAGGAACAAACGAAAUAUGUUCCUUAUGCUAGUGCUGUUGGGAGCAUGAUGUACGCUAUGAUGUGUACAAGACCUAACUUAUGUUUUGCAGUUGGAAUGGUGAGUAGAUACCAAUCCAAUCCAAGUCAAGCACGAUGGAAAGCCGUUAAAAGAAUACUGAGGUAUCUAAAGGGAACUGCUGAUUAUACGUUGAGUUAUUAAGGAAAGGAUCUGCAACUCAAAGGCUAUUCUGAUGCUGAUUGGGGAGGAGAUUUAAAUGAAAGGAAAUCUACCUCUAGGUUUGUUCUCUUACUGAAUAAUGGCACCAUAUGUUGGAACAGUAAGAAACAAAAGUGUAUAGCCUUGUCCACGAUGGAAACUGAGUUCAUGGCAUUAUCAGUAGCAAUAUAAGAAAAUGUUUAGCUUAAGAGAUUAUUGGAUCAUUUAGGUGUUAUUGGAAGUGUUGCAGAUUUGUUAUUGGUUAACUAUGAUAGCCAAGCAGCGAAAGCGUACACCAAAGAUCCAAAAUAUCAUGGCAAGACCAAACAUAUAUAUACCAAGUAUACUUUUGUCAGGAUAUGAUUGCACGGAAAGAGCUAAACUUANNNNNNNNNNNNNNNNNNNNNNNNNNNNNNNNNNNNNNNNNNNNNNNNNNNNNNNNNNNNNNNNNNNNNNNNNNNNNNNNNNNNNNNNNNNNNNNNNNNNNNNNNNNNNNNNNNNNNNNNNNNNNNNNNNNNNNNNNNNNNNNNNNNNNNNNNNNNNNNNNNNNNNNNNNNNNNNNNNNNNNNNNNNNNNNNNNNNNNNNNNNNNNNNNNNNNNNNNNNNNNNNNNNNNNNNNNNNNNNNNNNNNNNNNNNNNNNNNNNNNNNNNNNNNNNNNNNNNNNNNNNNNUUACUGUGUGAUAGAUAGAGAUGAGGCUAUUUUUAAGCUUAUUAUCUAUGUGAUAAUCGAGAGCUUAAGCUUAAAAUACGUAUGUCGCCUUAACUAAGUGUUAAGAUGAUGACAUAAUACUAACUAUGUCCGAAAGUAAAAUAACCCACAUAUUUUACUUUAUUUGUCUAUGAUGCCAGAUGUGAGUUCUGAUGAAUUUUAUGAUUGAGUAGAUACGUGAACUCAAGUUAGACAUUGGGUAUGUCUGAACUAUCAUCUGUACGGUAUUGAAAGUGUAGACAUACGCUCCAUGGGAAAGGAGUUAAUACCGUAAUACGUAUUUCAUACUACGUAUGCAUGAGAUGACCAAUAAGAGUGGCAAAAAGUUUGAUCUCAACUUUUUAUGACGUGUGAGACUCUUGAGGAAAAGAGUUCCUCAAUUUUUUUUUUGUCCCCUCAUGACUCUUAUUCUCAAGAUUUAUAUUUAGUGUUUGCUAUCUUAAGUUGUUGCCAAUGGUCAUGAGUUGAUUCAAUCUAAUUGGACAUUUCUAGAAAAGCAAGUUGAACUGAAAUUGAGAGUUUGAAUGAAAGAGGAAGAUCGAAUUUGGAGAAUCACAUUGUAGUUUUGUAUUCACCGGUUAACCAAUUAUGACUGUCUUUGUGAUAAUCAUAAUUGUGAAUACAAUAUAUAUAUAUAUAUAUAUAUAUAUAUAUAUCAUUGUUUAAAAGAGAUCAAGAGAGAUAUAAAUGUGAUCAAUCGAUCUAGGGUGCUGCAUACUAAAUUUACUAGGAGUGUGAUGCCCAUUAUGAGCUGCUAUAUAUUCCUAACAGAUGUAUAGCAACGAGCUCUCAAAGUAUGCUGCUCGCACGGAUUAUUCACCGGUAUGAAUGUUGAAGAGAGGUAAAGAGAAUCAUAUUCAUCCCACCAUGUGCGAGUGGGAGAUGAUGGUUUUAAUUGGUGAUGGGCUUAAGGCCCGUCCGCCCAUGCUGGGCCCAAAAGGCCCGGCCCACGGGAAUAAAGCCCGUGGAUGGGGGAAGGUAUAAAAGGGAGGAGAGAGAGAGAGAUGACACCUCUUGGAUAAUCAACGUACGUACGUUCUCUCCAACGCACUCUCUCCCUCCAAAAAGAACAGUAAGCACAAGGCCACUGUUUUCUCCCCUUCAAGGCGUCGUCGGAUCGAACAGGGCCAAAUUCUCUUCCUCUUAUUGGCGUUGGUGUCUAAUCUGUGGCUAACAAGGUACGCUCGAAUCCGUGGUGUGCUUUACGAUCGGUGAUACGUGUUUUUCCCGGGCUUCGUCUUCCGCAUUGCUUUAGGGGUUCGAUUUAGUGUCGAAUCCGGUUUUCGGGGAUCCGUUAUUCCCAACAGAUACUUUUCGGGAGAAGAGAUCGAAAAGUCUGUCUAUUUAGAUGAUUGGAAAGCAGGCGAAGGGGUGAAGUUCAAUAAGGUCUGUUAUAUCAUCUUGAUUGUUCUGGCAUGUACACGAAGGAAAGAGUAUUGGAACCUUUUAUUUACUUCAACAAGAGAAAUGGAACUAUUCCUCUCCUUUCUUCGUCGGGGUCAAGCCACAAAGAAUCUCUUCUUUCAGAAAUGAAUUCCAGCAACGUUUGAGCCAAGAGAGAAGGAAGGUAUCAUGGCUAGUCGUUGUUAGAAGCACCCAGAUGAUCUACGGCGUUUAAGGUCUAUUUGAGACAAUAUAUACAUGAUUGCUUUCUAUGGACAAAGGCAAAGAAUAUCAUUGACCUCUAUUUCUUUGAUUCAAGGCAAUGCUCGUGUUCUUCUUCCUUCUUUUGUGUAUGGAGUCUAUAGACAGGGUGGAAUGUGAUCUAAAGUGUCUAGAAGCAAAGAAUAAUUAUUUUUCUCACAGAAGCAAAGAACUAUUCGAUUCCUUCUUAAGAUACAAGAUAAUGUGAUUGAUGAGUCGAUAUUUUAGAAGCAUUUCAACGCAGAUUUCACAAAUUAAAUUAGUUGUUUAUUUAGUUCUUAUGAUUCGACAACUUUGGUAACUAUCGAAGCAAGCCAUAAAAAGCCUCUCUAAUAAGUAUUAGAAUUAAAGUCUGUUUGGCAUUUAUUUUUUGCUUUGUUAUAAUCUUGCAGCGUACCCAGAUUCACUUUUAUUGAUGUAAAAUGCUUAAAACCUUUGAAAGUGAUCUUACAUUGACAUGUAGAUUCACUUAUAAUUUUCCCCAUAUUUUUUAAUAUUUAAAUAAUAUUUAAUUUUCUAUAGCAUUAAAGCCAGUUAUUCGUUUUUUUUUUUUUUGCAACUUUGUUUGCCAAUGUUUAUUUCUCGAACAUUUUAUUAAGAUUCAUGUGGAGAAUUUAUGUCCAAAUUCAAUUGCGUAGCCUCUUCUUCUUCUUCUUCUUCUUCUUCUUCUUCUUCUUCUUCUUCUUCUUCUUCUUUGUGAAUUACCAUCAAAAUUGAUCGAAUAGACUUAAUGACAAAAUGUAAAAAAAAUUUAAGUACUUAAUUGACAAAAUUAAAAAAAAAAAAAGGUUUAUAACUGAAUUGAUAAAAGUGUAAUAGGUUUAUGUCAUUUUAGACAAUGUUCUCCAAAUGCAUUGAAUUAGACAAAUAGGCUUUGAAUCUACUUUACCAAAUACAAGAAUUUUUCGUCAAAUCCUUUUACGGGCUCAAAGUGCAUUGCCGAAUGGACCCUUGCUCUCCCCUCUUUAGGAUUCCCUCUCCUAAACGAUUUUAGCAAAAAUUAUAUAAUACACACACACAUAGUUAUGGCUUUGUACAAACUAUACCUAUUAAAAUAUCUUUUUAAAUCAAUACUGUUUUGCUUCAGGCCAAGCAAUUAAUCUCAACAAAUCAGGCAUCUACUUUAGCAAAGGAUGUCCUACAACUCUCAAGAGAAACAUGGCAUCGGCUCUUAGGGUUCCAGAAAUCACAAAAACGGGGAAAUACUUGGGCAUACCUUCAGACUGGGGGCACUCCAAGAAGGACAUGUCCACAUGGAUCAUAGCUCGAGUUAACUCUAAACUGGGCACCUGGAAGGAAAAAUUGUUAUCCAAAGCAAGAAAGGAAAUACUCCUAAAAGCAAUCAUACAAGCUAUCCCUCAAUACGCGAUGUCAAUAUUCAAAAUUCCUAUAUCAAUUUGCAAAGCAAUAAAGAGAAAGGUUGCAUCCUUUUGGUGGAAAAGCAAUGAGAAAAAGGCUGCAAUUCAUUGGAAGAAGUGGGAUUUGUUGAAAACCAGGAAGAGCGAAGGGGGAUUGGGUUUUAAAGACCUACAGACUCUCAAUAAAGCAAUGUUAGCAAAGCAGAUGUGGCGCAUCAUUAAAAACCCAGACUCUCUGCUAACCAGAUUAUGGAAAGGGUUGUAUUACUCACAUGGAGACUUCUGGAAUGCUAGCAGAGGGUCACGGCCCUCGUGGGGUUGGCAGAGUAUCAUCAUGGCAAGGGACUCGGUUGCUCCUCAGGUCAUGCACAGGAUAGGCAAUGGAAAAAACACUUCAAUUAGAAUAGACAGAUGGCUAAAAAGUGGCCCCAUAGGAGGCACAGCAUCAAGUCAUGAACCAGAAAAAGUCUCAGCACUCAUAAGUCCAGGUACAGGUACAUGGAAUGAACCUCUACUAUCCUCUAUGUUUGAUGAGAGGAGGGUGCGGGAAAUUCUAACCACACCCAUUGGCUUACCUAACGAAGAUGAUAAACUGGUAUGGAUACACACGAAAACAGGAGAAUACUCAGUAAAGAGUGGUUAUUCUAUGUUCAAGAAAGUCUCUAUUAUAGCACAAGACACACAAGCAACUUCGUCUUAUCAAGCCAGUCCCGACCUCUGGAAAAACCUAUGGCAGUCCACAAUCCCACCCAGAAUAAAAAAAAAUUCUCUGGAAUGCAUGCAAUAAUGCCCUAGCUACAAUGGAAAACUUGCACCACCGCAACAUCGUACCUUCUCCGUUAUGCCCCCUCUGCAAGCAGGAAGUAGAAACGCUUGAGCACCCAUUUCUCCUCUGCCCAUGGACCGCCAAGGUCUGGAAUUCAGCCCCCCUGCACCUACAGAUCUCCAGAGUCGGCCUUACCCGAUUCGAAGAAUGGAUCUGCAGCAUACAACAGACUCCAAUCAUCUCGAGUAAAUUUAACCUAAUAGCAGGGGUUUUAUGGAGCAUUUGGAAGGAAUGAAAUCGAUUUAUUUUUAAUCAGCAAAAUCCGAAGCCGCAAUCAACAAUAGCCAGAGCAAAAGCGCUCACAGAAAGCUACAAUGCUUUAAACGGAGAAAAGAACAGCAAGAAGAACGCCGAACACUUAUCUGAAUCUUGGCUUCCACCUCCUCCAGGAACGAUCUAUAUAAACAUAGACGCAGCAUACGAUCCAGAUCCGGAAAAGAACAUAGUACCCACCGAGAGGCGAGAACCUCCCUGACACCGUGCUGCCAUCGCAUGUGUAUGUCGAGAUUACCGAGGCUUCAUCGUGGAUGGUUUUGCGAAGCCAGUCGCUGCUGCUUCGGCUCUUCAGGCAGAGGCGAUCACAAUGGACGAAACCCUAACUUUCAUCGAGAGCCGCAGCUUUCUCUCUCCUCAAGUACACUCUGACUGUUUAUCUCUUGUGCACGCGUUGAAGACUUCAACUGAACUGAGUUGGGAACUACAUCCAAAAUGAGCCGGGCCCAGGCAAAACUCGAUCAUCUUUCGGGCCUAUCCCUGGCCCAUUGUAACAGGAGCACAAACCGCCCUGCGGACUGGAUAGCGAAGGCCUGCCGAAACAACUCCUUACCCUUGGACUGGAUUUCUAAUCCACCCCAUGCUUUAUUUGAUCUAUUAUGUACCGAUGCUCUGAGUGUUUUGUUUCAUCAUAUGAAAUAGUAAAUCAACGAAUGCUGUUUUGCUGUUCAAAAAAAAAAAUCUCUUUUUAAAGGGUUAUCAUCAUCCUCAUAUUAAUAGUUGAGCUUUAUUGUUUGAAGUGUUACUACAAAUAAGGAAAUCCACGCACCGGUGCAUAGAAGAUACAAAUCGUCUUUGGAAAAUCUUCAUAUUUGGACAGAAGGAGAAGGAUCGGGGGUAAUAAAUUAGCGCACAUAUGUUUUGCUACUGUUGUGGAAAAGCAGCAAAACUUUUUUCUUGCAAUGAGAAGAGAGUUCAAUUUUAACAAUCUACAAUUUUAGAUGACACAUUUAGAGGUAACACCGAGAAAACACCAAAUAGUAUGAUCAUCCCCUUGAUCUUCCUUGAUGUUCGCUGGUCAACCAACGAGUGUAGUCACCCGUGGUCCUGCAUUGCCAAAGAUCGAAACACUAUUUGGUUCUGCAUUUACUAAGGAUCUGAAUUGCUUCAACAUCUUGAUCCUCCUUGAAAAGAGAUUUGAACCUCGUCUACGGAAAAAUUCGCUUUGCAUAAGUCGUGCGUAGAGGCUUGUCACCUCAUCUCCUUCGCUGUCUAACUGAGUUUGAACAAACGUUUUUAACAAAACCUUAGUCAUAUAUGAAAUGAACAAUGCAGCAAAUGAAUAGACGUGCUACUUUUCUCCAUCUUUCUCCAAUAGAAUUGACACUCCAAUUUAAUCAUAAUGAAAUCGCCAUCGGAUUAAGAAACAGAGCAAAUCAAUGUGGUCCGAUGGUUUCAACAAAAACAUCCUCCACGUUUCUCUUUUAUUUUGGUUAGUUUUACUUCUUUCUAAUGCAUAUCAUCAAAAAAAAAAAAAAUUGGUGGGUAUGCAUAUCAUCAUUCAAAGAGAGAGUUUGAGCAAAUUUUUGCACAUUAGCAUACGCUACGAAACUAUGGGGAUUCAUAUUUCCCAUGUCCGCAUUUAGUAUAAAGAAUGGAAUUCUCUCAAUUUAGAGGAUAAAUUUCCGAAAUUCAUUUCUUUUGAGAAGUCGACGGACGAGAUUCUGAGAACGGAUAUGUCUUCCUUUUAUUCCUUUUCUCCGUUCCUUCUUCCUGGAGCAGCCCGGGCAUUGGGCAAUGCCCGUCACCACGCCACAUCGCAACUCCAAUCUUUCACUGCCAUCUUCCCUAGUUUGUUUCCUUUCCCCAACCUCCAUCAUUGUCAUGAUCCCCACCACCGCCAUCAUCCUCCUUCCUGACUCCACCAUUAUAGCUCUCCUCCUUCGCACGCACCCGAAAGUGUUAAGUGUAUAGCCUAGUCUUGACCACCAUCGCCAUCGUCGACUAACUACGCAAUUAUCCCAUCAGAGCGCCUUCUACUUUAACUGUCUGCAAACAUUCCUCCGAUCACCACCAGCAUUAUCGCACCAUCCUCUCUUUUUCUCCCACACGCGCACCCACCCACCCACGCCCACACCCCACACUGGUGAUCUAAGGUCAGUUCCUCAAUUUCAAGGUCCCUGCCCUCAGGAGACCUACGAUCUGAGGAUAGUUAAGGCGACAAACCAGUUGGUUCGUGUUCGCAACCAUCGCGCUUCUCUUUGUUCUUUGUCCAGAGAGAGAGAGUGGUAGAGCGACGGACAAUGCCGCUGGGAGGGGUAUUACAUCGAUGGUCCGAACAUUGGAGAGGACGAGGAGAUAGGCGGCGAUAAGAGGCAAGGAAGGGAGGGAACAAGAGGGGCCAGAGUUCGAUAUCUGGGGAUUGAGUGUAAAUAUUCACAAAGUAUGAGGCAUUCUAAUCAAUUUUUGAGUAAUUGGGUGUAGUCCCGUUACUCUCUGUGGGAGUCUCAACCGUAGAUGUUGAUAUCGACAUUUACACACACACACUAGAAAAGGAGAGACGGUGUGACACAAAAUUAGCUCUAUUGUCACCAUGCACAAUGUCUGGUGGGAAGGGUGGGGUGGGGACCGACAUGCAGCACAGUUUGAGCCGUGGCCCGAGCAUCCAACCCUUGGCAUUCGUUAAACAUACUAAGAGAAAGAUGAAUUUGCUUCAGAAUCGUCUCAACCUUAUCAAGAUACUUCGGUUACUAACCAGGAUCAUAAAUAACUCUGUAUAAUUAUGCCAAAUCACUGCACAUGUAUGGAGUGACAUCAUCCCAAUCUCCCCAUAUCAACCCGCCACCUUCUAUAGGAAAAAAGGGUAAGGCAUAUAAGAAUUACGGGAUUAGAAUUGUCAAAACAGGUCUCAAAUCCAUUUAUUAUCCCAAAUUUAUUAAAACACAUCUCAAUUUGACGGCUUAACCAUAACCGAUUCUAAAAUGAAAAGGCUAAAAUAAAUUACUUUAAAUGGGUUAUGUUAUUAACCUAUGUCCAACCCACUAAAAAAAUUGGGCCGAAUGACUUGAGGUAGCCCGUUUUGAUGUAGAUACUAGAUGCUCUUUUCACUCGCUCAUGACUAUCAAUCCGAAUGAAGCUCCUGCCGAUGAGUUCCUAGAGCAUCUCCUCGGCCGCCCAAACUUCGAUGCCACGAAGAUCGGCCUGGCUGCGGACGACAGGAGUGGCUCGGCUCCAACCACAUAUCCACCCUUGGCUGCCGGGGGAUUCCAUGGCACAGUGUUUCCACCGGGGCUCAGCUUGGAGCGGGGGAAGGGAGGGUUCCUGAAGCCCGAGGAGGCAUCCGGGAGUGGCAAGCGAUUUCAUGAGGGCCACUAAUGGCACGUGAAGGCGGAAUUUAUUUUAUUUUCGUUUAUUAUCUUUUGGAGAUCUGCUGAGCCUUUUUCUCUGUUUUUUUUGGGUGGGUUACGUGGGUGGAUGGGUUUGGAUCAGAUUGGGUAUAAGGCAUUUAAAAGGGUCAAUAAAUAAAUGUGCUGAUGUGAGUUAAAUGGGUGAAUUUGAGUUGAACUCACUUAUGACCCACCCAAAUCCAUCCUAACCCUUGCACAGGAUGAAAAACUCAUUGAACCAGAUAUCAUAUGGUAACAAGGCAAAGACGGAGUUUUGCAGGCAUUGACUGUGAGCAUGAUACAUUAAAUGAUGUCAUGACAUGACUAUGUAACUGCCCAAGAUAAGCCCAUGAGCACACAACAAUAAAAACAUGAAAGCGGACGAGAUAUUUAUCCCAUGCAUAUGAUUAAAGAGCCUAAACUAAAGCUUGAUAGUGUAGUGUGAGACAAAUUUCCCACAACAUAAAGUUUGAGGUAAACGAGUGGUUUGGUAUGCAUCAACCUCGGGUUCCGACUACCAUCUUCAAAUUGCAAACACGCUAGCUUUCCCUCCACAAGAGCAAAUGCCCUUGAAGAAGAAUUGUUAUGAUGUGAUUUACUCAUGCGAAUUCCCUUAAAGUUUAGGUCUAAUUAGCCCAAUUUACACAGAUGAACAAUGUUACCAUGAAUCAUGACCUCUUGGGCGAGUGGCUGUUCAAGGAUGAGAAAAAAUGGAAACAGAAGAAUAAAACUUCCUAUGCACACUUCAAAGUCAAUACAACAAGGCCGGGUCACCAAUUAUCAUUUUAGAAUGAAAAUUGCAAUAUGUGAAAGAACAGAGUUCAUGAUAUAUGUCUACAAUGGAAGCAAUACAAGAAUAACUAGGGCUCACUAAAGCUAUUGCUCAACUUUCAGCGAAUCCUCAAUCCGCUGGAUCAGUUGAUUAGCUGUCAAAGCACCUUCCUGAUAAUUGAAAACAGCUCAAUUAAGAUUAAGUGUAGAUGAUUAGAACAUCUUAAAACUGUAUAAGUUGCAAGCAAUCAAACAUCAGAAAAAUUUCACAACCGAAACUUGCGGUCAAAUUAUGAAUGAGAAUCAACUAACUUCCAAUUAAAUAACAUUCAAAGACCACAGAAUGUGCAUAAAUCUUAGGCAAUGCCCAUCAGUUAUUACCAUUUCUGCAUUGAGCCGGCAACCCUGUCCUUCACAGAAAAUUUAUGGGGAUACUCUCUGCCUAUUGCUAAAAAGAAAGUAUCACUUACUAUGCAUGGUUGCAGCAACCUGAGAACUAAGGAAGCUGUGUUACUGUUUUCCAUGGUCAAGCUCUACAAAGGGAAGGCCUUUCAUUGAUCGCUGUUGAAGACUUAUGCGGUUUGUGCGUAUUUAUCAUCGGUCAUUAUGUAUAAACAUGUCGGUGCUUCAUCAUGGUUUCGUUGCUGGUUCCAUGUUUUGUGAGAGAAUAAUGAUGAAGUUGGAUGGAAUCCCCCGGUCAAAAACAGUUUAGGAGGAGAAGCGAGGCCACAGAUUAUCGAUUCUUCAAGCCACAAGAGGGGCGUUGGUGCCUGUAUGCAUCGCAAGGGUUGUGUGCGCUUUUUUAACAAAAUGCAAGUACUCUUUCCAGUGUUCACCCUGUAUCUUUCACAUGAUAAUAAAAUUGCCAAAAAACUUGUGACUGCAGGUUUUUGUUCAUAUUGGGGUAUCCAGGGCAUCUCAUCACAGUAUCAAAAACUUUUACGAGCCUUUACUAACAUAUUAAUUAUGAGAACUUAGCAGAUUAAAUUUCCACAUGAUAGCAAACGUGAAAAAGAUAAAACUUACAAAACGCUUGAAAGGCUUCCCAUCUUUAAAUAUGAUCAAGUUUGGUAAAUGCCUAUAAAUUUGGAAGCACCGAUCGUCAAGCCUCCAAGAGGUAAACUUUUAAUGAAUCUUUUACAUAUGCAUUCCAAUCGGGGUAAAAUCUUGCUUUGUGAAAUUAAAAUGUUGAAAUUUCAAUUCAAGUCAAAAACACGCCUGACUCACAAAACUAAUUACAUUCGACCCCCAUUUUUUUGAACUUGAGACUUGUGUGCGACUGAUUAGGGAAGGUACAGCCGUUAAAUGAAUUGAUUCUUUUAAUCAAUUAAAUCUCUCAUGUGUACACGAGCAUUAUUGUAAAAGUGCACCGAAAAUAGACAGAACGAUUUUAUUUGGGUAGGCUCAGUGGGCGCACAUGACCUUCAUCAGUCGAUAAUUUCUUUUGUAGCUUAAUUAUUCUGGACAAAUUGGACCAUUUAUUUUUUUGCUUGUCCGCGUUAGCAGAAGGCAUGUGAACUAGAGAUUGGCCAGGAUCUCUAAUUCACCAGCAUUUGCUGCCUCAUCCACAAAUUGCUAAAUUUAGGCCUGCAUGCUUUAUUCGCGAAAGGUUGAGAUCCUCUGAAAAUUACAAAAUCAAUUUAUAUUUUUACAUUCACCUCAUAAAAAAUUGAUGUAUCUUAAUUUUUCUUUUCUUUCACUCUUUUCAUUUUAGACUUUCUCUGUGCUUAUCCCUCGAGUCACAUCGGUCCAUGACCUCGAAUUGAAGUCACCUGCCCUUAGGAAUGCCGGCCCGAGCAAGUCGCCUUGGAUUUGUUUGCAUUGGGGCCAAGAUAAAAACAAUCAUCAGAAACUCUUAAUGCCCCUCUCCGUAUGUCCCACCCCCAUGUAAAGCCCUUGCCGCCAUGAUCUCCACGGCAUUGCCACUACUGACCUUGAUUAGGGUUGUCAAUGGGUAGGGUUGGGCCGCUUUUAUAUGCUACCCAGCCCGACCCAAAUUAUAAGGGUCGCGUGCUCUAUCUAACAUGACUCGACUUGACUAGAAACCCAUAGGAUUCGAAGUGAAAACACAAGUCGGGUUGGGUUGGGUUUUCGGAUUUUUUGGCUGCUAGCCUCUCUGUAAUGCNNNNNNNNNNNNNNNNNNNNNNNNNNNNNNNNNNNNNNNNNNNNNNNNNNNNNNNNNNNNNNNNNNNNNNNNNNNNNNNNNNNNNNNNNNNNNNNNNNNNUUGCAUUUGCUAUCACUUAGACUUAUUGGCCGUAAACUAUUUGAACAUGUCAAUCACGACUAGAAAUAUGCUGUGUUGCCAAUGGAGCUACGAAAAUAAAAAUUGGCCGAGCAAAGAGUUCGAAGUAAGUGUGUUAGAGGGCGAGAUGGGGUCCAUCUUUAGAAAUGGGAGCCAUACAUGCUGCAAAGUGCAAAUUACAUGGUAUGUGCAAAUUACUUGGUGGAAAAUUUGGGUCUUUCUGCUGCUCCCGCUCACCUCUUCUUUAUCAGGCAAUUUUAUGUCGUGAAAAGACUGUCAAUCUGGUUUUAACUAUUCCAUUUCCUAGGAGUUUGUCAAAAAAACCAGAACUGUUUCUAAUAUAGAUCGAACAAUAUAAAAGUGAGUAACAAAGUAAAAAAGAAUUCUUAAUUUAAUUAUCCUCAUUUUCUGGAAAAUAGCAAGCUUUAAAUUAAACUUGAAGUUUUCACCAAAAAUAAAAUAAAAUAAAAUAAACAUGAAGAGAAAUUUACAGAGUUAAGUCUUGAGAUAGAUUUCCCAGCUUGGUUAUGGUUCACAAGAAACACAGCAGCAGGUGGAAGUUCAAACAAAGUAUAAGACGGUUCUUUCAGCAUCCUUCCUCUCUGAGCAAGCUUAUCCGCACAUCGGUUGCCUUCCCUGAAAGCAUGCCCGAUUUUAACUCUCUUGAAAGCUUCCAGGAGAGUCCUACGAUCAUUCAAAAGAGAAGCGAAAACAAGAUUAUUCAACAAAUUUAAUAACAGCAACGAUAUAGUUAUCGGAGCAUCCAUCUCCACCUACAGAUAAGUGAUGUGGACAGGAAACUUUAGGUAAAGACCGAUUAAAAACGACUUGUUCAUCCUUACAAUCAUGCAUAUAUGUGGAUGGUAAUGGCUUAGAAGUAAAACAAUAGAAUUCCUAAGAAAAGUGAGUUUGCACCAUGUUGAAAAUCAAAAUGCUUUUAGUUUCAAAGGUUCGUGCAAGUACACCGUUUCAAAGGUUUAUGCAUGUACACACUUACCUGAAAGGCAUGAAAAGAGACCAUCCAAAUCAAAAGAAACUAACCAAAACGACCCAUACUUCAACGGCCACUAACAAAGAAGAAGGAAAUUACACAUAGAUUCAUUGAUCUCAAACCAAAAGAAGAAAAACAAUCAUGAUUGAAACUCCCUUUCAAUAUGAAUGGCGGGAAGGCAAUUCGUCGACGAACCAGCUCUACAACAUCAUGUCUCAAGUGAAGGCAGUUCCUUGUUUUUACAUGGACAAAAUUCUCCAAUCAGAGAUGAGCAAUCAAUCGGUAUGAGAAGAGACUUCACAUGUGGGACUUGAGAUAUUCAAAGUCCAUGAUAUAUGCAAACACACUCGUACAUAAGUCCAUCGAAUCUCCCCAGGGUAUACCGAACCAAUUCCAAAGCUAACCACGUGUUUUUAUAUUGCAAGUGGAGGAGCACGUUUUAUAAUUCUGAUUGCAACGUCAAACCAACAACAGAAGUUGCAUGACGGAGAAAGGCUGGUGGCUCGGCCACAGAAGAACGGGGCGACGACAGUAGAACAAAACUAAACAGAGUCGAGACGAGAUGGAAGGAGUCAAGACGACCCUAUCAUCCUCAUAGACAACAGUGGAAGGAAUUUCCUUCGUAAUGAUUUUGUCAAAUCUGCAUGUCGAUAUAAUAUCCCACCAGAUCAGCUUCACAUAAGUCCCAAAAGAAAUGCACUACAUAGAUAUCCCCAUGAAUCUAACAAUAAAAUAAACAGAGACGAGACUAAGAGGAGGGCAGAGUUUGCAAAAUUGGAUUUUUCAACUGAAGAACCUCUGCAGCCUGAAGUCCGUGCUUGAUCAAACGAAAGAAUCACUGGGAAAAAUUUAAAAUCUCGAGUCUACUUCUCGGACGAUUCUUCCAUCACACUAAGAAAAAAACGGCCCACAUCAAUCCCCUCCGCAAACCAGUCGCCCGCGACUCACGAGCGAGAGACAUCGUAUCUAACCACGACCACACACCCGUAAACUGUUGAAUCGACAAUCGAAACUCGUCCGAUGGAAACAGCGAUCGAUGCUGAAAAAGGGCGAGGAAGAAAACCCAGCUGAACGCGCGAGCGAAGCUUCCACCACUUCAAAAAUUCGACAGGAAUAGGAGAAAGCGAGAGAGCGGCUUCCUUCUCAGAAGCCACGAGAGGGUUUAGCGACGAAUGAGAGCAGCUUCCUUCUCCGGCGGAGAUGGCGCUUCGUUCGACGGAGAAGGAAAGUGCGGGGAGAUGAGUGACGCGUUGGAACUGGAUGUUGGAAGAGACCAUGGAAAAUCGGAACCCUGGAAGGGAUUUCGGGCAUUUUGUUCCGGGUAGGGCAAACGGAACCUACCCAAACCCUAACGAUAACUGCACCUUGAACCCCAACUCGAACAAGAACCCCAAAACACCCGAAAUUUUCGGGCCGGAUCGGGCCUCACUUUUCUAACACCCCUGGGCCCUAACUUCGGUGAUGCUGGUCUAUCUUUCUACCUGAGCUACAAGCGAAAAGAUAGAUUCUUUUACCUCGCAUGGUCUAAUUGAUUAAUGUCUCAAUCAAUUUUCAAUGGUCAAUAUAUAUAAAUUUAGUAUGUAUCAAUGAUUGAAAUAGAUUGGGACGCUCAAGAGAAACAUAUUGUCCCAAAAAGACAUAAGGUUAUUUAUUUGGCUAAGGUAACCUUGCGUUGCGGAAAAACUUUAAUUUAUGUUUUUAAGGAACAGAUGUGCACGGGGGUGGGAGGUGAAGGAAAGAAGAAUUUAAGGGGAGUCUAAAUCUAGAAUAGUUAAUAGGCAAACUGCAAAAUAAAAUAGAGACGAAAAUGCCUCUAGAUAGAAUUGAUUGAUUUAUGGAUGGAGUUGUAUAUAAUAUUUUACGUGGAGAUCAUGUAAUAACAUGGCCUUGUUCAUGUGGGCCAAACUCCCGAAAACUAGCUUAAAUAAUUAUGCAAUGUAUGAUAAUUUGAAUGGGUAUUUAUCUAUAAAUCAUUCGACAAGGUAUCUCUUAUCGGAUGCAGGUCUUUAGGAUUCUACGAGCUUCUAUACUUAAAGAAUUGACGUCCUCAUUAGUUUUUUUUAUUUAUAAAUUUAUAAAUUUUGCUCGGCCAAUUUAUCGAGAGAAGUACGAAGAGAUGCUACUCGUUGCAAUAUUCUUCGCUGUGCCCCGUAGUUAGGAAUCCCAACAGAAAAUACAUAAACUAUGAAAAGAUAAACAAACUUUGCUAGAAAAAAAAAAUACUUUGCUAAAGAGAGACAAACAAAACUCCUCUUUUUUUUUUCUUUUUUUUUAACAAAUAUUUUUAUACUUAUUAGCCUGGCCCAGCAAAGAUCAAUAUUUUAGAUAUGUAUUCCGACCAAGGUCGAAUCUGAUCGUCUCAUCAAAUUAAAAAGUUUGAAGUUUCAAUUUUAGGUCAAACACGUGUCCGACUCACAAAACUAAUUAUCUUAACGCCCAUUUUUUUUGUACUCGAGACCCGCUCAUGGAUGGUUGAUCAGGGAAGGUUCAACUAAAGAAUAAAUUUAUCUUUUUUUAUUAAUCAAUAGAACCUCUUAUUCGCCAUACCAUUAUUGUAAAAUAAUAUUGAAAUCCGAUGGAACGAUGAUUUUGUUUGGAUAGAUUUAGUGAGCGCAUGCGACCAUAUAUCACCGGGGGGGCAUUCUCCUUGCUUACCAUUUAUGACUACUCGACUGGGUCUCAAGAAAGGAUUGAUCACAUGGAUGCCGCCUGAAUGCGCCCCAAAUUCUUUUUCUUGAGGGUCAAGAUAUUUACGAUUUUGCCCCCAAACAAAAACAAACAAAAGCUAUCGCAGCAAAUUCUUGUUUUGAUUUCCCCUUCUUUGUUACGUCCCCUCCACGUAGGAGGGAUGCCAACAGAGAAGAGAAUACAUAAAAAGCUAUGGAAUGGAAUGGAAAGAGACCCUGCUCCCCAAACCCCCAAACGGAACUCAACUCUGUUCUAACAAUAAUAAUUAAUAGUAUUUUACACUCAUCAACCUCCCCUCUCUCCCUCUCUCCCUCUCUCCCUCUUCCCUCAAUAAAAUAAAAGAAAGACCCCACCUCGCUCACUCCUCUCCCGAGGCUAGGAAUCCGAUCCGGGCCCACGUGACGAACUCAUCUUUGAUUUUAGGUGCUGCCUCUCCAUAUGUCAUUUCCUCUGCGGGACCCAGGCCAGGCGCCUCGAAAGUGACCCGGGCGGCUGGGUCCCACUCGAACUCCGCCCACCAGCCUUUAUCCCCCCAGAUCGAGAAGCUUCCCCUCAUUCCGUUCGAGUCCAACGGCAACUUUCUGAGACCAGGGCAGCCGGAUAUUCCGAAUUCCACCCCUUGAGGGAAAAGUAGAGCGUGGUCGCAAAUGCUCUUUAGUUUUGGAAGACGCUCGAUAUGUAGAUAUUUGAGACGUGAGAAUAGUUCUGAAGUAGCUAAUUCCUCUCUUGCAAUUCCAUCCCCGAUUAUUUUCUCCAUCGAAUUGCACCGCACAACUGUCAAACUUUGGAGUUUCGGAGCGUGCACAAGCCAGGACAAAUAAAAAAAUCCACAAUUGAAGACUUCAACCUCAAUGAGGCUGGGGAAGCAAUAGCAAUUGGGCGCUUGUCCUAUCCCUUGAUUAAUCUCCAUCUUCACGAGCAUACGACAAUCGUAUAAAUGAAGCACCUCUAAAUGCGAAAAAUUGCCGCUCCCUUUUAAUGAGUGACUUAUCGGGAUGUGGGUCAAGCCCUCGCAAUUCUUGAUAUCUACUCUCCUUAUGCGUCUCUGAAAGGAUUGGAAUAUUUUUAGGGUAGAGGAAGAUUUGUUCACCUUGAUAGAUAAAUCGGUGAGACCUUGCAUGCGCCCUAGUUCCUCCACCACCUCCUUUUCAUUCUCUAGACUUGAUCCCCAACUACUGAACACAUUCAAUGGUAAGCUUGCGAUUGCCCCUCUCGAAAUUACGAUGCCUCCCGAUAGAUGGUCUAGUAGCAACCACCCUAAAUGAGUCAACUUCCUAAUUUUCUUGGGCAUCGCAUUAAUACUAGUGCCCGACAGGUUCAAAUAUCGUAGAUUAAUCAGAUUGCAAAUCCCUUCGGGGAAUGACUGAAUUUUUUCAUUGUUAGACAGGUCCAAGACUGUCAAACAAGCCGCCAUCGAGUUGAAAAAUCCUUUUGGCACAAGCGUCACAUUAGUUUCUCUUACAAAUAAAGUUUCGAGCUGAGAACACAUGGGUGGUGUUUGAUCGAUAUUUUGUAUCCAUUGUCCCCAUAGAGAUACUUUCUUUGCUUCCCACCAUUUGGAGAUCAUCUCUGCGGACAUGUCUUCUUGGUUCACUAUCACUAGCAAUUUGUUCUCUUUUUUCCCAUGGUCACGAGCAAUCCAGGUUGCCAUGUCGCGGAUGACGUCGUGCAUCUUUACAUGCCGUCCCUCAUAAUCAUCAUGCCCACUUUUGUUCAUUGGAGCGCCGGAGUGCGGAGGUUGGUUCUUCCCAUCAUUGAAGUCAGAGUGUGGGACUGACUGAAUGAUAAAGACAAAAAAGUGCUUAGUUUCGUUGGAAAAACCAACCCAAAUAUCAUAUUUACUUUCUCUCUCCCUACUUAUAAAGAUAGAUAGAAAAGGGUUGAGAGACUUACUUUCUUAAAUUCUCUCCUUUCUAAAGCUGCGCAAGGCGGCCCCCCCAGAACAAAGCCCACCCCUCUUUUCUCCCCUUUCAUGAAAGACCCUUGCCCCGCUUCCUAUUCAUUUGUGGGUCGGGACCCUAGGGCCUUUUUUUUUCUCAAGAGGUGAUUUCGAGAAUCAACCAACCGACAAAUCCGUAGCCCAGGUGACUCACAGCCUACCUCUCGCCCAGAUGGGGAUGAAGCAAAUCAAGUUGCUUUUUGAUUUAUUCAGGGCGCAGCGAAGCCAAAUUCAAUCAAGACAAGGGGGGCUUACNNNNNNNNNNNNNNNNNNNNNNNNNNNNNNNNNNNNNNNNNNNNNNNNNNNNNNNNNNNNNNNNNNNNNNNNNNNNNNNNNNNNNNNNNNNNNNNNNNNNNNNUUGCUUAGGGGUCGCACUUUGUUUUGUCCCGCUUGGUGGACGAAAUCUUCUCUCCAUACUCUCCCUUAUACCGCAUACUAUAUACAUCAUUGGUGUCUCUUAGCAAGCCCUCUCCAAUCCAGAGUUCAAUUAGGCUAUCUAUUCUUAUAGGGUAAUCCUCAGGGAAGAGACAACAGUAAAUGAAGCAAAGCUUAACAAUAGAGUCAUUUAAACUAUUAUAACUAAACUCUAGUAUGUGGUACACUUCCUCCACCAUACCUGGCAGCUUGUAUGGAUUGUUCCUUAGCGUUGUAAGUGCAUGCUUCCACUCAUCAGGAUUCUCUCUACCAGCCAUGGCUCGCCCGACGGUAAUAAGGGCUAGUGGCAACCCUUUGCACUCUCUGACAAUGUUGUUGGCAAGCUCUUGAAUUUCUGGAUGAGAAUGUAUAGAUGAUUUGCUGAUGUUGUUCUCGAACAACGCCAGGGCUUCUUCGGGCGUCAAGCAUUGUACUUCGAAGGUUUCAUCGGCUCCCAUAUGAUGGCAUACUUGCUUCAACCGAGUUGUGAAUACUAUUUUGGAUUCGUUCUCGAGACUAGAAUGAAGAACUCCGAUUUGAGAAAGUUCGAGGCCCGCCCAUACAUCAUCCAUCAACAACACAAACUUCUUCCUGCUCAAAACUUCCCCCAAAAGGUGGACCCUCUCAUUCCGAGAUUGUCCUUCCCAGCUCUCGUCUUUAAUGUUCAGCUUUUUCCUUAUGGUGUCUCGAAUGCCAUCUUCAUUCACGUGCUUGGACACCACCACCCAAAUAACAACCUCGAAUCCAUGAUUUGCGUGCGAAAGCUUCUCGUUGAUCCUUCUCAUGAGGGUGGUCUUUCCCACACCACCUACUCCAUAUAACCCAAUCACUCGUGCUUCGUUUUUGUCCACAAGCCAUUUCCACACUGUAUUAAGGGAACUAUCAAGCCCCACAGUCUUGUCUAGGGGCGUAUUGAGCACUUGACGAGGAGGAGGCAGCGAUGACAUCAAAUCAUUGAUUUCUCCUUUCUUACCUUGGAGCUCUCUCGCUUCAUUGAGCAAUCGAUCAACUCUUUUCCCCAAUUUAUAGCUCGACCAGCAAUUCUGAGGAAGACAACGACUGAAACAUUUGAUUCGGUCACAUUCCCUGGCUUCUUCAAGAACUCGAUCUACUUUAUCUUCAAAAUUUUGCACCCUGCAUAACCAGUUCUCCACUUGAUUCGUGCGCUGUGCACAUCCUCUUUCUUCUGCACGUCCCACCUCUGCCCUCACAUCUAAGCGCAUGGCCUCCAGAUCUCCAAUGGCCGUCCCCAACGCCUCCACAUUAUCUGUCAAAUUACAAAUGUAGCCCAAAGGUUUGCUGGCCAAGCCGCAUAACCCUUUGACGAGUUGUAACAGACAAUUUGCGAAAUCCAUAGAUUCUUUCGGGAGAUGAGAGAUCGAAAAAAGGAGUAAUCCAGAUGGAUUGAGAGCAGGAUUGAGAGCAGGCGAAUGGGUGGAGUUCGAUAAUAGAGGGUCAUGUAGUAAGGGACGACUUUUACAGAUUCAAUAAUGGAGGCCCUGACCAAUGGCCCCACAACAGGACAAUAAUACAAGCAAAAGUACAAAUCACAGCUCGGGAGUUGAAUUAUUGCGCACGCGGACAAACAACUUUUUAGAAAGUUGGAUUAUGGAAAUAAAGCACUCCUCGCAACCACACACGCAUAUAUAUAAAAGCAAAAAGUACAUAACACAACUCAAGGUCGAAUUAUUGCGCAUACCGACAAAUAACUUUUUAGAAAAUUGAAUUAUAGAAAUAAAGUGUAACUCACAACUUUUCCACAAAACAGUCUGAACAUUCAUGAGGCUUGAAAUUUGAAUAUAACGCAUCUAUCAUGCAAGAUACCACUGAUCCUCGCUUCCGACGAAUUUUAGGAUAAUGUUAAAAAAAACAUGGUAAUAUUUUUAAAUACAUCAAUUCGUUGUUGAUUAGGUCCAUAAUUUUAUACAAUAAGGUUUUUCCUAGCACUGUUAUGUAAUUUUUGUAAAGGAGAUUAAUUAUAGGGAGAAGAAAAAAAAAAUUCAAUAGGAAUUGGCAACUUUAAUUAGUAAAAUUAAUACCUGCGUAAUAGGAAAUUGUGACUUUGAAAUAAUCUUGCAUUAUUAUUAUUAUUAUUAUUAUUAUUAUUAUUAUUACAAAUCAAAGACUGGACAUUAAAAUCCACGUGCAUCGUGCAUUUAAUUAUCCAAACAUGCCUCCCUUUCUUCUUGAGAUUAUUAGUUGCCGAUGGUAUUCGUUUUGUUUAAUUUGGAUCUGGCAACACCGAUAUCCAUAUAUAAAAUUAAUGGGUUGCAAUUAUCUAGUGGUGCUAAGAAGAUGGGGCAAAAAAGUAGACUCGUAUCUAGUUAGAAAUAUCUUGUUUACAAUAUGGCAAAAAGUUGAGGACAGUACAAUACCAAAAUCGUAUGAAAUAAAAUUUGAAAAUGAAAAAAAUUAAGCUCACUCACAAAACACAUUCGUUUCUAUCACUGAGUACAGGUAUGAGCAUGAGUUGUGGGUCUCUAAUUAUCAUUGUAUCAGUAGCCAUGAAAAUUAGACAAAUUUUUUUCACACCAUUCCCAAUCCAAUAUUCUUAGGUAGUACUAUGAGGUAAAUGCACGUUGUGCAUUUACCUUCUAACCCUAGAUGAUCCUCAUCAUUUUAAUCUCAAAUACUAAAUCAGAUCAAAUCAUAUAUUCUUACGAAACAUGAGUGUAAUCUUUUAAAACACAAGGUUCUCUCCCUAGAGAUUCGUCAUGCGAAAUGUGAGAUGCGAACGUUCGUAUAUGAUUUUUCGUCAACGGUCAUAUCCAUGAGUUUUUCUAAUUUUGGCCAACUUGUCACCCAUAUGCCACUAUCCUAUUACAAAAGAAAAACUAAGGACCGAUGAUUGGCGAAACUCCAUACGCAUCAAUAUUAUAAUUAUUGGUGUUAUUAUUAUUUGACAAUAAAAGAGAAAAGUCCGAGUGUUACACUAUUAUUCUCUUAAGAAAACUUGAUACAAUCGAAUUCUCUAUUAAUAAAGGAAAAAAAACAGAUUAGUAUAUAAACUAAUUAAGGAGAUUCCAUGUAAACAGAUUAUUAUAUACUAAGCUCCCAUUACUAUGCCGUCCCACUUAUCAAUGUUUAAAAUAUUGGGUCACUUUAACUUAUAAUUGAAAGAUUUUUUCUUUUAUGUUUGGUCGAUUGGAUCAGUGGCCAGCUGGACAAACAUUAGUAAUCCUUGCAAAACUUUUUAAUGGUCUUGGCUUGCAAAUCCUUUCAAACUCACCAUCUAAAUCUCAUAAAGUGACCUAGAUUGUCUCUGAAGAGUAGCCCUUGAAACUAGCAUUACGACGAAAUAAAUUACAGAGACGGAAAGUCAGUGGCGGGCUUGGGAUGAGUGAUGGCCCUGCCCCUAUCAGGAAAAAAAAAAUAUUACCCAAUUAUAAUUUUUCUAAUAUAUUACUACAUAUUAUUAGAAUUUUUUAUCACCCCUAAUCUUGAAUUUGCUACUCCAUUCACCCAUGGUCCCAACAUAAUGUCGACUUUCGAGUAAGAUGGAAAUUGCUAAAGAGAAUAGUAUAGGAUGCGAUGACACUAACAAUUCAUGGAAUUUCCUGUUUUGCUUGAUUGAUUCUGAAAUGACCAUAUAAAAAAUAUAUCAGUUUAUCAUUCCAAAUAUUUUCUUUUUAUUAAUAUUGAGUUUACUUGUCAACUCUGGACAGUGGGGUUUUCACUUUCCAGCUUCGAAUUGGUUGGAGAAGUUAAAGCCAGGUUUUCACUUUCCAACUUCGAAUUGGUUGGUAAAGUUAAAGCUGAGAAACUAAAGGAGAAGAGUGGGCCUUGCUUUGAUGGACAGCAUAUUCAUCCCCACUUUCCCAUAUUUGAUUUUUUUUUUUUAAGUUACUUUUUCAGCAAAGAUGAGGAAUCUUAAACAACUUUUUUCCCCGUUAUAAAGAUUAAGAUGUGAUCGAAUAAGAUAAAAUAAGAAGUCUCAUCAUUUAUUUGAUGAAACUAUCUAUUACCCUAAGACCAUAUUAAUGAUCUCGCAUAGUUUGAUGUUAAUUCCCCAAUCACAGGCAAUCAACAUAUCAAUUGUUGUCCUCUCACGCACAAUCUAUUGUAUUUGUCUCCUCUUUCUCUUAUUUGAAGUUCUCUUACAAGUAUUCUUAACAAGAUCGACCCACCCUAGAUGUCAAUUAAUAUGAAUUCAAACUCCAUGAAAUUCAAGCAACCUCACUCCUGAGUUGAAGUAAAAAAGACACCUCUAAAUCUAGAUGAAAAGCCCAUCGAUUCCUCCAACAUAGACAAAACAUAGCCACUAAUUAGCCAGGUUAUCACCUUUUAAUUUGCCUCUGACGAAAAUUCCUUCAAUUAAGAGAUUAAGAUAUCUCCUACUAAUAUUGAUCAAGAAGGUGCCAAAAUAUCACAUUUUUUCCCUAAAAGAGGAGAAAUUAUAUUUGGCCACUUCAAUAAUGGAACCGAAGGAUCAGCCGCUGCUAGCACUGCCCAGCUCCCCCCUACCAUCGAAGGAAGGACCCCAUCUGCAAAACCUGACUUGAGGCUUCAACCUUCAAAGGCAAUUAAAGGGGAAUUUGUUCUUGUUUUCCACCAAGAACUACUGAUAAAAAGACUCGUCAAAAACUCUACCACCCUCUCUGUCUGCCCCACGCAAGGCCCUUGCCGCCACCAUCUCCACAGUACCGCCAUUACUGGCUUCGACAGUGAUGGUCUCUCUCUAAGCUACACCUUCUCAACAUUAAUAAGUCAGUCAUUGAAAGCGAAAAAANNNNNNNNNNNNNNNNNNNNNNNNNNNNNNNNNNNNNNNNNNNNNNNNNNNNNNNNNNNNNNNNNNNNNNNNNNNNNNNNNNNNNNNNNNNNNNNNNNNNGAGGAGACACCAAGCUUGCAGAAAGAAAGCCAAUCACAAACACAAUUAAAAAGGGGAAUUAUGCAAAUCGAAAUAUAUGAAGGAACAAAUGGUAAGACUCAUGUUCAGUUAAGCAAACCACAAUGAUCCCUAUCCAAAUUGUUUGAGAGUUAUAAUAAAACACAAUGAUCUCUCACAAAAAAAGGAACCAUCAUAGUCACCCUCUUCGUACUAUUGUCAAAACCCACUCAUUCUAAUCACUUAUACUUCUCUCUUAAAAUUAUUAAAAUAAUGUUAACAUUUUGCACAAGCGCUAUUAUUUUACAAUUAGUCUGUCACAAAUAAUUAAAAAUUUAAACAUAAGUUGCAUACAAUCAACAAUUAAGUUUACUUUUAUUGAUCUGUUACUCCAUAAAUCUAAUGUCUCAUGGAUUUGAUUUCUUAGCACAAUUUUAAAUAUAUAUAGUUUAUUGUGAAUAUAAUUAUAAAAUAACGACUUGAAUCCAUUUGAAUCCAUUUAUUUACAAGUAAAUUAAAUUAAAAUCUGAAAGUUAAGAAUUAACAUAGUUUAAAUAUUGUACAAUUUGAAGUGCAGAAUUGUUUCCUCAUUACAUUCAAAUUUGUAUAUUGGCAAGAAAAAAAAAUAUGUCGACAAAUUAUUCUUCUAUUAAGUAUGAAUAUAUAGAUAGGAAACAAAUUGAAAGUAAAGUUAUUUAGAUUCAUUCUAUUGCUAGUUCAAGAAAAAGCUUUGAGAAUUAAAUGACUAAUAACAUAUUUUAUUGAUAAAAUAACAUAAUUAAAAGAUUUAAAACUGAAUUGGCCAAUAGAUCCAAGACUUCUUGAACAAUUUUCUCCCUAAUCUUCAAUUGUCAAGGAUUCUACCAAGGAACUAAACUGCUCCAACUUCUUGAUCCUCCUUGACAGGAGAUCCAAACCUCAUCUAUGAAUAAAGUCGGGCGGCAUGACUCAUGCAGUGAUCUUUGUCACAUCAUCUUGUUCACCAUUUAGCGAGAUUUGAAGACUGAUGUUUAUAACAAAAUGUAAGUCAUUGUCUCGAAUGAACAAUGUAGCAUAUGAAUAGACUUGCUACUUUUCCGUUUAUCUGUCUCCAAUAGGAUUAAGACUCCAAUUUAAUAACAAGUUAAAAUGAAAUCACCAUUGGAUUAGGCAAGUAGAACACGUCAACGGGGUUUCAAUGGUUUCCACGAAAACGCUCUUCAUGUUUAUCCAGGGCAUCUCAUCACAGCAUCAAAAAUUUUAUGAGCCUUUACUAACAUAAUGAUUAUGAGAACUUAGCAUAUUAAAUUUCCACAUGAUAGCAAAGGUGAAAAAGAGAAAACUUACAAAAUGCUUGAAAGGCUUUCCAUCUUUAAAUAUGAUAAAGGUUAGUAAAUGCCUAUAAAUUUGGAAGCACUGAUCGUCAAGCAUCCAAGAGGUAAACUUAAAAUGAAUCUUUUACUUAUGCGUUCCAAUCAUUAUAAAAUCUUGCUUUGUGAAAUUAAAAUGUUAAAAUUUCAAUUCAAGUAAAAAACACACCUAACUCACAAAACUAAUUACAUUUGAUUCCCAUUUUUUUUUUUAACAUGAGACUUGUAUGCGACUGAUUAGGGAAGGUACAGCUGUUAAAUGAACUGAUUCUUUUAAUCAAUUAAAUCUCUCAUGUGCACACAAGCAUUAUUGUAAAAGUGUACCGAAAAUAGACAGAACAAUUUUAUUUGGAUAGGCUCAAUGGCGCACACGACCUUCAUUAGUUGAUAAUUUCUUUUGUAGCUUAAUUAUUCUAGACAAAUUGGACCAUUUUUUUUUGUUUUGCUUGUUCUUGUCCACAAAUUGCUAAAUUAGGCCCGCAUGCUUUAUUCGCGAAAGGUUGGGAUCCUCUGAAAAUUACAAAAUCAAUUUAUAUUUUACAUUUGCCUCGGAAAAAAUUGAUGUAUCUUAAUUUUUCUUUUCUUUCACUCUUUUCAUUUUAGACUUUUUCUGUCCCUCAGGUCACAUCGGUCCAUGACCUCGAAUUGAAGUCACCUGCUCCGAGGAAUGCCGGCCCGAGCAAGUCGCCUUGGCUUUGUUUGCAUUGGGGCCAAGAUAAAAGCAAUCAUCAGAAACUCUUAAUGCCCCUCUCUGUAUGUCCCACCCCUAUGUAAAGCCCUUGCCGCCAUGAUCUCCACGGCAUUGCCAUUACUGGCCUUGAUUAGGGUUGUCGACGGGUAGGGUCGGGUCUGGUUUUCGGUUUUCUUGGCUGCUUGCCUCUCUGCAUUGCUUGUCCGCAAGUGAACAAACCUCAUUGCAUUUGCUAUAAAGUAGACUUAUUGGCCGUAAAUUGGCCGUAAAAUAUUUGAACGCAUCAAUCACGACUAGAAAUAUGCUCUGUUGUCAAUGGAGCUACGAAAAUAAGAACUGGCAGAGCAAAGAAUUUGAAGUAAAUGUGUUAGGGCGAGACGGGGUCAAUCUUUAGAAAUGGGAGCCAUACACGCUGCAAAGUGCAAAUUACACGGUAUAUUUCUUGGUGGAAAAUUUGGGUCCUUCUGCUGCUCACGCUCACCUCUUCUUUAUCAGGCAAUUUUAUGUCGUGAAAAGACUGUCAAUCUGGUUUUAACCAUUCCAUUUCCUAGGAGUUUGUCGGAAAAACCAAAACUGUUUCUAAUUAUAGAUCAACCAAUAUAAAAGUGAGUAACAAAGUUAAAAAUAAUUCUUAAAUAAUUACCCUCAAAUUCUAGAAAAUAGUAGGCUUUAAAUUAAACAUGAAGAGAAAUACAGAGUUUUAGUCUUGAGAUAGAUUUCCCAGCUUGGUUAUGGUUCAAAGAAACAUAGCAUCAGGUGGAGAUUCAAACAAAAUACGAGACGGUUCUUUCAGCAUCCUUCCUCUCCGAGCAAGCUUAUCUGCACAAUCCUAGGACCACAAAUCCUUCGAAUCUACAUCUAUCAUACAACAAAAACCACAUAUAUGGUUUUGAUUACUUUUGUGCUUAUAAAAUUUAUGUUUUCUCUGUAAGUUGUGAUGAUAUGCCCUGUUUCUUCAAAGGCCUUUAGACGGUAAAGCAACCCGCCGACAAUACUCUGCAAGAGCCCACAAUGGGAAUAUGUUCCUGUAAGCGGCAUAGUGUAACAUGCAAUUCCUGAAGAAAACCCCAGUGAUUUCCUGCAACACAAAACUAUUAACUAUUAAGAAUAAGGGCAGGCAAAGUUCAUGCUUAGAUUAUGUUGUUUUGUUGUAAGGCAAUUCUCAUCGAUCAAGUUCUCUCUCUAAUUAAGGUUUUUUUAUUUGCAGUUUUUCCUGAUGAUGUUUUGAGUAAUUAAACAAAACUGCUUGUGAGAUAAUACACCUGGACAAUAAUCAUCUCUAGGCUCUACUAGUUGUAUGGAUUAGUGCUCAGGAAAUUCUUUCCAAGGAUAUCGGUGGGGCGCAGUCUCUUAUUUCCUGAGAUAUUAACCUAUAUGAGAUCAAGUGAUAGAAAGGUACAAACCUGUUGGGGGUAAUUUCCGUCUUCCAUUUGUGAAUUGAUUAGCAGCUUUGUGGCCCGGUGCACGGGAGUUGGAUCCCUCUCCGCCUGAUAGCAGAUGAAAUAUCAAAGUCAGAAACUUCACAUAGAAUAUUGACUUUUACUAUCGCCAAAGUACGGUUAAUGCGAUUGAGACCCAGACGACAAUAUCAUUCACUGACCCGCCCCGCGUGAAUCAGACCCAUCAUAGCCCAAGCGGUGUGCGCCAGAUUUGAUCUGUUUCCUUCAAGUGGUAUGUAUUCCUACAUCGACCGAUCUGGCAUUAGAAAAUUCAAGAUUUCCAUUCUCCCAGAAAAGCAUGCAACUAAAACAGCUAAAGCCGAACAUGCUGUUGAAGGUCCCUCUCUAAAUUACCUUCCUCGGGCAAGAAAGAUUGCUCUCUCCUCACCUGCCAUUCUGCAACUGUGUUCGUAGAAGAAAGGUGACUCCAUUGCGCAUAGCUGCACAAUUGAUAUAUGUCUUGCCAGCAGCUGCUAGUCCUCCAAGCGCAAACCAUGAGCCGUAUAUAAAACAAACUCCCCAGCACCCGUACCUGCAAGGAUUGCUCAAUUAGCUAGCUGUUUCCUUGACUUAUCCCAAUUCUUCACAACUAUCCAAUGGAAAAGGAACAUACCAUGACCCGUCUGGCUUUUGCAUGCUCUCCAGAUACUGUACAGCAUUUGAUAUAAAAUCCACUAUCUCCUCCUUUUUGUGACGAGGAUACAAGUUCCUGAACAAAACCAAAGCUUGGAUAGCUGAUGAUGUGCAUUCAACAUAUUCAUGCUCAAUGACGACGUCCUCUAAGAACUCUGUCGGAUUUAGAAACCGCAAGUGACAAAUGAUGAGAAAGAAUGCCCUGAUUUAGUAAUUGAUGAACAAAGAAACAUGUCUUAAUUAGUGAGGACCACCAAGGAAUUCCUACAAAAUUUAGUAACUUACUUCUAGCCAAUCCUGCGCUCCUGCAGGCUCCCAUGCUGCCAAUCUGCCAUUUUUACUCUGGAACAAGUGACAUCCAUGGUUGAUGUGACCAUAUUACAAUUUAUUAUCACACUUCGACAUAUGAAAAAAGUUAUGAAACUCUAAGAAAAACUUAAAUAGCAACGUGAUUUUGGAAUGCAUAGAGCAAACAAAGUUUAGCCUAUAUUUCUUGUCGAGAUCAAAAAUUUUCUCAAAGUCUUGCUCAAGAAAGAAAAACGAUGAUAUACUCACUUGUUGAGAGAGUAAGAUGUUUGACAGCAUCAUCCAAUCUCCCUGGCUCCAUCUUGUCACCCACAAUUUCAGGUGGCAUCAUUGAAAAAAGCAAGCAACACUGAAUAUACAGCAUAACAGAUUCAGUGAAAAACCGGGCAAUAUAGGAUUGGAUUGACCUGCGGAUGCAGUGAAGGUAUCCACAGCAGCAUUACCUUCAGAGCUUCUGCAGUGCAAUCAGAUACUUGCCAACCGUGAUCUUGAUCCGAUAAUGUCCAAGAUCCUUUAGAAAUACGAUGGUACAUGUAUUUGAAGUCAACAGAAGGAUUCUCCUUGACCUGAAAUGUUGUAAACGGAUCUAUGCGGUUCAGCUUAUGCGAGGAAGUGAAAGAAAGUAGAAUGUUUGGAGUCAAGCAGAAGCUCACAUGAAUCAAAGAUCAAACCUGAGAUUUUUUAAUGAAGUCGUGUCCUCUAGCUAAUACUGGCGCUAUCUCCUCAGUCAUGUUACUGGCAAGCAAAGCUUGGAUGGCGACGCCUGCGUCCCACUCUUGGCUACCAAAACUCUGCAUACGAACUAGCCAACCGCCAAACUAAGCUUUCCUCUAGAUGAUAUCACUUUACUUAAUCAAUCUUCUCAUUGUUAUAAGAAGACUUCCAUCUUUCAAAUUUGCAGCAUAAAUAUCUAUCAGUACAAUUGAAGCCCAAUUCUAUUAUAGCUCAGUGACACUAUUACUAACCUGCAUCUUCAUUCCGUCUUCAGCAACCCAAAGGUAAUCUGGUAUCCUAGCAAGAUGCUUCUUGAAAUAGUCACUGUCUGGGUCCUCUACCCAGCAAGCAAGCAUGCAUAACACCUGUCCGAGUCCAAAGCAAAAGAAAUACUCAGUGAUGUUUUCCCAUGAUGUGUGAAUAUUGAGUUAUCUCUCUCUCUUUCCUCCUUAAAUCUAUACUCAUUACCUUUUCCACACAUCCAAUAGUGAUAUAUCGACUGUUCUCAUCUUCAUAGUGGAUGUGCUUCAUCGUCACCUGAAGAGCCUUCUCUCUAAGUUUAUUAAACGGCCAACAGUUGAGAAAAGGCUCUGUAAAUAUGUGAAGACUAUCCCAGAUCAGAUCUUGUACUAAGUGAUGGGGAUAGUAGAGAUCCUCCUGCAACAACAACUUGAAUCACUUCAUUAAAAAUUUGCUGACUCACAAACUAUCUGAUUCUGGAUCGAUAUUUUGGACCCGGUAAUGAUACUUGCCUUGGCACAAAGAUGGUGGACUUUUCUCCAGCUAAUCGUGUCAUAGGGUUGAGUAUGAAGUUCUUCUCUCUCAACUGUGGAACAAGAGGCGUGAUUGGACUAAUGAAUCUUUUCACAUACAAAUAUGACAUGGGCAUGUAAGUCAUCCAACAGUAGCAAUACAUCUUAGCUACAUUAUGCAAAACGGUACAAUUCAGACAACAUCUCCAUGAAACUAAGGAGAAACGCAAUUAACGAAACAGAAGUUGAAACUUUCUAUCUUUUAAUGGGCAUUCUGGGAGGGUGGCCAUUUUAAAAACAAGCCCACGCCAUAUUCUUGUUGGUGCAGCAAAAAUGCCAUAUCGUUUCAAUUUGAAAACUAAUCCAACACCUUUGUCUUAAUACCUAAGCAAAAUUAAAUAUACAGGACUACUAUAGAAUACCAUCAAGGACAAGAUUAAGAUAUCUGCAAAAACAAACCAGGAUGAAUGGGGACGAAUGAAGGUAAGAUCCAGAACUCACGAUUCACAUCCACGGGGGGCAAAGCUGGAGUUUCGGUCACUCCUGGUUUGGUCAGUGGAAUACCUUUGGAAAUGUUAUCAUGUUGACAGAGCACGCUGCAAACUAUCAUUCAAGGCCAAUUCCAGACACGGAAGUUCCUCGUCUCUGAAGGUCAGUAGAGUGUGCACAAUUAGGGGUAUAACAUCUGACCGCAAAAGGUUGGAUGAUUAUUUUUUGUUGAAGUUCUUAUGCUGUGUAAUUCACCAGAAGCACAACACGCUCUUGAUAAGAACGACAGCAAUCAACAAGGUCAACAAUUACUUCUUCCUUGAAAGCCUGCCACCAUGUCCUCCAUUAUAAGAUUCAAAAUGUAAUGUCAAAAUCCAACUCAAUCUGCACUGAAGAUUGCAAGCUACAUAACUGAAAAGGUAUCUUCCCAAGGGCAAAAAUCAAGUCUGCAAGCAAAAAGGAGAAACAGACACGUGCAUGGACAGCAUAGCCCAUCUUAUGAGCCUAUUCAUGGGUACAGUGUGCAGAAGAUAAUUGUCGUAUUUUUCUAAUUUGAAAUAUGCAAAGCCUUCCCACCAAAAAGAGAUGCAAAAGUUUUUUUUUUUUUUUGGACAAUUAAGAUAGAUAUUAUUACUAGGUAAUAGUCUGAGCAAAUACAGCAUAUGCUUCAGUACAAAGUAAAUCCAAAAGCGCAGGAGGGGGAUGUUUGACCCAAUUUGUAGGAAGGAAAUUCAUGCGCUGGGCUUUUGCUAACCAAUCAGCCACUACAUUCGUUUUCUGACUACAAUGGGCGAAAGUCAGACCCGAGAUAUUCUUCAGUUUGUGCUUGGCUCGGUUCACAAGAGGUUGCACUGACCAGUCUAAAACGGGUGUGGAGAGAAUACUCUCCACCAGCAUACUGCAAUCAGAUAGAAUUUCUAUUUCUUUUUCUGGGGAAUUUGGGAGGAUUUCUGAGGAGAUAAAGUCUAGGGUUUCUACCAAAGCUACGGCCUCCGCUUGUUCAGGUGAACUUACCUCGACAUUCUUUGCGAACCCAGCCCUUAUUCGGCCAAAGGAAUCUCUGCAGAUACAAGCCACAGAUGCCCGAGUUUUGGAUCUACUCUGCUGAGAGCUGGAGAGAGAUACAGUCUUUGCUCUGGUGGGGUCACAGCUUGUUGCCGAAAUAGAAUUCCUUUCACCUGUUUUGUCGGUGAGAUCAGGGCCAGGUGAAAAUGCUGAUCCUUCCUCUGUUUCGUUACAACACCGGUAAGUUGUUUCCCCAUAAGUCUUGUGUGCUCUGCAAAUCCUAUCAUGGUGGGCUUCGAUGGUCUUUCUUUGUUGCUGCAGCUGUUCUGAAAAUUCAAAACCAAUAGAUCUACGCUCAAUUUCGAAGCGAAUAGGUCUGCGCUCCAGUUCCACUUCAGCAAAAUCAGAAGGGUCUUCCUCAAUUGUAUCGCUGUUUAGUGGGGGUUUUCGAUGUUCUUGGAUGACGCCUGUGCUGUACAACUUAGGCGUUCGAGAGUUGGUGCAGAUCUGGAACAGGUGGGGCAUCUCCAUUUGGUCAGACCCAUCUUCGUGAACUCUGCUGAAAAAGUGAGGUUUGCUCCUGCUCUGAUUUGCUGCUCUUUUAAUCUUUGAUGGACGAGGCGUCAGGUUAAUCCUCCUCCUCCUUGGCUGUGUUCUGGAAUCAGCAAUGUCAGAUGUGUCUUGCGGAUUGAGUUCUAUAGGUGGCAGAGGGCUAGCUUCAUUGAGGCCACGAUCCAUGGGUUGAUUCCCAUAGAUUUGUGCCCGAUCUCUACCGUGCAUCUUAGAUGUGCCUAUGUGGGCAUACCUUGGACUCGGGCUGGGUUUUCCUCGUCUCUCCGUUCUGUUUUGCCCAGGUAAGUGUUGGGACCUGGCUAUAUUUCUGACUACUUCUCUGGGCGGCUUAGGUUUAUAUAUGUUGUCCUUCCUGACCGUGCUGUUAGCCUUUAGAUGAUGCGUUAAAUCGGACUCUUCCUCUUCGACAUCUGUAUUUGAAGCUGGAGAGUGACUUAGGGAGGCAUAUUGGUUGACUAAACUUAUAUCGCAGUUGGAGGGUAAAGGUUGGGAAGGAACUGAAGUGCUUUCAUUUGGAUACACCACCUCCUCUGGAUAUUUAUCAGACAAGUUGCUGGCAUUAUAGGUACUGGCAAAAGAAGCAUCAAUAUUGAUUUUCAAUACACCUGGGGGUGGAGGUUGCCAGUGAUCAGGUUGUUCUUGGCCCUGUUUGCAUUUGUGGGAUUUUUUAUUCCAUGUUGAGAAGCUUUCCUGUGACAUUGUAGCUCGUAAGAGGGUGUGGUGUGGGUUGAGGGGUUGCUUUUUGAAGAUGGAGUGGUUGCGGUCUUUCCAAAUGCACCAAAGAACUAUGGCAACCAGUUCAAAAUUUUGUGAGUUUCUUUGUCCUGCAAAAUAUUUGCCCAACCAAACAUCAAACCUUGUUAGACCCAUUCGAUUUGUGUAAUCUUGUAAGGUUAGCUCUUUCCAAAUAGAUGCUGUCCAAGGGCAAAGCAGUAAGGUGUGCUCGAUUGUCUCCAGUUCCAUCUUGCAUAUCGGACACAUUGGAGCAAGUACAAUCUUUCUUCUAUAAAGAUUAUCUAAAGUAGGAAGUGCAUUUUGGCAGGCACUCCAUAGGAAAAAUUUUAUCUUCGGCUGUAUGUUGGAGUUCCAAAUAAGUUUCCAUAUGGCUGGAUCAAACUGGUGUGAUGUUGUUGGCACGGACUCUCGAUGCGUAACAUGUUUUCUAAUUGCAAAGUAACCGCUUUUUACUGUAUAGGUUCCCGACUUGUUCUUUGUCCAAACCAAUUUAUCUUCUGUGGUAGGGAGGCCAAUAGGUAUUGCUUUGAUUUUUGUCGCUAGGGAGUCAUCGAACAGGGACUGCAAUAGGUCUUCCUUCCAUUGUACAGCUUCAAAAGUACAGGGAUGAACUCAGUAUCUAAGAGGGACAAGCCUUGAUGUGCCUAAAUACCAACUACAAAUUUUCGUUGCAGAUCUUGGGCGAUAACUAGAUACUCCAAUUUUUAGUAAGAACAAUUUUGUCAGUACGUAUUCAUCUAAGCAUUUAGAAAAAAAAGAGUUUUUCAAUUACAGGAAUCAUCACAGUCCAUUUCCGGAUUACUAAGAUAGGUUUGUCAGAUGUUGAUUCGGUUUAAUAAUUCAAACAGAAGCAUAUCGAAAGAAUUUCAGAAAAGUGGCCAAGAUAAAAUUCAGCCCCCUCAGUAGUAAAUCAAAGAAAACCCGACCAACUUCAAACGUUCAAAACUGAGUCAUACCGCCACACCAAUGCUUAUAAAAAAUCACAAUUCUGCCCAUUGGGGGCUUCUAUCUAGACAUAUAAUUCAGUAUACCAACAAGCUGUCCCAAUCGUCACUGUUUCAAUAUAAUCAACUUUCCCCUUACAAAGACAGUUUCCUGCAAAUUGCUUAGGAUACAGCUAACGACUAAUGGGGCUAAGCUAUUAAUACCCAAAUCAAUAGAUCAUUCAUCGUCCUCGUGGAAUAAUCUAUUGUAUCCAUAGCCACUUACUUCAGGUUAUCUUGCAAGAAUUCUUGAGAGAUCGACUAAACCAAGAUGUCAAAUAAUAUGAAUUCAAAGUCCAUAAAAUUCAAGCAACCUCACUCCCCAGCUAAAGUUAAAAGACACCUAAAAUUCCAGACAGAAAGCCCACCACAAUUCCUCCAACAUAGACAAAUAUAGCGACUGAUUAGCGGGGUUCUCACCUUUUUAAUUUGCCUCCUGCGAAAACCCCUUCAAUUCGGAGAUAAAGAUACCCGCUACCAAUAUUGAUCAAGAGGAGAAAUUAAAUCUGGCCACUUCAGCAAUAGUAAUUCUUAUUAUAGGAUCAGCACCCGCUUGGACCACCCAUCCGCAAAAACUGAGUCAAGGCUUCGACCUUCAAAGCUGUUCCACCAAGAACAAUUGAGCUUAUCACGGAAAUUGUUGACGCUACUGAAUCUGCAGCCAUACACGAGAGUAGCUACUCUAAACUCAACAGCAGAUGACCAGAACCUACGCAACCAGAGCAAGCUAAUGUGGUCAAAUCGGGCCGUGACAUAAACAUCGAGGUCGCUUGCCUUGGGGGACCCCAACCCAGGUCCGGGGGGGCCUAGGGGAGCAAGUUGCCCUGGCCUUGUUUGCAUUGGGGCCAGCGGUGGGCGAGAGAGAGAGAGAGGGAUGCUUGAAAAAUAGUUUACUAGAAGAAAAUAAGAAGGGCGAUGUAAUUUUCUUGUCCGUAAAAUAAGCAAAUCAAAGUCUUGGCUCAAUUUAUCACAUUAUCUUGGUAAGGUUUGGGCUUUCUAGUGGAAAUGGUUCGAAUUCAUUUCCUUAAAUCGAAAUAAAUGGAUGGAGAAAUGAUGAAGACUCAUGUUAACGUUAAGGAAAAAAAUGCGAUCCUAUCCCCAAGUUGUUUGAGAGUUUUUGCCAUCGUAAUGAUGAGAUAAACGUAAUGACCAUUCCUCCCAAAAUGAAUACAAAAAGGACGGGUAGAUAUUCACCACCCUAUAUAUAUAUAUAUAUAUAUAAACGCACACAAACGAAGUACAAAUUAGAAGCUAUGAAAAGAUAGGUAGAGACACUCCGCUAGAGAAAGACAAACGAAACUUCUUCUUUUUAAAAUAAUAUUUUACACUUAUCAGCCUCUCUUUCAUUUCACCUGAGUGCGUCUCCAAAUGACAUUUCUUCUCCGGGACACUCAUAAAUGCGGCCGCUGGGAAGUGAGUCAGGCGGCUGGGUCCCACUCAAAACUCAGCCCUCCAAUGUCCGUCCCCCAUUGAUCGAGAAGGAAAGACCUCACUUCACUCACUCGGCCCACUGGGUCGGGACUCGGAAUCCAAUCCUGGAAUACCAUUUAGACCUAUCUUUCAUUUUACGAACCGCCUCUCCAAAUGUCAUUUCUUCCGCCUCUCCAAAUGUCGUUUCUUCGUCUACGGAUCUCUCAUCCGGCCACUGCAAAGUGACCCUUGCCGUGGGGUCCCACUCAAACCCGGCCCACCACUGUCCGUCCCCACUCAUUGAGAAGCUUCCCCUUGCGUUGCUCGAGUCCCAUGGCAACUUUUUGAGACCAGGGCAAUAGUAUAUCUUGAUGUUUAACCCUUUAGCGAAAAAUAGUGUGUGGUCACAAAUACUCCUUAGUUUUGGAAGAUGAUAGAUAUCUAGGAGUUCGAGACAUGAGAAUAGUUCCGAAGCAGCUAAUUUCUCUCCUGCAAUUUCAUCCCCGAUUAUUUUCUCUAUCAAAUCGCAGAACCAAACCGUCAAUUUCUGGAGUUUCGGCGCGUGCACGAGCCAAGACAAGUCUGAAAAUCCGCACCCUUCAACUAAAACUUCAAUGAGACUAGGGAAGCAAAGGUAGUUGGGCACUUGUCCCGUCCCUUGAGUAAUCUCCAUCUUCACGAGCAUAUAGCAAUAUCGUAGAUGAAGCACCUCUAAAUGCAAGAAAUUGACCCUCCCUUUUAAUGAGUGACUUAAUGGGAUGCAUGUCAAGUUAUCACACUUAUUGAUCUUCACUCUUCUUAUGCAUCUCUGUAAGGAUUGAAAUAUUUUUAGUGCAGAUGAAGAUUUGCGCACUAUGAUAGAUAAGUCGAUCAGCUCUUGCAUGCCCCCAAGUUCCUCUACCAUCUCUUCUUCCUGGUCUAGACCCGAUUCCCAUAUACCCGAUUCCCAUGUGCUGAACACAUUCAAUGCUAAGCUUGCGAUUACCCCCGUUGGAAUCAAGACAUUAUUGCUUGUACGGUUUAGUAGCAACCACCGUAAGCGAGUCAAGUUCUUGAUUUCCUCGGGCAACUCAUGAAUACGAGUGUUCGACAUGUUCAAGUACCGUAAAUUAAACAGAUCACAAAUCUCUUCAGGGAAUAAUUAUAUAUUUCUAUUGUUGGAUAGGUCCAGCACCUUCAAACAGGCCAUCAUUGACUCAAAAAAUCCACUUGGCACAAACCUCACAUUAGUUUCCCUUACAAACAAAGUUUCGAGUUGGGAACACAUAGGUGGUGUUUGGUUGAUAUUUCCAAUCAAUCCUCCCCAUAGAAAUACUUUUUCUGCUUGCCCCCAUUUAGGCAUCAUCUCCAUGGACAUUUCUUCUUCGUACUCUAUCACUAACAACUUGUUCUCCUUUUGCCCGUGGUCGCAAGCAAUCCAAGUCGCCAUGUCACGGAUAACGUCGUGCAUCUUUACAUACUGUAGUCCCAAAUUACCACCCAUCUCACUUUCCAAUAAACAAGCCAUCUUUAAACUCCCCAAUAUAUACUCUCCCCUAUCCCGCAUAGUGUAUACAUCUUUGGUGUCUCCUAGCAAGCCCUCUCCAAUCCACAGUCCAAUAAGAUCGUGCGAGUUUAUGAGGUAAUCCUCAGGGAAGAGACAACAGUUAAGGAAGCAAAGUUUGACGAUAGAGUCGCUUAAACUAUUAUAACUGAACUCUAGUAUGUGAUACACUUCCUCCAUACCUGACAGUUGAUGCGGUUUGUCCCUGAGAGUUGUUAGCGCAUAAUGCCACUCAUGGGGAUGCCCUCUGCCAGCCAUGGCUCGCCCGACGGUAAUAAGGGCCAAUGGCAACCCUUUGCACUCUUUAGCAAUGUCCUUGGCCAGGCGUUGAAUGUCAUCAUCACAAUUUUCAAGCGAUUUGCCGAUGUUCUUCUCAAAUAAUGUCAAAGCUUCUUCAGGCUUCAAGCACGAUACUUCGCAUGUUUCGUUGGCUCCCAUUUGGUGGCAUACUUGCUUCGACCGAGUUGUGAAUACUACCUUGGAUCCGUUCUUUGGACUAGGAGGAAGAACUCCGAUUUCGAAAAGGUCCAGCCUCGCCCAUACAUCAUCAAUCAACAACACAAACUUCUUUUCAGCCAAAAUGUUCAACAAAUGAUGGACCCUAUGAUUCUGAGACCAUCCAUCCCAGAUCUCAUCUUUAAUGUUCAGCCCUUUCCUUACGACGUCUCGAAUGUUAUCUUCGUUCACUUGCUUUGACACCACCACCCAAAUAACGACAUCAAAUUUAAGAUUUGUGCACAAAAGCUCAUUGUUGAUUUGUUUCAUGAGGGUGGUCUUUCCCACACCGCCCAUUCCGUAUAAUCCAAACAUUCCUGUUUUUUUUUCGUCCGCUAGCCAUUUCCACACUUCAUUAAGCAAAAUAUUAAGCCCCACGGUCUUAACCAUAGGUAUCGCAAGUAUUGCCGGGCUAGGCAAUGGUGACGUGAAAUUGCUGAAUUCUCUUUUCUUACCUUGGAGCUCUCUCGCUUCAUUGAGCAAUCGAUCAACUCUUUUCCCCAAUUUAUAGCUCGACCAGCAAUUCUGAGGAAGACAACGACUGAAACAUUUGAUUCGGUCACAUUCCCUGGCUUCUUCCAGAACUUGAUCUACUCCACCUUCAAAUUCUUGCACCUUGCAUAACCAGUUCUCCACUUGAUUUGUGCGCCGUACACCUCCCUCUCGUUCUUCACGUUCCACCCUUUCCUUCGCAUCCUCGUUCAUGGCCUCCAAGUCUCUAGUUUCUUUCUUCAACGCCUCCACAAUAUCUUUCGGAUUACAAAUGUAGCCCAAAGGUUUGCUGGCCAAGCCCCAUAACCCUUUGACGAGUUCUAAAAGAGGACUCGCGAAAUCCAUAGAUUCUUUCGGGAGAUGAGAGAUCGAAAAAAGGAGUAAUCCAGAUGGAUUGAGAGCAGGAUUGAGAGCAGGCGAAUGGGUGGAGUUCGAUAAUAGAGGGUCAUGUAGUAAGGGACGACUUUUACAGAUUCAAUAAUGGAGGCCCUGACUAAUGGCCCCACAACAGGGCAAUAAUACAAGCAAAAGUACAAAUCACAACUCGGGGAGUUGAAUUAUUGCGCACGCGGACAAACAACUUUUUAGAAAGUUGGAUUAUGGAAAUAAAGCACUCCUCGCAACCCCACACACAUAUAUAUAUAUAAAAGCAAAAAGUACAGAACACAACUCAAGGUCGAAUUAUUGCGCAUACCGACAAAUAACUUUUUAGAAAAUUGAAUUAUAGAAAUAAAGUGUAACUCACGACUUUUCCACAAAACAGUCUGAGCAUUCAUGAGGCUUGAAAUUUGAAUAUAACGCAUCUAUCGUGCAAGAUACCACUGAUCCUCGCUUCCGACGAAUGUUAAAAAAAACAUGGUAAUAUUUUUAAAUACAUCAAUUCGUUGUUGAUUAGGUCCAUAAUUUUAUACAAGAAGGUUUUUCCUAGCACUGUUAUGUAAUUUUCGUAAAGGAGAUUAAUUGUAGGGAGAAGAAAAAAAAAUUCAAUGGGAAUUGGCAACUUUAAUUAGUAAAAUUAAUACCUGCGUAAUAGUAAAUUGUGACUUUGAAAUAAUCUUGCAUUAUUAUUAUUAUUAUUUUUACAAAUCAAAGACUGGACAUUAAAAUCCACGUGCAUCGUGCAUUUAAUAAUCUAAACAUGCCCUCCUCCUUCUUGAGAUAGUUAGUAGCUCCCCCGCAUGUGAAUGGUUUUAUGCCCUCCCUUUCUUCUUUGAGAUUAUUAGUUGCCGAUGCUAUUCGUUUUGUUUAAUUUGGAUCUGGCAACACCAAUAUCCAUAUAUAAAAUUAAUGGGUUGCAAUUAUCUAGUGGUGCUCAGAAUAUGGGGCAAAAAAGUUAGACUCAUAUCUAGUUAGAAAUCUUUUGUUUACAACAUGGCGAAAAGUUGAGGACAGUACAAUGCUAGAAUCGUAUGAAAUAAAAUUUGAAAAUGAAAAAAAUUAAGCUCACUCACGAAAACACAUUCGUUUAUGUCACUGAGUAUAGGUAUGAGCAUGAGUUGUGGGUCUCUAAUUAUCAUUGUAUCGGUAGCCAUGAAAAUUAGACAAAAUUUUUUCACGCCAUUCCCAAUCCAAUAUUCUUAGGUAGUACUAUGAGGUAAAUGCACAACGUGCAUUUACCCUCUAACCCUAGAUGAUCCUCAUCAUUUUAAUCCCAAAAACUAAAUCAGAUCAAAUCAUAUAUUCUUACGAGACAUGAGUGUAAUAUUUCAAAACACAAGGUUCUCUCCCUAGAGAUUCCUCAUGCGAAAUGCGAGAUGUGAACGUUCGUAUAUGCUUUUUCGUCAACGGUCAUAUCCAUGAGUUUUUCUAAUUUUGGCCAACUUGUCACCCAUAUGCCACUAUCCUAUUACAAAAGAAAAACUAAGGACCGAUGAUUGGCGAAACUCCAUACGCAUCAAUAUUAUAAUUGGUGUUAUUAUUAUUUUACAAUAAAAGAGAAAAGUCCGAGUGUUACACUAUUAUGCUCUUAAGAAAACUUGAUACAAUCGAAUUCUCUAUUAAUAAAGGAAAAAACAGAUUAGUAUAUAAAUUAAUUAAGGAGAUUCCAUGUAAACAGAUUAUUAUAUACUAAGCUCCCAUUACUAUGCCGUCCCACUUAUCAAUGUUUAAAAUAUUGGGCCACUUUAACUUAUAAUUGAAAGAUUUUUUCUUUUAUGUUUGGUCGAUUGGAACAGUGGCUAGCUAGACAAACACUAGUAAUCCUUGCAAAACUUUUUAAUGGUCUUGGCUUGCAAAUCCUUUCAAACUCACCAUCUAAAUCUGAUAAAGUGACCUAGAUUGUCUCUGAAGAGUAGCCCUUGAAACUAGCAUUACGACGAAAUAAAUUACAGCGACGGAAAGUCAGUGGCGGGCUUGGGAUGAGUGAUGGCCCUGCCCCUAUUAGGAAAAAAAAAAUUCUAAUAUUACCCAAUUAUAAUUUUUUAAUAUAUUACUGCAUAUUAUUAGAAUUUUUUAUCACCACUAAUCUUGAAUUUGCUACUCCAAUCACCAUGGUCCCAACAUAAUACCGACUUUCGAGUACGAUGGAAAUUGCUAAAGAGAAUAGUAUAGGAUGCGAUGAUGCUAACAAUUCAUGACAUUUCCUGUUUUGCCUGAUUGCUUCUGAAAUGACCAGAAAAAAAUAUAUUGGUUUAUCAUUCCAAAUAUUUUCUUUAUAUUAAUAUUGAGUUUACUAGUCAACUGGAUGGUGGGGUUUUCACUUUUCAACUCUGAAUUAGUUGGAAAUGUUAAAGCUGAGAAACUAAAGGUGAAGACCAGGCCUUGCUUCGAUGGACAGCAUAUUCAUCCCCCCUUUCCCAUAUAUAUAUAUGUAUAUUUUGUCUUUUUCAGCAAAGAAGAGGAAUCUUAAACAACUUUUGUUCCCUGUUAUAAAAAUAAAGAUGCUUUGAUGGACAGCACAUUCAUCCCCCUUUCCCAUAUUCUUUUUUUUUUUUUUUACUUUUCCAAAAAUAAAGAUGGAUCUUAAACAACUUUUGUUCCCCGCUACAAAAAUUAAGAUGCUUUGAUGGACAGCAUAUUCAAUAUUUUUUUUAAGUUACUUUUUCAGCAAAGAAGAGGAAUCUUAAACAACUUUUGUUCCCCGUUACAAACAUUAAGAUGUGAUCGGAUAAGAUAUAAUAAGAAGUCUCAUCAUUUAUUUGAUGAAACUAUCUAUUACUGUGGGACUAUGUUAAUGAUGUCACAUAGUUCAAUGUUAAUUCUGCAAUCACAAACAAUCAACAUAUCAAUUGUCGUCCUCUCGCACACAAUCUAUUGCAUCCAUCUCCUCUUUCUCUUAUUUCAAGUUAUCUUACAAGUAUUCCUAACAAGAUCGACCCAUCCUAGAUGUCAAUUAAUAUGAAUUCAAACUCCAUGAAAUUCAAGUAACCUCACUCCCGAGCUAAAGUAAAAAAGACACCUCUAAAUCUAGAUAGAAAGGCCAUCGUGAUUCCUCCAACAUAGACAAAAAUAACCACUAAUUAGCUGGGUUAUCACCUUUUAAUUUGCCUCUGACGAAAAUUCCUUCAAUUAAAAAGAUUAAGAUAUCUGCUACUAAUAUUGAUCAAGGAGGUGCCAAAAGAUCACUUUUUUUUCUAUUUCUAAAAGAGGAGAAAUUAUAUUUGGCCACUUCAAUAGUGGAACCGAAGGAUCAGCCGCUGCUAGCACUGCCCAGCUCCCCUCUACCAUCGAAGGAAAGACCCCAUCUGCAAAACCUGACUUGAGGCUUCAACCUUCAAAGGCAAUUAAAGGGGAAUUUGUUCUUGUUUUCCACCAAGAACUACUGAUAAAAAGACUCGUCAAAAACUCUACCACCCUCUCCGUCUGCCCCACGCAAGGCCCUUGCCGCCACCAUCUCCACAGUACCGCCAUUACUGGCCUCGACAAUGAUGGUCUCUCUCUAAGCUACAUCUUCUCAACAUUAAUAAGUCAGUCAUUGAAAGCGAAAAAAACCUCUGAAUCUAGAAGCACAACUGCCGUGCCUCCACAUCGAGGGGGCAAUCGCAUCAAGAGCUCAAUCACAUCGGAGGAGACACCAAGCUUGCAAGAAAAAAAGCCAAUCACAAACACAAUUAAAAAGGGGAAUUAUGCAAAUCGAAAUAUAUGAAGGAACAAAUGGUAAGACUCAUGUUUAGUUAAGCAAAACACAAUGAUCCCUAUCCAAAUUGUUCAAGAGUUAUAAUAAAACACCAUGAUUCCUCAAAAAAAAAAAAAAGGAACCAUCAUAGUCACCCUCUUCAUACUAUUGUCAAAACCCACUCAUACUAAUCACUUAUACUUCUCUCUUAAAAUUAUUAAAAUAAUGUUAACAUUUUGCACAAGCGCUAUUAUUUUACAAUUAGUCUAUCACAAAUAAUUAAAAAUCUAAACAUAAGUUGCAUACAAUCAACAAUUAAGUUUACUUUUUUAUUCAUCUGUUACUCCAUAAAUCUAAUGUCUCAUGGAUUUUAUUUCUAAACACGUUUUAAAUAUAUAUAGUUUAUCGUGAAUAUAAUUAUAAAGUAACGACUUGAAUCCAUUUAUUUACAAGUAAAUUAAUUUAAAAUCUGAAAGUUAAGAAUUAACAUAGUUUAAAUAUUUUACAAUUUGAAGUGUGGAAUUGUUUCCUCAUUACAUUCAAAUUUGUACACUGACAAAAAAAAAUAUGUCGACAAAUUAUUCUUCUAUUAAGUAUAAUUAUAUAGAUAGAAAGGAAAAAAAUUGAAAGUAAACUUAUUUAAAUUCAUUCUAUUGCUAGUUCAAGAAAAAGCUUUGAGAAUUAAAUGACUAAUAAUAUAUGUUAUUGAUAAAAUAAUGCAAUUAAAAGAUUUAAAAUUGAAUUGGCCCAAUAGAUCCAAGACUUUUCAAAUAAUUUUCCCCCUAAUCUUCCAUUGUCAAGAAUUCUACCAAGGAACUAAACUGCUCCAACUUCUUGAUUCUCCUUGACAGGAGAUCCAAACCUCAUCUAUGAAUAAAUUCGGGCAGCAUGACUCAUGCAGUGAUCUUUGUCAUAUCAUCUUGUUCACCAUUUAGUGAGAUUUGAAGACCGAUGUUUAUAACAAAAUGUAAGUCACUGCAUCGAAUGAACAAUGCAGCAUAUAAAUAGACUUGCUACUUUUCCGUUCAUCUGUCUCCAAUAGGAUUAAGACUCCAAUUUAAUAACAAGUUAAAAUGAAAUCGCCAUUGGCUUAGGCAAGUCGAACACGUCAACGGGGUUUCACUGGUUUCCACGAAAACGCUCUUCACGUUUAUUCUUUGCUCCAUUGUGGCCACUUGAAGAGCCCACCAACCAUUUUACACUGAUGAUCGUAGAGAGUUGGGACAAUGUCCAGCUCAUCUUUGGUACUGUUUUUUUGUUCUCUAUCUAAUGCAUGUUAUUAUUCAAAAAGAUAUUUUCAGCAAAUUUAUGUAAAUUAAUGUACGCAAUGAAAUUAUGGAGGUUCAUAUUUCCCAUGUCAUUUUUAAUAUAAACAUUAGAAUUCUCUCAAUUUACGAAAUAAAUGUAUGAAGUUUAUCCUUUUGAGAAGUGGACGGAUGAGCCUUCGAAAAUUCAAGAACUGAUGUCGUCUCUUUUCUUCCUUUCCUUUCCUUUCCUUUCCUUGCCUUUCUUCUUCGGCUACAUCGCAACUCCAAUCUUCCACCGCCAUCUCCACUAGUUUCUCCCCUUUCCCCAAUCCCCAUCAUAGUCCCGAUCAGCACCACCAACCUCCCUCUCGGCUGCGCCAUUAUAGCUGUCCUCCUUCCCACACGCGCCCAAGUGUUUGCGUGCAGCCUAGUCUUCACUACCAUCGCCAUCGUUAACUGACCACACAAGUAUCUCAUCAGACCGCCUUCUACUUCACUUGUCGGCAAACAUUCCUCCGAUCACCACCAUUAUUAUCGCACCAUCGCACACCGGCACUACCACCCAACCAACCACCCGCAACCACACCCCACACUUGUGAUCUAAGGUCACUACCUCAAAUUCAAGGUCUCUGCCCACAGGAGACCUCCGAUCUGAGGGUAAUUAAGGCCAAAAACCAAUUGGUUCAUGAUCACAGCCAGCGCACCACUCUCUAUUGUUUGUCCAGAGAGAGAGAGUGGUAGAGAACAGACAAUGCCGCUGGGAGAGGUUGGUCUAUCAACGACGGCCCAAAGUAUGAGGCAUUCUAAUCAAUUUUGAGUAACUGGAUUAAUAAGUCAUUGAACUAGAUAUCAUUACGGUACAAGGCAAAGGAGUUUUGCAGGCAUUGUCUAUGGGCAUGAUACAUUUAAAUGAUGGCAUGACAUGACCACGCAACCGCCCAAGAAAAGCCUACGAGCACACAACAAUAAAAAUAAGCGGAUGAGACUUUUCUCCCGUGCAUACGGUUAGAGCCUAUUUAAAGCUCAAUAGUGUAGCGUGUGACAAAUUUCCCACAGCAUAAAGUUUGAGGCAAACAAGUGGUUUGGUAUGCAUCAACCUCGGGUCUGACUGUCAUCUUCAAAUUGCAAACACACUAGCUUUCCCUCCCCAAGAAUAAAUAGACUCUUGAAGCACAAUUGUUAUGAUGUAACUUACUCCUCUCAAUUCCCUUUAAGUUUAGGUCUAAUUACCCAAUUUUCACAGAUGAACAAUGUUACCAUAAAUCAUGACCUCUUGGGCGAGUGGCUGUUCAAGGAUGGGGAAAAAUGGAAAGAGGAGAAUAAAACUUCCUAUGCACACUUCAAAGUUCAUAUAACAAGGCCGAGGCCACCAAUUAUCAUUCUAGAAUGAAAAUUGCAAUAUUCUGGAGGAUUUGAGAAAGGACAGUUUUCAUGAUAUGUCUACAAUGGAAGCAAUAGAAGAAUAACUAGGGCUCACCAAAACUAUUGCUUAACUUUCAGUGAAUCCUCAAUCCGCUGGAUCAGUUGAUCAGCCGUCAGAGCACCCUCCUGAUAAUUGAAAAUAGCUCAAUUAAGAUAAGGGCAGAUGAUUAAAACAUCUUAAAACUGUAUAAGUUGCAAGCAAUUGAACAUCAGAAAAAAUUCACAACCCAAUCUUACAGUUAAAUUAUAAAUGAGAAUCAACCUAACUUCCGAUUAAAUAACAUUCAAAGACCACAGAAUAAUGCAUAAAUCUUAGGUGAUGGCCAUCAGUUAUUACCAUUUCUGCAUUGAGCCGGCAACCAUGUCCUUCACAGAAAAUUUAUAGGAAUACCCCCUGCCUAUUGCUAAAAGAAGUAUCACUUACUAUGCAUGGAUUGCAGCGACAUGGUUGCAGCAACCUAACAACUAGGGAAGCUGUGUUUUCCACGACAGUCAAGCUCUACAAAGGGAAGGCCUUUCAUUGAUCACUGUUGAAGACUUAUGCAGUUUGUGCAUAUUUAUCAUCGGUUAUUAUGUAGAAACAUGUUGGUGCUUCAUCAUGGUUUCAUUGCCGGUUCCAUGUUAUGCGAGAGAGUAAUGAUGAAGUGGGAUGGAAUUCCCCAGUCAAAAACAGUUUAGGAGGAGAAGGGUGUCCACUGAUUAUUGGUCAAUAUAGAUUCUUCAUGCCACAAGAGGGGCCUUAGUGCCUAUAUACAUUACAAGGGCUGUCUGUGCUUUUUUGGCAAAAUGCAAGUACUCUUUCCAGAGUUCACCCUUAAUCUUUCACAUCAUAAAAGAUUAAAAUUGCCAAAAACACUUGUGACUGCAGGUUUUUGUUCAAAUUAGGAUAUCUAAGGCAUCUCAUCACAGUAUCAAAAACUUUUUAUGAGCCUUUACUAACAUAAUAGUUACAAGAACUUAGCAGAUUAAAUUUCCAAAUGAUAGCAAAGGUGAAAAAGAUAAAACUUACAAAACGCUCAAAAGGCUUCCCAUCUUUAAAUAUGAUAAAGGUAGGUAAUGCUUCUAUCUUGUAUUUAUCAGCAAUGCUGGGGUACUUCUCAGUAUCAAUCUUCACAACUUGAAUUGUAUCAUUAAGUCUAAUGCUGACCUCAUUAAGGAUGGGAACCAUAAAUUGACAAGGACCACACCUGGGCACAAAAGCUUGAAUUAUAAGUAUUAUGCCAAUCAAGUUGCUCGAAGAUUUAUUAGAACAGGUAUCAUUGAUACAAAUCUAUGGAGGAUGUACAUUACCAAGUAGCAUAAAAAUCAACUAAUACAGGUUUCUCAGAUUUGGCCAAUAGAUCAUCAAAAGAGUUAUAUGUCUGCUUCUUAGCUUCAACCUGUAAAAAACAAGGGAUGCAGGUAAGUAGACGUCUCUAAUCUACAAAACAAAGAUCAAAGUAAUAAUGUCACCAAAUGGUCCAACAGAGACAAGAGGAAGCACAUAUACUUCCUUUAACCAUAUUAAUAAAGUCCAAAAGAGGCUACUUAUUAAAGAGGAACAUAAAGUUUAUUCCAACAGAUCAAAGGAAGAAGCCAACUAAAUAAAGAACAUAUGCUAUAACUAGCGUAAAGGAGUACAAGGAGAGCAAAACACGUUUUAUCAUUAACAGCAGUAAACAGGAUGCAGACAAAAAAUAAGGGGAAAAAUUGCACGACAUAUAACAAUGGAUAAAUGCACUUACUGAUUAGGAGGAAAUAUAUAAAGAUAGAGCUAAGUAGGUCUCUUUCACUCCCACUCUCUUCAAUUACAUAGAAAGAUAUUAACAUACUAGAAUCGUCCAGUAGACCAACAUAUAUAAAAACUCCCAUCUAGUAGGAUAAGGUCUACAGUUGUUUGUCGUUGUUUGUGAUGACAAGUACAAAAUCAACUCCUGCUAAGAGUUCGUGUGGUAUAGGUUAACCCCUGGCCUGCCCUAAAGAAGCUUUACAAAGAUGCCAUUGUAGGCCUUACUCCUAACUUUCUAAAAGUGUUGUUCAUUAUAGCUCUAUAUCACUUUCACCAAUAUGCUUCAAGAUUCAGAUGAGAUCCUAACAUGAGAAUGUAAAAUUCCUCAUACAUUAAAUGAGCAAACUCCUCAUAACACAGCAACUGGUCCAAUUUCACCAGUUUGUUUUCUUCUAGACAGAUCAUUUAUAGGUUGCAUUGUCCAAUGCAAAAUGAUGAAACCAUCAAAAUCUGUCUUCUUUGCUUGAGGAGGCAGAUAUGCAUUUGUAUGAAUUAUAUGAAACAGGUCAAUCCAAGGAUAUGCUCCAAGUAAUGACAGAAUUUAUCUAGUAAAGAAAAAGACACGGGACUGGUGGAAAGCAGAUGAAUGACCCGGCAUGACAUGGCAUUUUUUUUUUUAUAAUAGAUGCAGAUUGGCCAAGCACGACAUGACAUUGUCCAUGGUCACCUCCUAAAGCACGUUCAUUACAAUUAGGAAACAAUCACUAUGGGUUUAGUAGGGAAAACCACGGCAAGUGCAAUGCCAGGCAGCACGCAAAUAGCAACACAAGCUGUGUAGAUUGUCAAAUCAUUCAAUUAUUUAUUGAAAAAUAUAGCUAACUAAAUGAUAAAAUAGAAUGAAGACGUAACACAUAAUAAUCCCCCCGAUAAAAUUGAGGUUAAGCAGGCAAUAUGAAAAUUUGCCCAACGUAGAAUGACCGCUCGUAUGAUUUACCCACCAUACCAACACUUCUAUCGACCCAACAAAGCUCCACUGCACACUAAGACCGGAUGUCGAUGCCGGCGGAACAUACACACCAGAGCAUAACAAAACCACAAGCACCGAAUACUUGUAACAAGAGAAGCAAGCCACGGCCAAGCUAAAUUAGAGAGAGAGACGUCCAAUUCCAGUCAUAUAUUUCAAACAUCAAGUGAGCACCAGACAAGACAGAGCCCGCGCUCCGGCGAGCACGCGUUCCGCCACAGCUCAGAGCAACACUGCAAAAAAAAAAAAAAAAACAACGAAUCCCGGAGAGAGGCGUUACCACCAGAGAGAAGCCCCGAGGCUUCGAGUUCACCGAGAUCCUCCGGCCCCCGCCGCCGAACCCGCGGGCGCCCGCCGGGAGCCGGAGCCGAAGCGGCGACAUGGAGGAGGAGGCGGCCGGAUUCUCGCCGCUCAAGCGAGGAAUCGAAGAUGCGGAGAGAGAAAUCGCCAUGGAAACGAGGGACUCGAACGAAGAACGACUACCACGAGCUCUCCAAAUCUCCUUCUUCCUUCUUCCUUUUUUGGAUAAAUCGAAGAGAAAUAUCUUCCCCCCGGCUGCGUCGUCGUCUCGUCCGCGCGUGGAUUCGCGGAGGGAGGGAGCUGGGUUUCUCCGAUCCUUCGCUCUGGCCCCUUUUUAUACGUGACCGGGGGAAUGUUCCGGUGUGAAGCCGCGUGGCCGCCUGAUUGAAUUCAACGGACGGUCAGAGAUGGAUCGCGGCAACUACUCCCGGGAUCCGACGGUCCUGAUUUUUCUUUUUCUUUUUUUGGUUAGCGAAGUCGGGGGUUGGGGAGUGGGGACCACAUCGCGGACACCGGACGAUGCUAGCUAAGGAAAGCCUCCGGUGUUCUUGGAGGCUUUCGGUGACUUUUUUGGUCGCAACUACCCCUCCAAUUUUCAUUCUGGCUUUUCACGGAUUAAUAUUAAAGCUAUCAUAUUCCAUGUGAUUUAUUAUUUGUGAAUAGCAAUAAAUCCAGGGUGAAUAAUUAUUAUUAUUAUUUUAAAACUUCCAUUUGGUUCCCAAAGUGGGCAGGAAAAUAAAUUAUUAAUUUAUGUCCGUCUUGCGAUAAGCCAACAUGAGAGUUAUAUCCGGCAUCAUUAAAACAACCUUUGCAUCGGAUGAGGAUGCGGUAGUUCUAUCAAUAAAGCAAAAGCAUUGUGAAAAAACUCAUUCUAAAUACCUGAAAUAUGGUUUGUCGAUCAAAAUAAAAUGUCUUCUUCGUCAUUUUGAAGGAAAAUCAUUGCAGUGAGAUGGCCAAGGAUAUUAAGGUUAGAUAUGCUUUUGGCUUUCCACAGGAUUUACGUCUUCAAAUUCUUGGUUGAUUUAUUUCUUGUGGUUCUUAGCUAGUGUUAUAUCUAGGAUUCCGAUUCUUCCAUACUUUUCAUGACUAUGAUCUCUUACGAAAUCAGUACUCGAUCGCAUAGCCAAUAGUUUCACUUUACAAGAACUGAAUCGCGCUCAAAGCAUGCGCAAUCAAGAGCCUAGCCUAGCCUAGCUAAUUGGCUAACAAAUGCUAGCAAAACAUGCAUUCAUCUAAUCAAAAUUGGCAAACUAACAAUACAACUGGGUCAAUAGUCCUGCAUCCUCUCUCUAAGUGGAAAAGAAAAGGACUCGAAGUUGCUUUAGCACUCCCAGUAGCUACAGUAGCCAUCAGAGAUAGUUGUACUUCCGUAACUUCCAAUAUCUUGAACUUGAAUUUAUACCAUCUGCUAUAAGUUGAAAGUUAUGACAGUACAAGUGUGAAAAAGAAAAGAAUUAAGCUCUUUUUCUAUAUAUGCCCAGCGAUGAGCUUUAAAGCAUGAUGACAGUUACACUUAGGAUCUCCGCUCUGCACUCUGCAACUCACUAGAAAGGUCAUCUCCCCAAUCAUGGUAAUGUGCAUGUUCAAAUUUAAGGAAAUUAUAACUCAUUCCAUGCACAGAAACCCAUUCACAUAUAAAUGUUUGUAACAGAAUUUUGACGUUUCCACCUCCGCCACCUACAGAUUAAAUCCGUCGAGUUACAAGAGCUCAAUGAAAAUCAUACAGCUAAGGGCUAAAACAGUAACAGGGAUAGGUCGAUGGUUGUCAUACACCCAGCUUUAGCUCGAAAAGGAAAUACCGUUACAUGGUAGCACAAAGUAAAAUAACAUUAAUCCAUGGGAGCCAGAAAAAGAACUCCGAAGCAUACCUCGAUCACCCAUCGCUUGUCCAUGUGAAAGCCAAAAGAACAAUGGUUAGUGCAGAAAAGAUGGUGGCACAAGGAAACACCCACAUGACCCACUUUGACCUUCUGCCAGAACUCUUCUCUUGGGUGCUCAACUCAACCUCCUUGAGCAGCUCUCUCACUCCAUCCAUGUCAGAGUCUUUGGCAGCUUGAAUCAGCCUGCUUUGAAUUUUUUCGAGCUUUAAGAGCCGUCUGUUUCUACGUGCAUCUUUGGGUGGCCAGAUGAAACCUGUCAUCUUCCAUAGGAGGAUACCCACGUAAAUGGCAACUAUACAGUCUACAGUAUAAUGGUGACGUUCCCUUAUCUCUCUUUGGGCACUGUGCAUUACAAGUAGCCAUACAAAGACCGAGCUGAGACCCCCAUAAGCCUCCUGUAAGGAUAAUAGAUACACGAGCAAUCUUCAGAAACUUUUGUCCAAACCAAUAGAACAUUAAAGGAAAGAAAACAUCUGAAAGGAUAUUUGAAGAUACUUGAUUUUGAUUGCUCAGGACUAAAAUGGAGAGAAGGGGUCAAAUGGGGAGGUAAAUUUCCCCUGCUCUUGUUGUGUUUAUUUUGCAGAAGAUGAACGAUUUGGAGUAUAUUUUCCUGAAAAUGACAGUUUGUGUCGCUAAAAAAAAAAAAAGGAAUAAAGAAGAAAUAUUUUCAUCGUCCACGAAAAUGCAUAAACAUAAAUUAUUGCCAAUAAUGAGAAUAUUUUUCAUUACCUAACUAUUUCAAGCAAUACAAACAAUAAUUUUAGCGAUAGUUUUUUCAAAUCAUUCCUUUUCCACCAAAAAAAAAACAAAAAACAAAAAACAAAAAACAAAAAACAAAAAAAACAAGAAGAAGCCUCUUAUAGUCUCCAAUCACUUGUAAAACUGGAGCAAAAGCAAGGGAUGCAGCUGCUUUUCUCUUCAGAUUCUCAUUUUAACCGUCAACACUCAAUUCAGUAAGAAAAUCUGAGAAAUAUUACAUUGAAACAGCUGGAGAGAUUGUGCUCUUCCAGACUUUUUGUUUCUUCUAUUUUCCAUUACCUCAGCCCACCACCCAAAGAAUUCUUUGCCAAGCAAAGAGUUAUCUUGAAAGGAAGAGGAUUUCUCUGCGAAGAAUGCAGAAUUGACAACUAGAGUUCAGGGGGGUACCGUCCAAGCCAUAGCUGUAAGUACAGCAACAAGCAUGUGGCCACUGUACAUGAGGUCAUUGCAACCACCUCCAGCUUUCUUCAGCAGACUGAACCAUGAAGACCCUUCAGAGACCGUUGGUCGCAAAAAAUCGAUGAGGAAGCUCAUUGCCCCCCAAUCAGGCCGGUAUUCUCCAAGGUAACUGCCAGUAUCAGCUGUCAAACACAGAAAACUAUGAGGUUGAUUCACAUGGGUUAAGGAAAUUUACUAGUUUGAAACGCAGACUACAACAGUGAAUUUCAUCCUUAACAAGAUUACUUACAUGAUUUAUAAGUUUUCCAUCAAAAAAUUCCACUUGACCUAAACUCCCGGAAUUUAAUAUUUGUAAGUAAUCGGCAUUUAAUUAUUUUGUGAAACAAAAAAUGAUAUGUAUGUAUAGUGAAUCCAAUGAUAUGCUUAAAGCCUAUCAAAAGAAAACAAUACGAACUAUUCAUUUGAAAUUCAAGAAGUCAAAAAUCUAGAGCGAGCAGACAACUGCAGAAAAUUGCAAUUUCUAAUCUGCUUGGAUGGUCAGGGAAGAAUAUUGUCCUAAACUCUCCUAUGAGAAAACAAGAGAGCAAGACAGACUAUGGCAAACAUAUGCCAUUAAAAUAUUCAACAUACCAUAUGCUAUAUCCAAAUUUAUUAUCUUGCGAAUAGUAUCAGCAUCUGAGGCGUAUGGUACAUAAUAUUUCUGGGCCCAACGAUGAGGAUAAGCUGGGACUCUAAACCUAGCAUAGGCACACCAGGGCCGAGCAGAUGGAAGAAUUGUAGAAGCGAAAGUUAUAGCCCGAAGAAGUCGACCAAUCGCCAUGGUGAACAUGUACCUAGCCCCUAGUCCAAGACCAGGAGCUUCUACAGAGUCGAACAACACAGAGAAAGCCAGCAUCAUGAACAGCAUCAGGAAAUGAUGAAGCCCAAUAAUUGGAGCUCUCAAUAUAUCAACGAUUGUCUGAGGAAGUUUUUCAUUUGAUGCUAGAAGCAGCCACUGGCCAGUGUCAGGAAGAGGAGGUGUAUCCCUGUCCAGAACGAAUUUUGCAUUAAAUUUCCUUCUUGUAAAGGUUAAAUUCUAACCUUGCAGGUUUACCACUAUGGUGUGGGAGACUGAAAUCAUAGAAAUCAAAUUGCUGCAUCAUACAUCAAUAAUAUUAUGUAAUUUCCUGCCUAGAUACAAUCGAGGCAUCAUGAUGGAACUUCCAUGGCAGAAAUAGAGCUAUAAAUGGAGCUACCAUAAAAAGAAAGUGAGAAUUUUUUUUUUCUUUUACAAACAAUGGAGAAUGAUACUCAAGUGCAUUAACUUUCCUCCUCAUUGCUGCAUCAAACAGAUCAAUGCAUCACAUUUCAUCACAUGGUUUAUUCAGUGAAGCAACAGUUAUCUAGCCAUCGUCAUCAGUGUCCUCGUCAUUGUUGCAUCAAACAGAUCAAUGCAUCACAUUUCAUCACAUGGUUUAUUCAGUGAAGCAACAGUCAUAGUGCUGGCAGUAUCUAUUCAAGUCAUGUAGAUGCUUUCUGAGUGUACAGAUUUCAUAAAUUUCUGGAGCCAUGCAUCGUUAGAGAUGUUUUGUAAUUAGACUUACAAUCACAUAAGAUAUUACACUUUGUGGACAUUCACCAGAGGCAAAAUGUAAAUCUUGGAAUUUGUUUGAUGUUUACAAGUCCUGCAAUUUCAUCUUGAAAUCUUUUUUGACAAUAAAACGUCACGGCCAAAUUAAUCAUUGUACAUUUUCUUUUUGAAUUUGAGUAGAGACAGCUAAAGAAUAUGAAGGACACUGAAAACAACCUUAUGGCAAAUGGCAGCAGUGUGGCACUUUAGAUAGCAAUCUCUACUCCAGGUUCAGUAUGCCAGAGUAAAAUCAUGCUGCCUUAGUCCGAAUCAAACUUCCAAAUGAAAAUCGACAAGCACAAACACAUGGCAUUGGUGAAUAAUGUUCAUGAGAUGGAGUGCAUGAUACAAAAAUCUUUGAGAUCAUGCAUUAUAAUCCCAUCUUGUAGAGUACCACAUUAAAAUCAUCCAUGAAAUGAAACCAUCAUAAGAUCCAAAAGCCCAUGUUUUGUCUUCAUCUUUGAUGUUCUAACUUCUAAGGAUCACUUUUAAUAAGGAUUCCCAAUUAAGCAAAUUCAACAUUGUGAGACAUCAAAUGGAGUAGAAUAAAUUCACGGAAGAAUGUAAAUAAAACAUAAUCACAUAUGCCUGGCAAUUUGGAAACAUUUUUUGAGUAGCAAAACCUUAAUAAAGCUUGCAUAUAUCAAGAUAGAUGGCAGGAAUGACUCCUGAUUUGCAUAAGCUCAAGAACAUAAAGAGUGCAAGUCCAGACUUUGAAUCCCAUUUCAUCAACACCUUAUGGACUUAUCCACAUAAAAGAGGAAAAGAGUUGAAUAAUUUCAUUAAUUGUUAUUUGUUCAGAAAAACUCUCAUCAUCACGUACUUUUGCUCAUCUGAGUAUUGAUGAACUCAUAUAAAUCAUUCCAAGGCAUGCAUGCGUGCAAAAAAGGAAAGAGGCCGAGCAAAAAUUCUACCUUUGCAAUCUUUUCCGAAAUUCAAUCCCAUUCAAAGAGUAAAAUUUCCAAGAAUCAUGGGUUCAUAAUUGAAUAAACACCCCAUAUGGAAACAUCUGUAGAGAGCAGCAGACACUAAACAGAAAGGUUCCACUCAAGACAGCAUUUAAUUAUAGUUGAAAAAACGUACUAAUUAAUGAUCAUGUAUCCAUAAAUAGAUUCAUUCAAAUCUCAAGUUGCAAUCUUUCAUCGAAAUCUUCCCAAAAAAGUCCAUUAUUUCCAAUCGAUCAAGAUGACUUGCAAUCGCACAAACAACUUCCCCGUCUUCGACAUCGCAAGCCGAAUUCGCGUUCGGCAACGAAAUCGAACUCAACCGCAACCCGAAUUCGAGCUCACCGAAGUUCAGAUAAACGCAAUUCGAGCUAACGGAACUCCGAUCCAGGCACAAUGGAACUAGAAAAAGGGACCGAAGUCAUCGACUGAGCUCGGCUAGAAUCACCUGUGCCAGUCCAAGCCGAGCACGGCGGUGACGGAGCGCACGGAGAGAGCUUCGAAGAGGAGGGCCAGGAGCAUGAACACCAUGGAGGCGACGAAAGGCAGAGCGGAGCGGAACUCGGCCGACCAGUGCCGGUAGUAGGGGACGCGGGAGACGGCGACGAGGGCGAGCACCGACCAGAGCGCCGGCUGGAGGCGGGCGUGCCACGCCGGGGACAGGCGGCGGAGGUAGUCGACGGCGACGUAGGACAUGGCGGCCACGCCGAGGCCGCCGGAUCGCGGCGGCGCCCGCCAUCGCAUGGCGGCGCCGAUGGUGGUUGGACAAGUAGCGAGCUCCGAUCCAGUAAUAGUGUAAUGGCUGAACACUCCGCUGCGCCUUCGCUCGUCCUAGAAAGUAGAAAGGCUUUACUAAUGUUUUGUCGAACUUUCAUUAAUUUUCAAUUUCUUUUUUUUUUUUUCUAUUUUUCGAGACUUAAAGUUUCCUUUUGGAUCAGUUCACUUAAUUAUGUUUUAUGCUUUUAAUGUUGUCAACACGUGUAAAUUAGAUUUUUUAAAUUGAUAACAAAAUGAAGAAGUAUACUCAUUUUAAUGUUAAUUAGCAAUUAGAUUUGAAAUCGAAUCGAAUAACCACGAAGAUAAUUUUUUAAAUCAGCUCAGUUCAACUUGAUUAGUAAAUAAAUCUACUUUGGAUUGAACUCGAAAUCAAAUUCGUAAAGUCUGCUAUUCACUAUAAAAUCUCACUCUUCCACUCUAAAAACUCUCUCAUCGAUUUGAGCAACAAUAUUGCCUAGAAAACAUGACCUUUAAAACAAAUAAGGGAAAUCCUCUUAUAUUCAAACUAAUAGAUUGCAUUCAAAAUUUACUAUAUUCAUAUUUACAUGUGGUUCAAAUAUGCUUGUCUUAUAAUACAAAUACAAUUGCCACAAUUUUCUUGUCAGCAGUUAAUAUCAUGUAAUAUUGUUUUAGGAAAUCUUUUCUUAAAAAUUUGCUUGAUGAUAAUGAAUGUUAAGAAUUUUUAACAUGCUUAACUAUAUCAUGCUGUUAAUUUUUUUUUUUUAAAUAUCUAUCAAUACAAGAACGACAUGAAAAUAAAUAACAUUGGAUGAUUAGAUCCACCGAAGACAAUGAAAGCUAAGCAGUUAAAAUUACCCGAUUGUGACAUAAUGAGCUAUAUUAAAGUUAUAAUUAAAUCAAAUGCAUUAGUUAAAACUAGCAUAUACUUCUUUUCAUUUUUACUUGCGCUUAGACUAUUUUCAGAUUUGGAGAACAUUCUAUGUAUAGACACACAAAACUCAUUAACCCAAUAACUAGUUGGCUAUCUGUCAAAUAUGGAUAAGAGGGUCACUAGUUUUAUCUCAAAUUGGGAAAAAUGAAAACUAAAAGAAGAAAAAGAAACCAAACAAAAUCAAGAAAAUAAAGGCAAGAUUUAAGCUUAAAUCAAGAAUUGAUCCCACAUUAGACAUUAGAGUCUUCAUUGUGCAAUCAAGUUGUGAUUGGAAAAUUUUACUUCCAAUAGCACGUUAAAGUGGGACCCAUAAUGUGAUAAAUGCAAGAUGAUAGAAGUAUCUUUCAUCGUAUUUGGGAUUGAAAAUGCGCUAGCCUUUUCUAAUUUAUGAAUAUAGUUAUUCAAGUAGUCUCGGGAGCAUCUCAAAUGAAGCACUCCUGAACAUACUUUUGUCCUGAGACCUGUUAAUUAAUGGCCAUAAUGAAUAAACCAACCUCAUCAUUCAUAUAUCUGCACUUGUCUUUUGUUUACUAUGCUGGAGUCAUGGGAUCCUUCCCCAGCAGGCUUUCCAUUAGUUAUGGAUAUGGACUCUGUUAAUCACGGACUGUGAACAGCUUAACGCAUCACCAUGAGGAAAUUCAUGUGAAUUCAGUCGAAUUAGUAGUAAUGUUUCGCAGAAAUGCAUCGCUCAAUUCAGGAACGGUGGCAUUCUCCAGCAGGAAUUAUCAUCCAAACAGAAGAAGAGGUUCUUAUUGCUAAUGUCACUGCUCAUAUUCAUAGUGAUCAGGAUCAUGAGACAAAUCCUUGGGAUUCUUACAAGACAAUAGUCUUCACAUCGAUUUAGUUAUCGGGCAGGACUUAUUCGCAAGCCAAGUUUCGCAGAUUGCCUGGCAAAGUUCGUCGCUCCUUCACUUAUUGUAGAUUUUGAUGUCUCUCCACCUCGAUUCCAUGUAGUAGCUUAUUUUAGUCGGCGCCCCAUACACUCCACACUUGAAGUACAGAUCGCCCGGCCCUUUGUCGGCCACCUGGAACACUUGAUUCCCGUCAAGAAACACGGUCACUUUCCCUCCAUCGACGUCGUGGAUUAUGUUAAGCCUGAACCACCUGUCGUAAAGGCCGGUGGCAAUAAGGUUCCCGCUGUAGUACCGCAUGUCCCCAUCAUAGAUCCUCAGGAUGAUGGUAGUAGCUCCGUGAGCUGCGCCAUGUAUUUGGGCUAUCGUGGCGCCAGAUGUCCCAUUGGGCACAAAACCGUGCCCUUCGAAUUGCCAGACUCCAGAUGAGUAGUCUAGACCCUGCCAAAUGUGUAACCUUGGAGCUUACAAAGACGUGGUAAAAAAAUCGAGGAGGGAACAGAGAAAUCCGGCCAGAAUUAGAAAAGAUUCUGCUAAUCCGAUCAGUUUCUGGUUCAGUCAAUCACUACCGCAACGAUGAACCGUAGGGGGGUUGGAGGAUUACUUUGAUCCGAACUUCGGUGCGUGGUUGAGUGUGACUGCUUGGAUCGUGGGGCUUGUCGUCGGCGUAGACCCACAGCUUGCGCACCCCAUCCACAAAGCUGUAGCGCUCAUCCAGUGGAAUGUUGUAAUGCUUCUGCAGCUCGAAGUUUGCAUCUGUCAACGGUACCUCAGUGAAACCGUCCGUAGGAUCAGCAGAACAGAACAGAUUGGAUUUCGAAUAAUGACUCGAGACCAGGACGACAAAGAACAACAGUACAUGGCUAAAAGGAAUUUCCAUUUUUCUUUCUUGUCAGUCUUGAGAAAUUGUUGAGGAACUAGUGAAGGCAAAGCUUCUAUAUGUAGGGACGGCAUAAACAAUGUAGGAACCAGAUGAUUUUUUAAUCUUAACACAACAGGGCAGAUCCUUUGGUGAUCUUUCCUUGGACAGACAUGCUUGUCCUUUUGACAAUCUGAACGACCAUGUCUCACCUAUGUAAUCUAAUGUGUAUGUACAAGUGAUUCCUAGGUUCUGAGAAAGUGUAUGACCGUCCAAUUAUGUCAAUGUAAAAGGGUUGAAUGAUGCUCCAUCACUAGUCCUCAACAGCUUUGUUGCUGGUUGGGCGGUAAGGGGCUCUAUAUAAAUUAAUAGUUUUAGAUCUCUCUGAUCCGUUAUUGAUCUAAUGUGGAGAAAGAUAUGUUCGUUAUACCUGUCAUGACUUGUUUAGGAAUGUUCAAUUCAUGGGGUGGCUGGAGCAUUACAGGAGGGACUAUGGCGAAUCCAAGUAUUUGGAGUUACGAAGGCAUGGCCAAUGCACAUAUCCUGUUUUCUAGUUUGUGCUUCUUGGCAGCUCCCUGGCAUUGGUUGUAUUGGGAUUUAGAAAUAUUUUGUGAUGAGCAUACAUGAAAACCUUCUUUAGAUCUGCCAAAUCCCUUGAUUGGAAGUUAAGGGAUACGCAGAUACUACAAAUGAUUAAUUGAUCUCUUUUUCUACAUUUGGAGGUCUCUCGGUUCGCCCAAACCCCACGAGUAAAUAGAAAGUUGGAUCUACAUUAGAUCUCACCUGAAUUGCUCCAUCUAUCCUCCUAAGGAGAGGUUUGGCUUGGAACUGGUAGCAGGUUUAGUUUGUUAAUUAUUGUUUAUGGAUUCCAACAAUGGCAGAUAUGUCGUGGAUUCUUUCCGAGGGUAGGUAUUCUUGCACUCCAUUACAUUGACAUUUGACAUAAACAAUGCUUCCCUGAUAUUUUGGCCUGAUAAAUGCAAACUUGGUUUCUGUCUUUUCUAUCAUACAGUGACGAACAACAAUAUCAUGCCGAAUAUGCACUUUGAGGUCCAUUGCAAGUUGUUUUCAUUGCCUCAGCACAUCGCUUUCACACCACAUCGAAUAUUUACCGGUGCCAUUUUAUCAUGGUCAUCUUCAUCAAUUUCAUCCAUCCGUGUUUGUGGGGGUUUAGACACAAGUUCAUUAAAAUACAAAUUAAGAGCUUAGAGAGUUUUGUUCAUUUUUGGCACAGCUAAGUAUGCCACUGUUUCAUUUACAUCGAGCAGUCACACAAAAUUCUCCAAAAUUUGGAGAAGGCCGAAAUGAAUCUUCUUGGUUCACGCAUUCUGCUGUAAGUUCAUGCAGAGAAUCCAAUGAUCACAGGGAGACACGCGCUUGGCAUUGUUUCCUUCUGUUUUCUUGUUCAGUAAGUCUGAUCACGCCGAUUAAAGUCUCUGUGUGCUAAUCGAAUACCAUUAGAAUGUGGCUCUUUCCUCUUUGAUGGAACUCUCAGUUCUGGAUUCCGAACGCUUGGAAUCGUCUCCUUCUGUUUUCUUCUUCAGCAAGUCUGAUUACACCGAUUAAAGUUUCUGUGUGCUAAUCGGGUACCGUUAGAAUUUGGCUCUUUCUACUUGAUGGAACUCCCAGUUCUAGAUUCCCAAAAAACUGGAUAAUUUACAGCUCAACAGUCGGACAUUUCAGAUGACUGGGGGCACGCAGAACAUACACGAAGGCCAACUAUGAAUGUUACUAGAAUGUAAAUAAACCAAGGGGCAAGUCAAUGAUUCUUGAGUGAUCCCAUCAUUAACUAUGCUGACUGAUCUACAAGAAGCAGAUGAAAAAUCAUAGUCACGACAUGAUCUUCUGUCAAAUUUCUCGGAUACCUCCUAUUUUCACUUUCCAUUAAAGGAUUGAUCCACUUGAUCUGUCAGUUCUUAUAUAUAAAAUAGAAUAAAAUCUAACCGCAACCAUAGGAGAGAUCUAAAAAUGGAAAUUUAGAUUUAGCAUGAAGAGAUUGUGCCACUUUUUGUUUGGCUGAACAAGACGGGGGACGAGGGUGCUAAUAAAUUUGUGAGCUAGUUGAUUAGCGCAUGCAUAGAGGCUCAUCAACGGAGCUGGUGUCACAUAUGUGGAGUGACAGAGAAAGAAGCUCCGGGAAUUCGUCUUUGAGAGCUAUUUGUCGAUUAGCAUGUCUUUUCCUAAUUCGACGUGUUUAGACCACCUACAGCUAACUGUAUAUUCAGCCCACGCUUCAUACUUUGGACUAACUGCAAUUUCUAGCACUUUUCUGCAAUAAGCUGACUUUGCAGGUCCCUUGUUUUGCAUAUCAUAGCCUUAAUCACCUCACAUGAGAAGGCAGCUUUGGAUGCAACAUCCUAGAGUUCUCUGUGGUAGAAAGCUUUCGGUUGAUUAAUCAGUUAAGAGGCAUUAACUCAAAGCCAAGCGGCACAAAACCAAAACAACCACCUAACAGAUGAAGAGGUUUUUGACUAAGAGUAAAUUUUGGCAACACUUUGAACUUUUGGUUAGCUCAUUGUGACCCUGCUGACUUUCUUUGCUAGCCAAGUUGCCCUUUAAGUACUCUCUCACUUCUUGUAUAUUUUGAUGUCCUUCCACCUCGAUUCCAUGUAAUAGCUCACGUUUGGGGGCGCGGCAUACACUCCACACUUGAAGUACAAGUCGCUGGGGCCACGAUCUUGCGUCACGAGCUUUAGAGUCCCGUCAAGGUAAACCUCCACGAUGCCUUGAUCCCUGUUGUGGAUCACGUUCACCCUGAACCACUCGUCGUAAAGAUUGGUCGCAAUCAGAUCGCGAAGGUAGUAUCGUACAUCACCUUCAUACAUCCUUAGUAUCAGAGUAGUGGCGUGCCCCAUGCCACCAUGGAUCUGCAGUAUGAUGGCUCCGGAGGUCCCAUUUGGCGCGAAACCAUGGCCCUCAAAUUGCCAUACCCCAGAUGAGUAGUCAAGCCCCUGUGAGAAAGUACGUUAGGAUCAAGUCGAUGACAAAUCUUGAUGUGAGUUUCUGAAGCCAGACCGACCAGAACUCCCAACACCAUAGUGCAGGUAUCCGCAUAAGAAAAGAAAAUUCAAAGUUCUUAAAUGGAGGGAUCGCGAGAGUACUCUUAUGCGAAUUUCCGUCCGCGGCAUGGUCUUACUGUCAGGUUCAUGCGGUCUAUCAUCUGCAUAGACCCAAAGCCUCCUAAUUCCAUCUGUGAAACUAUACCUCUCCUCCAACAGCUGGUCAUACGGUUUCUGUAUCUCGAAGUUCGACUCGGUCAGUGCACGAUGGUGAACCCAUCAAUGGGAUCGGCGCAGACACAAUCUAUUUCAAUGAUAUAAAAGAGGAUGAGGCCCAGGAUCAGAUGUGAAGGACGCAUCUUCUUCAGUUAUUGAUCCUGUGAAGUUACAAGGAAAAGCUGAGCUAUGUACUGCUAGGACUAUCAAAUCCACGAAUGAGAGACAACACAAAAGCCUAGAACUUUUUUCUGCACCAGUGUCAGCGUCUUGUUGCCUCAAUUAGAAAGCUUUUACGUAGCCCCUAACACCAAGAAGAGGUCAAAUGCUUGGUGCAGAUUGAAGCUUUGGUUCUAUUACGCGGAAAAUCAGAGAGCCUGCGGUAAGAGAGAAGAAGGAAGAGUGGAGAAAUAGAGAGAAGUAGAGAGAAAAAAAAGAGAGCUCGCGAAAGCCAACAAGGGGCUUUUGGCUUCUAUGUUCCCCAAGCCCUACACCUAUGGGAAUAUAUUUAUAUUGAAUAUAAAUCGUACAAAACCAUAAUGUUUAUAUGUAUGUAAAAAGAAAUAAAAACCCAGAAAAUAAAACUGACACCAAUCAAGUUACAUAACAAUUUUAACGGUUGCCAAUUGAGGACGACAAAGUUUGCUGUGUCACUCAACUAAAUUAUGGCAGAAAGCUCCAAACUUUGUUGACUAAGACUUUCUUCCUGGAUUGAAGGCCAUGUCUCCCUUUUCGUGUUUUUGUCAGAUUGGAAUCAAAUUUUGGGGAUGGCAUGAAGACUCUUAUGCUUACGUUGAAUCAGAAUAAGUACAUCAGGAGUGCUAUAACUUUUGUACAGCGCUCAUUUAAACAUUAUGAUUUUUUUUUUGUUCACUUGAAUGUCACAGUUUUAAAAAAUCGAUCACUUAAGUGCCAUUAACAAUUUGCCUCGCUAAAAAAGCCAACCUAAUUCUAAUUUAUAAUACGUCAUCCAACAUACACAGAAAGUUGAAGUGAGCUAAGAAGACAAAUAUGUUGCUUGAUUAUUUGAUUGAAGAAUGGCAACAAUUCUAACAAUUUCACGAUAACCAUUUCAGUGCCAUAAAAUUUUAGAAGUAACCACUUAGGUUCAUCAAUUUUUUUAUUUUUUUUUAAGAAACCACUUAAGUGAUAAGAAAAGAGAGAGAGUUUGAAAACGACAUCAUUUGAGGAAGAGAGAAUCUAAAAAUGACGUCAUCUGUUUGUAAAAGAUUUUAAAGAAGCAACAAGAAACAACAACAUUUGUUGUAAUCUUGUCAUGUUGGACAAAAAUUUCCACGCUACAUUUCGGUUUAUUUUUAAAAAUUCCACAUCAGAAUGGAAAAUUAAGAAACAAGUCCUUGUAGGCUAAUUUACCGAAAAUGACCAAUGUGUCAUUUAAGUAAAUGAAAAAAAUAAUUAUGACAUUCAAGUAAGCAUUGUACGAAAGUUAUAAUAUUUAUAUUCUUAUUAAAUCAACAUCUGCUCUAAAUUUUCUUGGAAAGAAGAGAGCUUUGAAUUAAAUAGUAUUAUCUUAUAUCAUGAAUAUAUUUUUUUUGACAUAUCAUUUUACGUUAACUUUGUCUCGUGAGAAACUUGUCAAACUGAAACCUAAUAUGUUAACCAAAAAACUCAAUUUUUAUACUGUAUUGGAUCUUAUUAAUAGUGGCUUAAAAGUACAAACUAAGACAUUAAAAAUAAUUAAUAUGUUUAUGUCUCCAAAGCAUAAUUUAUGACCUUUAACGAGUGCUUGAAGGGCACUCUUUGCCAUUCUCGUUUUACAUUUAAUGAAGCGAAAACGAGCAGUGAUUUGCAAAAGUAACCAAUAGUUCAUUUAACAGAUAAACUGAAAAUACGCAUGACAACUUGGUCUCUUCUGCUAGAGCGCCAGGUAAAGAAUCAAGCCAAUCCAGUUAAACCCCGUUGAAGUCAAGCUCGAUGGAUUGCAUAAAAUGGUAAAAGAACCAAUGCCCCCCGAUAAGUAAUCCUAACGGACCAUAUAUCCAAUCUCCGACGACCAUGAACUUUCAUUUAUUCUAUACAAGAAGCCAGGAAUUAAUCUUAAAAUGAUCUCACGUUGUCAUUUUCUUUACUUCCAAAUCCUUCGCUCGCUUUGUUGUUGCGAGACACAGAUACAAGUACUCUUCAAGCUCGUCCACUCGCUCCUGAAAUGCGAUGUUCCUCGUCCUGAGCUCGUUCGCCAAUGGCUCAGAAGUCUUUCCGUCCCUUCUUGUCAAACAUAGAUGAACCAUGGCUUUAUUAUGCUUGAUCUCGUCACCAAGUUGCGAUACUAGCUGUAACCAUAAUGUAGGGGUGUAAAUGGUUCGGUUCAGAUUGGUUUUUUUGAAGAACCGAACCGAACCGGACCAAUAAGGAAAUUUGCGCUCAUUGCCGUGAUAUCCAUUUGUUCUUCGACUUUCUCGAGAAACCGAGUCCAUGCAAAUCCGAAUGAGUUGGACAUUCUUUUCAUUCUUAUCUAGUAGUAUAUAUAUAUAUAUAUGUGUGUGUGUACACACACAAAACUCAUUAACACAAUAUCUAGUUGGCUAUCUGUCAAAAAAGCUAUUUUUCUUUGGAAAAGAGUUUCGCUAGUUUCGUCUCAAAAAAAAAAAAAAACAAACAAACAAACCAAAGAAAAAAGGCGAGAUUCAAGCUUAUACCAAGAGUGGACCCCACAUUGGACCUUAGUCUUUGUUGUGCGAGUAGUAAUUGAAAAUUUUCACUUCCAACAGCAUGCUAUAAUGUGACAUAUUCAAGACAUAGAUGUGUCUCCAGUCGUAUUUGAGAUUGAAUAAGCUCGCGAGUCUUUAAAUAGUCUCGUGAGCAUCCCGAAUGAAGUACUUUUGAACAUGCUUUUGUUCUUUAACACCUGUUGAUGAAUGGCCAUACUCCAUAAACCAACGUUAUCAUUCAUAUUACUGCAAUAGUAUUUUGUUCACUACGAUGGAAUCAUGACAUCCUUCCCUAGUAAUCUUUCAAUUAGUUAUAAAUAUGGACUCCGUUGAUCACCAAUUGUUAACAACUAAAUGUGUCGCGCAAGGGAUUCAUAUAUAACUUAUGUGGAUUCAGCUGGUUGUUGAGAAAGAUAACAGAAAAUCAGUUGAAAGAUGCCAAGCCCCAGUCAAAUCAUAAGGCAGUGUGUCCUGAUCCUACCCGAACCGACCCGAAAAACAUAAUACCUGAAGCAAUAAUUCGGGUCGGGUGGGGUUUUGAGUUUGCGUAUCCCCCCUCUUCCCCCUUUUCCUCUCUUUACCUCUUCUUUAUCGCCCAAUGAGUUUUAGGCUAAAACUCGUGUAUGGAGCGCCAGCUAACAUAAGCUCGUUGCCUUUCACUUCAUGUAGAUUUUGAUGUCUCUCCACCUCGAUUCCAUGUAGUAGCUUAUGUUAGCUGGCGCCCCGUGCACUCCACACUUGAAGUGCAGAUCGCCAGGCCCUUUGUCGGCCACCUGGAACACUUGGUUCCUGUCAAGAAACACGGUCACUUUCCCUCCAUCGACGUCGUGGAUUAUGUUAAGCCUGUAUCACCUGUGGUAAAGGCCGGUGGUGAUAAGGUUCCCACUGUAGUACCGCGAGUCCCCGUUGUAAAUCCUCAGUAUCAGGGCAGUAGCUCCAUGAGCUGCACCGUGUAUCGGGGCUACCAUAGCGCCGGAUGUCCCAUUGGGCACGAAACAAUGCCCUUCGAAUUGCCAGACUCCAGAUGAGUAGUCUAGACCCUGCCAAAUAUGUAACCUUGGACCUUACAAAGAUGUACAAAAUCGAGGAGGGAACAGAGAAAUCGAGACAGAAUUGGAAAAGAUUCUGCCAAUUCAAUCAGUUUCUUGUUCAAUCAAUCACUACCACGAGGAUGAACCGUGGUGGAUUUGAGAAUCACUUUGAUCUGAACUUUGAUGCAUGGUUGAGUGUGGCUGCUUGGAACGUGGGGCUUGUCAUCGGCAUAGAACCACAUCUUGCGCAACCCAUCCACAAAACUGUAGCGCCCCUCCAGUGGCAUGUCGUAAGGCUUUUGCAGCUCGAAGUUUGCAUUUGUCAAUUUUACCUCAGUAAAACCAUCUGUAGGAUCAGCAGAACAGAACAUUAUGUAUUUUGGAUUAUGACUCGCAACCGGGAUGACAAAGAACAACAGAACAUGGCUACAAGGAAUCUCCAUCUUAGUUUCUUGUCUGUCUUGAGAAAUUGUUGAGGAACUAGUGAAGGCAAAGCUUCUAUAUGUAGGGACAACAUAAACAAUGCAGGGACCAGAUAUGAUUUUCUAAUCUUGACACAACAGAGCAUAUCCUUUGGUCUUCUUUCCUUGGACGGACAUACUUGUCCUGUUGACAAUUUGAAUGACCUUGUCUCAUCUAUGUAAUCUUGUGCAUAGACAAGUGAUUCCUAGUUCAACGGUUGAUAAUCGAGGAUGACAAAGUUUGCUGUGUCGCUCACCUAAAUUUUAUGCAGAACGCUCCAGACAUUUGUUGAAUAAAAGACUUUCCUUCCUGGAUUAAAGGCCAUGCGCUUUUCGUGAUUUUAUCAGAUUGGAAUCAAAUAUUAGAGAUGGCCUGAAGACUCUUAUGCUUAUAUUGAAUCAGUAUCUACUCUAUAAGUAUUUGGAAAGGAGAGCGCUUUGGAUUAUAUUGGAAAGGCGUGCUGGUUAGGGUUACCGAUUGGACUGGUUAGAACAAUAGAGGGAAUGAUAAUUAACUCCGAGGUGAUUGUAUUCAUGUCGUUCCUUGAGCAUUCAUCAUCACUAAGCAUCGAAUGCUCUUCGCACUAUGUGGUUCCUUGCUUUGAUUUGCUGGAUCCAAGUGAGAGGGUCUAUGCAUAUACUCGAGUUCCGCGGGGAUCAAAUCAAAGCACCCCAGUAUAUGAGAUGUUCUUUCAUGGGAGUGCAGUGAAGACGGCACUUGAUGAGCAUUCGCAGGAAAUUGUCCUUUUGUCAUACAAAUAGAUGAAAGAUUAGUUCGGAAUGCAUUAAGGUACUCUUCAUUGACGUCUAUGCUUUUCCGAGCGUCCUUUAGUUCUUCUCUAUCUGAAGCAUCUGCAAAAUGCAUUGACAGGUCUGCAUCAUGUUGCUGUAGACGAGGUAAGACUUGAUUAAUUCUAACAAACACAAGCUUAUUAUUAAAGUCAUUUUGUUAUUGUGCAGGCUUAUUCUAAUAGAUUACGCCAAUCGCAUCUCAAAAAAUGGAGCAAACCAUCACAAACCAUAAGUUACUGUACUGAUUUUUUUGGUGCUCGGUUUCGACCCAACCCAUAUUGCGAUUCGAUUCAGUCCACGGACGACUUCAUCUAUAGCACGAGUUUAUAUCCAUUGUCUUUGGUGGAAAUACAAAGAUGAGGGUGAACCUUGGAUUAGAGAGUUAACUUCACUCCUUAAAAUCAACCAUUUUCAGCACUUGAAUGAACUGAGAAUCAUCAAAAGCAAGCAUAAGUAUAUUAUACCUUCGAAAUCAAGUGUAUACGCUAUAUUUGCCGAAAAGUGACAUACUUUUAAUGUUCAUGCUAAGAGAUUAAUGCUUGGGACUUUAUUUAGAUUGUUACAACAAUUUUUUUCUUUUUAUAUUUGCUAGGCAAAAGGCUAGGAAGGGCGACCAGUAUCAACAACCCCUUAAAGGUAAUUUUGCAUAAUGACGCAUCACUAAAAUGUCCAUGGCCGUGACACUUGAAAUGCCUCUUCCAUCUACUUUUAUAUGGAGCUCUUUAUCAUACUCCAUAAGUUUCUCCUCUUCAUAGGAAGAAAUACACCAUAAAUAUCUUAACUUGUGUACAACACUUACUAUAGUGCCACAAUUUUUUGUCGGCUUACUUAAGUGCCACUUUAAAAAAAAAAAAUGAUCACUUAAGUGCCAACUCGGAUUUGAGUCAAACAGAAAUCUAACGUGAUAAUAUUUUAAUGAUUUAUCAAUCCUACGCGGCUUGCUAAUGUGCUCAAUCAGCAUAUAAUCUCUAAAUGAUGUCGUAUAGCAAGUUAAAAAGUGACCACUUUAAUGUCAAUUUUAAUGAAAAAGUAUCAUUUCAGUGCCAAAAAACCCCCUAAAUGAUGUCAUGUAGCAAGUUAGGAAGUAAUCAUUUUAGUGCUUGUUGUUAAAGGAAAAAUGAUCACUUCAAUACCAAUUACUAUUAAAAAGUGAUCACUUCAGUGCCAAUCUUAAUGAAAAAGUGAUUACUCCAGUGCCAAAAAAUAACACAUAACAUUUUUAAUUAUAAAAGUUAUGUAAUUUCUCUCACUAGAAUUUUUCGCAAAGAGGCACUUAAGUAAUCGUUUUUGUCCAAUUUUGGCAUUUAAGUAAGCUGGCAAAAAAUUGUGGCACUAAAGUGAGUACUGUACAUAAGUUAAGACACUUUUGGUGUACUUCUCUUCCUCUUCUUACUCUUGUUGUGUAGAGCCUAUUUGAUAAUACUCUUGAGAAUAACCAAUUUUGUUCUUUUGUUCCUCAAAACAAAAAAAGAAAAGAAAUCUAUUUGAUAAAAAAUUUAUUCUUGGAAAUAGAUUUGGAAUAAAAUCAAGAAGUGAAAAAAAAUAGCUUUUUGUUCUCUGGAACAAUUUUUAGAAUCAAACCAAACUUUUUCUUUUUUCUUUUCUUUUCUUCUUUCCUCCUUCUCUCUUCUUCAUCUUCCUCCAAACUAUGUCACUGGUGGCUGGUGACUGGCUGGGCAAGAUUCGGCGAGCUCGCCAACGGCUCGCUUGGCCAAGGCAAGCCUCGACCUUGCCAAGGCAGCGCGAUGUUGGCCUUGCCAAUGACUAAUUGAGGUUGACCUCGCUAGGUCCGAAGCAAGACUAGGUCUCGCUAGGCUAGGGCGACGUUGACCUUGCAUCGCCUAGGCAAGGUUGAGCCUUGCUGGUGGCCUAGCGAGCCAAGGUUUGCUGUGGCUAGGUAAGCUUGCCGAACCUCACCCAACCAAUCAUCAGCCACCGCUGCAGUCUGCGACCGGCCACAAAGAAGAAGGAAGGAGAAGAGAAAAAGAAAAAGAAAAAGAAAAUAUAAUAAAGUAUCUAAAAAUUAAAAGAAACAAAAAAAAUUAAGUAUCCUGUCGAAUGUAUUUCUAUCCCGAGAAUAUAAAUUUUAUACAGUUACCAAGCGUCUUCAAAAACUCAAAAAUUGUUCUUGGAAACAGAAUAAACAAAUAUCAUUUUUGAGCAAAAAUUACUCUCCAGAACAUAAUGAUUACCAAAUGCGCCCCAAACAUCAUCAUUCCUAUCUCGCCGGAUUCUCUAAGCAGUUGAGUACCCACUCUAUUUGUCUUUGAAGAUUCUCUAUGGCACAGUCUUGCCUUUCGUUAUGCGCUUUCUCCAAAGUCAAGCCUCUUAGAACUAGAUCAUUCAUUUGAAGUAUGAGUCUAACGACAGAAAGGAAUAACUCAAAACAAGUUCAACUUGAGCUAUGUUACCAAUUUUAUGCGUGUGCGGGUGAGUGAUUUUGGAAAUAAGGACUAUUAAGGUUAAGUGCAUGGAUAGGUGUGUUAAGUGAUUAUGAAAUGAUGCGUAAUGGAUGAAGGAUAUGGGAAGGUUCACCACCAAGGCAUAAAGGCACAAGCCACCAACCAAGGAUAAAGAACCAGUAUAGUGGCAGCUCACCACCAAGGCAUAAAUAAUGUUUACAUUUGAGAACUCUCCUCUAAUUAUAGAGGAACAAAGACAUAGAAAAUAGACAAAUAUUAAAGAGACAUGGGGACUCCCCGAAUAUUAAAGACAUAGGAACUAGAAAGCAAUUAAAGUCUUAGGAACUAGAAAGCUUAAUAAAGAUUUAGGAACAAGGAAAUGUAUUUAUGAGAUAGAGACUUGAAACCUUGACUCUUCAACCUUGUGGUUCAUCUUCCAAAAUUCGUCCACCAGCUUGAUCAUAAAAUAACCAUUUUGGGAGAUCAACAAAUAUCUAAGGAAAUUGCUCAUAAUUGAUUUUCAUCGAUAUGUUUUUGAUUAGCUAUGAAAUCAACAAUUAGUCUGGUCAAUCAAUAUUUUAAUGCUUGAUCGGCAAGGGAAGAAUCGACAACUCCUUAAUCAGUAGCUUGGUGGUCAAUUGGUCACCAUGAAAUUAAUAGCUCAUCGAACCGACAACUCUUUUGCUAAAUCAACAUCUUCAACUUGAACCCAUCAAGUUAGAUUGUAGUCAAAAUUGGCAUUUUGCUUCCAAACAUAGAAAUAAGUCUGAUUAAUCGACAAAAUCUGAGCUGAGCUCGUGAGUUGAUCGAUAGAGCUCGAUACUCCCACAUCCGCUUAGGAACAAAGAUAUUGAAAGAAAAGACCAAGCAAGAUAAUUUUCCAUUAGAACAGUGAAACUAAGGUUACAUGUUGUCUACAAAAUCUCUCACUUCCUUUUGGAAAAUCGUCAUGUCUAGCUCUAAGCAACUAUUAUCAAACACUAACUGGUUCUUAGCACGUCGAUGUUCGGCCAACUCUUUGUUUAGUCGAUACUGCUCGUCAAAAAUAUCAAGAUGACUUUCCAGAGUUCUGGCUGCCUGAAUUAUCUGGGCAGCCUUGAGUCUGCGUCGGCGUCGGACGUCGAUCAGUUGUCUCUCUAACGCAUCCAGUUGUCUCUCCAACUUGGUUUCCUCAGCAGCAAGGUCAUUCUGUUCAUCGACCAACGCUUCUAGGGUAUGCCGACUAUCUUUCAAAGUUUGGUCAAAUCUCUCGAUAAAAUCGUCAGAAUGUUGAUAGUCUUUCUCCAAGUCUGCCAAGGCAGCGAUCCUUUCGCGGUUCUGUCGAUAAGUAUCUAUUCCACCAGGAAAUUUAGUCAGAAAGUCUUCGCAACGUUUUCUGAAUUCAGGGGACUUCGAGAAUCGGAUAUCACCACCACAUAAUUCCCCCAAUAAGGCUUUAAACCUUUCAGUCGUGGCGGGAUUGGCUGCAAUUAACGGAUAUCCACCCUUGGACAGUUCAAGAAACUCAGCCCAUUUGUGCUUGACCACGUCGUCGGUAACGACAAGUAUCGAUGAAGCCUCGGGUGGGGCAGUGUCAAAACUAACAGCUUUAGAACGUAAGACUUUCACAGACCUAAAAUUUAAAAAAAUAAAAUUUAAAAAAAAUAACAUAUAAAAAAAGUAUAAGGCUUUCGCAGACCUCUCCAGGGUAGGCCCAGCAUUAACGAAGGAGCCAAGUAUUUUUUCACCAUCGGUUUGGCUGAUUCGUUGCAACAUCAAAGAAGGUAAUGGUGAAUGUCCAGGGGACGGCAGAACUGGAUUAACAGGAGUGGGUACCGCUCGAGAUUUUUGGGCAUCAACGUUAGCAGGCUCAUCGACAUUGUCAUUUUGAUUUGCUGGAGAAGAUCUUGAACCGGUUGCUUGACCUUUUUGUGACAGUGAGACAGGAAAUGAGACAUCGUCUAGUAAAAAGGAAAUGCGAUGCAAGUGAAUGCAAUCAACAAGGACUUGUCAGAACACAUAAGAUGAAGUCAAUACCUUGUUGCGAUGAAGGAAUAGGAGCUUCAAGUGAUGAAGGCUGUGAAAUGGCAUUAGUGACGAUUUCCAAUCGGCUUCGAUCAUCCGCGCCAGCAAUAGUAGAUGUGCCUACCGACGGACUUCCGUUCAUCGCGUUUGAGGAGGACGAAGGCUGCAACCAUCGUCAGCAAUGGGGACGACAGCAUUAGAAACAGGAGGUUUGUCAACGAGGACAGUACCUUACGUAUAGUAUCCCUAGUAAUAUUAUUCACUUCAAAAGGGCAAAUGAUUUUCCGGAGUGUGGAGGCACAAGUCGGAAAAAGAAGCCAAAAAUCACUCAUAACCCAAGGUACGUACGAAGCAAGAUGACAAUUGGGUAUAGUAAAUAUUAAUAAAAUGUACUUACAUAUAGUGUCCCUAGUAACAUUAUUCAACCGGAGUGGGAAGGCACAGGCGAGAAAAAGAAGCCAAAAACCACUCAUAAUCCAAGGUACAUACAAAGCAAGAUGAGAAGAAAGACCAUACCCUAACACGAAGACCAAUUUAUGCAGCUUUGGGUCACGUGCGAUUCACUUACCAUUCUUUCUUUCUUUUUUUCUUUUUUUUCUUUUUUAAUUUAAGCUAAGAAAGGGACACGAAGUGUGGACCUAAACACACUUUGACCAAAUAAUCCGGAUAUACAUCCAUCAAGAUAUAUACUCAUGAAAUAUGAUUUAUCACCCAUCGAAUAACUAUUUUUUCACGAGAUAAUUGUAUUAAAAAAAUCAUAAACAUAUUAUACAUAUAUUAAUUCAAUUUUAAAUCAUUUUUAUUGUGUUGAUUUAAUCUUAAAUCUUUUAACAAUUUGUUUGUAUAAUUCUUUUCAAUUAACUUUAGUCAAAAAUCACUGACGUGACAAUUCAAUCAACACUGACCAUUUUUUGUAGCACGAUUGAUGAUGUGUCGUGGCCAAACCAAAUCUAAAUAAUCUUGCAUAAUCUUCUGAGUUUUUCUUUUUUUCUUUUCUUUACUUUUUUUUUUGUGCUCCCUGUUCAUCAUCUUUUUUAACCCACUCUCAAGCUUUCCUCCCCAGUCUCUAAGAAAAGUUUCGCUUCUCAAUUAAAUCAGACUCAAUAUUGGAUCUAGUUGCAUCAAAUAAUUUUCCCAAUUCUUUCCCACGUGCUUUACAAAGCUUACGUUACCAAAUGAAAUUCAAACGCGUGAUUCGCGGAAGAUCGGUAAAAGUCAAGAGACAUAAUAAAAACCAGCGCGUUCUUUUUCAUCACCACGUUGGAUGCCGUACCUGAGGCCGAUGUGAUUGGAGACGUAAGGCGUCUGAGGAAUCCUUCGGACUCCAACAAGAAGCAUCAACGGGAGGGGCAGGGAACUCAAGAGAAGCGUCCUCAGUGACUCUGCCUGCGACUGGGAGACCUCCGGGGGAGAUCCCACCGGCCAGCACAAAGGCCGGCACAAAGACGGUGGACGAUGAAGAAGAAGGCAGGGAAAACUGAGAGGAAGCAUCACCAUUCUCAGAGGAAGCGGGGCUCAGAUAAUUGAAAACCAUGCUUUCUAUAUCGGAGUCUUCUACUGCUGGUUUGUGUUAUCGUGGAUCACGCUCCCAAAGAGCGAAGAUUUGAUUAUAAUGGAGCGGAUGCCCCUAGUUUGAUGUCCUCCUAUUGGGUUGUUUCUGGUUAACAUCUCAGAAAUUUCCUUUCUUUAUAAAAGUCAAAUCAAAAUCCUGCACGGACAAACUGCUGAGAUCAGUCAACACGAUGGGGACAAAAAGAGCCGCUCUUUUUUUUAUUGUGAAGCUUAUCAUUUCAUAUACAAGCGAGCCCUCUAAAGUAAGGCACAUCGAAAUACAGAAUCUCCUAUAGAGCAAGUAAUAAGAAACCCAAUAACAUGGAAGGGCCUUACAUCUGGAGGUCUUCACAACCCAAUCUGCUAGUCUAUUUGUAUCUUGAGUAUGGUAAGCCAACUCUAGACUCCCAAAAAGGGCGAUGAAGCCUAAAGAUUCUAUGAUAAGUGGCUUAACGUCCCAGGAGUAAAGAGAGGAAUCUUGCAGGAAGCUUAGCAAGGAGGAGCUGUUAGUUUUCAGCACAUAUUUCUGUCCGGAUCGACUAGCAAAGUGACGAAGAGCAUGGGUACAAGCAAGGGUUUCGGAAUGGAGGGCGGAGGACACUUGAAUUGUUUUCAUGGUUUACGGUACCUACACAGCUGACCUUGUGUAGUUGUUUUCAUGUCAGUGGCACUUAAUAGCAAAUUCACCGCAUUCACUCCCCAUCUUCACCCAAAUUUACCAACUUACUAUUGCAAUCUUUAGGGGUUUAUUAAUGGAACCCCAUCGCAAUGUUCAGUGAAUGAGCUAAUCAUCGGAUGUCGUCACUUGUACCCCGACGCCACCACACACAUUUAAUCAAUAGGUGCUAAUAUGAUUGUCAAACUCCUAUGAGCUCAUAAAUGAUUCGAUCAAUCUGGACCAGCGAACUCAAUGCGAUUCACAAAAACUAGUAAUUUGAUUUACAAAUUAUAACCAUUAUACACGAUUAUCAUCCGAUGCCUUUUCUUAAAGAGAAUAUUUUUCUUAAUUCUAUAUAUCUUUUAGGAUUGCAAGAUAAUGUAAUAUUCCGUUACUCUAGAUAGUUGUCCUAUAAAGUAUAUAAAUAGGCUGAUCUACCCUUCAUUGUUUAUGCAUCGAAAUAUACAGAAAAUUCAAUGAUACUCUUUUUCCGCUUUGUUGUUAAUUUAAUAUUAGGCCGUCGCACCUAUUGGGUCUUCACAAGGUGAUGGUCCCAGCAAUCACGAGCCUCCAGCGAGUUGACGCCUUCUGUGUGUCGUUCCAACGCUAUUGGUGGUUUGCCUUGACAAACGAACAGCAGCACGGGCCCACACGCUUCGCCGCCACUGAUCGCGACUGAGAUUCGCGCGUCGCCGCCGCCUGAAGCCUCUACCACUCCGCUGACAUCACUCCCGUGCCAUUCACGUGCAUCUCCUCACGUUGCAUCGGCAUCAUCCUGCCAUAUCGCCACAGCGGCAAUUGACGGACCGUUUAAUGUUGACCGCUUCAAUUAGAUCGGCCUGAGCGUCGGUCGACUGGUUCGACUGUUUUCGAACGGAUUCCUCGGGGUUGUACGACUGGUUCCUAAGGUAUGUUGAGGUUUUGAGCCUGUUCUUGGACCUUUUUUUCCCCAUACCCGUUCUGCCGAUUUUCAUCCUAUAGGUGCACGCAAUGGAUAAACUCGAAGUCUCACUGUUCAUUCGGAUCAUUUUCAAUAAAUCAAACUAUAUUUUACGGCCGAAGAAAUAUCUACCUUUUUUAGAGGAUGCGGACUUCUGUGUUACGUCAAUGACAUUCGUGCACCUAUUAAAGUUGCAGAAGAAACAUAGGCAAAAUUAUGUCAGUGACAUUCAUGCACCUAUUAUCAUAUCUGUACAUGGUUUCAAAAAUUUGUAGGUAGGUGGGUAUUAUGGAGUAGCAACGUGGGCCAAAUGGCAAAUUUCAUGGUACGGUCCGAAAAAAGGAGACCAAGGAUGAAGUUGGGCAUUGAAGAUUUAAAUUGAGAUAAGUUGAUGCAAGAGGAUACUUGAAUUAAGGUUGAAGCUCAUACAUUAAUGGGAGAUUAUUUGGAUACACUUAUAAAUUGUGUUAAAGAAAUCCUAUAUCAGAGAAUUGAUAUCGUGUUGAGUAGUUAAUAUAUCAUUGUUAGCUCAUAACUCAUUGGUUUAAACUUUUGAGUGAAAGUGAGUCUAACUGAAUAUGUUAACGGGUUUGGAUCUCUGUCGUGCACUCCUAACAAGAGUUACGAGUUGGUGGCUUGUUUUGACAAAUGAUGGCCUUGCUGUCUGCCAAUCGACCAUGCGCUUCACGCAACUGAAGUGUCUGCUACUGCCAAUAUUGAUGACCGCACUCUUUUGUCGUCCUGGCCCACUGCAAUAGGGAAUCAAAUAGGCUAGCUGAUUGGCUCGCGAAAGCAUGCAAAUCUAAAUGUCUUCCGUCUAAUUGUUAAACCGGCCCAAGCAUUGAUAGACUGGUUCAGCCGUUUUCAGGCCGAAUCUUGGGGUUGUUCAACUAGUUCCAAAGGUAUUUUGACGCUUUAAGUCUCUUUUUGGCCUUAUCUUCUGCAUAUCGGUCUUAUCUUCUGCAUAUCGGUCCUCUAAGUGCUUGUUUCUUCACAAUUCUUUAUCAAUUCUUUGAGUUUCAUUGUUAAAGUGCACAUAAUGGAUAAAUUGGAAGUCUCACUGUCCAUUCAAACCAUUUUAAAUAGAUCAAGCUAUAUUUCAUAAGCUAAGAAAAAUUUAACUUUUUGAGAGGACAUAAUUUUGUCCUUAUGUCACCAGUGAUAUUUGUGCGCCUACUAAGUUUAUUGACGAGAAUGAGGUGAAAUUUAUUGAAUGCUUAGAAGAGUGGACUAGGAAGAAUUAUCAGGUCCUCACAUGAUUUCGAAACACUUUGAUUCGAUCUAUUAGACUUCAAUUCGGCUACCUCAAUAUAGCAAAGGAAGUCUGGGAUUUGCAUGCCAGCCAAUAUUCCACUUUAGAUAUUGUUCAUCAAUAUGAGAUGUUAGGAAAUCUACAUCGUAUGUGUUGGGAGACAGGUUGGUACAUUGAUAAUUUCUUAUCUUCCAUGCAUGCAAUCUGGGAUCAAUUAGCCUUAGCCACAGAAACAACUUUCCUCCAAUUUAAUUACUCAUUAAUAUUGGGCUACCAAAAUGAUUAUUUUUAUAUUAAAAAAUUCAAACUUUUUUAUUGAAUUGCCAUUUAUAAUUGUCCUUACUUACUAGCACAUCUCUCUCUCUCUCUCUCUCUCUCUCUCUCUCUCAAAUUGUUCGAUAUUAUUUCAGUAAAUUGCAUUUGUGGUCAUCAAAGUUCACCUCACCAUGUCCUCCGUUGCUGCAAGAUCCAAUACGGCCGUCCGGCUCAACAAUCACUUCCAUAACCACGACCAGAACCACAGCCACCCCAGGAUCAGUAGUUGCAGCGAGCUGAACCAGCUCAGCCAGCAGUCAACGGCAAACGCGUGGAUGGCGCGGAUGCUGUCAGCGAGGGAGCAGCCAACAAUCGACGUGAAGAUUAACAACUUUGUGGGGAACGACAUAUCGGUGAUCAAAACGGCUUGUAGGUAUGCAUGUUGGUGUUAGAAUAUCCUUCUAAGUCGAUCCAUCAGCUAACAGUAAAUGGAGACCUUAUCUAGGGGAAUCUAAGCAUUGUCGUUCAUCAUGAUUUGAUAUCGUGCAAAAAAUUGAUGAAUAAAUGGACCAUCAACAUGUAUUUUGAUAUGAGAUUAAUUAAUGAAUAGACCUUGAUGAUGUGUGGUAUUAGAUUGAUCAAUGGAAUAGACCAUUGAUAGGUAAAUUGAUAAAAUAAUUAUUGGACUAGACCAUUGAUGCUUGAUUCGAUAUUGUUAAUUCAAAUGAGUACUUCCAAUAAAUAAAUAUAUAAAUAAAUAAAUAAAUAAAAUGAAAGGUUAAAACUCAUUCUUCAUAUUGUGUAUAUAUUGUAUAUUGGAUAUGAGAUAAAUGAAUUUUGAUAUUAUUUUGUAAAAUGCAUUAUGGGUGCUCAAUUUUCCUUUCAAAGGUGCAAUACUCACUAGGCCAUGACUGCUCAUUCUAUUUAUCUUUCGUUUUUUUCUAAGAAUCUUAGUUAGUGAGGACUUUGGAGAGUUUAAUUUUGGGUGGUUUGAAACUGUGUCUUUCAGGCUGAUGGCUAUCUCAUUAUUUCUAUUCCUAUAAGAUUCGGGAUGUGAUAAACCUUCUCAUUUAUUUCUCUACACUUGUAAUUUUGUUUUUUUUUUAACUACAAUGGAAUCAUGGGAUCCUUCCCCAGUAGUAUUUCCAUUAUUUAUAGAUAUGGACUCCGUUAAUCACCGAUUGUUAACAACUAAAUGCGUCGAGCGAGGGCUUCACCUAAAACUCAUGUGGAUUCAGUUGGUUGUUGAGGAAAAUAACAAACAAUCAGUUGUGAGAAGCUAAGCCCCAGUCGAAUUAGUAGAAAUGUUUCGCCCAAAUUUGUUGCUGAAUUCGGGAACAGUGGCAGUCUCUAGCAGGAAUUAUUAUCCAAACAUGGAAGAGGGUCUAACUGCUAAUGUCACUGCUUAUAUAGUGAUCAGGAUCAUGAGUCAAAUCCUUAGGAUUCUUAAAGACAACAGUCACUCCCUCACAAUCGAUUUCGCUACCUGACAGGAUUUAUCCGCAAGCCAAAUUUCGCAAAAUGACCACGAAGCUCGUCGCCCUUCGCUUCUUGUAGAUUUUGAUGUCUCUCCACCUCGAUUCCAUGUAGUAGCUUACGUUAGCUGGCGCCCCAUACACUCCACACUUGAAAUGCAGAUCACCCGGCCCUUUGUCAGCCACCUUGAACACUUGAUUCCCAUCAAGAAACACGGUCACUUUCCCUCCAUUGACGUCGCGGAUUAUGUUAAGCCUGAACCACCUGCCGAAGAGGCAGGUGGCGAUAGGGUUCCCGCUUUAGUACCACAUCUCCCCGUCAUAGAUCCUCAGCAUCAGGGUAGUAUUCCCGUGAGCUGCACCGUGUAUUUGGGCUAUCGUAGCGCUGAAUGUCCCAUUGGGCACGAAACUGUGUCCUUCAAAUUGCCAGACUCCAGACUAGUAAUCUAGACCCUGCCAAAUGUGUAACGUUGGAGCUUACAAAGAUGUGGUACAAAAUCGAGGAUGGAACAGAGAAAUCGAGGCAGAAUAAAGUGGAAAAGAUUCUGCUAAUUUGAUCAGUUUCUUAUGUUAGACAAUUCAUAUAAAACUUGAUGCGGAAAUUCAUAACAAAUCAAUGAUCUUUGAUCUUCAUGAUUUUCACAAAUAGAUUCAGACAAACCUUUAUCCAUAGCGCUACGCUUGAUGAUGAUCGUUGUAGAAAACCCAAUGAUCUCGAACCAAAAAUGAAGAAAUCCAAUUUCUCUCCCUUAACCCACUAAACUUUAAUGUAUUCAAUUGAUGGAGGAGAGAAUACGUUCCUUUUCGUUACUGUUGUUCGUAUGUGGGUGGAGAGAGGACCGUACUCUUUUAUACGUUCGUUGAAAAGGUGCCUUCCAUCAAAGCGAUAUACCCUUUCGUUUUAUUAGAGUCGUACCUUCUCAUAACCAAUAUUAUUUAUAGCAUUUCAAUCAUUAUUAAACCAUAUAAUAAAUCACAUAAUAUGGGCCACAAUAAUUCUUACAUUCUCCCACUUGGCCCAUAUGAUUCUCCUUUCAUGGUUUAAUGAAGACCAUAAUGUGCACAAUAAGAUUAUGCUAUAAAAUUUCAUUAAAUUGGCAAUCACAUAAUAAUCACAAUUAAGUAAAGAAAACUAACGCGAGUCAUAGCGGUUAUAUGUCAUUAAUCGACAUAGUCCCUUCUAUGUACUACAACUAUAGCACUUUACUUAACAUGAUCCAUAAUUGAGAAGUACAGUAAUAGUCCAACCAUAAUGUUUCUUUAGAAACUAUCCCGUUUAAUAUUCAUCUAUUUCCAUAAUGUAUACUAAAUAGAAAACAGGAAAUAUCAUAAACAUGUAAGUGAGCUCAAAGUGUCAAAUACAUAAACUUAAUACAAUCAUAAUACAAAUAUUAAUGACGUCCAAUAAUGCCCAUCCUUUCAACAUGCUCAUUAAAUGUUUUGGGCGGCAAUCCUUUUGUCAAGGGAUCUGCUAUCAUAAGAUUGGUGCUAAUGUGCUCAAUUGACACUCUUUGUUUCUGAACUUCUUCUUUGACAGACAAGUAUUUGAUCUCCAUAUGCUUAGCACCCUUAGAAUACUUGUCGUUCUUAGAGAGUUAUCACAAUAGAUUUUCAGCGGCUUGGCAAUACUGUCGACGAUCACAAGCCCUGAAAUAAAAUUUCGCAGCCAUAAUCCAUGAAUUGUGGCCUCAAAGCAUGCCACAAAUUCAACUUCCAUAGUGGAUGCAGCAAUAACUGACUGCUUCGCACUCUUCCAUGAAAUUGCCCCUCCAACCAGAAGAAACAAGUAACCAAAUGUUGAUUUUCUUGUAUCGACACAUCCGGCUAAGUCUGAAUCUGAAUAUCCAAUCACCUCGAGAUGAUCAGAUCUUUUAUAAGUGAGCAUAUGAUUCUUCGUUCCUUGCAAGUAUCUAAGAACUUUCUUUGCAGCUUUCCAAUGAUCAAUUCCAGGAUUACUUUGAUACCUACCCAGCAUUCCGACAACAAAACUGAUGUCUGGUCUGGUGCAAGUUUGUGCAUACAUUAAGCUUCCCACAAUAGAUGCAUAAGGAAUAUUAUUCAUUUGUCCUCAUUCCAAUUCACUUUUCGGACAUUGUAUAAGGCUAAAUUUAUCACCUUUCUGAAUUGGAACUAUUCCUGCUGAACAUUUACUCAUAUUAAAUCUCUCUAAAAUUUUCUCAAUGUAGGCUUUCUGAGACAAUCCUAAUAAUCCUUAUGAUCUAUCACGGAAUAUUUCUAUUCCUAUCACAUAUGUUGCCUCUCCCAUAUCCUUCAUUUCAAAAUUCUUAGAGAGAAAUUUCUUGGUUUCAUGUAACAAACCAAGAUCAUUAGCAGCAAGCAAAAUAUCAUCAACAUAAAGAACUAGAAAAAUAAACUUGCUCCCACUAAUCUUCAUAUAUAUACACCGAUCAACGGUGUUUUCCUUAAAUCCAAAUGAAGUUAUGGUAUCGUUAAACUUAAGANNNNNNNNNNNNNNNNNNNNNNNNNNNNNNNNNNNNNNNNNNNNNNNNNNNNNNNNNNNNNNNNNNNNNNNNNNNNNNNNNNNNNNNNNNNNNNNNNNNNUUCGGGUUGGUCCAUAUAAACCUCUUCAUCUAAAUUCCAUUAAGAAAUGCGGUUUUACAUCCAUUUGGUGUAACUCCAAGUCAUAAUGAGCCACCAAAGCCAUAAUGAUUCUAAGUGAGUCCUUCUUAGAGACUGGUGAAAAUGUCUCUUUAUAGUCAAUGCCUUCUUUCUGAGUAAAACCCUUUGCAACAAGUCUGGCUUUAUGUCGUUCAAUAUUGCCUUUGAGUCGCGCUUGGUCUUAAAGACCCAUUUACACCCGACCUUCUUACAUCCUUUAGGCAAUUCAACUAUAUCCCAAACUUGAUUUUGAUGCAUGGAUUUUAACUCUUCUUCCAUUGCAUUAAACCAUUCAUUAGAAUCUUCACAUUCCAUGGCUUGGGAAAAUGAAUCUGGAUCAUUUCCAAUUCCUAAGUCAAUUUCUGACUCUUGUAGAUAAACCAUAUAGUCAUCAGAAAUAGCCGACCUCUUUUCUCUUUGAGAUCUCCUUAAUGCUAUUUCUUGUGACUCGGUUAUUGGAAGUUCAUUAUUGAUAUCUCAAUUAUUGAGUGUUUGUUGUUCUCAAUUAUUGUUAUAUUAUACUACAAUAUCAGAAAUAACAACUUUAGAAGCUUUAGGCAUAGGAACUUCUACCCUUACUUCUUGAAUGCAAGCAUCACGCAUUCUUUCACUCCCACUGAUGUCACCAUUCUCAAUGAACCUAGCAUUUCCAGAUUCAACAAUUCUUGUACUAUGAUUAGGACAAUAAAAUGUAUACCCUUUGGAUUUUUCUGCAUAACCAAUGAAAUAACCACUGGUCGUUCUUGAAUCCAAUUUCCUUUCAUGUGGAUUGUAAAUUCUUACUUCUGCUUGACAACCCCAAACAUGCAGGUGUCGUAAACUAGGUUUCCUUCUCGUCCACAGUUCAAAUGGAGUUUUUGGAACUGCCUUACUAGGAACCCUAUUUAAUAAGUAGAUAGAAGUCUUUAAAGCAUACAUCCACAAAGAUAAAGGUAAAGAUGAAUGACUCAUCAUACUCCUAACCAUUUCCAUUAAAGUACGGUUACGCCUUUCUGUUACACCAUUUUGUUGUGGUGUACCUGGCAUUGUGUAUUGAGCACAAAUGCCAUGUCUUUCAAUGAAUUAAGCAAAUGGACCUAGACAUUGUCCCGAUUCAUCAUAUUUUCCAUAAUAUUCACCACCUCUAUCCGAUCUUACUAUUUUCACAUUUCUAUCUAAUUGCCUCUCAACCUCUUUAAUAUACACUUCAAGUGCAUUCACUGAUUGAGACUUAUCAUGCAAUAGAUAAAUGUAACCAUAACGUGAAAAAUCAUCAAUAAAGGUUAUGAAAUAGCUUUCCUUACCAAAAGAUGAAACAUCAAAAGGACCACAUAUGUCAGUAUGUAUAAUUUCAAGAAGCUCUGUUCUUCUUGUGGCACCUUUCUUAGUGUGUUCUGUUUGUUUACCUUUAAUACAAUCAAUACACACUCCAAGGUCAGUAAAAUCCAAAUUUGGAAGAAUUUCAUUCUUCACUAAUCUUUGCAUUCUUUCUUUGGAGAUAUGACCCAGCCGUUUAUGCCACAAGUAAGUAGAAUUUUCAUUCACCAAACCGUUUAGUGCCAACAUUAUGAUGCAAAGUCAUUAAUGUCUCAACAAAAGUAUUAUCAAGUCUAAAUUUGUAGAGACCAUCACAUAAAGUUUCAGUUCCAAUAAGAGUAUCACUCUUAAAUAGACUGAAAGAUUCAGAUCCAAACUUACAAUAAAAUCCCGCCACAUCAAGUCUUGGCAAAGAAACUAAAUUACGAGAAAAUGUAGGUACAUAAAGGGUUCGAAACAAAUCUAAAUAAUGCCCAGUAUUUAAGAUCAAACGAUAAGUGCCAAUGCCUUCAACUGGAGCUUUGUCUCUGUUCCCCGUAAUCACAUAACUUUCAUUUGGCUUUAUAGUUUGGAUCGUAAGAAAUCCCUGCAUCGUAUUUGACACAUGAGUGGUGGCACCAGAAUCAAUCCACCAAGUAUUAUAAGGAACUUCAGUAAAGUUUGAUUCAAAACAUACCAAAGCACAAGGCUUACCUUUCUUUUCGAACCAAGCCUCACAUUUCAGACAAUCUUUCUUCAAGUGUCCAAUUUUGUUGCAAAAAUGACACUUAAUAAGAUUGCGUUCCUUCUUGUGGAUUUGAGAAGCCUUUGAAGAGUCAUUCAGGACGUGUAGUCCUUUCUUCUUGCUCCUUCCACCUUUCCUCUUAAAAUUCUUUCGAACUUCUUGAUAACUUGAGAGAUGAACAGAAUGAGUCUUUUGAUUCUUUAUCCUUGUUUCCUCUUGAACUAGCAUACUGGCCAAUUCGUUUACAUUCCACUUGUCCUUUAUAGUGUUGUAAUUCAUUUGAAAUGGCCCAUAUUGCUCAUGAGGUAAGGAAUUAAGUAUAAAUUGUACUAAAAAGUACUCAUCCACAUUCAUUCCCAAAGUCCUUAACUUUGCUGCUAAAUUGGUCAUCUCAAGUAUAUGCUCAUGCAUGGUAUGCGAACCAUCAUAUUUCAUGGUGGUCAGUGUGCUCAUCAGUGUACCAGCAAGUGACUUAUCAGCAGUUUGAGAACGCUCUUCCACAAAUUUCAUAAAUUCCUUAGCAUUGUUAGUCUUGGGAAGAGAAGUCUUUAAGUUGUUUGCAACUGUCAUUCGCAUGAACAUUAAGCUCAAUCUGUUUGAUCUUUCCCAAGCUUUAUGGAAAGACUUUUCAUCAUUGCUACUUUCAUCAGUAAUAGCAGCUGGUUUCUCAGCUUGAAGUGCUAAAUCAAGAUCCAGGACACCUAAGUGAAACUGGAUUUGUUCACUCCAAUCUGGAAAAUUUAUCCCAUUGAAUAAGGGAACAGAUGAGGCGUGCGAAUGGAGAGAAACAGGUACAGAUACUGCAAAUGUGCAAGAAAAUACUCAUAUAUUAAUGCUUUGAGAAUAUCAUAUAAUCAUAUUAAACUAAACUACACAUGCACAUCAUAGUUUUCCUUUGGGCGAUCCUAUGAUAUACAAAUAUAUAUAAACUAUAAUGAUGCUAAUAACUUUUAUUUGAUAAUUGUAAAUAUAUCUUAUUAAAAUUUAUUUGUUAUCUUUGGAUAUACAAACAAAUUUAACAAAUCAUAUUAAUUAUCAACUAUCAUGUUCAUGAAUUAUAAGAAAAUAAUUAACCUUUGGGUUAAUCCCUAAGUUCUUAUAAUAAAUGAACUUCAAUAUACCCAUAAUUUCAAUAAUGAUAUAAAACAUAUCAAUUUCAUAUAUAGCAUCACUUAAUCAUGGGUAAUUGAAUAAAAUAAUUUACAAUAUCAAAAAUUCAAAAGACUUCAAGGUUCGAUCACUUUGGUGACUAACAAACCAUUCAUAAUAUGAAUUUUCAAUAUUAUAAAAUACAAAUAUUUACCAAAUUUGCACACAAGGAUAAAAUGCAAUUAAAGCAUAAGGGCAAAAUUGUAAAAUCAUAAUUUCAUAAGGGCAGAAUUAUAAAUUUAAUAUCUAGGGGCAAAAUGGUAAAUAAUCAGCAAUGGCAGAAUUGUAAUUAUUAAUUAAACAGGGGCAUAACAAUAAAUAAAUUGCGAGAAUGACAAAAUUGGAAUUUUAAAAAUGGCACAGGGGCAAAAACGUAAAUAAGGCCACGCAGGGACGUCAGGCGCGCGCCUCGGAGCCUUCUUCCUCGCGCACAGACGCGAUUCUUCGCCGUUUUUCGCCGUUCCGCCGCGGUUUCGCCGGCCGUUUCUUCUCCGGCAGCCCAUCCCAGACACAAAUAAAUAAUGGGUUUUGAAGAACAUGCCGGCACGAUCACAUGCGUCCAAGUUUCGGAGAAAAUGACCAAAAAAUUGGCCCCAAAUCAAACGAAAAAUUCUCAGAACACAAAACUUCCACCACUGCCGCUUCCGCCGCUUGAUUAGCCUCCGGUGAACACCGAUAUACCGGAAAAAUCAUGGCUAAUGUUCCUCAUGACAGUGCGACGGUGUGGGUCCGAAAUCAAGCGGUGGGUUGCCGGAUUUUACCCGGAACCGGCGAGUUUCUUCCUUGCCCUCAAAAUUCCGAAUUCCACCAUUUUUGUCCUUUUCCACUCGUGCACACACAGUAACUUUUCUUCACCAUUUUAGUCCAUGAAAAACGUUCCAUCAUUCGGAUUUUCUUUAACAGAACCUUCCAAAACAUUUCAACAACAACAAAUGCUACGAACAAGAUCGUUCAACAAAUCAUCAAACAUCAACUAUAAUAUUUCUUUAAACGGAAAAAUCAUGAGAUCAUAAACCAAACGCUCUGAUACCAACUGUUAGACAAUUCAUAUAAAACUUGAUGCGGAAAUUCAUAACAAAUCAAUGAUCUUUGAUCUUCAUGAUUUUCACAAAUAGAUUCAGACAAACCUUUAUCCAUAGCGCUACGCUUGAUGAUGAUCGUUGUAGAAAACCCAAUGAUCUCGAACCAAAAAUGAAGAAAUCCAAUUUCUCUCCCUUAACCCACUAAACUUUAAUGUAUUCAAUUGAUGGAGGAGAGAAUACGUUCCUUUUGGUUACUAUUGUUCGUAUGUGGGUGGAGAGAGGACCGGACUCUUUUAUACGUUCGUUGAAAAGGUGCCUUCCAUCAAAGCGAUAUACCCUUUCGUUUUAUUAGAGUCGUACCUUCUCAUAACCAAUAUUAUUUAUAGCAUUUCAAUCAUUAUUAAACCAUAUAAUAAAUCACAUAAUAUGGACCACAAUAAUUCUUACAUCUUAUUCAAUGAAUCACUACCACAAUGAUGGACCAUAGUGGGGUUCGAGAAUUACUUUGAUCCGAACUUUGGUGCGUGGUUGAGUGUGACUGCUCGGAUCAUGGGCUUGUCAUUGGCGUAGACCCACAACUUGCGCACCCCGUCCACGAAGCUGUAGCGCUCCUCCAGUGGAAUGUCGUAAGGCUUUUGCAGCUCAAAGUUCGCAUCUGUCAACAGUACCUCAGUGAAACCGUCUGUAGGAUCAGCAGAACAGAACGGAUUGGAUUUUGGAUUAUGACUCGAGACCAGGACAACAAAGAACAACAGUGGCUAAAAGGAAUUUCCAUUUUUCCUUCUUGUCAGUCUUGAGAAAUUGUUGAGGAGCUAGUUAAGGCAAAGCUUCUAUAUGUAAGGAUGACAUAAACAAUGCAGGAACCAGAUAUGAUUUUCUAAUCUUAACACAACAGAACAUAUUCUGGUCUUCUUUCCUUGGACAGACAUGCUUGUCCUUUUGACAACUUGAACGACCUUGUCUCGUCUAUGUAAUCUCAUGUGUAUAUACAGUGAUUCCUAGUUUCUGAGAAAGUGUAUGACCGUCCAAUUAUGCCAAUGAAAAAGGGUUGAUUGAUGCUCCAUUACUUGGUCUUAGUGUAGUAGGUUUAGUCUGUUAAUUAGUGUUUGUAGAUUCAAACAAUGAUGGAUAUGUCUGCUGAUUCUUUCGCAAGAUAGCUGUUGUCGCACUCCAUUACAUUCACAUGAACAACACUUCCUUGUUUAUCGGCCUAAAGAUGCAAAUUUGGUUUGUGUCUUUUCUAAUAGACAGUGACAAGUGGCAAUAUCGUGCUGUACAUUCACUUUGAGGUCCAUUGCAAGUUUUUUCCAUUGCUUCACUACAUUGAAUUCACACCGUGCCGAAUACUUCAUGGUGCCGUUUCAUCAUGGUCAUCUUCAUCAUUUUCAUCCAUUCGUGUUUGUGGGGGGUUAGACACAAAUUUCAUGAAAAUACAUCAAAUUACAAGCUUAACGAGUUUUGUUAAUUUCUGGUACAGCUGAUUAUGCUACCUGUCAGUUUCGUUUACACUAAGCGAUUGUUCAAACUCCUCUAAAAUGGGAGAAGGUCAAAGUGAAUUUCUGUAUGGCUCUGCAUUCUGCUCCAACUACAUCCAUAGAAUCCAUUCAUCUUAGUGAGACGGACUUGGUAUUGUUUUUUUCUGUUUUCUUGUUUAGUAAGGCGACUAGGCCAAUUCAAAUUGUCUCCUUGUGCAUAUCGGUAUAACAUUAGAAUUUGGCUCUUUCUACUUGGUUGAACUCUCAGUUCUUGAUUCCGGAGGAACUGGAUAAUUUAUGGAUCAACAAUCUGAUAUGUCUGAGACAGACGUGUCAGAUGACUAGGGGCAUGCAGAUUCUACAUGAAGGCCAACUAUAAAAUGUUAUCAGAACGGAAGUUGAUUAAUCUCGAGUGAUCCCAUCAUUAACUAUGAAACUGAUAUACAAGAUGCAGAUGAGAUCCUCUUCAAAAAAAAAAAAUCAAAAGACCUUACCCAAAAAAAAAAGAUGCAGAUGAGAAAUCAUAGUCGCAUCAUUAAUGACAUAAUACAUGAGCAUGGACAUGAUCUUCUGACAUAUCUCUCAGCUCAGUGUCUCCAAUUUCACUUUCAGUUAAAGUAUCGACCCGCUUGAUCAGCUAGUAUAUAAAAGAAAAAAAAAACUAACCAAAACCAUAAGAGAGAUUUAACAUGGAGAGAUCGUGCCAUUUUUCCUUUAGCAAAACAAGAUGAGGAAUGAGGGUGCUAAUAAAUUUUGUGAGCUAGUUGAUUAACACAUGCGUAGAAGCUCAUCAGUGGAGUUGGUGUCACAUAUGCAGAGACAGAGAAAGAAGCUCCAGGGAUUCAUCUUUGAAAGCUAUUUUCAGUUGAAAAAUGCUGUUGAUCAGCAUGUCUUUUCCUAAUUAUAUAUGUUUAAAACACUAACAGCUAAUUGUAUAGUCAAUCCAAGCUUCAUACUUUGAACUGACCACAAUUUCUUGUACUUUUCUGCAGUAAGCUUUCCCAGGUGCCCUGUUUUGCAUAUCAUAGCCUUAUUUAGUUCACAUGAAAUGCAACUUGAGAUGCAACGUCCUAAUUCUCUACUUGGUACAAAGUUUAUGAUUGCUAAUCGGUUAGAGAAAUUAACUCUAAGCCAAGCUCUCAACCAGCAAAGACAAAAAACCAGCUAUCAAAUAUAAAGCUGAAGAGUUUCGUUGGGCACGAUAUAGAACUGAGUAAAUUUUUGAAAACGCUGGAAUUUCCAGUUAGCUAAUUGUGACCCUGCUGACUUAUUUUUUUGCAAACGGCCCUUUAAUUACUCUCUACAUGCACUUCUUGUAUAUUUUGAUGUCCUUCCACUUCAAUUCCAUGUUGUAUAGCUCGUAUUUUUGGGUUUCGGAAAGGGGGGUUGGGGGCAGCGGCAUUCACUCCGCAUUUAAAGUACAGGUUGCUGAGGCCAUGAUCUUGCUUCACGAACUUUGAAGUCCCUUCAAGGUGAACUUCCACGAUGCCUUGAUCCCUGUCAUGGAUCACGUUCACCCUGAACCACUUUUGGUGAAGAUUGGUCGCAACAGAUCACGAAGGUAGUAUCUUACCAUCCCCUGCGCAUAUCCUUAGUAUCAGAGUAGUGGUGUGCACUGUGCCCCAUGUUGCCGUGGAUCCGCACUAUGAUGGCUCCAGAGGUCCUGUUCGGCACAGGACCAUGGCCUUUAAAUUGCCAUACCCCAGAUGAAUAGUCAAGGCUCUGUGAGAAAGUACAUUAGGAUCAAGUUGUGAGUCUAGCCUCUGACCAACUUGAACUACCAACAACAUAAGGCAUGUAUACACAAGGAAAAAGAACAACUUAAAAUUCAUAAAUGUAGGGAUGGGGAGAAUACUCUUACAUGUAGUUCUGUCCGGGGCACGGUCUUACUGUCAGGUUAGUGCGGUUUAUCAUCUGCAUAGACCCAAAUCCUCAUAAUUCCAUCUGCAAAACCAUACCUCUCCUCCAACGGCUUGUCGUACAGUUACUGUAUCUUCCACUUGUCAGCAGCACAACAGUGAACCCAUUGGUGGGAUCUGCAUAGUCACGACCUAUUUCAAUGAUAUGAACAAGGACGAGGCAGAGAAUCAGAUAUGAAGAACGCAUCUUCCUCAGUUCUUGAUCCUGUGAAUUGACAAGGAAAAGCUGAGCUAUGUGCUGAUAGGAUUAUCAUACGCAUGAAUCAGAGACAACAAAAGUUUAGCCUAGAGCCCUUUUGGACCAGUGUCAGUGUCUUGUUCCUUCAAAAUUAUGUGUAUAUGCAGCACCAAACACUAAGAAGAGGUCAAAUGCUCGAUACAGAUUGAAGAUUUAGUUCAACGGUUGAUAAUUGAGGAUGACAAAAUUGCUGUGUCACACUUCCUCCCUGGAUCCAAGGCGUUGUCCUCCUUUUCGUGUUUUUAUCAGAUUGGAGUCGAAUAUUGGCGAUGGCAUGAAGACUCUUAUGCUUAUGUUGAAUCAGCAUCUGCUCUAAAAGUAGUCGUCUUCUCAAUGCACUUUGCAUUUGCAAGGAAUUGUGCCCCAUGAUAUAAAUCGAUGAACGAUUUAGUUCGGAAUGCGUUAAAUUACUCUUCAUCGACAUCUAAGCUUUUCCGAGCGUCCUUCGGUUCUUCUCUAUCUGAAGCAUCUGCAAAGUGCGUUGAGAGGUCUGCAUCAUGCUGCUCUAGAAGAGGCAAGAUUUGAUUAAUUCCAACAAACACAAGCUUCCCAUUAAAGUCGAUUUGUUACUGUGCGGGCUUAUUCUAAUGGAUUACGCCAAUCACAUCUCAAAAAAUGGAGCGAACCAUCACAAACCAUAAGUUACUAUACUAAUUUUUUGGUGAUCAGCUUCGACCCAACCCGUAUUGACAUAUUGUGAUUCGAUUCGGUCCACAGACGACUUCAUCUAUAGCACGAGCCUAUAUCCAAUGUCUUCGGUGGAAAUACAAAGAUGAGGAUCAACAUUGGAUUAGAGAGUUAACUUCACUCCUUAAAAUCAGCCAUAUAUAGCACUUGAAUGAGCUGAGAAUCAUCAAAAGCAAGCAUAUGAGUCACCUGUAUUCACUAUAUAUGCCAAAAAGUGACAUACUUUUAAUGUUCAUGCUAAGAGAUUGACUACUGGGCUUUAAUUAUAUCGUUAUCGCCUUUUGUUUAUCCUCUUUAUGUUUGUUCUAGGAAAGGCAACCGGUAUUAACAACCUCUUAGAGAUAGUUUGCACAAUGUGCAUCACUAAUAUAUUAUAAAGGUGCGUGCAUCAUAAAGCUAUCACAGAAGACGUAUCUCUUCUAAUCAUUCUCUUGCAAAACUCUACACACAUCGCCUGGGCUCUCUUGAAGAUCAAACUCGACAUCAUUGUCCAAAUUCAAGUUUGGAACAAUUCUAAUGCACUAUAUGGGGAAAUUUUCAAAAAGGAAAUAUGCAAAGUAAAUUAUGCAAAAGAAUGAGCUUGGCCGACUUUGUAAGCCGUUAGACGGAGAGGAUGAAGGUUGCCUUCUAAAGAGUGUCAAUAUGCCUUGUAUUAUACGUUAAUCCUGGACAGGCUCUUGUCUUUCCCAUUCGCUUGCAGGCAUUAUAGACCGCCAUUUUCGGUGAAAGCUUUUCUUCAUUGUUCGUCCUUCUGUGCAGUAAUGGCCCUUUUAGUUUUCUCUUCUUUCCUUUUCUUCUCUUUUGUGCAUUUGGGCAGCCGCCAUAUGUCUAGUAUCUGUGUGGGCAUUGAACAAACCAGCAGAUUGACUUUCUUCAUGUAAAGUAGUAAUUCGUUUACGCGUGUCGUCGUGUAUGUUCAACACCAGCAGCUUUAAUGACUAAUGAGGACAUGGGUGAUGAUGAUGUCCGCUUUAUGUCGUUGCGUUUGGAUCAUAAGCCCUGCCCAUACAUUGCUUUCUUUCCAUGAACUUUUGUUACAUUGGUUUUCCAACUUGUCAUACCAUGAAAGAGAGGCUUGAGAGAGGUACUUACAAGGCUGAUGCUGCUUUUCAUAUCUCUUCGCAGUUAGCAAGGCUUGUAAAGCAAUCAUUAACAUACAUGAACCCUAUCCAUAGUUUAAUAACUUGGGACUCAAAAAAAUUAUCAAUUUAUUCCAAAUCUAUUGUACAUAUGACAAUUCAAUCUUAAACUUUUUAAUUUUAUUAAUGUUAAUGGAAAUCACUAACGUAAUAUAAGCAAAACCAUUUAUGUCAACAUGUCAUGCAGGAUUGUUGAUGAUGACUAGAUGUUAUGUCAGCGAUUUUCCAAAAGAACUACAUUAGAAAUUUGUACAAUAAUUUAUUAUUCUAUUUGUGAAAUUGAAAUUCUAUCAAUUGUUCUUAAUAGAAGUUAAGUUUAAACUUUCCUUUUAGUUUUCUUCCCAUGAAGGUAUCUGAAUUUCUUUUACAUGUCCUACUAAAUAUAAUGAGAGUUAGGUUGAUGAGUGGCCAUCUCUUAAUAUGAAUAGUCUUUCGUGAAUAUCUCGAAGAACUCUCGUGAUCAAUUCGAUUGCUAGAUAAAGAUAGUGAUUGUGAUUAGUUUGAUGGAAGACAUUCUUGGUAAGGUGAGUAUCGUGUUGUGGUAAGACACUAGUCAAAAAUACUAGCAGAACAUUACAACUUACUUUAAAAUUUAAGUUAAUUUAAAAAUAUCUAAAAUAGCAAAAAUUUCCUCAACAAUGCUAGUAUUACUCUUUGUUUUAAUUAGUAAAAUUUAGCAAAAAAUUAUUUAAUUUAUUAUAUAAAUAUCAAUUCAGUUAUAAAUCUUUGAAUUUGGUCAAUUUAGUCCUAAACCUUUAAACGAUUUGUCAAUGUAAUCCCUUCCAGCCAAUUUUGGAUGUUGGCUAUCCUACAUGGCAUGGUCAAUAUCAACGUAAAUAAUUUUUACAUUUUUUAAAUAUUUUUCUCAAAUUUCUUGUUUCCUUCUUUUUUCUUUUUUCUUUUUUAAUUUUCCUUUGUUGAUCCACAAUGCCGUCACCUAGCCCAUAUCAAGACAAGGGUUGUGACACCCUCCCUAUGGCUAGUGAGGCUUCAGGUGAGGAUCUCGAUGCUCUCACCAACCAAAAAAGAAAAAAAGGAGGUUUAAAUAAAAAUUUAACAUUUUGUCCAUGUCGACACAAGAUGCCAUGUAAGAUAUCCAAUGCAAUUUAGCAACUCCUUGUCAAAAUUAGUCAGAAUGAAUAUAUUGGCAAAUUGUCUAAAAGUUUACGACUAAAUUAGCAAAAUUAAAAGAUUUAAAACUUAAUUGGUACCCGUACAGUAAGUUUAGAACCUUUUUUAAUAAUUAUGCCUUUCAAGUACUUAAAAAAUGAAGGGUCUCAAAGUAGUUUAUGAAGAUGUAGAGAGCUGCGCUUGUAGUUUAUGGAAAACAAUAGGGUCUCCAAGUACAUUGAUCCAAACAGAGAGGGUGUCGGAGUAAUUUCCGUUAAAAAAAAGAAAAAAAAAAGGCAAGGGGUGUCUAAGUAACUUAAUCCAUACCAGGGGUGUUCGUAUUUACUUUUUAAUUUUGACUUUUUUCUACAUCUCAUGAUGCAUGCGUUUUAACUCUUUUUUAAAUCUUAAACGCCUAAAGUUUUCACAAAGUAAAUGCCGAUACCUAUUUUCAAGUAUAGUCUUUUUCUUCACACGGAAAAUCAAAAAGGUUACCUUUUCUUUCGGAAAUCCCUACAAACAAACCUUAAAUUUAUGUUACAAGCCUCAUCCUUCUUUCAUGAUGAGACUUUAGGAGUGGCUAAAUAGUACGAAAAAUCUGUCGGACCAUCAUCAAGAGUGUCAAUCUAAGGGUUGCGAUAAUUACUGGUGUGCUUAGAAUGAAAAGAAUAAUAUUUUGCAAGGAUUAGUUGAGUGCUCGUCAGCUGGGAUAUCUUUAACAUGCAAAUCUUGUGCAUCUCUUUCUCUCUUUAGAAAUUAUCUCAGUAAUCUAUACUGGUGGACAUUAAAAUUUAGCAUAAUUUGUAGCCGGUCACUGAACUUUGAUUUCAAUAACUAGAUACAUUAAACUUCAUUUAUCUGCAGUUUGUCUCAUUUUGGCCAAAAUCGACCAAAUUAAUCAAUGUAAGCAUCUCUCUCUCUCUCUCUCUCUCUCUCUCUCUCUCUCUCUCUCUCUCUAAAUUGUUCGAUACUAUUUGAGUAAAUUGAACUUUUGGUCACCGAAGAUUAGCACAAUAUGUAAUCAAAUCAAUGAACUUUAAUUUCAUUAGCCAAGUACAUUAAUCUUUCAUUUCUCUACAAGUUAAAGCAUUUCGGUGAAAAUUGAUCACUUUUCAACGAAAUAAUCGAUUUGACAGUGAUGUGAUAUUGAGCAUGACAUUUUUAAAAUUAGUCAUGUGCCCACCACAUAAAAAUCUAUUUUAAAAUCGACAUGAUUUGGACCAAAGCACAUCAAUUGAAAAUCCACUAAAAUCUAUCAACAGAAGUAAUUUGCCCAAAUUUCGAGCUACAGAAAAGAAUAAGUAAAAGGAGCGAAUUCUUUAUCAAUGAAUGGAGAAAAAAGAGCUGGCCCUUUCUCUUUUGGGCUUCCCAAAGCAAAGAUUUGGUACCACGCCUUUUGUUCUUUUCUUUUAAACACUAUUGUUUCUGUCCUUUUCUUUUUAGGAUUAAAAAAAAAACGUGAGGCCCACAUCGAAAUUCACAGACAUGUCGAAAUAAAGGCUGUCACGGUUUCGCUAGCGGCCACACUUCAACAUUCAACAUUAAGUGAAGAAGCAGUCCUUUUAAUACGACAUGUGGUUCGCCCCUUGUGGAUUUAUAGCAAUCGUGCCUAGGCUUGUGAAGGUUCUAUCCACGAGAAACUUUUAGGUCCACGCAUGACUUUGAACCGCAUUAAAAUAGAGUCAUUUAAUAUGGACCUUCUUGUUUGUUCUGGAUUAAUGUAAUCUGCUUGGAGGAUCUUGCUGUUUUAUAUGUAGAUUGGUUCUGUCAUGGCACCAAAUGCAUCGGUUAUCUCAAUCUAGGAACCCCUACUAGUCUAUUCUCUGCUCUUCUUUACCUCAUGUCCAUGGCCAAAUAUAAUAUGAACACUCAAUCUUAAUCUAGCAUAUGUUAGGCAGAGUGAUUUGAGAGAGUUAGUUGUGCUGGAGCACUUACCGAUGGUCGUCACUCAUCGCUGUCCUCCUGUCCACCUAUUCAAGGGAUUAUAGAGUUUGGUUAUAGAAACUGGUAAAACCAAUGUUGACCUAGUUUAGUUGGUCAGAUUGGUGAGUCGUUGCUAGAUGUAAUUUGAUCUAGGAAUUUGAAAAAAAAAAAAAACGGACAGCAUGGGUUGUGAAUUGAAAUCGAACCUUAGAAUAGUCAUAAUUAUUGCUUUACCAAUUGAAUUUUAAAACUUUAAAAAUGCUUCAAAAGAUUCAAAUAUGUGGUGUUGAGAAACACACAAUGCACUCAAUCCAUUUGAUGUGGGAAGAAGUUUCAUAACAUCUGUGCAUUAUUUUAUAUGUAGUAUCAAUGCUUGCUCAAGUUAACAAACCGCUCGAUUUAAACAGUUUACCUAUUCAAAUAGCAAACCACUAGCCUCUUAGGUUCACUUGCCCAGGCGAUUUCAGAAAUUUUGCUAAGAGGCUAAUGAAAUAUCUUAAAAUUUUCAUAAAUCAGUUAAAUUUAUAUCUAUGGCCUUUGCAUAAUAAUUUUCAUGUAGUUUGUGGGUUUCGAAGUUUGAAGCCGAAUUCAUACCAAAUCAAGCCUUCAGUCUAGUUGGCACGAGCUAGUCGUGUUAGCCGACUUGAUGGCCACCACCUUUAUCUUCAAAUCUUGAAUUGGAAAUCUUAUGACAUCUCAACAAAUUACACUAUAUCUUGAUUACUAUCACCAUUUUCAAUGCAUGUAUGACACGUUGGUUUGGUCAAUUAUCUCAUUAUUCUAACUUCGCUGUUUGAUUACCACCUACAAAUCUAAAUGCCUAGAGUGAAGUCUCCAUCAAGAGCAAAUUACAUCGACAGUGCACCAAGCAUUGUCCCCAUCAAAUUCCCCCCAAAAUUCUCAUCUGCAGAACAAACAAAAAAACAAGAAAAUGCAGACAACAAAAGUGAAUUAACGCUACCUACGAAGGCAAUGAAACAAAAUGGAAAAUCAGUGUUUCUGUUCCUGACCAGAAUCGAGAACAUAAUCUCAGCAACAGCCGUUAAGAUAUCAAAUGGGCCAUCCGCCCAUGCUUUAUUGUGUUAAUGUUUAUUCACGUGUAAGGCCUUGUCUGUGCCUCAGGUCUCAAAAAAAGAAAAAGAAAUUGCCUUUGUUAUCUCCCAAGCUCCAUAUAUUUUUAAUUUUAAUCGAAUUUGAUGCAUCGAGAAUUAAAAUAAAGAGAAAAAAGGGUGAAACUUUACACGGCAUAAUUACGCCAUUAUACAAAAGCGACUGUAGUAAUUAUGAAAUACAAAAGGUUGUGAGGAUUCCUAAGAGAAAGUAAAAUAGUAUGUAUUCUCCACCUCCCAAGAACAUAUAUAUAUAUAUAGCAAUUUCUUUUCAGCAUUGAAAUUGAAGAUGUUGCAGGACGAUUCUACGCUAAUCAUUUUAGAAUAAUUAGUGUAAAUACUCUUCUUGAUUAGUUAAGUUUUGAAAUCUCGAGAUGAUUUUUUAAAAAAUAAAAUAUUUUUAUCGACUUUUUGCAAAAACGAGAACACACACCAUCCCCAACACCCAUUUGUCUGUCAUCCAUUCAAAGCACCUCCUGUCAAAAGCCCCUUCUGUCAAAAGCCCAGCACUCCUGACACUUCGUGCAACUCUCUCUCUCUCUCUCUCUAUAGACAUACACACGGUGGAAAGGAAAGUUGGAGAGAAGAAAGAAGAAAGAAAAAAGAAAAGAUUGCUGCCAGAGACAAUUAAAGCCACUGCUGGUUCCACCUCUUUUCAUCUUUCAUCAUCUCUCUCGGCUUCAGCUUGCAAGAAAGAAUACAAGAACCGCUCGUUUCCACGAUGAAGAUCGCAGCGUUCGUCACAUUCCUCUGCUUCUUCUUCUUCUUCUUCUUCUCUGUUUUCUGCAAAGUGGGUUACUGUUCGACGGUCCUCGUGGAUGGAGUUUCGGAGUGGAAGAACCCGACUGUUCAUGUUGGAGAUGCCAUCAGUACGUGUUUUUUUUUUUCUUUUUCUCUUUGUAAAGGAAAGAGUGAUUGUGGAUGAGCUCUCUAUUCAGUGUCGGAUUUCAAGAACUCAAAGCUGAGAGUUAACAUUCCCCUGUUCUCUGUUUCCUUUCUCAGUUUUCAGACACAAGUAUCAAUACGACCUCUACAUUUUCCAGAACCAACGAGCCUUCACUCUCUGCGACUUCACUCAAGCGACUCUUCUUACAAAGCCGGGCUCUAACACAUUCACGGUAUGCUCUCUCUCUCUCUCUCUCUCUCUCUCUCUCUCUCUCUCUCUCUGAGUGUUCAUGUGUGCACCGUUGGGUUCUUUACUUUUCCGUUUUCUCUUUUUCUUAGAUAAACACGUUUAUCAGCUAGUAAUUAGCUUGGACUCCACAAAAGCUACUAAAAUUUUGGAACUUUACUACAUUUAUCAUUUGAAAACUAUGUUACGAAGAAGCUCACAAGCUGAAAUUAGUUUUCUCUUCUAACAAACCCAAAAAUUAAACGAAAAGAAACGUUGCCAUCAAUCGGGUUAUUUCUUGGAUCUUGAGUAAUAUCUGCAAAAUGAAGCAUUUUUAGCUCUCUUUUUUCCUGACCAUUUCUUUCCAUGCUAAUCCAGUGGCACCCAUCACGCCCUGGCUAUUUCUACUUCACCUUCAACAAUGGCUCUCUCAAUGCGUGCCAAGACACCCAAAAGUUUCCCGUUAAGGUCUCUUCCGAAGCACCGCCACCAUCCCCAGAGAGUGUAAUCAUCCCGUCAGAAUCACCUCCAGUGCAGGCCCCGGCCCCGACCACGGGAGGGACUGUGUCAUCCUCGCCGACGUUUCCAUGGCCAUACCGCCCUCACGAGAAGCUCUCGCCGGGACCUGCACCAGCCGCAAGCUCGUUGCCGGACAAAGGCGGGAUUCCCUUUAUUAAUAGCAAUCCUGCAGUUCCUCUGCCUACAGGAGAAGUGGACUCUGCCACAAUAAGGCCUCUGUCUCAGGCAGAUCACGGAAAACAGGUACGAGACUAGUUCGAUUCAUCAAAGGGAUUUUUUACAAGAAUAUUAUUGAAGUGGUUAUAUUAAUAAAUUGAAUUAUGUCAAGAGUACAUUUUGAUGGACCAAUAUUGCAAAUUGUUUUUGUCAGUGUUUGUUCGGUUGGGUUUGGUGAGGACAGAAACCCACAUUGACAUUACAAGUCUCAAGAGGUGACCAAUAAUAGGACCUAUUUAAGUAGGGUGCAGCUCCCGUGAUCUUUACAGCUUUAAUUGAAACCUGACGGUUAGCUUAUGGCUGAACUCCACGAGGAAUAGUUAGAAGCUUUUAGCACGAUGUUUUGAUGUAUCGAAGUCUACUGGGUUCUGAUUUUAUAUCAUGCCGCGCAUCAUUCUUGGCUGUUCUUUAUCAGUUCUUGUGGCUUGUUUUAAGCAUUUUGAGACAAUCGAUAGCUGAAAAUCAUCUGCCGUUUUGAAAAUGGGCAAUUCAUAAUAUAGUCUUACUCAAUCAUCAUCACUUUGCCUGCUUAAAAAUGUGCCACCAUCAUUGCUCUUUUGGUCCAUUCUGUCGUCUCUUACACUUGCAAUCCGAAAUGGGGGGUGAAACCUUAUGUACCCAAAAGUCAAAUAAAAAAGGAAAUUGCUGAAAGCGUAGGAAACUUUAUCUAAUUACUCUUUUGAGUCUUGACAUGGUCUUCAUACUUGAGCUUCACAUGUAGAUCUGAAAAGAUAGAUGAGCUGUUGAUUGGGGUCUCAAUUACAUAUCCCUUUGUCCUUUGAUUGCAGGAGGUGGUGGGGUUGCUUCAACUACAAAUGGCUCUACUGUGUGCAAUGUUCUUGAUGCUGUGACCACAAAAAUUGAGCUAAAAAGAGGGGAAAAAAGGAAUUUAGGAGGCAACUACAGCUAGUGUGUAAAGAAUGUGAGUAGGCUAAUGAGUGGGAGGUUAUUUGGGGUCCUUAAAAGUAGCUUUAGAGAAUAUAAUUAGACCAUGUAAUAUGAUGAUGCUUCUUGCCUUGACCCUACUUUGGAAUCAUUGGCAAGCUUUGGCCUUUAGUUUUGCUGUGUAAUCAAUUGCUCCCUCUUCUCUUUUUUCAACUUUCUUCUUUGCCUUUAUUUCCUUUCACCUACUUUCAUCAUUCUUCAAUCUUUACUUGUGAAAUUUAUCGUCGCCCGGAGGCAUGAAUCGGUUUUCUUUUCGUUUCGGCGGCAUUUUUUUUUUAAGUUGAAAAGCAAUUUAGUGUCAGGAAAAUUUCCAAGCAAGCCAAAAAGCUGUAAAGUAAAGCUUAAAUAAUUGUGGGAUCUUUACUAGGUAAGAAAGGUCAUUAAUCUCAAGGAUGUUCUCUCUUUCUCGGGUGACGGAAUUUGACUAGCUUUAGAUGCAUAAGAGCGAUUUAUGUGACAGUUAAACGCGCGAAAAUCACUUCUAUUACAUAGACUUUAAUGAGAAGUUCACAGUUAAGAUGUGCGAAAGCACGGUUGCGUCUGCUGCAAUUUAUGUUAAAAGGCACGUACUGGUGAAUUUUGACACUUGAUAGCACAAUCAAAUUCGUCCUUUGUUAAUGUGUCCUACAUAACGUGGGAACUCUCAGCCUGCAGUAACCUGGCCGGCAUUCUUAAUCGAGAAAAUUUAAGUGGAGUUGGAAAAGAAUUUCUCGUCAGUACAGAUGAGCAAUUUAUCUGUUGGACCAGAAACCGGGUGGAGGACUAUUUGCGCCCUCGAGCCCUGCGAUAUACUAGCAUCUAUCAAGGGAUCUGAUUCCCCAGCUUAGACAUCAUAUUUCGUGAUUGUCUAAAACGUAACAUGUCUAAAACGUAACAUAAGUUUUCAAAGACAUAUAUCUGCAUCUUAUCAGACCAGAUACUAAUGAUACAACAGGUGCUACGAGCAAACUCAAAUAGAGCACACUUCUCUGCAAUUUUCUAUGGAGCUCUACAACUGUUUGUCUUCUAAACUUAUGAGCACCUUCAAGUCCUGUUUCCCCGCAUCACCAAGGAAAAUUCUAACUAUAAGACCUGAAUUUGAAGACUCCAAAAAUUUCUUUUACUAGAGCAGGCAAGCUAGAGCAUGUUGAGUUAAAGACUAUAGUAAGCCGUAGUGAAAUAAAUUCAACGUCUGAGUUCCCAGAAUUUCGAAAAGCGGUGCUCAGUAAUUAGUUCAUGAUCUAGGUGUGCCAAUUCCUGUUGCUUCUUCUCGUGUUCGCCUGCAUAGUCUGUGACAUUAACGAUAUAGCUCAAACUUAAUCACUUUGUUUUCAAGACUCAGGAUCCGGAAAAUAACAGCCAAAAUGUGUCGACCAGUGUCCGUUUUCAGCUAAACCAUCAUCCGGGUCAUAAGUCGGAGUUAUAAGUUCCACAAAAUUUCUGGUGUACAUAUCAUACAAGAUCGUGUUACAGUGUCAUGCCCGAGAAUCCCUCAGCCCUGGAGGGGCCUGGAAAUUUCGCAGUGCUCUCCACCAACAUAAGUUCAUGAAUGUUCAUCGUUAAAGAAAGCUGGAAUACUUAGCUCACUGGCAAUGGAAAACGCAAACAUUUUACCAGGAGAAGCAGGUAUUUGCUAAGGCACAAGUGCUUGGGCCCAUAGUGACGGAUUGAAUCUCCAAAAUGCAGAAAGUAUUGGGCCAAAACGUCCGGACCUUGCUCCCUACCCGGUUCCUAUGCACUGCAGCUUAAGAAAGUUCAUGACCCAGGUCAUCAUUGGUCAAGACUCAGAUUGAGUUUCAUGUGCUCCCCUAAUUAUUAUUUUCUAUUUGUACCGGACUUCACCAAAAGUAUCCUUUUGUUUGGAGAACAAUGAUGAAAUUCGUAACAUUUGACGAUCCUUCAGCCGGAGAAUAUCAUGAACCAAUUUUUGGCAACGCUGUGUUCAAAACUAGCCUCUUUCUUGUUUCAACGAGAUUAAAAUUUCUGGGUAUUGACUUCUACGUUGGAAUUCUUGGCCUUCAGUCAAAAUCAUAACAUUAACAAGGAUCUUGUUUGCUGAAUAAGAAAUCUUGCAUUUUCAGGAUCAUACCGAUUGUUCUCGUGAUAUACACGCAAUUGAUAUUUGUGAAAGCCAUUCUCAAGGCCCUUGUUAAGUCUAAAUCCAGAUGGUACAUCGCGUCAAAGUACAGUGCUGAUUAAUUCAAUUAUGCUGGUGGUGCUGUACUUCUCCAAGUCCAAUUUGAGGCUCGCAUGAUGCUCGACCCCCUUCGAGCUUUCGGACGGUAUUCAGCCAGGUGGAAUUGGAUGCGACCUGAGGGUUUACAUUGGAUAAGAUGAAGGAGACAAAAUAAGCUUUUUUUUGGGUGUCGUGUUGCCAUCGGACAGCUAACUACCCUAAUCUCAGGGAGAGGUCCAUUCGGCAUGGUUGGUAAAGUCCCUUCCUUUGCGGUCGAGAAUGGAGGAAGGCCAUUUCUGCAUUCAAUCCCUUGCUUUGGCAUUGAUUUGAAGUGUCACCAACCCCAGCUCCUAUCGAGAGUGUUGAUGGUGCGAGGAUCGAUCACGAGUGCCGACCAUAAGAAAAUCAACAAUCUAUAAUUAUACAACUUAGAAUGCCAAGAUGUUAGAGCAUACUUGGUUUGGACAAGAACCGUUCGAAAAGGGUGAAAUCACGUGAGGGGUUUCUCUCCUUUUCCCUCUCUUAGAUGGUCUCGAUGGAUGAACAAUUGGUGUAUGUAAGAGAAACCUUAUUCUAUUUAAGUGUGUACCCUAAUACGUCCAUCCACCACAAGUUAUUCUUAAAAUAUCGACCUACACUGACCCUCCAAUCACAUUAUUACCCUACUCGAAACAUGGUAAGACCACUACAAUAUGGGGAAAUCUAGCACUGCCUUAUUUAUUUUGUGAACUUUAUUUACCAUUUCUUUUACGAACCUAAAUUAUUAUGCAAUUAAUGUUAACCAGUGCUUAUAAGAAUUUCUAAUGAUGACUUAAUAGCAUCUGGUUCACUAUAGAUAAAGUAGUUAGGAUUUGAUUAGUUUGGUUCAUCCUUUUGAGUUUAAUUCACCUCAAUUAGACUUGUAAUGGUACAAAUGUCAUGCUCGGUUUGGCCACACAAUUCGUGAUUUUCGUAGUCCUAAGGACAAAAGGUAGCUUUUGGAAUUGAAAUUUAGAGAAGACUUUACCACACCCAACUUCCUUAAUUGCGGUCAAGAAAGACGGGAGGUCCAUCUACAAUUAGAUUCUAUGGAUGUAAACGGGUAGGUUGCUUGAAGUGAUUGGUGUCCAAAUCUAGUUGGAUAUAUCUUUUCUUCAAUCAAUGUAAUAACAAUAUAUAUAUAGAUGCACACAUGCACAGAUUAUAAGUAAAUCGAGAAAUUAACUGUCACUAUCGUAUAUUCUCUAAACAUUUGUAGAGAGAUUAAAAAAAUGAAUUCAAAUUUUCUUCAUUAAUCUAACGAUGAAGGAAUUGAGUUCGAAAUUUUGCUACUCCUACUUUAACAUUUUCUUCAUUAAUCUAAUGUGUCAUUUUCAUGAAUUACACCCACAAAAGAUAAAUAAUCCAAACAAAGUAGUUUGGGUCAUUAUUCGUAUCAUGUUCGGGUUAAACCAAUCUAAUAAGAACUUUUUAAUUAAACAAGUCACGCAAAUCAUGCUCGGCCUACUUAUUAUUAGCUCAAUCAUUUUUAGAUUAAGAUUUUCUUCAUGUAAUAGAUCGAUCUUGUCCAAAAUGAAAUUCCUAACACGACCAACAAAAUGAAUGGUUCUUCACACCAAUCCGGCUCGUUGGAGAAAUUUAACUAGUACUUCAAAGUAUUUUUGUUUUCGUAGUGUGAACUGAUUAACUUCUCGAGAGAGUCAAAGAUCGAAAAAGUAGAUCAUGACAUACAUAGACACGCAUAAAAUAUUAUGCAAGAUUGCAGACCAUGUGUUUCUUUAUUUAUUGGCUUGGCUUCGGCCGCUGCCUGCCACGCUGUCCUCCUUUCCUUACGAACGUUCUGCCAAUACCACGACGUUCCAGAGACAGACACCGCUUCAGAGUUCAGAGUUCAGACACAAAAGAACCAGUCAAAAGUCAAACGUAGGAACAUUUGUCCUUCUCCUCCUCAGGUCAGAGUCAAAUCCCAGCUCCAGAAGCUGUAACCUUGACCGACCGCACCCUCGAGACCCCGGCACAGCAAUUCCCUGAGCUGUCGAAGUUUCGUUAUGGAAGUCACGUACCACCGCCAAUCCAAGAUCAACACAAUUUGACCGUAAAACAUUGCAACGGCGCAUAGCCAAUUAAAAAUAAUCGAGCAGUACAGAACCUGAAUGGCUCUGUUCCUUAACAUGGAAGAUCACAUGUGGUCAAGGUCAAAAGUUGGCAGAACAAUCUGGUGUUGCCACAUAAAAAAAAAAACAAGCUACUGUGCUUUCCAGUCUCUAUGUUUUUAUACAAUCAGUACUUUCUGCAUCAAUGUCGAAUGAUCCAGAAAGACAGAAGACAGUCAUCAUCUGGGACUUCAGAUUCCACUGUCACAACUGUACCCAGACCAAAACUGGAUUGAGAAGCCUGAUGAGAAGCAAAACAGAUGGUGCAUGUUCCAACCGAGUUUAAUCCAGUAUUUGCAAUGCAAUGUACUGACGAAAGAGCAAAAAGAAAGAGCAUAGAACAAGAACGGCCUAAUUAUACAGAUGCUCAAACACCAAAAUUUACCCAAAACACAUGUAAGACAUGUCAUAUACCUUCCUCCAAAACAUUAUUAGAUCAUGAACAAAACAGUAAAAGAAGCACAGAACCCAGUAAGGUUCUUCACCUAUGCUACAUUCAUAUAUAUUUCUUUACAAAAGUCCGACCGUCGAGACUGCUCCCUCUACUCAGAACGGUUCGCGCUCCCGAUGUAAUCGAGCCCCUCGGUGCGGCUCCGCACAAUCCGAUGGAAGACCUCUCGUACUUGCUUCUCCAAUGGAUCCAAGCCAUCCUUCACAGCCUCAAACACCUCCGCCAGGUCCUCCACUCUCUGCCUCACCUCCUCUUCCUUCUCGGCCGACAGUGGGAAUUGGGCCGAAUCCACCAAUUCGCUCAUUAUCCUCGCGCCCCUCUCGAUUUGAUGGAUCUCCCGCAACAAUCCGCGCGCGUUCCUCCUCUCCCUCUUCUUCGAUUCCUCCACGAUCCUCUCGUGGAGCGACUGGAUCGGCGCGGCCCAGGCGAACUGCCUCGGGAUGGAGAAAUGCACCUGCAGCCCGCGGUCCUGGCAGGGGAUCGCCGCCACGAGGGCCCACGUCACGAAGAGGAGGACCGAGUUCAUCGUGAAGACCGGCACGGCGAGGCCAUUGGUGGCCACGAUCUCGUUCCCCCUCGGGGCAGACAAGUUGGUCCCGAUCGCCUGAAUCUGCCUGGCGGCGGACCACGACCUGGAGACGCUCCAGGAGAGCGACCUGAAAUGGCCCAGCGAGCGGUGGUCCCGGGACACGCUGCUGCGGCCGAAGGACCGGUUCCGGUGCGCCGCCACCCCCGACCCGCCGGCCUCCUUCUCGUCGAGCAUCCCGAUGGCCAAAUCGAUCAGCGCCUUCUUCGCGCGGCGGAAUUGGCCCUCGCUCAAGCUCUUCCGGCUGUCCAGCGCGCACAGGACGAUGUCCAGGAGCUUCUGCCACUGCCGAACCUGCUCGACCCCGUCCCGGAUCGCAUUACAGACGUCCAGGGCCUUGAUGCUCCUCUCGUGAAAAUCGGCAAUCGACCUGUCCAUGGGGGACUUCGACAGCUGGGACUUGUGAUUGAACAUGAUCACCCUGAACUCCUCCUGGCAGCACAGGAACGCGUCGAGCAGCUUCCGAAUCCACGGGAGCGAGAGCAGCUCCUCCGGGCCGGCCGACGACAGAUCAAGAAACCGGUCGGCGACCUGCUUCUGGAAGGCCUCCAUCUCCAGCUCGGCGCUCGUCGCCUCGUGGGUCGGGUCCACGGAAUGGACGGCCUGGUCGCGCCGAAAGCUCAGGAUCGACCGGCCAAUGUACGAGCCCUGGUACUCCGUCGCAGGCAUCUUUCUUGAUCCUCCUACGGCAAACCCAAGAACGAACCCGCCGAGACCCACGUACGGAAAUGGCGAAAGCUCGCGGCUUUAUCGGAUUUCUCGACCGCGGAGGGCUCGAAUCGAAGUCUUAGCAAACACCCAUCUGAGAAUAUGCGCCGAAUCUCUAUCAAUUUCGAGGCUUGGUUCUUGCGAUUGAAGUCCGUACAGCAAAGCGAGAGGAGGAGAAGGAAGGAAUGAUGAAACCCUAAAGGGGUAGGGGAAUUUAUGGGCGGGGAAGCAUCCUGGACCGCGUAUUAUCGGUAGCUUGGAAAGGGAGAGGUCCACGCGAAAGCGAGGGAGAUUUACCAUAAUUAGCAUGAUUAGAUUAGAUUAAAUUUUAAUUAACUUAACCCUUCCUGCCGUAGAAUCCCCAUAGAUCGCCUUUUUUUAAUUUUUUACCCCGCUCGACGCGCCCCCCACGCGCAGCCGGCGGGAUCGGAUCUCGGCCGUCGAUUUCGGACAUCCGCAUCGCGGACCGUCGAUCGACGAUGCGUCACUCGGAAGUGCCGUCGCCGCCCGCCGGCCGUGGGAUGUAUGUCCGCGAAUUCCUGCACUCUGCAGCAGCGGAUCAUUUCCGCGAGGGAUGUCUGUCCCCGUUCCGACUGGUGUGAACUGCGCUAAGCUAGCGUCACGGGGCUGUCGCAUGGCGGGGCCGCGUGACCGGAAGGGUGGGCCCGCACGUGAGCACGAGCGAGGGGCCGCGUUGACCACGUGGAGCGACGUGAAUGGGUCUCGCGAGACGCCAAACGUGGGCGAUUGGUUGAUGGGUGGGGGAGGGCUCGGUCUUCGUCGGCGCGUAACGUAACGCUCUCUUCGUCCCCCUUCUAGAAGGACAGGGGGCGUGGAGGUGGUUCGGUCCUAAUUGGAAUUUUAUGACGAAAAAGAGGAAAAGUAUAUUGUUGAAAAGGUAAAAGGGAAAAACAAUUUGUCAAUGACACAAGUACUAAGAGGAUCAUGGAAUGCAUUUCACAUAGGCGAGUUUUUUCUUUUUCUUUUUUAAGAAUCCUUCAUUUUCUUUUUCUCGUCUAGAGAGGGAGAAGGAGCGGUCACCGUCGUCUACAAAAGUUUUCCAACAUGCCUAUAGUCCCGAUUCUUUGUAAAAAUAUCAAUAUAAGUCACGACUAUUUAGAGAGCUCUGUUUUAAAAGUAAACUUAAUCUAUAACAUAUAGCAUAAUUAAAAUGUAAGAGUAAUUUUUAUGGUCGAUUGAGGUAAUUCGUGGGAGACUCGUCUGAUGAAUUCUCUUAUGUUUUUAGUUUUUCUUAAACUUUUAAAUCGGGCUUUUUGUUCGAUAUCGACAACCCUAGAUCCCAACCAUUUGCUUUUGGCGUUAAAAGCCUUCUUUGACUUAAAAUUAGGUGAAUUGGAAAGACUUAUUAUCCAUAACCGUGUGAUAAAGUAUCGAUCUACAUGUCCAUUAAUUAUAUGGUGAAGUGUGAAUCACUAAGCUUUUUUAUUCACUGUUGUUUUUUUUUUUUCAAAAGAGACUUAUUUUCUUUUCGUGGAGCUAUACGGCGCGUCACUAAAUUAUCCUCUCGAAAGGAACUGGUCAACUUUCAUUACGCACCACUCGUUUUGCUACGGGAACAGCCGAGUUUGACCUCAUAAAGGCCUUCUCAUGCUUUCAUGACUAGGAAUAAAAUAAAUCAAAUAAAAACUAAAAUUCUGGAUGCUCAGUGGUCAGUUGAGGUCGGUCAAUAAUUGAGAAGGAUAAUGAUAUAUUCGGAUGAGAAUGAGUAUAGGUAAAAGGGGGGAAGCGGGUUAGGGUUUCCUGUACAAGGACAGCAGCGACUCAAAGCCCUAAUUCGAGACCACUGAACUUUACAUGCAAAAAAAAAAAAAAUGCAAUUUUUAUGAGUUUACUAUUGUUAUUGCCCCGUGAAGGGACAAGAAAUAUGCUCGAAGACAGAGAGGGAUGCGACAGUGAAACGUCAAUGUCGAUACCAUUUGUUUUUUUCCCCUUGUUUUUUGCUCCUAAUUUUGUGUGGUGGUUUGACAAUGUCGCGUAUAAUAGAGUAGUUUAUACGUCGUGCUUUCGACGAUCAGACAGACUUUUGAUGAGGAAACAAACAAGCACGGGUUCUCUUUCACGUUCUUUAAUCGCUUGUUGGUACACGGAUUCGGAUAAGGACCGGAUUAUGGUCGCGCUAGAUGCAUCGUUUUUGGCCUGCCAAGAUGGGUUUUAAGAACUCCGAUCCUUGCGUGAAGUCGAAUUUUCCAACCUAAAAUAUAGAUAUACAUGUGAUGAAUUGAGCUGGGUUUGUGAUGAUUAGGCAGUGUCUCUUUUCAUGCUCGGCUAAUGACGUUGCGGACUAAACUAUUCUCUAAUGUAACUUUGCCUCUAAAAGUUGAUCUAAGUUAGGCCGCGACACGAUAAAUAAGUAAUUUGUCGGGAUUGUAACAUGCCUUAUGUAGAUAUAACUUUUCUACAUAUAGUGAUUUAAACCUUUUUGUCAAACGUUCUAAUGUGAUUUCAAAAGUAGAAGUCCCUGGUUCAAGAACCUCCUGUAGCACGAAUAACUUGUAUUUGUCCAAAACAACUUUAUAUAUACCUAGAGCAAUUUUUGUUUAUCUUGAACAACGGGAAAAUUGUACAAAAAUGCCUCAAUCUAGCGUACUUUUAUCAAUUCAAUUUUAAACAUUAUAAUUUUAUUAGUUUUAAAUUUUUUUACAUUUUGCUAAUUGAGCCUUUGACCUAAUAAAUUUAAUUAGUGAAAUUAAAAGAUUUAUGGUUAAAUUAAUAUAUAUAUAUAUAUAAUUCUUGGAUAAUUUUGUCCGUGAACAACUUGCAUCUAUCCACGAGUUAGCGCGAGAAGUGAGAAUCCUGGGGCCACGGGGAUGGAGACGGGUGAUGAUUGACCAGUGGAAACUGGAAAGGUCCAAUUCUCGAGGGAAAACGAGUGAGUUCGUGACCUCAAUUCCUUCAUUAAAUAACACGCCGAGUGGGCACUUUCAUAUGAGGGAAAAAAAAAAUCAAUUGACGAGCUCUUGAAAAUACAAGGAAUCUCUACGUAUUCAAGAAUUGAUUUCUUGGAAUACAAGGAAUUGGUCCACUUUGUUUUGCUUGUUCAGCUUUUUUCCAAGCUCUCUCCCUCUCUCUCUCUCUCUCUUUCUCUCUCCUCUUUAAUAAAACUAAAGGGGUCACGACGUGGAGUAAAGAAGAAUGAAUUGACUUCGUCUCUUUCACACGUCUCUGUGAUGAGGUAGAGAACAAUACGUUGGCCUAGAAGCAGAGAAAACCCUACUUCCUCGGAAGAAGAAGAAGUCAAUGGAAUUGCCGGGCGAAAAUGAUAACAAAAUUCGCACAUGUCCUUUUAACACUAGGGCUUGAUUUGUUUUGUAAAUAUUGUGGCAUUUCUAAAUAUAUAUUUUCCCAAAAGAAAAAAGGAGAAAUAUUUAAAUAUUUAAAAAUUCGAUUUUUCUUUAUAAACUUUUUUGGCCUCGAUGAACACCUACCUAGGCUCAGCCUCGACAUUACCGGGCCUAGCAUCCUGGGCAUAGGCACCCUUGUAAAAAAGAAUUGGCCUUGAUGGACCUAGGUACAAUCGGCGAGGACCUAGGCUUGAUCUCAAUAUUACUGAGCCUAUGUCUAGAAUACGGGCAUUGGUGUCUCGAGAGCAACCUAAAUGGACCUGGGCACUGGAAUCCUUAGGCAAGGCAUGGUGGACCUAACCCCACUACCACGGGUUCGAGAACAAGCAUGGGGGUUCAUGUGCCCAAACACAAAGUUUUUGAUCUAGGCAUCAAAUACCUAGCUAUAUUUUGCGAAACAAUUUCCAUCUUUUGCAAGAGGAAAUUAUUUUCCUGAAUUUAAACAUUGAUAGGAAAACAGUUUCCAUAACUAGAAACAUAUUUUAUUGAAUCAUUUUUCUAAGCGUGUCAAAUGUUGGAAAACAAAAAAAAUAUUUUCUCGAAAAAUAUUUUUUCUGAAAAUAACGGAACCUAAAAAGUUAGGUUUCCUUUUCUUUGUUAGGUCAAAGGAAGAUGAAAUGGCAUUGAACAACGAUAUUUGCUAGAGCGAUUAGGUUCGUGAGACCUUUCAGCAUUAAAAUUCACCAAGAAGGUUAAGGGUAUGGAUCUUGACCUCCGAUUGAAAUUUUUUUCUUCAAUAGAGAAUACUCAUGCAAUUGGAAUUAUUUAAAACCUUUAUUGGAAAAAAAAAAGUCGCUGUUUUUCUUUUUUUAUCUAAGCCAAUGCUUAAUUGAUAACCUAUAUAAUGUAUAAUGUACAAAGUAAGUAGAAUUCUUUGGAUUUUUAGAAAUGAAUAAAGGAAACAACUUUGCUGAUCAUGCCAUACUUUUUGUUUGGUCAGAAAGUCCUCCGAAUAUUCUUUCGAUCUUCAGUUAGUGAUCUGUUUUGAUAUCUCUUUUGAGGAAUAUGAGUAGGUGAAUUAAGUCGCAAGAAUUGUUACUCAAUACUCAAGGGUGUGCUUGUUUAGCGGAAAUAUCAACGAUUUUGAAAGUAUUCUUUUAAAAAUAAUCAUUUGUAUCACCUAUAAAAUAAAGAGAUAUUUUCGUUAUCAACAAAAUAUAUAAGAUUCAUAUCCAAUCAGCUUCUGGCCAUUGACAUUUAUAAUUUUAGCUUGAUCUUCAAUUGAUUAUUGAAGUGGGUUAAAGUUGGCGUGUACUCAAAAGCCUCAAUUUUUAUGGGAACUUCAAACAUGCCGUCAAUAUUUAAUAAUGCUGAUCUAAUUUAGAUUGAUAUUGCAACUCAAAAGUGGGACUGCCGCCUUGCUGGUGUUGCAAUCGCAUGCCGUCGAUCCGUGUCGCCAAAAACGCACAAGACACCAAACGUGAGGACACGUAUCGAUGUCGCAAAUCGUAUUUAAUUGCGGUCCAUUCAUCACCACCUCUCUCUCUCUCUCUCUCUCUCUCUCUCGAGGCUUCGCUUCUUCUUGAUCUCUUGGCUUUUGGUUAAGGUUUGCUGAAUUUCUCCUCUUGCUUUUUGAGUAUGAGCGUGAGCUGUCUUCAGGGUUUUCGAGGCUUUGAUUAGGACAUAGUGGAAUUCCAAAAGUCAGGCAGAUUCGAUUCUUGCUUUUCUUGAUGGAAAGUAGGCCAGGAUUCGCUAGUACCUACUUACACCGUUUGUACGUCGAGUAAGAUUUGCCGGCUCGUUUGCACUAUGACUUUAAUAUUAUUCUGUUGAUCUAUUGGAAUGAAACUUGCAGUUGAAGUUGAAGACCACUUGAACGACUUGACUAAAGGAGACUGGCCAAGGUGAGAAAUGGGCUACGUGGUGAUGAUUUCGUUGCCGGCGCUACUGUUGUGCCUCAUGAUCAUGGCCUUGAUAUGUUACUUGAUCGGAAGGGCAUGGGGUCGACGGCCGGCGCAGUACUACCAGCCUCCUGAGCCGACGCUCCGCUCGCACCCGAGGCCACCUGAAGUAACAUGAAGCUUUUGCGUCACUCAACGUAGGUUUAUUUACAAACUCGCAUGUACAGUUGUACAAAUGAACAGGCUAAGUUCUUCUAUUUGAAGCCGCGUAGCCCCGUAGGUCUUUGCUAAAGGCAAGAUGCAUAGCUACUUCCUGUAGAACUCCGUUUGCAGUUUCUUUUCCUUCAUCAAUGCAAUUUAUUCUCAGCCCUAUCUUAGAUAUAAAUGGAGAGUAGCUUGCUCAAGGUUUCACAAUAUCCCGGUUCAUUUCUGUCGAGUGAUCUCAUGGUAAGUACAAGUCCUCCGUGAGAUAUAGGAAUUCUUAAUCUACUAAUUGCUCGCACUCAUUACUCACAACGUUUCCACAUUCCAUAGGCCACUGUAACUGUCCGUCUUUGGUUGGUCGGACCACUGCCAACCGAUCUAAAACAUAAUCGUGGAUUGACAUUGAAAUGCUCUAACAUUGCCCCUUCAACAAUAACUUUGCUAUAUGUUUAACUUGAACAAGGGACAUAAGAAAAGGGUGAUGAAUAAAGUGGUUUCCGACAAUCAAAAAAGGAGUGGGAAUGCUGAAAUCCUACAAUGAGAAGAUACGGAAGAUAUUUCCUCACGAACCAGAUUCUCAUUGACCAGAUAGAUGGCUUGACUGGAAGCAUCAUAAGCUGCUAAUAUAGCCCCCUCAUAUGCUAAAAGACACCUUUCUUGUAAUUUCUCUCUCCAACUUAAAGAAGUAGAUAUAUUCUUUUAUCAUAAAAGAGAAAGGAUACCCAUUUGGGAAGUUCUCCAGCUUACUGCUUCUUUAGCUUCAACCCACAACAUCAGCAACAAAGAUGCUACCCGAGUCGCACCAGCCACCUAAGACAUCUCUGCCAUGGGACUGCAGUGGAAAAGAGCAGAUCUGUGAGUUCUCUGUGAAGAGACUUUCAUGAUCAAGUAAAGCAGCAUAAUGCUGCAGUAUAAGCCAGUCCAAUCAGAGUGGCAUAAGUCCCACUUCACGCAAUGUGCUUUUGGGUCACUUAACAUUGAUUAUUCAGACGAACCUCGUACUUGAUCAAGGUAAGUCUUUAUAACACAAACUCUUGAUAAUUGUUUAACUAAUAGGGUCACCAUAUUAACGUGCAACAACAUACAGAAGUAAAAGCUUUUGUUGCCAGACAAAUAAUUACGCUACAUUGCCCUUUAAUACAUAGGCAGUCAGAAAAGUGAUGAUUGAGGAUCUAGACGAUUACCUUAUUAAACCCUAGCCAGUUCGAGUCUCCUCUAAAUGUAAAUACUUUCUCGCUCUUUUCCCACUGCCCACAAAAGACCUGUCCAAACAAAAGAUUACGAGUAAGACUAAAUCUAUCAAAAUAAAGAAAACUGAGGCUAAAUCUUAGGCAUCAACAAAGGUAGGCUAAAUUGGGAAGUGCCACGUUUUAACUCAACUACAAUCAACAUAAAAGAAGACAUUAAUUUAACAAAUUUCAGCACCCCCAGCACUAGAAAGAGCAAUAACUGUAUGAAGGAAUAAAGUUUACAUGCAUCCAGUGUACCAUUCAUGACGGACAUGCAUACACCUAAAACUGCUCUCUAAAAAGUAUUUUUGCCUGAUGAAAUGUUUUCAUCAAUAGCCACCUAUUCCUCAAGUCACGCCAUUUGCUACAUCCAUGUUAGAUCAUUCUCAUCCUGUGCUCUAUUUGCACAUGCCCAUGUGUUGAACCAACAAAAAAGUCGUAAUACAGUCAGAUACGAUAAUUAGAACAAGAACAUACAAGUGAGAAGAAGCAAGCAGAAAAGUACAUAAGAACUUCUCUGCCAACCUUACCUCAUAAUCCAUUCCUUGGACAUAGAUAUAAUCAGAGUUUAUUGAUGAAAAUGCAAGUCCAGUGAUCUGUAUAAUGAGCCAGGAAAAUAUUUACUCUCACCAGCAGAUUUUGAUAGCAAAAGCCAGAUAUACAUGUACGGACAUAGCUUCAUUUGCGUAAUGCGUAUGCUUAAGCCACUAAUGCAUAUCAUGAGAUUUUGCUGUCACGUGAUGGAAAAAGACAUGAAGCUGGAAGUUUAUUCCACAUUCUAGAAAAAUGAAUUCAACUGAUUGUAAACGAAUACAAAAAGGGAAUUGGCCAGAACUGAUGAACUCUAUGAAUGAUUAUUUAGUUUGACAAGCCACUCUUAUUUUUCUUAUCAUUUCCAGUUAAAGAAGCUUGCACUUUUCACAAAGCAAAAGUGAAUUUACACAAGGAUGAUUAAUUGACACAUGCAUCCUUAAUAAUAUAAAUUGCACAGGUAAAUGAAGAGAGUCGAGAAGCAUCAUCACGUAAAGUGAUAUAUAAGUUGAGACCAGUAGUCCUUAUUUCAAAAGAGAUAUUGUGUUCAGGUGGCAUGUAUUUAGACAGUCAAAAGGAACAGGUGGUGACCUCCAGAUAUUUUAAAGCAAGGAUGCAACUUCAUCUGUGAAUAUUCUAUCGCAUGGAAUUGGAGAAGGCAGCUCCUGGGAUGGUCAACCUCUGGCUUCAUCAACCAGCCACUCAUGUCUUCACAUAAAAGCUAGAUUAUCUACUUCCAACUCGUGACUUAUGACUUUUAGAUACAGAGAUGUUAAGCAAUUCUGAAAUCCACUUACAAUUACCUGAAACACACACUAUUCUUCAUCCCUUGAAAUUGACUAAACUACUAGACCAUGAAGAAGUGUCUAUGUGUCUCACACUCAUCAUUGUAAAACAGUUUGCAACUGGCUCCACAAUCGAUGAUAAAAAGAUUUCUUGCAUGCAAAGAAGAUGAGGUCUCAUUCCUAAUCACGGUGUGAAGCAUAAACAUUAGUAAAGAGGUUGGAAGUGGGGAAUAGCUUACCUCAUACUUUGAGCAAUGCACCCAUCGUGAUAAUGCUGACCAUCUGUAUUAGAAGUACAAAAACAAUAUCACAUCUCUUUUUAUAUAUAAAGAACAAAGAAAUCCUGAAUCACCCCAAUAUGCAGACCAUGUAAUAAACACAUGAUUCAUGUACAAAAAUGACCAAAGAAGUGGAGGGUAAAUGUGCAAGAAUCAUGUAUAGCAAUUUAUUUAAUUCAACUUGAUUUUGGCAUUUGGUCAUGAAUCCAUCAGCUCAUCCAGUUGGAGGAUGACAAAUUUCAAAAAAUCCAGCAUCUGAUUUAUCUAAAGUCCACCAGGAUAAGGAGCCUUAAUGUAAAUUGGACCAGAUUCUAAGUUGGAUUCAAUAAUAAAAUGGGAUGAUAAACUCAUAUAGUAUGUAAUCAUACAAACUACCCAAGAGAGAAUUCAACAUUCUUUCUUUCAGUUCUCUUCUCUUUAGUAUUGUCAGAUUUUAAAAGAAGAAAGGAGGCAAUAGUUCACAGUUCUUCAAAUUUGCAUUUGCAUGGGGAUGCCAUCACCCUUCAACAGACAAGACAUCACGAUAGAGUAUUGCCACCUCGUUAAGGAGGCAUGAGGAGUCUACACUAUUAGAAUAUGAAACGAGUAUAUUCAAGCUUUUUGCACUCUGUUUAGUAAGGUAGAAUGAACUGAUCGGGUGAAAAUAAACUUCAAUUCAUAUUUCUAGUUCUAGUUAUUUAAGAAGAAGCUUAAUGUCAAGUGGAAUAAUCACUUAAUGCAUGUAGGAAUAUGAAUAGCAACAUUACUUUCCCAUAUUUAUGAAUUAAUACUUAAUUUAGUAUCAAUGCUUCUUCUCAAUCCAUUCUAUUAGAUUUUUAGAUUCACAACCAUACAAGAUGUGCAAUUCUAAAAUAUGGAAUCCUCUGAUCUGAUGAAUGCAUCUCAACCUUAAUGAGACAACAGCAAAUGUGAAAUUUUUGUCUCCACCACUUUCAGGAAUGGCACCAAAGCUUAUUUAGGAUAUUCCACAUCUUAUCAACAUAAAUCAAGUCAAACCGACCUGACUAAUUCAACAAGAUCAACAUAAAUCAAGUCAAACCGACCUGACUAAUUCAACAAGAGCAAAAAAUAUAAGCCAUCAACUUCUACAUGUUAGUUUUGAUUACUCGGUCUAAGUAACUGCAUUUACAGGUAUUGAUAAUGAGAAACCUGCGAGGAUCAUAUAUGGUCACGGUACGAUCAGCUCCACCAACUGCUAUGCUGCUGGUAGAAGAACUGCAGACAGCAUAGAAGUUGUCACCAAGAGAGCCAGAGAUUCGAUGGAGGCAACCGCCAUUUUCUUUCAUCCUCAAGUCCCAUAUACUCAGCUGCAACAAUCCAAACAUAAACUGAAUUAAAAAAUAAAUUCAACCACAAUGUUUAAGACAAUUUAUCUGUAAAAACAAAUACUAUACAGCCUUUCUUUAAUGUCAUUACUAUACCUGACUACCUUCAGCGACAGCUAAUAUAAAACUUCCAUUCCCAUUAGACAUAUUCUCUAUGAAGUUCAGUGAAGAUGGAUACCACAGCCUGAAAGACCAGGUCUAUAAGAAUAACCUUUUACUCAAGUCUGCAAACAUAUGCCAUGUACCUAUAGUUAUCAAGCACUUAGAACAUACGUCCUCAGAGUCUGAAGAUGGAUAUCCUGAUCAUAUAUAUCGAUGCUUUUGCAAAAGCUCCGCGCCACAGCAGCCUGUGAUAUACAACCAGUCAGGAGAAGUCUCUAAGAAAUACCAUACAAGAUACCAAGUACUUCUAAAAAUAAGUAUGAGUAAAAAAACACGAAAAAACUUAUGUAGAGGCAGUGAUCUGCUCUCCAACUUUCAAUGCACUUUCUUUAAAUGACCAAUUACAGGUUCCCACUAAGUUUUGAACUCAGGUUCUCAGACAAACUAUCAUCCACGUUCCUGAGGGGGCGAGAACAAAAGGACAAAUGCCAAGCACAUGUAAUGUCUAAGAUCGUCAAGUAAAGAAGCGAGCAUUCAUAAUGAAAGAGAUUGCUCGAAAGGCAAGUCAAAUUCAAAGCUUGAAUAAAUAUUCCAAAACCACUUGAAGAAAACAGAAAAGGGAAACCACAAAAAGUGAAAGUAUGCUUUAUCAAUAAAAUCUCUAUGCAAUUGAGACUACCCUGUAGUAAGACAUGAAAGAGAUAAUGAGAACACAAAAAGAUGUGCCACGAGAUAAAAAAAAAAAAAAAAAAACUUAUUUGAUCCUCAAUGCUUCCAAAUUUCAAAUGGAAAUUGAAAAAAAGAAAAAUUCAUGGAUGACUAGGUACCAUAGACCAUUGAUUUGGACUGAAGCAAAGUCCUGCCCAACUACCUUCUCCAAUUCCACAAUCUUGAGGCAAUACCGAGUAUGUAAGCCUGCUAUCAUCUGAAACUAAUGAAUUGAAGACAGUGUCAACAAGGAAAGCAGGUGAUACAGGGAGUUUUAGCAAUCAUAAUGCAAUUAGAUCACUUACAUUAUAUAUAUGUCCAAAAACUUAUCAUAUCUCAAAUAAAUACAGUUUAAAUAAUAGAAGAUUAAUCUAAUAGCUUCCAUUGACGAGCCACAACAUAGAUAAACUGCACAGUGUGCUAUUGGUCAGACAAAAGUCGGUAAAAAGUUUGUGUAAAGAGUAACAUUUAACAAGGCUAGCCCAACUAUGAAGGGCAGAACAUUAAACAAAAAAUCAUUGGACUCUUCUCUGUCAGGAAACCUUUUAGAACCAAGGAGAGGAAAAAAGACUAAUAAUGCAGAAGAGAGAGGACUAUAGCAUGGAAAGGACACAGAACAUAUUAGAACCUUAUUAAAAGGACUCAUGAGGAGGGGAAUUUCACAAAUCAGUAACACGUCUUCUACAUCCACACAUUACUCGAUGCUUUCUUCUUUAAAUUUACAUAUUUGCAAAAACCCCAACCAGGUAUCAAAGUUGUAGGAACCGAGAAACCAUCAUUCAUGUCCAAUCGGGGAUAAAGACAUUUGAGGCACAUGCUUGCUCUUUUUCCAUUUACAAAUUAAACAUUUCUAAUUCUCCUGCUGAAAGUCUCCAUAAAAAUUUAAAAAACAUUUAAGGGGAACAUACCCUCACCACCUAUAUGUAGCUUAGAUACAAUGAGGUGGCCACAGGAAUCCACACUUCCCAGCAUCAAGUAGCCAGCACCUGCAAUUGAUCGAAAUAAUAUUAAGCCAACUCUAUUGACAUUGCCAUGCGGCAACUAAAAUUCGACAAGGAGAAGAGCAGAUUUCCUCACGCGAGUGAAUCCUUAAGACAAACGAGAUGACCAUAAAUUAAGCAUCUAAUACAGAACAUAUCACUCCACCAGGCAUGGAAGCUGACCAGACACGGCAUGAAAGAACUGUUUAAGGAACUAGUAAAGGAAUGACUCUUUCAAUCAUAAUCAACAUCGCAAGUCUAUUUUCCCAGAAAGAUUAUGUCAAGCUAAGCACAAGUUAUAUCUUACAAGGGAGCCAACCCAUCUCUGUGUAGGACUGGCAGUAUCGACAAAUAUAACCUGCUUCAUACAUGUCUUUUCGAAAGUAGCUCCUGUGUAGCAAUUCAAGCAACGUUGCUUUUGGAUAAUAAAAGGUUCAACAUUACUAUUUUGAAAUUAAACUUAAACUCUUCUUUGGCCCUUCACUUAGUCUGGUGGUUGGACAAAACUCACAUGCAAAGCUUUGGGUUGUAAUUAAUGAAAAUCAGCUGCACACAUUACACUAACCAAUGUGAAGUCACCCAAUAAAUGUAAUUAUUAAUACCAAAUUGGCCUAAAAGAAAGGGCAACAGAUUGUUGUAUAAAAUGCAGUAGUUUGUUGUAGGCCAGCAGUUUCGCUAGGUGGUACUCUACUGUUCGUGUCAAAUAGUCUUUGAAAAUUAAUUGAAUGAGCUGACUACCAAUUAAAAAAAAAAUGAGUUUAAUGAGCCAAGCUUUUUUUUUCUCUUUUUGUCUGCUGGCUUUUCAUAGUUGAAUCAGCCAAGGACCAGAUAUUUCUCAAGCACAACUCAACUCAACACCAUUCUUCAACAUCUUUUUCGUGAAAUGAAAUCUUCAGGUAGCUUAAAAGAAAAGCCACUUACUGUCACAUUCAGUCAGCACUAUACUCUGAAUUUCAGAUCGGUGUGGGCAACGGUUGACUAGCAUAGAGUCUGUAACCUUCAAAAAGCAAGGCCCUCACGUUACAAAAGAUCCACACAGGGGAUGACAGAAUGAACACCAACCACGGAAAUAAAACCCUUUUUGCCAGAAGAAAAGCUAAAACCAGUUCAUAACUGAAACUUGAGAUCACCGCACUCGAGUGAGCCUUACCUCCGCAUGAGCAGGAAUAAGAAGGCUUUCUUUGCCUUCGCCAACCAAAGCCCCCUCCAAGGGCACCUGAAGUCAUGAAAUGGAAAGAGAUAAAGAUAAGAGAUAUAAUUUUCAGAAAGAGAUCAGGACAUCAACGAGGUGUUGUGAACCCACGAUUCUCUAGCCUGUCUAAUUGCAUAAGCAUGUAUCCGAUAGAUGAGUCUCAAAAACCUUCAGCAAAUGGUGGUACCCAUUUAUUUUAUCAUCUCCAAUUCGCCCAGAAAAUCUCCACAACGAGUGGUCUCAAUAACAAUCAUUCAAAACACACGACCAUCACAGGUCAACACAUUUAAGUUUCCAGCAAAACUGCUCUCUCUAACCAUCCCCAACUUCAUCCUUACAAAACCGAAACAGCACCAAAUUCCAGUCGAGUUACCACCAUUCCCAUUCCCCAUCAUCAGUCAACAAGGAAUUAUCAAACACUACUAACUACCACACACUGCGGGCUACGACGGACCCGACCACACAAUAUCAGAACAUCACAAUUCAUGCAAAUUCCAGCUAAAAGCGGCCGCGUAACCUGGACUCUGAAGACGUGGCAACCGGAAGCGAUGUAGACCCAGCACGAAGAUCCUUCCUCGUUAGCCUGACCAGAAAAAAAGGAGGCAAAUUUAAGCUCAUUCCGCCCUCAACAACGCCCAGAGCGCGAGCGAGAGCGAUAGGGGUUUAGGGUUUUGGAGAGUCGAGCGAUUACAUGGAGAGCGAGGCGAGUGGACUGGAGAUUUCCAGGAGAGGGAUGGCGGAUGAGGGUGGAAGGAACCGCCGCCUUCACCAGAGUCCUCGCCUCCAACAUUCUUCUCCUCCUUCUCCCUCUUCCUCUCUUUCGGCCGGAACUGCAGACUGAGCCGUUCUCCGUCGUCGCCCGCCGUCGCUCGAUGAAGUAGGCGACGGAGCUCGGCGGCGGAAGCGGCAAACCGCCAAAACGAGUUUCGAGGAAAUUGCACUUUGCUCCCCAGAAACUUGUACUCUGUUUCAAUUUACUCCUCGAGUUUGCGUUCGUUUCUGGACCCCUCUCUCUUUCUGUUUUUUUUUUUUUCCUUAAACAAACCUUCCAUUGCAUCAAAAUAGUACAAACAUUACAAGAAGAAAAACAUCAAGAUGAUGAAUUGAAGAAACACAGCUAACACUAAAUGUUUUACUGUAGAGAGAUCAUUAAAAGGUUAAGACAAUGCGAUUCCUAACCGAUGAAAUGCCCAUUUUGCGACUCAUGAGCAACAACAUUACUAGUCCUAUUGGCUCACUUCAAAUUCCAUCCUAAGUCGUUACUAAGUGGUAAACGAGAGUCGAGACAAACGGAUGAAUACACCAGGGGCAAAAGCCAUUUUGUUGAAUAGUAUCGAUUAACACAUUACAGUCACUUUCGAAGACCGUUUUAUGAAUGCCGAACGAUUGAACUGCUUUGUAUGCAAGAAGAAGAGUUGCAACUUCCACUUCUACCGGCAAGUUCCAUCUUCCUUGUCUUGUCCACGCUCGGACAACUAAGCCUCUAUCUAAUCAUGCAAUAAUAGCUAUGCCCCUUAUUAUCUUUCCACGGGCCAUUUACAUUUUACCCCAAUAAAAUUUGGUUCCUCGCUUAACUUAACUUUGUUCUCUCUCCUUAACAUAUUUGAAUUCUCCAAGAAAUCUUGUAUGAAUCGCCUAGAAAGCAAUUGGAAUAGUCUAAUCAUGUAACUUUGCAUUCCCAUAACGCCACAUUCUAGUGCAGAGAAUUGCUGCAUAAAGGGUGAAGAGCUUGCAAUCCAAUCCCAUUCUUUGUGCUAAUUUUCCUGGGUCAAGAAAGUGGUUCAUCAUCUCUUUCAAAGACCUGAAGUUCCAAGCAAACGAGAUUAUAUACCAUGGGCUUUGUUUCCACAAAAUUUGGGCUAGAGGACAUGAUGUGAACAAAUAUACCAAAAUUUUCCUUCGAAGCUCCACACAAUGGGCAAGAAGGGUCUGGGAAAUGGAUUAAUUGAAACAAGUUAGCUCAACAAGGUAAGACAUCACUUGCUAUCCUCCACAACAUCAUUUUGCGUCGCUCAUGAGCUCUAAUUUUCCAUAUUUUGUUCCAAAUCAUGCGAUUGUUGCCAUUUUAAUCCACAACUUUAUGAGUUUGUAAGCAAAUUUAAUAAAAAAUAUUCCAUCAAUAGCCGGAUGCCAAAUGGGUUUGUCCACCGAUAUGGAGUUUGGCACAUGGAUCUAAAGAACAACUUGGAUUGAGAUUGGGCAAAGUGUUUGAUUUAGACUUAAUACAUCCCAAGUUUUUGUCCCAGGGAUAAAAAAGAUUUCUUUCUUUGCUUCAAAACAUGGUGUGGAUCAAUAAAAAAAGGCAGAUGAGUUAAAAUGUUAGGAAUCCAAGGGUGAUUUCCUACCUCGAUUGAUUUUCCAUCCCUUAUAUGAUACAAAGUUCCAGUUUGAGUAUUUCUCUAGCAUCCAUGAUUGCCUUCCCUAAAGGAGAGGCUGAUGCCUUGAGUUUGUCACAAGUACUAUGAGAAAGCUGACUAGAUUUCAUUGCAUAGAUCAGUGUGCUCUAAACAACCGAUCGAAUAUAUAUUGCUUUACCUACCCAAGAUAGUGUUUUCCUUUUUCAGGGGCUAAGUUUGUUAUCAAUUUUUUGUUCAGGGGAUUGAUAUUUUGUCCAACCUUUUCCUGGUUUGGAGAGGGGAUCUCCAAGGUACAAUACAUACCCAAUUGGCCCACCAAAUCCUUGGCAUUGAUUUUUAUUUUAUUUUAUUUUUUGCUGGAGUAUAGUCAAGAAAUACAUUACUUAUCACUCUCCAACUUUUAACUCGAUUUCGUCUCGCCCAUCUAAUUUGAUGCGAUAGAUUGUGAUUACAAAGUUUCAUUUGUAUCUUGGAUCACAAUUAGGCUCCAUGAUCUAUAGGAUAGUUUGAUCAAAAGACCCAACCCUACAUUUUCGAAGAUGAUUUCCCUGUAGAAAGCACCCAUUUUGAUCAACAUCAGUCUUUUAGCUUCAAUUUAACUUCUGAAUGUUCUUUUCGUUGGUACAAAAGUGGCAACAAUGUGGCGAAACUGACCUCAAAAUCAUCUCACAUGCCGGAUACAAGGUCAAAUGUCCCGGCGAGGUUGUGGGGCAACUUGAGGAAAAAAGAACAUGGGAUUCAGGGAGUAAUGUGACACAAAAUCAAGUUAAGAGGGGGUAAAAAUUAAAAUCAAGAAACAAUUCAGUGGGCAAUCCGUAAUAUCUUCAUUAGGUGAGUGACUCACGACUGUAAGGUGAUAGAAAAUUUUUGGCCAAAGAGAUCAGUGAUAACCCUAAUUAAAAGCUUCUAAGCUUUUCCUCUGGAUUGUUGCUUUCUGCAGAUGAUUAUGCAGCAUUGGAGAUGAGAAGUAAUUUUCACCAACUGUCCUGUGGAAACAUUGAAAAUAUGUCUAGCUCUUACGUUUUUUUUCCUCAGAGUCGAAUAAGGAUGCCAGAGAUAUUUACGAUCCAAAGAUUCUUUGAUACACUGUUCUUGCGAUGGUUUCUACUGUAGUUUUCUUGUGGCAAUUAAAAGGUUUCUAUUACUAGAGAUUUCUCAACUAUUACGGAUACAUAUAUGUAUACUUAGAUAAAGUUUCAUGAUCCGCUAUACCUGUGAAGACUCAAUUGCAAUUAGGUCACCAAGCUUCAUUUUCAUUCACUCAAACACAUUAACUUUUGAUUCCAUGACAAUCCAUGCACUAGCAAUAUACUAAGGUGGCCGUUAUCAGUGCCAACAAGGUGUCUAGUCAUCUCGAACUUAGAAGAAUAAUACAACCACAUAUUAAAAAAAAAAAAAAAUGGGGAUGUGGGCAGCCAGCUCGAAAUGAAAUGUAGGAACAAGUAAGAUAGAAAGGUGACUCUCACCCCACCCAUCAAGCAAAAAGCCAAGACAAAUCAACUAGAGAUACCCUAAUGGGUUGUAUGCAUAGAAAACUCCUGUUGGUGGAGCACUAAGAACUUAUUAAAACCAUAGUCAUUCUUGGAAAAUACUAAAAUCAAUGGUUUGCACGAGACAGUAUUGCAAUUGGAGACGUUCAGCAUCAACGCAUCUCCUUCUUCUUCUUCUUCUUCUUUAAGGAGAUAAACAAGGGAUUUCAUAUAAAAUUGAGGGUUCUCUAUCUUGUUUCCUUGGCAUUAAGACAUAGGUCUUUGUGACUGUGACGGCUUGGCAACUAGCGUCAUGUACUUGCGUGCGGGGAAUAUCUUAAACCAAAUGUCGGCCGAAAAGAGGAAUGACAGAUUAGUGAUUGUGGGUCAUCUUUUUGUCAAAAGGAUCAUCAUAAUUAAUUGCUUUGAUCAACUGAUAAACUAUAUACAAUUACUAGCUAUGGCUAGCAAGCAUUGUUGUCUUAGCUAGAAGCUGCAUUAGGGUUAAAAGAUCUGCUGCCAAGCUCUCUUCAAAAGCACCAACAUCGGAGUCAAGUCCUAUUUCUAGCUCAAACUCUUUCUUGACUUGUGAAAAAUGCCGAAUCUAGGUUAGUUCCCGAUUUCAGCCCUUCACUUUCGGUCGAUACCUAAAUUUGACCCCUUCAAGUUUUCGUACAAUAACAUCAUUAAAGAUCCGAAAUGUAAUUUCACUCAACUUGAGAUCUCUUUAGAAGAAGCUUGAGAUCUAAGUUUGGCGUAUGUGAAGAGCUUGAGGUUGUUGAUUUUUGAGUUUUAGAUGGUACGGUGUUUUGAUGGUGCUUUUUCUUCAUGAGGAAGGAAUUUGUCGGGAUAAAAAUGUAAAUGAAGGAGAUGAAAGUAAAAGGAAAAGGAAAAAAGGAAAAGAUAAAAGCAGAAAAAAGAGAGUAAAAGACUAUGAAAGGACGCUUGGAGAGAGAGCAGAGAAAUCGGGUGAUGUAAUGUGAAAUGACAAGUCGAAUCUUUAAACACAGGAAAAUUUAACAUGAGUUAGAUAUUGUAAUUGAUUGUCUAUACUUUCUCAUUAAAUUAAAAAAAUUCAAAUCAGAAUAGGAAUCGCUCUGAAGUUAAUAUUUUUGUAUGAUAUAAAAAAUGGUCAAGUCAGAAUUGAAAUUUCACUUAAAAUUAUUUUAUGAAACAAAAAAGAAAAAAUUCGCGUGCGUUCGAGCGACCUAAAUUUAGAGAAUCGGGCCAAAAUAGAGUAAAGGGCUGUAAAUAUUUUCCCACCAUGAUGAUGAAAGGAGGCGACUGACUUUUGUGUCGGUUCAGUGUACAUUUUGUCAAAAAAGUACAAAAAGUGGAACCCACCGGUUAUCUCUCUCGAAGGAAAUUUCUCUGUGAAAUCAAGCGAUGACACGUUUCUAUUUUUCUAUUACUUAGAAAGGAAUCGAGAUGGGGGCAGCGUAGCCAGAACCUCGUAAGUAAAGGAUCAUCUCAGGAACUUUCACUUUCAAACUUUGAUAUGACGUUUCAUCUUAUGAGAAUUUUUUGAGCUAUUAAAACGCUCGUGAUUCGUGUUUAGGGAUUUUAUUCCAAGUUUUUUUCUAGUGAUCGACGGCUCUCUUUAAGGAUAUUGAUAUCGAUGAAUAUAAUCAUAAAAAUUAUAAUAUCUUAUGUAUUGUGUGUCGAAUAACACAAAUUAAGAAUAAAGAGCCUUUAGACAUAUAAACCCUGUUUAGUUAUUAGGAAAACGACACAUAGAGUUUUUAAAUAAUGACUCGAUGUGUAAUGUAAUAACUGAACUUUUAAUUUAUUUAAUUUACUCAUUGAAUUGUCUUUAAAUGCUCAAUUUGUUCCUUGAAUUUUCAAUUUGUUCAAUUCGAUUCAUAAACUACUCAUAUCUAAGGCAAAUCAGUCAUUCAAUACUGGUUAGCGAGUUUUUAUAAUUACACUAUUGCCCAAAUAUAGGGAUGUGUACAAAUUGAGAGACUAUAAAUAUGCCUCAAAGAAAAUUAAUUAGCUUAUUGGAUUCCAACCAUUAUGUUCAUGUCUUCUUUUACUUUUACUUUUCUUUUUCUUGUCCUUGUUCUUUUCUUCCCUUCUAAUUCUUCUUCCUCCUUCCCCUAGAAGCAGCUCCUCCACCGCCGUGGUCGAUGUUGUUGCCCACCAGCCAUUGCCACCACCAUACUCGUCGUCAUACUAAAAUCCAACCGAAGCCAUUGCUUCCCCUCGAAGGGCAUAUUUGUAUCCUUUUGCGGUAAAUAUACAUGAUCUAAUUGCCUCAUAACUUUAGUGGAUCUUAUAAUCCUUGCAAGUACAAAAUAAUCUAAUUCCCAUUCAAAGUCAACUUAGUCGAGUAGAUCAUCGCAUGAUAAUUUAAUUUUUAUCGAACGAUAUUAAGAAAUUUACCUUUUUGCUCUAGAUACUAUCUAUAUGUAUUGAUGAUAACAAAAUCAUUUAUUAGAAAGAUGUUGCCACUUGAAUGUUUUAGACACAGAUCAUAGCACCAACACUGUCAUGCAUGGCAUCACAAAACUGGAAGCAAUUUACAUUACAAGGAUCAGACAACGUUGUAAGCAUAAAACAAUCAAUUAACAAUCACAUCGAAGGAAACGUGGAGAUUUUUAGAACACUAGCAAGGUUCGAGUUUCGCAUUUUGCUUCAUUCUAACCUUCAUCCACACUCGACUUUAUCUUCUCUUAUCCCUUAAGUUUUUUAUGUUUUUGAUAUUCACUACAUGACAUAACCAUUCACUUGUUACAACGUCGUUUACCCAUCUCAUGGCACUUUAGCUCUACUGGUUUAUGCCUUAGUGAGAAUUCGAUGUGGAAAAAGAGAACGUAAUUUAUCAUAACAGUGAUGCCAUAAUGAAAGAAUAGUCAAUACAUACACAUGUUUGGAUGUCAUUGCCUUUAAAAGGGUAGAAUAUACUUUAGUAAAAGGGGAAAAGUUCAUGAGGCGAUCACCAAUGUUGAAAAUGGUCCCCGUGAUCUGAUUUGAUGCCUGGCGUGCACUUUGUCAAAUUAAAAAUUAAUAUGAGUAUACUGCUCUCUAAUAGUGUAAGUUCUUAAAAUAUCAAAUAUAGAUGAUAUGAACAUGUAAGUGUGAUCGAGAGAAUCUUUGAAAGGGAAAAGAAAAGCCGGUCUCGCUAUAUUACGUGAUAAAAUAAUUAAUCACUUCUUUUCCAAACAAAAAUCAACUUUAAGAAUGGGGAGGACAGAGAGGGAGGGAGGGGUAAGCUGGUGAGGGUUAGUCUAAAGCAAAGAAUAAGAAUCAAAGCAAUGCAAUCUGACGUAAUUUCCGAUGGCAUCCCCCACACUACUGUGUGAAUUGCACCCAUUUCGGGAAUGAGAUCAUUGACUCUCCCUUCCCCAUUUGUCAUUGCUCAAUUAAUAAUGGAAAUCCUUUUGGGUUCUUCUGCAUUUCUUUAUUUGAUUUCAUUUGAGUGGUGCAUCUCUCUCUCUCUCUCUCUCUCUCUCUCUCGCAUGUUGUCCGACGGACAUAAGUAAUCUACAUAGGUUUCAGCCGGUAGGUGUUUUUUCUCUCUCUUUUCCAUGGGUAGGUAUGUUAAGAGGGUGGACACCCAUUCGAGAUCGAGAGAGAGAGAGAGGGAGGGAGGGAGUGGGAGGGAGUGGGAGGGAGUUGAGUUAGGUGCUUAUCAUCACCAUCAUCUUGGGUCUUCAUGCUUGAUGGAGGCCAUCGUUUACAGCUAGUUCCGGAGGUAGAAGGAGACCCAUGUUUCAGCUUCAAGCCUCCAUGACCAAGGCAAGAGAACUAAGCAUUUCUCCAGGAGUCUCAAGUGCUCACUUCUCGCACUCUGUCAACCCAAAUCUCUCUUCCUCCUCCUCCUCCUCCUCCUCCUUCUUUUCUCUCUCUCACGCACACAGAGGAUCACAGCAAGUAAAAUUUGUAUAGUUAUUGUGAUGCUUCUUCUCGUUAUACUCUCUUCUAUGGAUGUGUUCGUUUAAUUAGGAGGUUUAUCCAUAUUUAUCAUUCACUGGGUUUUUUUUUUUUUUGUUGCCCAUCUCUGUGUGUAGUUAUGAUUAUGAAUAGACUAACGACUCGACUCAUAUAAAAGACAUCCGUACAGGCUUCCCUUUUCUCUUAUAUCUUGAGCGCCUGUAGCAAGUGCGGUAGGGUAGUAUUGAUAAUUUGUUUAGGUAAACUAUGAUUUUAUUACUCAACUUAUUUAGAGCACUCCGAGAAUUAGCAUAUGACGGAAUCAUGUAUGCGAAUCCUAAUAUACCGAGAUUUAGGAUAUAUUAUUAUCCAUGGCAAGCAGGGUGUGCAAGGCCACCGGCCUCCUCUCACAUAACUAAAGCGCUUGUCUGAAUUUAUCAUGUGCAAUAGGUUAUUUGUAUCACAAUUCAUUGGCCAUGUCUCAACAAUACUCGGAAACUCAAAAUUGAACAUACUUGUCUUAUUUCAUUUCGCUGUAAUAAUCGAUUUUAUUCACCGCAACAAAAUUAAUUACUAAAUGAAGUAAUAUUUUGUACAAAUAAUCGGACAUUGUUAAGAAGGUUAGCCCGUAAUUAUAAAAGCAUAAUUGUUUAGCAACGUCACAUCAAUACAACAUAUCGUAUCAUUAAUGCGCUCUUUUAAAGAAAAGCCCCGAUUACAAGAAUUUUGGUGACACCAGCAAAUUUGCCCUAACAUGUCACGGUCGGUUAAAUGUCACCGCUAAAACAGGUGAUGCGUGAAUUAAAGAACUGCUAGCAUUGGAAACCCCUUUUCGAUAAAUAGAAAACAACUACAUCCCAUCAUCAAUUAUGGAAGAACCCCUGACAAUUGCACUCGGCGGCUAAAACUAAUGAUUAUCACCUCUCUUUUGGCAAAAAAGAGAAAAAAGAAAGGCUAGAAGAGAAGAACAUGUCUACAUCCACGGGGGGAUUAAAUUAAUCGAAUCGAACUUAUCGUUUGAAAGAAAAUUUGAUCAAGUGGGGGGGUGGUGGCUAGAGGACUUUCCCAGCAGCUGAAGGGACCUCAUGCUUUUCGACUUUUAAGUGCUCUUUUCCAAUUAUUUUGAUUAGAGUAAGAAAGUGGCGCUGGACUGGACCGUGAGAGUUUGUGCGUUCUUUGGCUUUUCACUUCUCUGCAAACACGGCAGAAUUAGGAUAUCUUUAUAUUCGAUGAUUCGGCAUCAUUACCGAUUGGGGAGGGAGUGAAGCGGCCGCGUGUAAUGCGGCCCGACAAUUCACUACUGAAAAAUAAAGAGAGUCAAAAAAGGUCCGAUUACAAAGUUGGUCUGCAAAGGAAGAGCACAAAUUUCGAAUCGAAUAUUUGAAUGUCUUGCUUAUUUAACCGAUGAUUCGGAACUUGUGACUUGACUUUCAAAUUACUUCAGUUCGAUGCACGUCCUGAGCAAAUCUUUGAACGAUUUGUGCCGCGUUUCCAAGCCACAGCGUAGCUCGUGUGGAGACUCCGGAGAUGCCAUUUUCCUGGCUUGUGUACGAGUGUCUAGAAUCAAGUACUUUUAAGGAAGUCCCUGAAGAUAAGUUUCUUAAAAACAAGAAUGGUUCACUUCUAUUAAUAAUAACUAACCCGUCUCGGCAACAAAUUACAGCAACAAUAACUUGCUCAAACCAAAUACCAUCAGCACGUUCAGCCAUACCGAGCAAGCGAGUAUCGUCGGGAAGACGUAAGGAUCCAGUCUCUCUUUCUUCCCUCUUCUUGGGUAGGAUGUAAGCGAUAGAGAGAAAGGCAUACAGAUCUUAACUAAUCAGACCAAAGGAAAUUACACCUUUCCAAGGAUAUAAGUUCAUUUGAGGAGCAAUAAGGUUUUCCAAUUGCUUCGAUUAUUUACAACAGGCGAAUAAAAGGGAAGAUGGAAUAAAGACCAGCUUCAUCCAUCAUUAAUCUCCCAAUUUUUGGAAAGUCAAAGAGUUCAAUUAUCCUUUACAAAUCAAAAGUCGUCGCAACAUAAUGGUAACAGCACAAACACACACAAGAAGACCCCAAUGAAGCGAACUCCAAGGGGGAUCAAUGGGAGAGAACUCCAAGCCCUCUCUAUGAAAACUUCUGCAGUUCCAAGGUUAGCUUCUAUAUAGAUAACACAAACUCUUUCUAAAACCUUCUCCCACAUAAUAGAUAUCUUUACAACUCCCCUCAUUUUCUAAAACCUGACAUUCUUCUUUAUAACCUUAUUUAUUACCUACCGAUUUUAUUCACACGCCAAUUUGGUGUCAAAGCUAGUUAGACAGAUGGCAAAAGCUUGAAAUGCAGAUAGAGGGUACCGGUAAUCCAUAGUAAACAUAUCCUUUCCGACCUUACCAAACUGAAGUAUAAUUUUAUCAUGGUCGCAAUGAGAUGGCUGAGAUGGCUGAGAUGGCUGGGAUGGCUGGGAUGGCUGAGAUGGUGUUGGUGCUCCAGCUGCCUGGUGGUUUGCAGCUAUCAACUGAAAAUUCUUUACAGAGGCUACAGUCACUCUUCCGCGGAAGUUAAGGCACCAACACUGCAACUGUUCAUGCCACCUUGGCGCCUUAUUUUUAAGGACCAAAGGUCUUUCUUUUCCCUCAUCUUCCUCUUCACGGGGGCCAAUGAUGUCCGAAAAGCGGGAACUGCUGAAUUCGGUUGAAUUAUCAAUUGAUCUUGAGAAAGAGAUGCUCCGGAAUGAAUCUUCCAGUGAGCGAGGAAGAAUCUCUGGCUGACCCGGGACACUGCUGCCUGCCUCAAGGGCUGAGGCAGGAAUAGAGUGCAUUAUGCAGUGCAUCCUCCGCGGACCCCGCGUGCCCAGCACAUUCAGCUCGUAUGUGACCUGAGCUAUGUUGUAGCUGCCAGUGGGGACCUUAGGUGACACUUUUUUGGAGUGAAAUCUGCGGCUCCGCCCAGGUGGAGAAAGCUGAGCAUUGUUGUAUGGAGGCUGUGUAUCAUAGAUGAUGAACUUGGUGCCAAGAAAAUUAGAUCUGGAACAAGAGGGAAGAACAACAAAUUGAGUAGUGUGCAAUCUUUCAUUUGCCAAAUUUUAACCAGUUGUCUUUACUAAGACCUACUUAUUUCUAGCUUAAGAGCCUCUCCCUCCUAUCUAUCUAUAUUAUCACGUUCAAACAGUCAGGUUAUGUUAACAUGUCCCAUGCUCAACAGCAAAUGCACCCAAUGGACAACAUCAUACACAAAAUAAUGCAUCAGAUGUGCAUGUUCGUGGAGAGUAUUAGUUAAUGGCACAAAGAGAUGCCAGUCUUGAACUAUUAUUAACAUGGUCUUGUUAACGAGUGCUUCCACGCACUAGUUAAUCAUACGUAACAAGGAAAAAUUUUCAGUUCCAAUACAUUGAUUACAAAUAACAUGGGAAAAAUGCAUUGAAAACGACACUUUCUAUAUUAAGGUGUUUAUCAAGUGGGCACUUGUCAACAAAACCCUAUUAACAUAAGGCUCAGCUAAAAAGCCAAUAAUACAGAAGCUCUAUAGUUCAAGUUGGCGCAAAUGCUAUCAACAACAGCAACAGCCUAAAAAUCUGCAAGCCAGCUUCUUGUUUCCCAACUUUAAAGGUUUACCAUUUCAUAAAUCUUUUUUUCUUUAUAAAAAAAUAGGAUGGAGAGGGGGGCAACCAGUGCUAGCAAGCCUUCUGGGCCUUACUAUAAUGGUCUUACGCCUGCUUCAAAAUGUUCGAUUUCAACCAUAACACAUUUCGCACCACCCACAACCCAGAGGUCAGAGGUUGGCCAGCCGUCAACGUAGCCCCACCAAGAUGCUAGUAGCCACAAAAUCUCCCCAAAGAGGUAUACCGAAGCUAGGCAAUAUAACACGAACCGUUCAGAUGUUUGCUCAGGAUGUGAAUCGCUCAUGAACUCAUGGAACAUGGAUGACCACUUUACCACUAGGCCGACCACUGUAGUGGUAAUUGUUUUCCGUUUCUUUUUAUCUUGCCAGUACCCAAAAUAGUACAGUCAGGAACUAAGAAUAAUUUGCACUCCCUUUUGGUAUCUUUCCUGGCCUAACAAUGAAUAGAGCCAUCUUAUGUACUCUUUUAUCAAGCCACCUUGGCGGUUAGAAGAUUAGCUUUAAUUAAGCUGAUAAGGGUUUUGGGUCUCUUAUGCUGUAUAAACAAAGCCAUCUUAUCUAUUCUUUUGAAGAUCCUUGAAUAUUAGCACAACCAUUACAAAUAGAACUACUCUCCUAAGAGAAUUUCAGGAGAAAUGGUGAUACCAGUACAAAUAAAUCACUAAUGCUUGUGUUAAAGAGUAUUAGUUUCAUAGAAUCUGUCACAAACUAAAUAUGAAGGCAUGGCCUAAAGAAGAUAUGAUUGAUGGGCUGUCCCAACCCAACAAAUCCUAAAGACCAUCAAAAGGAUCAAACUUUUAAAUUAAGCGAAAUUCCUUCUCCCUUGAUAGAAAUCUUCAAGGGUGUAAACUUAGUAUCUUUGUCUUUAAACACAAUGGGAAAGAGGAUAAAACACCAACAGCUUCUCUCACCUCAAUUUUCCAAUGUAGGUGUUACUUGAUCUUGAUACGUUAUCCGCAUCCAUGGAGAUCACAUACUCAGUGCAAGUAGUUCUCCUUGUCCGUUUUGCAGAGAGAAGGAACUUGCCAUUCUCAACCAGCAGAGCUGCGAAGAGAUAGGAUCGACAAUCAUUAAGCCCCGUGCAUAAAUAAUAAGAACCAGGGAACUGAUUCAAAUAGGAGGCGAUUAUCUUUUGAUAAGUGAGAUGAGAGGGUGACUAUAAUGCCUUAAUAUAAGCCUUCAGGUGACAAACAGAAAACAACAAAAUGAGAGGCUUCUUAGAAAGGAAGGACCUCUAAAAUCAUUAGCACAUCCAUUCGAAGAUAGUUUGAUUGCUUGAAGACAUAAGAACAAAAGUGAGUACCACUCUUCAAAAUUAGAUAAAGAGUCUAAAAUUGAAUUGCAAAUCCUGGUUCCCUGUUUUUACAGAAUUGCAUUUUCCUACAGACCAGUUCUCCCCGAGCAGUUUAUCGAAUCCACGAAGGCCCACAGAGAAAAUUGGUCCAAAGAUAAAAAAAAUAAACCUUAAAAUUCUCUUUAAAUGUCUAGACAUUUUUAAAUAUAAACAAGAAUGCAUAAGUAAGAACAGCAUGGUAGGAAGUGAUUCAAGACCAUCAGGCACUAACAGUAGCAUUAAUACACUAGGACCCACUGGUGCAAACAAAGGGAACUCUAGCAGCCCUGACUGUUUUAUAGCUAAAGAGCCGUAAAUCCACUUUCUCGGUCUAGUAAUGUACAGACUCGACAGGAUUCUUCAAAGUGGAUUUCCUCCACUGUACACAAAAAAGAAGGUUUUAAUGACAAAAUUAUACUAGGUAUACAUUCAAGAUUAAAUUCUGAACUUUGGAAUCUCCAUUUAAGUCCAUCAAAAUAAAAAUAUAUGGAGUUCAAGUUCAGCAAAGGUAAGACUCCAGGUGACUUGGUAGUAAGAAUUGUAAACCAGGAUGUACAAAGGAGUUAAGUGAUUAAGUAAUCUUGAAUCUACUUUGUGAAUAGAUGAAUCGAGAUAUUGGAAUCUCAAGAACCAAACACACGCAGGAUAAAGGAGUGGAAAGAUGCAUCUGGUGUGUUCAACAAUCGCAAAAAGAAACUUAAGGCUAAGUACAAAGGAGCAACACGGGCACUAUAGAAGUAUAAUAAAAAAGGAAUUGAUGAGUUGAAACUAACUAUGGGAUAAGAUUUCAAAUAGCAACAUUCAUGGAAACGAAUUAUGGCUGCAACUGUGGACAAGAUGAAAGAAGUUUGUUCAAGGUGAUGGGACACAUAGAAAGACAACGUUUGCAUGUUUGAAUGAAAGAUGCAAUUCUAGAGUGCAGAUUAGGGCUACAAGGAAUAAGGAAGACUUGAAAGCCACGGAACAAGGCCGUAAAGAGAGAUCUCGACUUUUUGGAUCUUUUCUUUUUAAUGAUAAUUAAGAUUUCAUCAAGACGGUAACAAGGGAGUAUCACCCCUAUACAAACGGCUUGGUGUAGAAGCCACCCCCAUACAAACUUAUGCAUAAAAGACUGUUUCUAACCUCUCCAACAAACUAGAUGAAGGCUUCAUACAAAAAUGAGAGGAAUCGCAUGAGAAGAUCCACAUAGCGAAGUCAUAGAGAAAUUGGGAUAAAAACUGAUGUUUGUUGUUUCCGUUGUCUGGCUUACACAGUGAGUUUUUUGCAUCUCUCUGUCAUGAACUUGGCUUUCCAUUCACUGUCAUUGUGCAGGUAAGACAAGUAUAACUGGAGCUAUUUUUGGUUUUAAUAUUUGAGAUGAGGGGAAGGAGCAAAGUGCUAGAAAACAAGUCUAAUUCUAUUUUUUCAUUAAAUUGGACGAGUGGAUAAGGAAGGUCAUUUAUGAGAAGCUUUCGCGAAUACCGUCAGAUCAGGUAGAGGUCUGGUCAUCCAAUGGUUGUAAAAUUAACUUCAUUACAGUUGUAAGGAGAGGUGAUUAAGAAAGGUUCCUCUUCUCCCUUGGAUGAGUAGGAUAAGAAAGGUCAUUUAUGAGACACUUGUGCAAAUAACUACCCGGAUCAUGUAGUUGACAAUAAAAUAUGAAAUCUGCGCAAUUAAGAAGGCGAGAAAAAUUGUAUCUUUGCAUGGGAUUAACCAAAUGGAGAUGAAUUCGAAACAUUUAUUGAUACACAAUUUUUAGCCAGACAUGGCCUCAACAAGCAGUUUAGCAUUUUAGACCUAGUUAAGAAGAAGCUAUGCAUUCAUAAAUCAAUGUAAAAACAAAAAUUGUAUCUUUGCAUGGGAUUAACCAAAUGGAGAUGAAUUCGAAACAUUUAUUGAUACACAACUUUUAGCCAGACAUGGCCUCAACAAGCAGUUUAGCAUUUUAGGACUAUUCAAAAAAAUCAAUACUAACUAGAUAAUUAAACUUUCCAAGUACAGAUCACUAAAGCUGUCUACUUUAAAUUUCAGACACUACGGCCUUUAUCAUAAAUGACACUCGAAAAUCUAAGCAACUGUUCACUUUUGGAGUACCCAAGGGAUGCAAGACAAGCCAACAAGCACUUCAUUUUUGACAUCUUUAGUUAGAAAACUGGGAACUUACCAGGGCUAAGGCAGAGGAAGAGGCGGUAAGUCAAUUUAGAUUUGUCCCUUUUGAUAAAACACUGAAUAGCUCCAUCCCGAGGUCCUGGCUGUCCGAGACAAUUGGGGAAACUUUUGUCAACUCACCAGCUAAAAAGUAGAACAGAAAUAUGCACUACAAGUGACCCCAACAAUGAAAUCUUUAAGGAAAGUACCUGCUUCAGUGAGACAGGGAAAGUAAUCUUGCCAGAGAUUUCAGGACAUCUAACAAUUUCCUUGCACAUUGCCCUCCAUGAUCUGCAAACUCCAGCACAGGCAACAACAUGUUUCCGAGCAGGCCAAGUGGUCUCGCUCACCUCUAAUCUCCUGAUAACGUCACGUAAAAGCUCAGGAGGAAGGCUGGCCCAUCUGCUUGUUUGGAUCACCAGAGGCUGAUCAUGGAAAUCUUGAGAACCACGUGAUUUCCCUCUUAUGUGGCCAGGCAACCUCACCUCAAAACUUCGCCUGGAUAAGCUUCCAAACCCAUCCCUUAUGUCACGAACUAUGCUACGGAAAGACAUUUGCUCCAGCUUGGCGACAGAUUAGGAACGUUAGACUAUAUUCUAACGUGGCUGCAUCAGCUCGUCUCCGCUUGAGUCAAACAAAAAUGACGAACUGUAAUGUAUACACAUCACAUCAGCUACAACAAACUCAAACUCAUGACUAACGCUUAGUAUCUAAGAAAGACGACGCCAUAAAGGAACAUAGAGUGGGAAUAUCUCAUUGCAAGAUAAGGAGAUUCGCAAGAAACCCUAAGAGACCUAAAGCAGCUCAAAAUACGGAGGCUUUGCCAGUGGUGACUUUUGAAGGGCUUUGGACCCCAUCGGAAACCCAAUUUGCCAUUAAAUCUAACCAAGCUAUGCCUACCCCAAGUGGAGAAUCCACAAAAAGAAUUCACGAAAACCACAAAAACAAUAAAUAAAGAAAAAGCUAAUCAGACAUAAUCCCCCAUUACAGAGCCCUAUGGAGAUCCUAAUAGCAUUAUUAUCCAAGUCAACACGGUGCUUUACAACAGAGCACCCACUAUUACGCAUUAAAAUGACAAUCUCCCGUGAGUACACACUUCACAUUUAGCAUUAGCAAAAAAAUAUAUAUUAUUGUCUUCGACAUGUUCUCUAAGGUAUGGGCUGGCCACAAAAAAAUAGGCCGACAUCUUCGACUUACAGUCAAUCUUUAAGAACAAGUUAAUGAUCUCCUCCUAAAAAUACCACAAAGAGUCGAAUUCCCGCCUCGUGAAGUCUCCGUCAGUUCAAUUCGAGCAAGCAACUAAAGGGCUUCAUCACAUACGAGUCGGAAAGAGAAAUUUUUCAAGUAGCGAACCUGCAGAAAAACCAGCUCAAAAUGGCGGAACGCGACCUCGGCGAGUCCUAAUUUAGGCGAAAUCGCUCUUCCCGUCGGCCGCAAGCCCAACCGGUCCCAGCGAGACCGACGAAGAUCAGAGCUCCCAGACACGCUCCCGCGCGAAACGGCGAGACUACCGACUCGACCUUCCGCUCCUGCUCCAGUUCAACGCCGGAAAAAGGACGGUCAGAAAAAGCCGAAAAACCACGCGGAAAAAAGAGCAGACGGAAGGGAUCAACGGAGCUCACGAGCCGAGCAGGAGCCGCGAGCGCGCGCGCGCGCCCCCCGAGACGAGGGUUUCCGAAUCAGAAGCGGGGGGACGGGAGCUCGGAAGAAUCGAGAAGCGGGGGGACGGAAGAUCAACGGAGGCGGCGCGCGACCGGAGAUUGCAUGCUCGCCGGCGGAGGGAUUUCGCCGGAACGAGGAAGCUUCGAGAUUUGUCUUCUCCAAUCGUCCACUUCGCCACUCACUCUCUCUUCUAUCUCUCUUCUGUGUGACGCCAGCAAUGGCGGACUGACGUGACCUUCGUCUCGUUAUAUAGGAUUCCACGAACUAACCUUUUUACUUAAACAAUAGAGAGAAAAUAAAAAUAAUAUACUUUUUUUUAAUUUUGUUGAUGUAAGAAUGUAUUUUGUGUAUGGGUCACGAUGCAAUUGGGAUUAUUCAAUUGAUGCGAAGGAUAAGCUCAAUCCCUAAUAUUUUAUAGUAGCUGCUAAAAUUCAAAUAAAAUAUCUCAAAAUAUGGAAAUUGGAAUUCCCAACCUGCGAAGCUACUAUUCGUUCUUGUAGAGAAAUUAUGAAUGAAUCGAUUAUUUUUAUAAGGAAUGAUCGACGAAAUGAAAAUGACACGUUUUAUGUGAUUUUCAUUGUAGUUUCCUUUUUCUAAUUAAAGGUUACUGACUUCAUGAAGAAGUUACUAAUUAUUUACGCAUGGGGUUUUUGCUCACACGAAUUUAAGGAUUCCUUUGGAUCAUGCAUAGUGAAACCUGUUGCGCUAUACAAAUAAAGACACAUCUAGCUCGUGGCGACACAUUUCGCUAUGGAUUGGCGAGCAAGCAAAUCUUGGAUCAUGCAUAGUGAAACCUGUUGCGCUAUACAAAUAAAGACACAUCUAGCUCGUGGCGACACAUUUCGCAAUGGAUUAUUUGCAUUCUUUUAACAUAUUAAGAAAAUAAUAAUUCGUCACAAAGUGAAAGAUUGUAUCCGGAAAUAAUGUUGGAUUAAAAUUAUAAAUAAAGGGCCGAUGAGUUAGGAGAGGGAAACAAUUUAUUUAUACCGACCAAAAAAAAGAAAGGAGGAGACCAUCAUUUUGUCUACGGGGAACAUUCUGUUAGGUCACCAGAUAUUUAAUUAGCCUAAUCAUCCAACAUAAUCUAGAAUUCGCUUAUCCUAAGGACACGUGUUGCUUUCUUUUCAAUUCUAAUUUUCAUUCUCUUUUCUCAUAAAAAUUGUCUGCUCUCAUUUUCAUGAACAAUUCAUAAUCCAAAAGUCAAUACCAAGAUUGAUUGCUAAUCAUAAAUCAAUUAAGCUUCAAUUUUUCAUGUAUUAUUAACAUAUUUCUUUCAUUACAAUCACUAAUUUCACAACCUAUUACUGACUCAAUCGAAACCACUCUUUCAAAAUCUAAGUGUGGUAUCCACCUAUAAUGAGGAUUUUAUUUUCAUACUAGUUUCUACAAACAUCAAAGAAGUUGUCGAUUUUUCCUUUUUCAUCACCUUAAUCUCCUAGAAAAUUUGAGAAAAUCCCACAAAGCCCACCACGAAAUUUUUAAAUAUUAUAUAUAUUAUUAUUUUUUUACUAUAGAACAGACAGAACAACAAGAGUUAUAUAGUAUUUUUGCAGGAAUGCAGAAUCGACACGCAACACGAAAAAAAGAGAGCGGAUGACCUAAGCAGGAUGUUAACGGGGUACCAUUAAGUAAAUAUUAUAUAUAUUUUUGGUCGAAAAUAUUAUAUAUAUUAACUGGGCCGACUUUGAUGUAAUUUUGCAAUUGUCGUUCUUGAUGAAAUCAAGGGUAAAAUGACGCCAACUUAUUUACAGAGUUAGGUCUACCCUUCCAGAUUAUGUUAUGAAAUUUAAUGAGUUAUCCUAAAUAGCAGCACGUAAGCAAAAUCAAUUGGAUGCUCGUGUUCCAGAUAUGGAUUGAUGAUGACUUAAUCUGAAAAUUUCAUCUUCCUAUCUUCUAAUCCGCAAUGUUGUAAUUACUGUUCAUAGGCUACAUGAUCGCAUACACGCCCCGACAUGGCACAUACAUAGGUCACCUCUCCCUCUCCAUUUGCCUUCCCCCGCCAGCAGUAAACAAGCUGCCGCUGCCGCUCCGAUGACCGCCCUUGUCGGGGUGCAGAGCUCGCAUCCGGGUCGGGGCUCGCCGCUCGUGAUGAAGGUCUAACGCUGUUUUCUGCUCAUGGCCGGUAAUGAAAGUAACAAUGUAAACUUUCUCUUUGUGGCGGUGCACAAUCACUAGACAAAUAGAACGACGAGCACCGGAUAUAACAAAUAAUUAACACGAGAAGUUGUGGUUUAGAUUUCUUAUCUCUCGUUUAUGCUCAUGUUAUUAGAAAAUAGUUUCCCAUUUGGUUCAUUGAAUAAAGUUUUAAUUAAAAAGUAGUUUUCAAAGAACUUAGUUUCAAAGAAAAUGAUUUUAGUUUUAUUACGUUAGGUUGUCUUUUGCCAAAAAAAGAAGAAGAAAAAGUGGAAGUCAUUUUCGAUCUUCAUUACUAGAAAAUAUAAGAAACACACAUUUGAGGAAAAGUCUUAAGUUCAAACCCGCGUUUUGAGACCUGGACUUGGUUGUUGAGGUCUAAGGCUUGGCCGUCACGAUCCCAGAUGUAGGCAUUGGGCUCCUGGUCUUGACCUCGAGCAACUUGGCUUGAUCGGCGGGACCUGAACCAAGCCUUCGGAGACUCCAUCAUGGGCAAUGGGGACUCAAGCUCAACUUCAAGGGAUGAAAGAACUUAUUUUUGAGGAAAAUGAUUUUAUUUUUAUUGUGUUAAGUUGUGUUUUGCUAUAAUAAAAAAAAAAAGUGGAAGUUAUUUUCAAUAUUCGUUACCAUAAGAUAUAAGAAACACGUUUGAGAAAAAGUCUUAAGUUCAAAUCCAGAUUCUAAGUUUUGGUGUUGGAGACCUGAGCUCGGAUGUCGAGGUCUCAAGCUUGGUUGUCACAAUUUUAGAUGCCAACAUUGGGGUCUUGGUCUUGACGUCGUGCAACUUGGCUUGAUUGGCGGGACCUGAACCAAGCCUUCGGGGACUCCAUCAUGGGCACUGGAGACUCAAGCUCAACUUCAAGGGUCCCUAGGCUAGCCUUGGAGGACCCAGGCUUAUACGCUCGGAUCCAAGUUUCGAGAUUAGUUGUAUUUUGAAAGAUAAUUCAUGAUUUUUUAUUUUUUUUUCUUUUUGAACUUAAAUAGGGAAUUUCGAUUGAUUGUGACAAAAUUUAAUCGUUUUCAUUAACGGUCGAGACGCCUAAAAAUGGAGAAAAUAUUUUCCGCCAAAUAGGCAAACGCCUUCAGUUACUCUUACGUGUCUAUGGGUACACAUUUUUAUAUAUUCACAAUGGCGACAUCGUAGGAGGCAAAAAUCACAAAAAUUGACCGUCACAGAAUUGAUUUAAAUCAAUUUACGUCUUUAGCAAGGGACUUUAUUUUAGUCAAAAUAGAGCAUUGGCUCCGAUCCUCUACUCAACCAUAGGCUACAAGUUGUCUUUCUUUUCUUUUCUCCUCCCCUCUUCUUCUUUUCUCUCAAUCUGCAGAUGUGAGGGUUGAAAUGUCACUCAGUUAGAUGGUUUAAGACUUGCGCAAAGACCACGGUGUUAGAAUGGUUGUGCAAAAUCAAUAUAAGCGGUGGUACGCAAAGCAUGCAUUACUACAUUGCCAUUCUUAGAAUCAUGAAAAGCGUUAUUAUCCCCUACGUCCACUUGAGUGAUAUUACUUUUUCAUAUUAUAUAUGUUCGGCAAACACUUGGGGUGCAUCUAUAUGUGUUAAGUAGUGCAUGUUUCCGUUGAUAAUAGUAUAUUAUAUAGAUGUGUUGGGUGAAAUUGUGAAUAAUUAUAUCAUUCGUAUAUAAUUUAAUUUAUUGCAGGUUUUUCAUAAUUUACCCUAAAUGAGAAAACUUCAGCCAUUACAUCACAUGGCAUGUUUUUGUCGAUAACGGUAUGUUGUAUAGACAUGCAGGGUGAUAUUGUCAAUAAUCAUAUUAGUCAUAUAUGAUUUAAUCUAUCUCGGGUUUUCCAUAAUUCACCCUAAAUGAGAAAAAAUCAUACCCAUUACAUCACGUGUAAUCCCACGCAAGGUUGGCAUCAUGUCAAAACUUGCAAAAGCAGCACCGUGCAAGGAUUUCUACUGCAGAAAUUAGUAGCUACAUGGAAAUCUCUUACAAGAUUGAGGGUGACCAAGCAUGAUAUAUCUCUUUUUCUUUCUUUAUAUAAUAAAGCAAAUCUUAGGAAAACCUAAAACAACAUUUGAGAGAUCAAAUCCUUUUUUCAGUAAGAAUUGAUCAUAUGUUAAUCUCCAAAAUAUCACUCCUAUGUAGGUUCCAGAAAUAUGAUGGAAGAUAGAGCUCUAUUCCAACUUUUCUUUACCACUCAAUUUCAUAUUAUAAUUUUUUUUUAUUAUAACCUCACUCCAAGACUCACAAUUUUUCAGCAAAUAAAAUUAUCCCUAACUGGAAACAUGGACAAGAUCAUUGUGGCCCACCCAAUGAAGGCCCAAAACUUAAUGGGAUGGGCUUGCUAUUUCCUUAAAGAGAGUAUCUUCGAGGUCAACCUAUGUUGACCGUACUUGUGAUUGGAGGUCAUCAUUUGCAUAUCAAGUCUAAAGUGCGAAUGUUGCUGAAUUCAAGCAAUUACUUUAAAGCAUGCCAAUCAUUAAACUAGGACCAAGUGAAAUUGAUGUAUUGGCAAGCCAUGGGCCAGUCACAUCCUAAGAAUAUAUGCAUUCUUCUGUAGCGCGCGUCACUGUAUAAUUUGUUCAAAAAAUAAAUGACAUUUUAAAGGGACAUAUACUGUUCAUUAAAAAUAAACUGUUUCUUAUUCCUAUUAAUAGGUUUGUGAAAGAGUUGAUAAAUGUUAAAAAAAGGGAAAAAGUGAGACGUGUAAGUGGUUUGGUUCGGUUUGAUUUUUUUGGAAAACCGAACCGAACCAAAAUCACGGUUUAAUUCAGUUCAGUUUUGUUCGGUUUUUCGAUUUCUAUUUUUUUGCUGUUAUAUAUUGUACCCCUUUCGAUAAAUUUUUUAUUUUUUAUUUUUUCCCUUUUCUUUCUUCGUCUUUUUCUUCUUCUUCUUCUUCUUCAUUGGCUAGUCAGCGGCUAGCGACCAACCAUAGGCAAUGUCAAGCCUGGCCGACUUGUGGGGAGGUUUCACCUCGCUUGAUGCCGGUGAACUUGAGCCCGCCUAAUUCAAUGAGGUCAAGCCUCCCACAAGCUGGCGAGGCUCCUAGCGAGGCUCUAGCUUACCUCUAGCAAGAAAAAGAAAAAAAAAGAAUGAAAAAUAUUUAAAAAUCAAUUUUUUUUAUAAAAGAAAAAAAAUAAAAAGAAAAUGUAUUUGAUGAAGGAAGUGAGAUGGAAGAAGGUAUGAAAAUUUUUAGAUUUUAUUAGUUUGGUUCUGUUAACUGAAUUGAUUAAAAAAAUUUUGGUUUUUAAUAUUAUCUGAAAUGAAAAAAAAUUGAAAUUUUCAAUUCGAUUCGGUUUUUGAUUUAGUUUUUGACACCCCUAGAAAAAAUACUACAGAAGUUCUAAACCUAACAUAUGAAUAAAAUCAAGUUCUAAAGCAUCCAAUUGAAUCUAUGAAAACUAUAUUGAAGGGUUUUGCUCUUUUCCCUCUCUAUCGGCAAACCCCCUUAUCUUUCAAAAACUCUCCCCUCUUUUGAAGUUCUCCGAUAUUACUUAGUCUUUGAUUUUAUUUUUCUUUACUAUGACUAUCUUUUCUUUUCUCUCUCGUUUUGUUUUGGGAGUUGUGUGUGAGUAAAUUUCUAAAACUAACCUUAGGUGAACAUGAAGACCAGUUCGGCCAUUUAUUUAGUCGGCAGCCAUUGAGGAGGAUGUUUGUGCAAGGUUCCACAACUUUUCGAGAAUAGGUUGCUCUCCUCUUCCGAUUUACAUUUACGUCUAGAUCCGAGAGUCAUACUAUUCCAAACUAGAUCUAUAUAUAAAUUUGGGAGUUCCUUCUAUGUAUUUGACAAUGGUAAUGAAAACGUCGAAUCUAGUUGUGCACCGCAAGCUGUUGCAAAUGGAGUGGAAGAUUUUGACGUAUGCUUAUCACCAAAUCUAGUGCUUGGCUAUUAAACAUUUACGGUGGUAGAUCUGUUCCCCAGUUUUUCGAGAUUUGCUAGGCUAUGUACAUCUUGAGUAUUAUAUUAAAAAGUGAAUGAAAUCUUUCUUUCCACAAAUAAAAUAAAAAAUAACGUAGUCAUCCAACCCCCCCCCCCCCCCAAAAAAAAAAUCAAUGUAGUCCUAGAUUUUUUUUUUUUUUUUAAAUGAAAAUGCAAACAAGCCUACAUGGUGGAACCAAAGCUUUAUUUUCUUAUGUUGGUUACUUCCUAUGGAAAUUAAUGUAUUCAAAGUGCUGGCAAAUCAUACGAAUAAAAGUUGAUAAGUUAUAAAUUACUAAAUUAUAGAUUAUUAAAGUGUUAGUAAGUUACCAUCAAGUUAAUCGAAGAAAAAUCACCCGUUUUUUCUCUUUAUAUUAUCCUUUUUUUUUACACUUGUCAAUAUUUAUUGGAAAUUGCAUGUUGGGUGAAUGAAAUCCACUUCUUUAGGCACGGAAUAGAGUUCCAUUUUGGGAAAUGGAAAAAUUCCGAUGUUCAAGAAAGGAUAAGAUUCAAAUUCAUUCAUGGGUGAUUUGAGGAAUGGCUUGGGAAAUUAAUAACCCACUACUAUACUAAUUUAAAAUGAACAACAUUUGGAUAUGUUCCACAUGCCAUUCAUACACCAUAAUUAGACCAUAAUAAAUAUUUACCAUUAUUCUUUUGUGGGUCCAAACGCAGCCUUGUAUUACCCGAAACGAAAUCAUAUUUUUUCAAGGAUCCACUAAGAGAAAAACUCACGGAAAAAACGAGGGUUCUAGUGUCAGUGCGUGUUUCAGCUGCUCAACGAAAAAAAGGAAGUACAGAGGCGGCUGUCAUAUCACCAUUUCCCUUCCUUCAAAAUGGCCAGAUUCUCCAUCGUUUUCCGGCGGCAUUGCGCGAUGCUAAGAAAGGAAGGGCUUUGUUCAACCAUUUUCACUUCGAUUUUUUUUUUCCGUUUCCUUUUUUUUUCCUAUAUCAAGAAAAGGGAGGGAAGUGGAUAACGAUAAGAGGAAAGGAAAAAAAUAUCUCAAGCUGGAAGGAGGAAGGAGGUUGGAAGCAAAUGGCCAUUGAUGGCAACAGCCAAGGAGGGGGGUCUUCCCUACACUUGUACAAUUCGCUGUCCAUUAUCAUUCAUCUCCAUGUUUCCGAACGCGACCCGUCGAGUUCGUGGGGCCAAAACUUCUUUUUUGGUUGGACCACCGCCAUUGCCUUAACUUCACCAAAGUUGGACACCAAUAUGGUAGGGCAUAGGCAAGUGAAAGGAGAUGAUAAUUAUACACAUAUGGCUUGAAAUGUGUGGAAUCUGACACAUGUAGAUACAACUCGUGAGAACGACCGGAACUGGUACUGGCGAAACUGCAGUUGGGAUGGCAAAAUAAAGAUGCAAUUGCCGUCGCUAGAACGAUGAUACAUUUGAUAUGUGACUAUACAUACGAUAAAAAACUAAUGCAAAAACAUCCUUAGAAUUCAUUGUAAAAGUUUUUCUGACGUGGUUAAUAUUGUAAUUUACCCUUAGAAUUCAUUGUAAAAGUUUUUCUGACGUGGUUAAUAUUGUAAUUUACCCUUAGAAUUCAUUGUAAAAUUUUUUCUGAUGUGAUUAAUAUUGUAAUUUACCAUUAUACGAGUUGAUCUAAUAAAGUUAGAUAUAAAAAUUCUUAGUAAAUUUAAUAUGAGAUUGCUAGUAUUAGCCGAGUAAAGUCCGAUCUAUGAUAAAAAAGCUUGUAACUGAAAGUUCUAUAAAUAGUUUUCAAGUUUCUUCUUUAAUCCUAAAAGCACGCAUCGCCUCAUAAGGAGAGAGUGCAGGGUAGUCUUAUUAAAGCCGGGGUUAGGAGGGCGAUCGAGAAGAAGGCUUGAAACUUAAAGUGACCAUCGAUAUCCCGCAUCAAGGACAAUGAUCUCCAAAAUAGGUGCACAAAUCACUUACUCUCCGUUAUCAUGCUCUUGAAUCCUGGCUAUGGUGAUGUUGGAGUACUGAUUUCGAGGCUAACAUCCAUAUAAUGUAUCGAACAAAUAAUUAUUAUCGAAAUUAUACAUCUCUAGUAUUUUCGUCGAAUAGUCAUGAUGGAGAAUGAGGGUGGUCCCAGAAUAGACGUUACAUGUGAGUUCUAGUGAAACUCCAUAUAUCUCACCGGCACCACUUGAAUUUGACGAAUGGGAUGCCCUACCUUCGGCCACCACGGCUUUAAGUUGCUAGGCCAUGAUGUAUUUAAUCUUAGAACAAUGUUAGAUUUUGCUACGCACCUAAAUAAGUCACCAACCAAUGUAGGUCAAUAGCUAUUUCUCUUCACUUUUUUUUUACUACGUGAUAAUUUAGCAACCGCCGCGAAAUAAUAGAUUGAUACGUAACAAGAAAUAAUUAAACUUCCACAUGCGAUUUAGUCAUUUCAUAUGCAAAGUGACUUCUCGAUGGUUUUAACGCGUGAUUAGUGAAUAACUUAAUUAGAAUAAUCAAAACCGAAAAUCAGAACUCUCGGUCAAAACUUGCUCGUGCAAGAAAAGCGACACAGACCCAAAUUCUCUAUUAACCACAUCAUUUACACCAGAAAUGAAAAAUCUUAUCCUGUUCUACAUGUAUCUCUAUCCCCAAUGUGAAAUUUUAUUUUCUCAACCCCAAAAAAAUCGUAAUAAAUUGGAAAUAAACAUGAAAGUCCGCUCACCUUUAUCUGCAACAAGCCCAUUUCGCUCUUGCUUCGGCAUGAAUCCGUCCACCGCAUGCCGACGGGAUCCGACCCGCUCAUCGAUCCCCACGGAGUCUUGCCUGAACCCGGUGAAGUGAGCCAAGUUUCACUCGGCUGCGCCCAUUGAAGACGGUUUGCUAGCCACGAUCUCGAACUCACGGCCGUCGUCAUCGCCAUCGUCAUCCUCGCCCUCCUCUUCCUCCCGAUCGAUAUUGCUGGGGUCGUCGUCGUCGUCGUCGUCGUCGUCGUCGUCGUCGUCGUCUUCUUGGUUUUCACCAAUGUGGUUCCCUUCCAUCUCAUCCAUCUCUUGCUGUUGCUGUUGCUGUUGCUGUUGCUGUUGCUGUUGCUGCAGCUGCUGCGGAGGCGGCCACUGCUGUUCCGGGGCCACCAUCAGUGGAGCUGCCGUGCUUAUCAUCGGACUGAACUGAGUGGUGCACGUGAACAGCGUCGAAGAGCCGAGGUCGCCGCUCUUGCUGCUCUUCUCUCGGUAUAGCUCGUCGAGCUGCUGGAAGUAGGGGCACGUCUUGGAGUCCUCGCGACGCUUCUUGUUGGAUUCCUUCACCUUCUUGAAGUACUUGUUUAUGUUCUCCCACUUCUCCUUGCACCGCUUCGAGCUCCGCUCGUACCCGAGCCUCCGCAUUGCCACCGAUAUAUCCUCCCACAGCGGCCCCUUCGGCCCGUUCUCUUGGUACUUCCCAUCGAGAUUCGUUCUCAACCUUAUCAGUGCCUCGACCUCCACUUUCGGCCACCUAGAAGAGCUCGCCGCACCACCUCCCCGGGGGGUCGCAAAAUGCACCCCAUUGUCGGCCUUUGGGACUUCGAUGCUCCUCAUCUGAGAUGGAAGGGCCGCCGCCGCCGCCGCCGCCGGUGGCGGCACCGUGGAUGGUUUUGGUGUAGCUGGGGUUGGCACUGCCACUAGCUGUUGCGACAGCGGGUUAUUAUUCUGGGCCGGCGAAGACCUGCGGCUUUGCUGUUCCGCUAUCUUCUGCAAGAACGACAUGACCGCCGUAUCCUUGGCUUCGGCAGCCAACCUCUCUUGGGCCAGGAUCUCGCGCUCCCGGGCAAGCCUCGCGGUCUCCUGCAUCCACCACGACUCUUCUCGGGCGGCCCUCUCACGCUCGCACUUAUCGAUCAUCUCCAGGAAGCUGCGGUGCAGAUCCUCUUGCUUGUCCAUCACAUCCUUGAUCACUCUCUCGAAGAAGUCCCUCCACCUUCUCUUCCGCUUAUUUGGACGUUUUCCUCGUGGCACCCCCUCAUCCGAGAAUGUUGAUGACGAGGUCGAAUUGGAGGUGGGCUCUCCAGGCCGGGCGCCCCUGGGGAAACCAGAGUUCGGUGGAGGAGGAGGAAUGACAACGGUAGGGUUUGAAGGUGGUGGGAAGGAAGGCAUCGUGAAGUUUAGGACGGUGGAGGAAGUGGCCAAGUUAUUCUGUGGGAUAAUAUUGAUGUUGUUGUUGUGGUGGUUACUCAUGUGGGUUGUGGAUAAUGGAACGGCGGCGGUGGGGACGUUAGGGAUGCUGUGAGGCCCGAUCACCGCCUGCAUUGCUGGGGGCUGUGCUGCCGGAGCUGGAGGCCUUGGUGGUGGUUGCGACGAGUGGAGGGUGUGAUUCUCGAAGGCCUCCAAUUGAUCGAAGAAGCGGUAGGCCUUGCCCUCGUGCUUUCCGGUCCUACCGUCCUUGGUGCGCUUGUGGUACUUGAAGACGUUCUCGAAUUUCUCCUUGCAUUUCUUGGCACUCCGAUGAUACCCAAGCUCGCUCAGCUUCCUGUGAAAACAACAGUCACAGAAUAAACAAAUCUCACACUCGCAUCCACGGACAAAAACAUCAACAGCCCAAAAGUAUCUUCCUCGAGCGCACAACCGCACGAGGGACAUACAAUUAUCAAACAAUAAUCUGGAUAUUGAACUAGGAAUAAGCAACGAGAGAGAGAGAGAGAGAGAGGCAAAAAGAUAAUUGAAAGGAACUCAUCUGAAGUAAAAGCUUAACGAAGAUUUCUCUUGUUUACUUCAACAGAAAAGCAAAGACAAGACAGCACAGACAAACGAGUUCCCUCGAUCUGAACUCGACUCUCCCCCUCACCGAAAGUUCACCUUCAUUAAAUCCACAUACGAGCAACCCCAAGAAGAAAAGGACAAAAGAACCGCACAUGUAUAGGCAAGAUUAUCGUCCUAGACCCUGGAGAUAUUCUUGAAACAUUUGGAAAGUGGGGAGAAGAUUCAAAAGAAAAGCAGAUCUACUGCACCAACAACUUCGCAAACGCUCGAGCUUUCGCUUCAGAUCGAAGUAGAAACAGCUAGGAAGAUAGAACUCGGAAGUCGAAUUACCUGGAGACCUCUUCCCAGAGCGGACCCUUUGCACUCGAGUCCCGGAAGGUCACGUCCAUGUCCGACCUUAUUUUCAAGAGAGCCAGCGUCUCCUGCCUCGGCCACCUAUUCCCGCCGCUCUCCUCCCUCCUCCUCCCUCCCUCCUCCUCGCCCGAAUUCGGCGCGAAGCUGCCGACCUCGGCUGCCCCGGCUGCUGCAGCGAUCGCUGCCACAGUCUCCGCCGCGUCGCCGGACGCUCCCGGCACACUCGGUGCGUCCCCCAUCAUAGGAUUCUCUCUCUCUCUCUCUCUCUCUCUUGCAGCUGAACGGAGAUGUAAUGGAGGGCAAGACAGAAGAGGAAGAGGGAACAGAACGAAUCUACCAAAAAAAAGAAAAAUAGAGAGAAGGGUUAAUCCCCAACAAGGGUUUCUAUGAGAGGAGAGGAUGAUCAGUUUGUGGUGAAUACAGUAACUUUUUAUAUUUUUGAGGUGGGAGGAUCUGCUUGUCAAUCUCAAGAAGCUAGCUAAAGCUUUUUUUUUUUUUUUAAUAUAUUUAUUUCGGCUUUUCUUUAAUUUAUAUAUAGAAGAGAAAAAAACAUAUCUGAGUGUACUCUUUUUCUCUUUUCCUUUUAGCUGAGGAAUCUGCAGAUUUAAAAAAUAAAUGAUUUUUUUGGGAUGGUUGGUUCUUCUUAAAUAAAAAGGAAAAAGGGAAGAAAUUUAUAGUAGGGGGCCGAUCUUGUCCCCCCUCAGUAAACUAUAAAAGCGGCACAGAAGGUUGCGUAAAAUAAAUGAAUUUUAAAAUACGAGCGUGCUGAAAAUAAGAUAGAUAUAAAUUUAACUGGCUUUGAUUUAUUUUAUUUUAUUUUUCUUAUGUCAACAGCUGCAUAUGGAGACAAUAGUGAUAAUAAGUUGGUUUUUGUCUGUCCAGCUAAAUUGAGUUAAAAGCCGGCCCAUGUAGGCCACCCCUAUUCCCUCUCCAUUCUCUCCCCACUUCCUUGUCUUCUUUUUAUAUUUCAUAAUUAUCCCCGAUCCGAUACGAUCAGUUAUUCUAGAAAUUUAAAUCUUUGGAAGAGUAUUUCUUAUAAUGCAUGUAUAUAUAUAUAGACGUUCGUAUCUUUGCAUUGACAUCCGUAUAGUAAUGCGAGAAUCGAUCUACUUUUCAAGACCAUAUUAUAAAAAAUACGAAAUCAGCAAGUUGAAAGCAAUUUGAAAAUCAAUACAUCUAUUUUUGCAAUGAUAUACAUCUUUGUCAAGGAAGUAGUGAGGCAAGUUCCUAGCGCCACGAUUACCACCUUUAGAGUAUACUAGAAAAUAAAUAAUUUCAAUUAAUUUAAUGAGAAAGUACUUUCCAAAUCCUUUUCAAAAUUUAAACAAAUUUAUAUUCGUUACGCAACCCAUGUGAAAAGAGUCGCACAGACUAUUUGAUUCAAAAAGGGUAUUGCAACCGACAUAUAUCGUGUACUAGACAUGAUUAGUGUAAAAAUCGAUUAAAAAUGCAUUUCUUUUUUUAGAGAAAUGAAUCAUCACGAGACUCUACAUCAGAGUAUGUAGAUCUUGCUUGUAGAUCACAUCUGAUUGGCCAUGACCGAAAUAAUACAUGGUCAUGUGAACAUGGUCACGGUCACAUCAUUUGAAGCUCAGCUAAUCUCCUUUUACUUUCGAUAAACAAGGGUUUUUGCUCGCGAUUUCAAAAGCUGGCGGAUCCAGGUGGGGCCUCCAAAUGACCUGUGUUUAGCGUAGCCCUAACAUGGAUCCAAUUAGGCACUUAAUCAUUGAAGCCAAUUACAGCACAAAUCACACCGGAUCGGCACGGCUGAUUGCGAUCCGAGUCCGCUCCCUGCAGUCUCCCAAUAGUUUAUACCCGGUAACUCCCUAGUUCAACUGGCAACCGAAAUUUGAUAAAGAAUUGGGUAUUAAUUAUUGUAUUUAAUAAUUAAUAAUAGGAGUGAGAAUGUGAUACUCUCUUCUUGUGGGCGCAGGCGGGGUCCUAAACUGAUCAUGACCCAUGCAGCUUUGACAAGUAUAAUAUGUAGUUUUUAUAAUUGGGUGAAUAAAUAUUGAGAAAAGGUCAUGAGCAGCCGAUCUUGCGAGGAAAAAGAUAUUUAUAUUUUUUAAAGUGGGAUCCACUAUUUUGAAUUGAAACUAGUUAGAUGGUGGGUCAAUUUUAUAAGGCCAUGCCCAUUUAUGAAUCGAAGUGAAUAGUGGCCAUUUUCGGUUAGGUCGUGACCUACCGUGACAUGUGGUAUUAAAAUAUUGAAUGGCUUGGCGACCUGAUAAUUAUUGGAAAAUUCAAUGGCCAUUAACCCACUUGCGGCAUAAUGAUCUAUGACGAAUGACAAGCAAGAGGGCUAGUAUACAAAAAAAAAAAAAAAAAAACCCAAUCUCAGAAUUUCUUUUCUAAUUCAGUAACAAGUUCAACAGAAUUAUUGAAAAAAAAAUGGUAAAUACCGAACAAAAAAUCUUAUACUCUAUUUUUUUUUUGUAUUAUCAAAAAUCCUAAAUGUGCCUACUCUGACACAAAAACUCUCAAUUUUUUUGUCACGAAAAAAUCCAAAUUUAUAUAUGUGUGACAUAUAUACUAUCUAUUUUAGUUGCAUUCAAGAUGUAAUAAACAAAAAUAGUUUGGAAUAUUAGUGUAAUAAUGGGCAAGCUUAAGGUUUCAGUGACACAAAAAAAAGGUUUAAGAUGUUUAUGUUUCGGUAGGUAUGGUUUGAGAUUUUUUUUGUGAUAUUAACUCAAUAAAAUACGGAUAAUACUCAAUAGCUAUAUAGCAUCACCUCUCAAACAUGUUUUUUUUUUUUGUAAAUUUAUAUGCGUAUAUAUAUAGUUUAACAUUCUAGCACUAUUCAUGAGUGAUUGGGGAGGCAUUUCCAUCAUUAUCAAGAAUGAAGGUGGGGAGAGGGUGGACAUUGCCGUUGGCGCAAGUUGCUGUACUUCUUUGUCAAUUAAAAUCCAGCACGACUUCAUCCAUACGCACUUGCACUUGAAAACGACCCCCCCCAGAAGAAAAAGUUUCAAAUAAAUUUGCCUUCACGCGCCGGUUAACAAAAUACAUAGAAUACCCAUUUUUCGAUUUCAACGACAGCCCGUCCAAAAAUUGUGGAUGAGACUUGAAGGCCGGGAAAGAAAAAUAUCCGUGAGCGAUGACGUCAUAAAAAAGUCCAUCCAUCCCGAUCUUUAACUAAGGUGAGAAUAUAUUAUAUUUUAUACCUAGUCUCGCUGCCGUUUGUCCAGAUUAUUAGGGUUGCACUGAUCUUUUCUUUGUCAGGGCUAAAGCGUGAGGAGAAUCAUGUGGAUCUUCGCUUGCAUCGCAAGGCAUGCGCCAUGCAUCUCCAUUCCAUCUUCUUUUCUUCCAGUUCUUGCUGUCCUCCGCGUGGUGCUUCGCUGUCGCAGGACAUUGGAGCUGGCGUGAGGAGUGAACUGUAAUGGAUCCCCCUUCGUGGGGCGGCUGCAGAGCUUCCCUUUGCUGGAGAGAGAGAGAGAGAGAGAGAGAGGGAGGUUUACGUAAUCCGAAAGCGUUUUUCACAGCCUGACAAGUACAACCGGAAAUCUCCCUGUCAAAAAAACUAAUCUGUAUCUCACAUCCUGGAUUUCCAGCGGGUUCGGCUCGCUGAUGUUGAUAAGAACAAUGACGAUGACAGAGCUGUACGGCCGCUUUGUAAUGCAUGUUACUAGGUUAUUCUUGAUUGGCCGAACAUGGCUCGGUCGUUUGAGUGCUUUUCCUGUGUACCCAAUCAUUUUGCAAAAAAGAAACGCCUUAGAUUCGGAUCGAACAGGUCCUGUCGCAGUAGACACAUGUAUGAUCAACGGCUCAGAUAGGUUUGAUUUGAUGAAGUCGGCCGUUGAUAAGAUUUAUCCAACUUCCUCAAUCAAUCUGUCGGAUCGAUCUUUGCAUCCUCAUAUAUAGUGCUCUUACAUUCCGGUUCAUUUUCCUAAGUUCGGCUCCAUCUCAAAUAAUAUGAAAGCCGUUUGAUGACAUUUGCUACCAACAAAUUAGGAAACGCGCAUUCGAGAAAAAAGUAUCGAUUACAACCCUAGAUUUCGAGUUCGGACACUGGGUCCAAGGCCGGCCUUGAGGGACUCUCUCGGUGUUGGAGGGACUCGGGGUUGGCCACUGGGUCCUAGGCUUGUUCUUAGAGACUUGAUCUUAAACGCUGCAAAUCGGGGCACAACUAGUAAGGUCCCUAGUCUGGGUGUUAGGGACUUGAGCAUGGAUAUUAAGGAACUAGGCAUGGUCACCCGAUUUGGACGACCUUGGCCUAUUCCCAAGGGACUUGGGUCUAUCAAGGUCUUGGGUGCGCUUGAGCCGGGAAUCUUGUCUCGACCUCGGUGACCUAGGCACAAGCAAGAACAACCUAGGCGUGAAAAGCUGAGUAGUCGAGAGCCGGUCCUAGGGACACAAGCGUGAUUGCUAGGUACUUGGGCUCUCAUGCCUAAUUAUUGGGGUCUAAGGUGCAAGCACUGCGGUUUCAUUGUAUUUUCGAAAAUGAUUUCCAGUUCUUAAAAAAGGAAGUCUUUUUUUUUUUUUUUAAUUGAGGGUAGAUUUUGCCUUAAUUAUGAUUUUUUUUUCCAGUAAUUCAUUUUGAUUGUCAUUUUUCUAAGCUAUGCAAAUGCCGAAAAAUAUUCUUGACAACAAAUUAUCUGUAGAACACGCGGGACGCAGGACUAUUCUUUUCUGACCCCGGAAAAAACGGCCUUCAUUUAAUGGAUGGAACACGGAAUGUUCAGGUAGCCAACUAGCCACGGACUCAGACCAAAAAAAAAAAAAAAAUGGCCACGGACCGAACGUACAAGAUAUGGCCAAGGCCUGAUAUAAUUAGCAUUUGAUAGUAUACAGGGACCAUCGACCUGAGCAGUGUACGACCAAAAAAUAAAAAUAAAAAUAAAAACUUGAGCAGUGUGUCUAAACUAUAUAAGCGAGCCAAUUCCAGGAUCACUAAAUAAACCCUUCGUACAAUACUUAAUAUUAUCCUUAUUUGCAUCUAUUGUAAAUACAAUAAUUCUAUGAGUACAAUAUUACGUUAUCACUCAAUUUGUAAACAUUAUCAUUGCGAUAUUUAGCUGUUUCCAUUGAAAUGUCCCUCAAAGUCAGAGUACAAUGGACCCCCCAUAUGCUUCAAUGGGGGAAAAAAACCUUAUCUAUACGUAUAACCCGAACAAAAAUGGCAGGUUUAGACAAUUAAAAAGAAAACAUGCAAGCAAUAAUUCAGUGCACUGGAUGCAGAGUCUAAUGGAUGGCACAGAAAUAAUUAAUUUCAUAUAUUAUCACAAGAAUUCAAGUAAAAGUAUCCAAUCAAUCACAUAAACCCGUAAUUUUAGGCGCACUAACUUUUCUCAUAGAAAUACGCAUAUCGGAAAUUAGAUUGUUUUACAUUAAAUAUGUUUAGAAUCAGCCUUCUGAAAGCGGCCGUUAAUUUCAGAGAUUAUCAUCGAAAAAAGAAAAGAGGGUUUAGAGAAUUUUUAUUUUUAUUUUUUUUAACCUUUUGCCACUCCUCUUAAACUCGUGGGAAAGAUUGCUUGCUCAGACAUCAUCCUGUUGGCUUUGCAGAAAAGGGGAUUGAUUAAUGAUGGUGGCGUUCGGAAUCUGUCUGAAGAUGCCUGAGAAAAUGUGCAGAUUCACAUGUGAAGAAGAAGGUGGUAGCAACGUGGUUAUUUAAUGAAGGAGGAGUUAUACAUGUGGAUCGCCAAAACUUAAUGCUUUGCCAUUAAACUAACUGGUCAGCCCUUAGGGUCCGUACGAACUAAUUUCUCUUUUUCCGCUUUGCCUCGUGCAUUGCCCAGAUUACAAUUAUCUUAGGUUUUGUUCUCUCUCUCUCUCUCUGACAUUAAAGAUUGGAAACUGGUUUUUUCAUACCCUAAAGAAGAAAAGAUCAGACCAGGUUUUUUCGAUUAUUAUGAUUUUAAUUUGUUGUAUUAAAUUAGUGGAAAGAUAAAAAUUUAAAACAUUGUUUGAAUCUGUAAGAAUUGUUGAAAAGUUUAUAUGUACAUACACAUGCCAAACAUUCGCAUUUUUGUAAAAGCUUCGAGUAUUGCGGAUGUAAAGAGAGAGGGAGAGUCAAAGUAUUUCGGUUGUGAGAUUUGACCAAAUGCAUGAUAAAAGAUAAAAGUCUAUUGAAACAAAUAAUUCUAUUUAGUUACAUUUACUAUGCAAAAAAAAAAGUAAACGAGUUAAUGUGGUUUAUACUUUUUUUAUUUCACGAAAAAUAAAUUAUAUGAAAAAUAUCCUCACGAAAAUGAUUCUUUAUAUUGCUUAAAAUAAUUAAAUAUUUUCAUGGAUGAUGAAAAUAUUUUUCGUUUAUUUAUUUUUGUAAGUAAUACGAACAAUUAAUUUUAAGAAAAUAUCUUCUAUAUCAUUUAUUUUUCACAAAAUAAGAAGAGUUUUAAUGAGAUGAUGGCAUAAGUCUUACGCAAUUUAGAAAUUAAAAAUGUGGUGGGUUGUGUGUAACUAUCGCUUGAUACCUUAAACUUCCAGGAUUGAAUUGCCUUAUCAAAUGGAUCAUUGAGGCUAAAGACAUCGAAAUGACAAGCUAGGGAAACAAAAGGUGGACACCCUCCUGAGGAAACCUAGUGACGAGGAAUUCCAUUUCUUCUUCAAUAAAUAUACGAGCAUUUAUUUAUUAUCUAUAUUAUAUAUUAUUCUUGUUUUUUUGCUGGAUGUAUAUGAUUGCAUCGUGGAUUGCUGCAAGUGCAAGUACUCCCUGCUACAUAUCCUGUCCCUCUUUUGUUCAAUCUAACAAGAAAUGAUGUCACAACAAGUUAUGUAAAAUUAUAUCAUCGUCCCAAUAAUUUUUUUCUGAACUUUACAGGCAGACUGGUAAGGGGGAGUUCUAAAGAAAAUGUCAAGUAGCUAAGAAUAAUAGGAAAAAAAAAGCCGCAAUUUUCUAGGGCAUCAAUUAAAUAACGUAAGCAAGGACUUUAACCUGCUGGCCCCGAUCGAAAAAGUUACAGGCAAUAAUACAAAAUAAAUAUAAUAAAUGUUAAUAAUUGUAAUUGUGAUUAUGAUUUAUUUGUGUAUGUAGACAAAAAGGAGUUUACACCACAUGGUGGGCAUGUGGAUGUGAAUGAACACUUAGCAAAGGGCACUGUCCACCAUGUCUGUCGCCGACUUGGCCACACCCCACGUGGAUCCCUUUCUUCAUCCCCAUUUUAACCCUUUUUUCUUCCUUCUCUUGUGUCCCCUUUCAUUUCAUUUUAUAUUUUUACAGAAUAUUUCUCUGUUUCUAUUUUGUAUUGAAAUAUUGAGCUAAAGAUAUAAUUAUAGGUACGAUAGAAUAUUAAUAUCGAGGAGUCCUGAUUAUCUAUGAUUUUAACGUCAAGAUGCGCAUAACUAACGUGGUUUCAUUCACGUAAACUGUUUAAAGUAAAAGAUAAGCUAGUUCUGAUUCGGACACCUCUUAUGGAAACGACUGUAAUUUUCUGGAGUAAAUUUUGGGUUUUGUGGCCUAAUUCUGAUAUACCCACAUGUUCUUUUUUUAUUUAAGAAAAAAAGUAAAGACGACAAUUAUAAAAUCACACCACUCCACUCCGAAUGUACGGAUUCGAUUAAGUGUUCACUUAAUUCUAGCAUUAUUCUUAGUAUAUACCUUCGCCCGAGGCAGAUCAACAUUAUAAGAAAACAAAAUUCAGGUACACGAAACUUCAUUUUCUUUUUUUUUUCUUUUCGUCUGCAAAUGUAAAUAAUAAUAAUAUGUCCGGCCGCUUUUUCAACUGGAUGUUUUAUUCCAUUCACGAGAUCAGCGGAGCAUUUCAUGAAUUUUAAAUUUACAACUUACGUGUUUUCCUUAUUGUGUAAAAAAUAAAAAGUAGAAGACCGGUUCGUUUUUUAAAAAAGGGUGAGAUUUAUCUCUCCGUCCUUAAACCCAGUUACUCUUAUUUCAUACAUUUUGCAGUGUUACUAUGGUUUUUCUUCGCUUUAAGAAUUGAGAUUAUAUCAAGUUAGGUAUAACUUCACGUCUUAAAGUUGUUCUCUUAAAUAUACCAUUUCGAAAAGUUGACACAUCGGUUCAAAAUUCUUUUCACGUGGCCCAUAAUUAUUUUCCAUAUCCUUUGCCCGCUUCCUUUUACAAUGGCCCCCCUUACCCAGAUUAUCCUGCUCUUGUCACCCUGUCCGCCGUUCCCACCAACCUCCGUCGGAGCCGAGCGACACCGCCGGCCGUGUCGCUCAGUCACGUCUUCCCACGUCGCGCUAGCAGUGGCUGCACCGUCGCUCCUGGCCUUAGGUGCCAGGAGGCCCCUUCAGGCUCGGUCACCCAACUAAUCCUUGCUUCAAAGAACUUUUUCUCCUACCUAUUCUGCACAUUCUGUAUCAUUAUCGAAGUUCAACAUAUCAUAAGAAAGGAUUAUCUAAAGCAUGUCAUAAUUAACCCGUUCUACACAGUAAAUAGCGCUGUUCCUAAGUCGUCCUAUUAAAAGACUUCAUGGAUUAUAGAGUUGAAAAGUAUAGUGGACUACCCCACUUGAGGAGAAAGGUCAGGGCUCAUCGCGUUGGAGACACGUCCAAAUUUGACAUGACACGAGGAAAAGAACAACAGCGGGAUCUAUCUAAUUGGACACCUGCCAAUCCGACUGUAAUCAUUGCAUGUCUUUAUACAACACCUAAAAAUAAGAGGAAGACUAAAACUUUGAGAAAUGCCCAAUUAUUUCUAUGCACUGAGCGAAUGAAUGCAAUUAUCAAAUUCAAAUUUUUAAUGAGUCUUUAUGUGAAUUCCGCAUAUGUUCCAAAUUUCUAAGUAAGCUUCUUCCCGCAAAAGUUCAUGGAACAACUCCCAUGUGCAUGUGCCAAACAAUCAGCUAUUUUCUUUUUGGGUGAGAAUCGGAAUUCGAAGCGUGAAGUUUUCAAAUGAUUAAUUGCUCUCGAUUAGGGAAGAUCCUUCUUGGAACAUGGGGCCAUGUGCAUGUCCAUUUCACCAAGCAACGUAUGCGGAUGUUUAAUGUUUAUUAAUUGGGUCUGUCCUUGGCUCAAUAAAUUAGAGAAAACCUAAUUUUGUUCUCGGAUAAAAGAUGGUACGAUGAAGAAGGCACAGAAAAUGUCUCCAAGUGGAGAAUAAAAUUACCGAAUAAUGCAUAAACUGUAUUCUGCAGAAGAUGUGGCGUACAAAAUAAGUUGAGUGACACCCACGUAAGUUAUUCUAGUGAUUGAGAUGUAGAUGAUUUCUAUUUGGGAUACUGCAAAAUCAGAUGAUUGUGAACCAUUUGAAUAUUUUAGGUCGGAGCCAUAUUUUACUUGAUUCCUGAUUGGAAGAAAUUUUGUCCGAACACGCAUUUGAUUGAUGGAUGGCAUCUGUAUUCAAUAACCCAUCAAUCAAAAAGCUAGUUGAAGGAAAACACAACCAUUAUCGAUUCCAUUGUUGGUUUAUAAACUCAUAAUCUCAUAAGAACCGUGAUCAUUUUGUAUUUGUUUACUAUAGUUGUCAUUUUCUCAACAGCUUACGGAUUGAUUUCUGUAAUAUUUUUUUUUUUUGUCUGUGGGGUAAAGACCUACAAAGGUGCUAACGAGCAGGAAGAUAGACCAAACCAAAGCAAAACCACAUUUGGCAUUUUAAGUAUAACCAUAAAGGGAUGGGAGACCUUAUUCAACGCUGAUGAGAUUAUUAGGUGCUUCUUAAACAUAUAUAAACUAAUUAACCAUUCAAUUUUUGCAUUAGCUUCCAAUUUGAGUUUGCAUAUUAAGAGUGGUAGUUAUUCUGGCCGAUGCAGAAAGAUGAGAUGCGUUGGACUCACAAAACAUGUAGCCGGCUACUUUUUGGCCGGAAAAAGAACGACUAUUUAAAGAGUAAAUAAGUUUCGUUUAUUUUGCGAAAAUUGAAUUAUUUUGAAAACAUUUUCCUAAAAAUGAUAACUUGUAUCACUUAAAAAAUUAAAUGAAUAAAAAUAUUUUCAUUUUUUAUGAUAAUAUCCAUACAUAAAUUAUUACUGAUAAUAAAAAAUAUUUUUCAUUAACUAUUUAUUUCAAGCAAGUAUUUCCAAAUCAUUCUUCUUUUUUCUCAUGAAGCAAACGGAGUCUAAAUUACUCUAGGAAAUUGAGUGGUGAUUAAAAAAAAAGAAAAAAGAGAGCAACUGGCAAGAAGAUCUAAAGCCUUAAUCACUAGGAUCUUGAAAGGGUCUUUAAUCCAAAUCAUCAGCUUCCAUAUAAUCAAGAGCUAAUAGAAGUUAAUGAAGGCCUUCGAGUAUAACAUUUAUGGAAAAACACCGUCCCUAGAGAAUAUUUCCAGUUUCUACACAUCUCACACUUGAUUUGAUUCUCAAGUGUAACAUCAUUAAUUGGUGUGGCUCAAUCAAAUUCAAUCGCUCUUUUCAGUAUAACAAAACUCGAUUCAUCAGUAGAUCGCUAAAAUUCUCGUUGCAUAGAUGAACCGAAACCGAAACCUUGUAAUCUUUAGCUGAUGAAAAGGUUUUGAGCAAUGUAAUCAUGCGGUUACAUAGGACCCGGUCGACUUAACUGCAUUCAUGCUCCAACUAAAGAGGUUCAUCUGUGCAGAAGAUCUGCAACCGAACGCGACCGCUGCGUCUCACGGUCGCACGACAGGGAAAUGGAAGACGACGAUGCCCCCAUCUCUAGCAUUUUACAGUGACAUUAAGCAGAUAUUUGAGUUAGGCGGGCAAUCCCGGAAAAUUCAAUAGGGUCUUUUCUGGCCAGUUCAGUGAGACUAUUUUCAGAAGAAUUGAGGCAGCAGCUGCAGAUCUGGAAUCGAAUUAGGCAAACUUUCACUAUAUCACCAAAUGCCAUGCCAGAGUUGAGAAAUUCAGGAUGCAAGCAAGAAGGGAAAACGCAAACAUGAUUGCUUCAUGAGCCGAGACUUCAAGUAUGUAUAUGCAUAGCCACCGACGGAAAAAGCAAAACGUUAAACCGAGAAUCGGAACUCUGUCAUCUGAAACUUCAAUUUUUUAUCUUUCUUUCUGUCCGACUUAAAUCCUACAAACAAAUUUACUUGUUCAAGCAGACAAAGCCAUUCAUCACUCAUGGUCACUAAAUUGUCUACUUGAACAACGAUCGAUUGACUUGGGAUUUCCCAGUGCUUUGCACCAGAGAAUAUUUAUAUCAAGGCAAAGUUCUGUCGGUUUGUCUUAUGUCCAAAGCUUUAUUGUGAAGAUCAUCUCCUGUACAUCUGAUGGCAAUUGCCGACAUUACUUGCCAGAGAUCCAGCAUUGUAAUCUCUGAUCAUGUUUAACAUAAAACACCUCUUUAGCUUUUAAUCUGUUAGAACACGACCCCAAAACGCAUCCCCGAAAAAAAAGAAAAAGAAAAAAAACCACCUUACCGGAGAAAAGAAAAGUAAGGAUUCUCAUGAGAAUAACAGCUAGUGUGAAAGGGAAUGGCCGUCAGGCCUUACAACUUUGAGAAAAACUUCUGGGCAUUUACAUCUUAGAACAUCAUAAGUGACAUCAAUUUUCAAGACACAAGCAACAUAAACGCCAUUGAAUGCCAGUCGUAGCUUAAUUUUUUUUUUUUUUUUUUUGGCAAUUUAGAUAGGUUUAAGCAAGCGGCAUACAAACCAGAUAUUCCUGCGAAGAACGGUAGUAAUUUUACCUACAGAUGAAUUGCACAGACCGCACAUAACACAGGUCAGUGCAUGAGCAGAAAAGAUGCUCGAACUUUAAAAGUUAAGAUUACUCGCAGUAAAAUCUUUCAAGCGCGAAAUAGCCCGAAGUGCUGCAGCAACAAUGUGUCUAUUUUACUUUCCUUAGGGUUCUGCCAAUGUCAUUCUUUACAGUGAUUGCCGUAUAGUCACAUAGUCUAACAGGAUCAUUAUGGAGUGAUUGUCUCACAUCACCAGACCAGCUUAAACAAAUAUUUUUGUGUCUCAUUCUCUUCAGAUGGUAACUAUGUUGUUCCAUGCCCAGCCAGUCAGAACUUUGUCUUCCGCGGUACGCUCCCACCUAGCAAUCAUCUUCAUCCCCGUUACAGCAUUUGGUAAGCAUGUUGACAUCCAAUUGUCCGACCCUCCCCAUCAUAAGAAGCAUAAUCCGCUUCAUCCAGCAUUGAGUACUUAUCCACAAGAAAACACUUGAUACAUCCCAUUGCAGUCACUACUUUCCAUACUUCAGAUUCUUGUGCUCCUAUUUGGACCAAUUUAAACUGACUUGUGUUUUAAAUUUUUCCAUCAUAAUUCAAGACUCCUUUGUUUCUCUCAUUAAAGCUAUACGAUCCACAAAACAUUGGGGAAUUAAGCUGUGAACUGUAAGCAUGUGCCUCACUAGAGUGAAGCAGUAAGAUCUCAGCCCAACGCAAUAUAUGUUUAUAACCUAAUAAAUUCCUCCAUUGGGCCCCUUCCUUCGAAAUCUAUAUGCAUCCCAUUACAAAGAGUUGCCAUGUAUAAGUUUAUUUCUUCCAUCACGAAGCUAUCUAGAUGGAAUGAGGACAACGCAUGAAAAUCAUGUGCUAGUUACACUCAGCAAAAACGCCCUCAAUCUGGCUUAAGGUAUUGUUAUACUUUUGAUUGCAAUCCGAUAACACCGCCAAGUUCCAAAACACCAUCUCAACGUCACAGUCCAGUUCUAGCAUCUGCUAACUAAUUUAAGAGAUGAAUUAAAAGGGCACAAUAUCAGAAAAUAGGAACCUACAAAAAAUUCAAAUUGACAUUCACAUCUAAAAUAAUCAGACACUGGUUAUAACUCAUAUCAUUCGCAGAAAAAAAUAGAGCCAUUGCACCGAUGUAGGCAUCAAAGAAAGUGAAAAAGUUAUUAGCAUCCAAGAUCGUGGAAACAAGUUGAGCUUGGAUCCAGACUGAGGCAGGUCAGAGCCCAGGAUCAAUAGCGACACACUGACACAUGUCACAAGAAAGUCAUAUAUUUCAAUUGUUCAGAUGAUGACAACUACUAGCAAAUCUUUUUCUCCCAUGUAGGUCAGCAGUCGGUGACACAAAUUAUGCACACCAUUAUACUUUAUUUUGCACUAUGUAUACGAUGAGAUUCAAAUACUCAAGAUCUUCCCUUACAGUUCCAUAACACCAUCCCAAGAUCACAGUCCAGCUCUAGCCCCGCUAACUAAUGUCAGAUAAGAAUUUAAAGGGCACUAAAUCAGAGAAUAGGAACCUAUAAUACUUCAAAUUGACUGUUAUUCACAUCUAAAACAAUCAGACACUGGUUACUACUCAUAUCACUUGCAGACAGAGACGGCACUAUUGCACCAGUGUAGACAUCAGGAAGACUGCGAAAUUUAUUAGCAUCGAAGAUAGUGCAAACCGGUUGAUCUUGGAUGCAGGUUGAGGCAGGUAAGAGCCCAAGAAUUAAUAGCGACACAUAAUGUAAUAAGAAAGUCACACACAAUUUUUAUUGUUCAGAUGUCGAAAACUACUAAGCACAGUCAGCAGUCAGCAGCAAGAAUUAUGCACAACACUGUACUUUAUUUUGUAUUAUCUAUUCAAUGUGAUCCAAAUACUCAAGAUCUUCCCUCACAAGUCCCAACUAUAACUUUUUAUGCUCUCUCCACCCUUUUUGAAGUACAUCGCUACAAAACACCAGAAGACGCUUCAUGUGUCCUGACCUCCUCAAACAAGCUUUUCUCAUCCUACCCUUAAUUGAGGUAACACCAAUUUCUCUUUCAAAUAUAUUCAUUUGGGAUCUAUCUUUUCUUGAGUACUACUAGAUUCAACAACGCAUUUCAUUGUAGUGCAAUCUUUCUGUGCAUAAAUUGGCAAUUUCGGGAAAAAAAAUAAUUAGGGACCAAUCUGCAAAACAUAGUUCAGUUCACAUUGGGUUUACCAAAGAUGUGACAAGAAUAAUAGUGUUAAGAGUAAUUCAAGAUUAAAUCACGUUUUUAUCUAAUAGCUUAAGCUUUUGGAACAGUUAGCAGAGGUCCCAUCAAAAUCUCACAUGGUAUCAGAGCAGGAGGUUCUGAGUUCAAAUAUUUCUAGGCCCCUAUUUGCCUUCCCAAUUAUAUAUUUCCAUGGUUUAGGCUUAAACCAAAGUCCAGCUUACUUGUGAGGGGAAGUGUUCAGAGUAAUUAAAGAUUGAACCAUGCCUUCAUCUAAUAGCUCAAGCUUUUAGAAUAGUUGGCAAUGGUCUAAUCAAAAUUUCACAAAUAAAAUUCACCAUAUUCCUAGAAGUCAUAAAGUUCGAAAUGCCAGAGUCACUUGGAACAAAACUUUCGAUGAAAUCCAGCUUCCUGCACAAAGAUUUAGCAAGAACUAAAACAACUGGAAAGUGAAAAGGAUUUUGUGCAGCAAUGAAGGAUUAAGAAAAGGCACCGUCACGUUUGCAUGCAUAACACAUGUGUUCAUAGCCAUUUAACCUCAUAUGCCACACAAUACGUAACUUGUGAAACACUAUCCAUGUCCAAAACACAAUCAUAUAAACCUCAGACUUAUGGAAGAUUAGACAAGCCUCUUGACUCAAGUAGAUAUCCAUGAUAGGAAGGAUUAAAAUACAAAAAAUUUCCCAGGUUUGAACUUGUGGAUAAUCAGACAAUAAGUAAGAUAGAGGCACCUUGGAAUCCAUACAUAUCGGUAUACUAGGAAGAAUAAACAACGCAUACAACUUUCUCAAGUUUGAAGUUUUGGAAGAUUCAACAACGCUCCUGAUUCAAAACCAAGCAGUCUACAUAACCUACUGACAGGAAUCUAGUACAAAAGAUAACACUGAAAUAUUCAAAAGAGAUUUAAGUUAUGUGAUGCAGGAAUUAUAUCUUUGCUGCUGAAGAGGGACUUGAACCCCCAGUUUUCCAGUCAAUACUUUGGUCAAUUGAAAAUUUCCUAGAUAAAAGAAAACCAUUGGGCAAUAUUGGAAUUCUCCAUGCGUGGAAAAGUCAAUAUAUUUGAUGCACAGAGCAUACGAAAUUUAACCCGUAGUCAAUAGCAACUCUACUAAGGACCUUUAUCUCUUGAAUAACGAAAAGAGUCAAAGUUAUCCCUUAACCAACUGAUUAAGGACUUGAUUUGAUAACAAGCUUGCAAGACAAAAUGUUGUCCCCUAACAAAGAAGCAAUGUGUAUGAGACUCACUCAAUUGAAAGAAUCGAAACAGAUCUAAUUCAAGGCCAAUUAUAUCCUAUCUUAAACUGCAAAGAAAUCCAGAAGGUUGCAGCAGCAAACUAAUUCUUGAUUGACAGACAGGAGUUAGCUUGAACAGCAUUCAUACAUUCCAAAAGAUAAAAUAUGCAACAGAGAAUGUGAAUAGACCCAGUAACAAUUUAAGGAGAGCAGAAAAGGCAAAAAUCCGGUGGCUAAAGAUAUAUCACAAGUAAAACCAAGUACAUGAGAGACAUUACAAGAUGAGGGUCAACAAGAAGAAACAGACCGUCACAUAUUGCCACUCAUCUACUAGCGGAAUAUUUUCUCUCUUCUGCAAUAAACAUCAACUACUGGAAUUUGAGUAGCACCACUCCACUGAAUAUUUAAUGGCAGCUACUAGCCACAGAAGGAAAGCUGCAUUUCAUGUUGAUAAUCUCAAAAAGGACAAGACUGACCUCGCUAUCUGUCUAACUAAAGUCAACACCCAUCUCCUUUUGUCUCAAUUCUAAGGCCAUACGUUCAUUUUCAAGCUUCAUCUUUUCAUUUUCCAUUUUCAUCUUUUCUAAUUCGCGGUCUCUUUUCUUGCAAAAUCUCUCCCAUUUGAAGCGCUGUUUCUCCAACUCCAACAUCUCAUAUUGAAUUUGUAACUUCUGUUCUUCCAGUUGAAGUGAACGAGAUUCAUUUGACUGCUUCUGUGACCAAGCCCUGUUCUCUGAAAAAGUUUGAUUCAUAUCAGGAUGUACCAUAUGAGAAUGGGAAUGGGAGCUUUUGUUGAACUCUUGAACAUUCAAAGAAGAACCAAAACUGAAAUCUUCAUGGCCUUGGGCUUGCUUCAUCCUCUUCGCAGAACCCUUUAAAACCCCACACAUUGUCCUGCCAUCACCAUGAGGAGCAUAAUUCUCCUCAUGUUCGUCGUGAUCAUCAUUAUCCACAUCUUGAUCGUCCUCAUCAAAGUCAUCAGGGUUGUUUCUUCUGACAUCAUUAUUCUCAUGAUCAUCUCUACUUCUGAGAGCCUGCUGCAGAGAGCGUUGUAAGGCUGGGUCAUGAGGUAAAUGUAGCCGAUUGCUAUUGUGGUAAGAGCACAUCUCUUCAUAGAACAAAUGCUUUGAACUCAAAAUUUUCCUGACAUCAUCCUUCUCCUUCUCCGAAAGGAACUCUAUCAUAUCCAAAAGUGCAGGAUUCUCAACCACCUGGCAAGAAGUCCCCCGACCAAGCAUAUCGUUGAGUUUCUUGUACCUCUUAUUAAGGUCGUUGAACUUAUCCUCACACUGCUGAGGUGAGACAUGGUAACCCCUCUCAGCCAAGACCUUCGAAAUUGACUUCCAUUUACCCUUUUUCUGCAAGACAGCAAACUUUCUUCGUCCCCCACCCCCACAAUCUGAACCCGAAUCUUCACCUAUAUAGGAGACGGCGGUGAUCAGAAGUCUAACCAUCUUAUCAGUCCAUUUCACCCUUUGCCAUGGUGACCCUUUUUUCCCUUUGCUUACAUCAUUAUGAUUAUCGAUACCAUCUUCGGUAAAGCUUGGAUCAUCAUCAUCGCUUGCCGAGUUCUUGCACCUCUCCCCUUUGUUGAAAUCUCCCACAGAGAUCAUCUGAUCACAACCUGGCAACGCUCCCAUGGUAAGUGGGAAACCCUCAUGGAUCGAGGGGUGGACUCCAGGCGUUUGGCGAGGAUGAGAGUGAUGUGGCUGAUGAAGCGUGUGCGAUUGUUGUGCUUGACCGUGGAUUUGCAUUGAUCUCUGCAAAUCUAGACCUCCAUAUGCAGGAUUACCUGGGAUCAUACCUCCUUGUGACAUAUUUCCUUCCAUUGCUUUACCCAAACAACAAUUAAUCAAGACACGCGAGCUUAUCUCACAUAAAACCCUAUUUUAUAAAUUUUUCAAGCGAGCAUAGCCAUCUGCCAACGCAAAUUCAUUUACCCUGAGGGCCAAAACGAAGCAAACCCAUCUUUUUCCUCACCCAGCUCAAGCAAAUUCUACUCACUCUUUGGGAUCCUUCUGACAGUUCCCAGAUCCUCAAGCAAGCACCUUUCCCAUCACAGAAACAUUAAUCCAGCCACUACAACACGAAUCCCACAAAAUCUCCUGGAUCAAGCCUAACCAGACCAAACUGCAGCUCACCUCUCAAACAAACCCAGCACUAAAAAUCACCACAGGUUGAACCCAAAAGAAAACACACACACCCAAGACGCAACUCCUGAAGAUUCAAUCCAAAAUGUCGUUCGCCAGAGAGAAAGGGACGACGGACUUAUCUGGGCAGAACCCUGCACAGAGCUUCGCCACCCUCGACGGCAGCGCCAAAAAAAGUCCCUCCCAGAAAAAAAGGCGAGGAACCCACAACGCUUACGGGCGCCCCCACAAAAACCCAAGACCCGUCUGGCCUCAGCGGCUCAAAAGGAGAGAGCUUUUUGAAGGGGGGGAAAAACAGAGAAGCGUGUGCCCGAAAAACCGAAUAAAAAUCCGGCCUUUAUAUCAAUGCGACUGCAGUCUGCAAGUGGGUUCUUGUCUUUUUCUAAUUACUUAAUUAUCUUUUUCCUCCCAUCCGCGUUUGCGUUGCGCAUCGAUGAAUUUUUUUAUGGGGGAAAAAGGCUCCUUUUUUUGCAGGUUCAGUGAAUGAAGAAAGAUCCGUUGGCCCCACGGUCGGACGUCCAAAUCAAGAUUCGAAAGAUCGAUAGAGAAACUCCAAAGGCCAAAUCCUACGUCGAACCGAAGCGUAUUCUAUCGACAUCGUCGCAGCGUAAUGACAAACAAGAACAAUAAUUGACGACUUGGGGAGGAAUAAACUUUGAGGAGAAAUGGUUGCUUUCUCACAUAGUAUUGGAAGUGGAACAGCCAUUAGCUGGGGAAAAGGAGCAAUUUGCAGUAGAUUAGUAUAUUUCUAUGUCAGCAACUUGGCCUCCCAAGUGGGGGGUUUUGAUAUUGUUUUGUGAUUAGCUGGUGCUUAGAUAAUAAACUAUUUAUUUGGUUAUAAAAUAACGUUGUUCAGAGUGUGGUCGAGGGCCGAACUUAUCAGUUUUGAGAAAUUCUUGAUCCAAACUUAUACCGAACCAACAAAAUUUGAGCUCAAAUCAAAUCGAUAAAUUUGGUUUGCUAUGGGUUUGGUUCGAUUUCAGACCGUUAUCAUCGAACCAAUUUGUAUGUAGGAAAUUUAAUAGAUAUUUGGGCUUUAUUUGUUUUGUAUAAAAGGAAUAAUUUUAAAAAGAAUUCCUUGAAAUGAUCGUUUGUAUGAUUUAUAAAAAUGAGUUAACGAGAAAUAUUUUUCUCUUUCAUGAAAAUUUUUAGACAUAAAUUAUUAUUGAUAAUAAAAACAUAUUUUAUUGAUUAAUUAUUUCAAUUAAUUAUUUUUAAGAAAAUAUUUUUUAAAUCGUUUAUUUUCCGUGAAACAAACAUAAUUUUAGAUUAUCUAACUUCAACUUGAGAUGGAAAUUAAUAAAAAUGCACCUAUUUCCACACGCUUAUUGAAAAAGGGGCUAUAAUCAUAACUAAAUAUGAUAAAAUUAUCUAUAUAUUGAAAAAAAUUAUGGAAGAGAACUCUUGCAUAAGUAUUAUGAGAUGAGAAAUCAAUCAAUAAUAACUGACUUGAGAAGUAGAAAUCAUUUAUCUGAUAGAAUAGAAGAAAUCUUGCGGAUAGGGAUAAUUCAUUUAAUUAGGCUGAAUUUCAAAUUUUUUUAGUCAAAAAGGAGGCAGAAAAAUAUUCAACUCAUCAGUUGAGCUCGAUCAUAUCAAUUUCCAUUGUUAUAAAACCAAACCAACCUAACAAACGGAGAAGAAAAGUCUCAACCAAAACCAAACCGACCAAUCCAUAAACUGCACUUUUCAAUUGGUCUCGGUUUGGUUCGGUUUAUUGGAAUUUAGUUUUCCAAAAAACACCCCUAAUUAGCAAUGCUUUCGUCGUUCAUUUUGGUGGUCCAUCUAUUCGUGGCUGUGGAGUCAAAUCUGAAUACCCGUGAUCGCCCUUGUCAAGGGUUUCAUCAAGAAAAAACCAAGAGAAAGGGCGUACUCUCGCGGAAAAGUUCAUAUGGAAAGUUCAUGCACGUGGCUGGGAAUAUUGAGAUUAGGGUCCCCUCACCUUGUCCUUUGUCUCUUUAGGUUUCGUUUCUCCCGUCCUCCCGUUUUUUUGGGUAAACAAGUCCAAGAUCACGACGCGCGUUUUCCCCUCUCUUUUUGAAAUUGGGGACAAGUAGGUGUCCUGGAAAAUACGAUAUAGCGAACACAUGUCAUGUGAUUCAGAACGAGAGCUGAAUUGCCGAUUCAACAUGUGUCGAAUAGCCUGAAUCGACGAAUUCCAAAAAAGCAGCUUUGACCCAAGAAAGUUCCUAAGACCACGCAAAUUUCGCUGGUACCACAGGAGACCAGCCUCCCAGAGUCAACAAAUGAUAAAAGUAAAAACAAUCCGGCAGACUAGAUCUAAUGUUCCUUAUUAACAGUUCCCCAAGAGGCCGAAAAAUUGGCUAGUUAUCCACCAAGCUACAUAAAAAUUAAUGGUACAUAGAGAUUCGUCCCAUAAGAAUCAAUAUGUCCUGGCUUUCCCUUUGAUAAGAAACAAUCGGAAUUAGAGAGAUACAUCGGUACACACAGUAAAGGAAGGGAAUGGAUAUACUUGAGACCAAAAAAGAAAGUAUUAAACGUCCCGAUUUUAACAUGCCCAAACGAUUACCCUCCGCUUGUCAAUCACUGCGUCGGCACAAUCUUACACGCAUUUCAAAUGCCAUCCCACCGCUUUUUAGUUCCUAUGAAGCACACGAGCCAUGUCAAGCCAAAUUGAAUGCUUAAUUGACCUUCACACGAUGCUUGGAGGAUCCCCAACCCAGUUACAAACAGCACGAGGCCACCGAGUGCGUAUGCAGUCCACAAGGGGUGCAUGCUGAGGAGGCUCUUGUUUAGCCACUUCAGCAUCCUUUGCGCUCGACUGAUCCCCACCUGAGCCAGAGGGCGCUGCUGCCAUGAAUUCUUCAGGGGUCCAUCGCGGCGGGACAGAAACUCUCAAUUUAGUAAGUCUAGGCCUUUGAACUGGAGCCUCAUUUCCCAAGUUUGCUUGGCCAUUCAAAUCCGACUUUGCAAUUCCAUUGAAAUGGUAAAGAUCAAAUACCUUUUUGCCCAUCAAUCCUGAGGAGUCCUUUAGACCUCCCAUACUGCUGUCUAGAUCUAAUAUGGCCUGCCAAAAUUCACUCCACACAAUAAAGCCGGAGCUGCAAAGUUGAUCAACUUUUUCAGAAGUAAGCCUGAUGUCAGUUUCCCUUAAUACUUGAUGGAAUCCUUCCACACCAAUAAAACCACCCCCUCCACUCUGAUCUUGUGCAUCAAAAGCCCUCCGAAUCUGCGAUUCCCUUUCUUCUAGUUCAUUCUCUUCCUGAACAACUGUAUCAAGAGCAAAUAGGACUGUGUAAUGGGACUCACUUCCAACAACCCAUAUAGGCCAGAUUGGGCACUUCAAAUGCUGCCCAACCUUGCAAAAGUUAAGUGAUUCUAACAGAGUCAGAAACCCAACUUCCACGCUUGUUGAUACGCCCUUUAGGAACAUACCACCACCUAGAUCCAUCCUCCCAUCGAAAACGUUGGGCACAGCCUGCCCGCAGAGGAGCAGGUUCACAAUUUCCUGUCCCAAGACAAUCGUAAGUUUGCAUCAAAAUUUUCUCUGCAUCUUCAUUAUAUACCAUUUGCACAGUAAAUAAGAUACAAGGUAUUUCUCAGAAGCAUCGCAACUCUUGAACCACCCAAACAAUAAAUUUUUGAUGCAAUGAUAGUUACCUGCGACGCAUGGCCAAAUGGUGCAGUUACCAGAGGAAGACUGGGAUCAUCUCUGUCAGCUUGAACAGCAUCCUGCAAUUACAGAAUGCCUCAACACCAUUAUUUCCUCUGUUUGAUCAUCAUCAUCAACUACAUUUCCUCACACAUUAGUUUUUCCAAUGGAUCAAAUUUCAUUUUUUAGAUCAUCAGUUAUUAUCCCAGCAUCCUUUCUGUGGCCUAGCAAGAUGGCAUGAUUUUAAAGUUUUGACUUAUGUAAAUAUUUGAUCACUUUCUGAAUUCUGACUUUUGGGCAAAUAAAGAAUAAUUAAUAAUAAAAAAAAUCAUUCUGACGAAUGGCAGGAUAAUGACACAAGCAGUAUUGUACUAAUAUUGAGAGGAAUCAUAGAACUUAGGCAGCCAAAAGAAAGGGAAAUAGAGCUGCUCCUCCUGGCUCGUGGAAAAAGGGUUUCGCGUUGAAGGCAAGAUACCAUGACUUCGCUAUACAUUCUAUUAACAUGGUCAAUAAAAAUGGAACAUUGGCUGUAUCAGAAAUGUGUUUUAACUUCUAAAGAUACACUGUUAAAUAUUUUAUCUCUCAAAGAAAAACUAAGAUUUGGACAGCAAACAAAGUAAAUUGAAGUAAACAUGAGUAUUUUUUUUUGGUAAGGAAGUAGACAUGAAUAUUUGUAAACUAGUAUUUGACAAGCUUGCCGGAUGACUAGAAAGGGGAACGGUAUCAUACCAGUCCCCGAGAAAGUAACGCAGAGAUAAGAAAUAGCAGUGCCCCCAUUCGACUUUGAAAAACAGGAAGUGUUGCUUCAAGCCUCUGAAAAACAGUAGCUUGCACACUAUAAGUCUCAACUCUUAGAAUACUCUGCAAAUCAGAAGCUGAUUCUAUCGAAAGUCCCUCCAGAGCUUUGAUAAUACUCUAAGCAACAAAAAAUAAUGGUAAUUAGUUUAAUCAGUUUGAAAAGGAACUUCUGAAAGCAAGUGAAAUGGUCAGAAAAUAGUCAGAACCUAUGUAUUACUGCCUUUAAAGUAUACAUGAAACACCAAACUAUCGCCUACCUCAUCCUUUGAACCAUCUGCAGCCCCCUCAAGUUCUUUACCAGUAACACUUAAAGUGGCAAUAACCGCCCUUUUAUUACUUCCACAGUGAAAUAAAAUCUCACUCAUACUUCUUAUCAAUGCCCUGUCAUUGAUAUUAAAAAAAAGAAAAGAUAUUGCUAGUGAGCUCAAUUAAUGAAUAUUGCAACUUGCAUAUCAAAGUAGCACAGCCAAUGGAAACAGAUUAAGCAGAGAAAACAACAACCAACCUCUAAGACAAACAACCUUCCGACCAACAACAUACUGCAUGUAACCAUCUUAAGGCUCAAAAAAAUAUUUAAAGUAGCUGCAUCAUUUCUACUAGAUAAUUCGUAUAGUAAAACGGGUUUUGCAAAAUUGGGGUAAACCAAUUACAAGUAUUUGGUUUGCAACGACUCAAAAUCAGUCCUUGUCAGAAUAUAUUUGGAAAUUUUCUAGUGCUGAAGGGCAUCGGUCUAAAUCCAAUAGAUCAUAAUGACUAGUAAACCUAGGCAAGAGGAAGUCUCCAAGUGGUACCUUAUAAGUUAUUCAUCAUCAAUGCCCAAAACCUGUCUUUACCCUAUCAAUGCAACUGAGAAAUUGACCAAGUAAAUAGCAAAAUCAUUUAUGUAAUAAAUAUAUGUCCGGGAUUUACUUUUAUCACAUGUUAAUCAACAAAAUUAGUUUACCAUCAUCACAUGUCCAGGUUAUGGUUUGGGAGCAGAAUCAUUCCAUUGCAUUCCCCAUACUUUUCCAACUUUUCAAAAUUUUUGGCAUUCUCUACACAUGCCAAUCAAUAUAAUAAAAAAUACAAGCAACAAGAGAGCAGUAAUUGAAAGAGACUGCCGAUAGCUUACAGAACUAAAAGAAUAAUGAUAUAACCAUUCUCUUUCCUUGGGUAAAGAACAAUGAAAAUAGUCAUAUUCAACCAUAUGCAGAGAAAAAUCAACCAAAAAAACUAAAAAUGAUUGCUGAUGCGGAAGACGUACUCAACCCAACUAAAAAAAAAUGAGGAAGUAAUUACGGCUAACAGAAUCAUUCACUAACAUUAGGCAACAAGUAUAGGCAGAAACAAACCAAAAGGAAGGCAACAACCAAGAAAACAAUCAACUCCCUAUAGAUUAAUUACCUUAAUUUUUCAUUGUCUGUAAGUGAGGCAAAAUUAUCUGAACCUUGAAAUUGUCUUCGAGAUGAUGCUUUUGUACCAUGGAAUGGUGAAAUAGUCGAUGCACCUUUACGGAAAUCGUCCGGAAAGAAAAGAAGAUACUUGAGAACAAAAGCCUACACAAGCAAACUUUUAUUAUUGUAAACAACAUUAGUAAAAGAAUACAACAUGAUCCUAAAAGCAGACAAUAAAACCAAAUAGAUGGGCACUAAAAUGUCAACAUAGCCAUAACCCUGUUGCAGAUACCAUCUCAAAUAAGUGAUCACAAAAUGCAUCCACCAUGCAACAACACAUUGCCGGUAUCAACCCCAUUGAAUUUAUUCACCACCAAACCCACAAUCAAUAAAAUAUUACGACUAAAAGCAUAUAAUGAUGGAUGCCGGAUAGAUUAUAACUUCUUUUCUUGAACUGCCAAAUUGUAAGGUUAACAUGUAGUGAAUGCAUUCACUGACAAAAUGAUUGGUUAUUUUUGUUGUCUUCAUAUUGUUAUUUGUUUGCUGCAUUGCAAACUCAACAAUAAUCUGUAGUGCCUGCCUUCCAAUAGAUCAUAGUGAUGAAAGCUGCAUUCAAGAUAUUUACCCUCUUCCUAUAUAAAUUCAAGACAUACUCUUCGAUGAUGUCCUAAUAUUCAAGAAAAAACCAUAAACAAAGCCAUCAGGAUCUGGACCUAUAUUUUCGCCGCGUUCAGACAGCAUAUGUCAUCCAGUGGUUGCCUUAUCUAGAAUGUUGGAGUAAGAAGAUGUCUAAGGAGACUCUUAUGAUCCGGCUCAAUUCCGUUAAAAAGCACCAAUUUUAGGUUAGGCCUCAAUUCUGGCCCAAAUUUUUUUUUUCUCACAACAAAGCCCCUACUUUAGGUUGGGUUCCGAUUCUAGCCCAAACACUUUUUUUUUUGGCUCAUAAAAAAACACAAACUUCAAUCAAUAUCCAAAUCUAUUUUUUGUCUAAAAAAAUGACAAACUUUCAGUCAAUAUCCAAAUCUUACCCUUCAAGUUUCCAUCUAAUGAUCCCGUUAAAGACUGGACGUAUCCUUCCACGUGUAAGACGAGAGAUAAAUGAUUUUGUCGGAUUUUUAAGGGCAUUAUUGGAUGGAACUUGUGGAGGCCAGAAUUGGGUAUUGACUAAAAAUUGGUGGUUUUUCAUGUGACAAAAAAAUUUCAAGCUAGAAUUAGUAUUAGACCUAAAAAUUAGUGCUCUUUUAUGCACUAUAAAAAGUUCAGAUCAGAAUUGAGACCUAAAGUUGAUGCUUUUUAAUGAGAUAAAAAGGAAGUUCAAGCCAUAAUUAGGACCUGACCUAAAGUUGAUUUUUUUUAAGGGAAUUGGACCCUUCAGAUCCACAUAGACAUGCUUCAGAUUUCUAGGAGUAAAAAACACAGAAGAUUCUGAAAGGCGUACUUGCUAAGAACUUAUCAGCAAAACUGGUUCAAAAACCAACAACCUUGUAUCUCCAUGAUCUGUGUGUGAAAAUUAUAAAACCUAAAUGUAACAAACACAAUAUACAUCUUAAAAUAGCAAUGUGCUAUGUUGAGAAAACAAGGCAUUACUUGUACAGCUGCUAAGACACCGCAGGGCCCACCUUCAUGCUGCACUAAGCCCAUAGAUGUUUCUGGAUCAGGGCUGAACCUGAAGUGAGGGUUUGAUGGUAUAAAUGCUAGGAAUAUAAGAUCUUUAAAAUAAAUCAACAUCACAAGUUUUACAAGCAGCAUAGAUGAUGCAAAUGUAGUGAGCAGACAGGAAAAUCAAUGAAAAAAACUACUCUAUACAAAAGGUGAAAAGAACAUGGAGGCCAAUGAGACUCCGCACAAAUGAGAGCAGUCAAUUUCACUAGGAUCACCAUGCAUCUAGUACAUCACUUGAUUGCUCAGGCAUAAUCAACAAAAGAAGAGGCCCCGACAUUUACAAGUUGAUUCUCGUUUCCACUAGAUGUCUCCCUUCACUCCAAAUUAGAUAAAAGGAAUUGUAAAACAAGUUUUUUAAAAGCAGGUGAUCAGGCACAUCAACAUGGAUUGCUAACUGGAGUCAACAAUGGAUGCAUUCAAACAUCCAUUUACCACUAUGAUUCCUCUCUUUCUUCCAGGUACAUACCAAAACAAACUCACUCUACUUUUUAUCCCCUUGACAUCACAUGAAGCAUAAGUAGAGCAGGUAACUCACAAACUAACUGCAGCAUGGCAGCAGCAAAAACAAAGAGAUGCAAUUGACAUCCAGCCUUUAAAAGAGUAUCCAUUAGUUUUCACCCAUAUACCUGACAUUUAGUUCACAAACCAACUAGCGAUAUUUAUUUUAUUUUAUUGCUGAAUGAAAAAAAAGACAUGCAAAUAAAAGCAGAAGAAAAACAAUUUUCAAUUAUCUGCAAUGGGUCCAAAAGGAAUCUUUAAAAGCACAUUGCCUCUAUUUCUUUAACCACAGAUUUGACAAGGUGUAAUCAACAUGAGGAUCUUCUUCAAAGCAAAUGAUGCAUGUGCACCAACUCAGGGCAUAUCACUUUCUAAAUUCACUUCCAGUGCAAUCGCUAUGAUGCCUUUCUUACUUCUAAAGACAUCAUAAAACUAUCCGAGUGGACUUUAUGUUGCCUUAUCGACCUCAAAGAAAGAGUGAGCAAAUGACAAACAUUAACCAUGGCUCCAAAGAAACCACAAGAAAUGCAUAUAUAUUAAACUUCCAAAAUCUAAACAAUCAUUUAGUCGCUCUGUUUAAUCAUAAGCUUACUCCAUGCUCAGCUCAUGAACCAAAUGCCAAAACAUAUAUGCAAAAAUUGACAAAGGAAUCCCAAUAAAUAAUACCAAUUCCAACUCAGUUACAUAACCAUUUUGAGAAUUUGAACAAUUCAACUGGUUCAAUUCAUAGAUUUGUAUUCAUAGAACCGGCACAAUGCCUAAUUACAUUGAAUCGCGAGAAUUUUGUUACGGGUUCCUGGGAUUAACUAUGAUAUAUAGCACAGAACAAUCAGAAAAAAGCAAUUUAACACAUUUCAGUUGCCCGCAUGCCAUACCUUAUCCCUUGAUUACUCCACUGCGCGAGAAUUCCUUUCGAAACAUCGCUUCCGAAAACCAUAGAGAACAACUGACAUGCUUCUUCACUCGACAGCCCUCUCCCAGUUCGCCCAUCAUCCACUCCGGCUCCCCCCUCCCUUUGCGGGAGAGGCUUAGACUUCUCAUUAUUCGGUGCCAACAACGGCGCCGGCGACUGAGACUGAGCAGGCGACGGAGAUGGAGCAGGCGACGGCGCCCCCCCGGCGCCCCUGGAGGCCAGCAUCCUCUUCUCGGCCGCAGCAGCCAUGAGCUCCCUCUGCAUCCGGCGCCCGUCCUCCGGCGACGACGACGAGGACGCCGCCACCGCCGCCGCCACCGCAGCGCCGCCCCCGGCGGCGGCAUCCCUCGGCUUGCUCCGCUUGGGCUCCGGCGGCGAGGGCUGCAUGCUGAGGCGCAGCGCCAUCUUCAGGUCCUCCUCCUCCUGAUCCGCCAUCUCCGAACGAACGCACGCCCGCCCGCCCCGGCGCGGGACAAAAAGAGGGGGAAGAGGAAAUCUCGAGAAAGAGCGAGUAAGGUCGGAUUAGGGUUUUCCCCCCACGGGGGCUCCCGCUACUCCAUCCGUGGCUCCGCCGUCGGAUCGGCCGCUGGCCUUGCCGGAGAUCGACGCGGAGAUCGGCGGCGGCGGCGGCGGAAUCAAAGAGGUGGAGGGGGUGGGGAUCGAAAGCUUCCGAUUGAGGACUCGGAAUCCGCUCCGAUUUAAAACCUUUCAGCGACAGGAUCGUCGGGGAAGAAAGGAAUCUCCCUGUUCUUUCAUUUCUCUCUCUCUCUCUCGGUGCCAGCCGCUGGAGGAAAAAACGCCGUCGUUUCGCCCGAGGCAAACGGUAGCUGUGAAAAGAAGUCUAUAAUUAUUAUUACUUAUUUUGAAACAUAGUGACUAAUUUUUUUUUUUUAUGAAUAGAAAUGAAAAUAUUGAUCCGCGAAAUCAAUAAUCAAUGUCAUUUUUAAGCAAUAAAAUAACAAUUAAAAUAUGUCGGGUUUCAAAAAGGAUAGAUUUCUUGGAAUUAAAAAUCAACGGAACCACAAGAAAUUAAUUUUAACAAUAUAGUUAUAAAAAGUAAUUUCAUAAUAGGUUUUUUGGCGAAAUUAAGAUCAAAGUUGCAUGGACCGAUUCACGAGCAAGAGAGACGCCUCUUUCAUGUCUCCGUUUGCAUGUAAUAAGGUUUAUCGAUGACAAAAAAGAUGUGUAUUGUAAUCGUUAAUUUUUCUCAUUUUUGUGGAAGGUCACGUAAAAGGAAAAUGCAGAUUUGAUGCCUUUUAUAGAAUUAGAUUGAACCAGUGUCUAAUGCUGAUAUAAAACCUCUUAUAAAUAUUGAAAGGGCAUUCAAAUCCUAUUAUUCUGGCCAAAAAGGAAAAUGCAAAUAAUGCAUUUUUCAAUUUUCGUCUACAAUAGUUUUUUUCUCUCUCUCGCUCUCCACCUUUUACUUUUCUUCUUUUUCUUAUUUAUUUUAUUCCACCAUUUUCCUGUCCCCCUUCCUCUCCGCUUCUUCCUUCUUCCCCGUCGAACUCGAUUCGCUCGACGGAUCUCCUCCCGACCCGUUCAACCCGAAGCGAGCGAAGAUCUCCUCGCCGCGCCUCCGAUUGCCGCCGCAGCCGCCGCCGGAAUGUCGAGCGACAGCGACGACCUCGACGAGGACGAGCUCCUCCAGAUCGCCCUCAAGGAGCAGGCGGAGCGCGAUCUCAGCUACAAGAAGCCCGGCCCCACCCCCCGCCGGCCGGUCGCGAAUUACGUCCAGCCGCCCCCCGCGCCCCACCAGCAGAGGAGCCACGCCCCUGCCGCCGCCGCCGCGCCGCCGCCGCCCGCGAGGGCGAGCUACAACGGCGGCGCGCAGCGGCAGGUCGGGGUCGGCGGCGGCGGCAAGGGCAAGGGCGGCAGCAGUGGGAAUAGGAGGGUGGUCGACGACGACGACGAUUCGGAGGUUGAGAUGCUGAGUAUAUCGAGCGGGGACGAGGAUUCUGCUAAGGAUCGCGCGGGGUCGAGGCCCAGAGGUGGCGCGAGUGGUGGUUCUAGGACCGGUAGGGACGAUGACAGAGCGUGGGAUGGCGAAGAACCUGAUUGCUGGAAGCGCGUGGACGAAGACGAGGUGAGUUCGAGAUGGUAAACCUUAAUUAUCCGGCCUUGCAGCGAUUCUGAAUGAUAGCAGAAGCUAUUAAACUGAAUGUUAUGUCGAUGUCUUGUUAUCUUCUGUUUCUUGUUCUGUAAAGAGAACGAAGUCACGUGUGAUUUUUUGCUACAAAAUGAUUGUUUUGGGUUAAAUUCUUGUCCCUAACUGCCAAGGUUCUCAGAAUUAUAGAAAUGGUGAUUCGGUCUUCAGUUGAAAGUUGCUCUUUUCCGACAGCUUGCUCGAAGGGUUCGUGAUAUGCGGGAAACAAGGGCAGCACCUGUAGCACAAAAACUGGAAAAGAAAGCAUCGGUAGUGGGUAUUAAGGGGCUGAACACUUUGCAGUCUUUCCCUCGUGGCAUGGAAUGUGUUGACCCCCUUGGUUUGGGGUAAUUUUCUGCUCUCUCUCUCUGCGUGCAAUUGUUCUAGGGCCCUGAGGUGAGCGGCAUUGUGCUCGCUUUAUUCUGGCCUUUUUCCCUGCUGCUUAGUUUUCAUUGUUUUCUCAUGUUAAGCGAGUUGUUGUUUGUAAGACACCAUCAGAGCUCUGCUUCUGUUUUGGAGCGAGCAAAUUCUGUUUGGAUCGCAUUUAAAGGCGAUUCGAACCUGUGUGUUCCUAUUUUUACCUGUACUUAUUUACAGUUUCAUUAAGAAUGAUGAAGCUAUGUAGAUAUUGACUAUCCCAUAGUAUAGAGUUUUGUGAUCUAGUCCUUUGAUUGCUUUUGCCUUUUGCACAUUUUUCCUGACAGGAUAAUAGACAACAAAUCGUUACGGUUAAUUACAGAAUCAUCAGAAAGUUCUCCGUCAAAGAUUGGCAAAGAUAAUGUGGAUAACAUCCUUCGUGGUACUUUUUUAUCUUCAAUCACAUUUUAGUAUGACUAUCUGCUAGUGGAUGCCCUCUUUGGAUGUUGUCCCCUUCCUACAUUCAUAUACAUUGUCCUGCAAACAGCUGACGAUUGACCCAAUAGUGUUCCUUAUUGUAUGCAAGCGCUAGCUUACUCUCUGCAGAACUACUUUACUAAGAAGUCUUUCAUUGACAGUUUUUCUUCAUUAAUGCUCUAGCACAUUUUUUCCUAGAUUUCUCAACCUGACGUCCCUCGUUUUGGGUGUAAAAUGCAUGUUGCAUAACAGAUCUCAGAAAAUUGUGAAAAAAGUAUAGAAAUCUCUAAAACUUCUGUUAAACUAAAAUAUUAGCAAAGUUGUGGACCUUAUGGUUGCAUUUUCAUCGUUGUUAAAUGAUCCUGUCAUAUGAAGUGACUGGAUUCAAGCACAUUUACUCAGCAUAAGGUAACAAAUGACAUUAUGCUUUCAUGUGGAGCUUUCCUUAGGAUGGAUGGUUUUGAAUUUUGAACAUUGGACACUCGAAUGAACUCUUCUCUCCAAUCUAUUUGCUGAAAAUAUUCUCUACUGGUCUAAUAUUUCACUCUACCAACUGUUAAAUAAGGUGAUAUUUUACUUCUAAAUCUCUGAAACCGUUCUACUAAUGUUGCACUAACUAGAAGAGAUCUGUGGAGCGAAGGGGAUGGUUCUUUGACCCUGGUAAAAACUUAAUGGUUUCUUUUUGCUGUUGUCCAUGUAUUUCCAAUCGCUCAGGACAGCUAUAUCCCAGAACUAUUCAUUCACUGGCAUCUUAGCCGAAGAAUGACUAACAGCCUAGCUUCUUCUGGAAAGAAAAACAUAAUUAGACAAAAUGUGCUUCUUUUGUCAGUUUAUAAAUGUAUAGCCAGGUGUUAUGCAUAGAACUCUGCAUAUGAAACUGUUAUUUGCUGUGAAUUCUUUCAGGUGUAGAUUUUCUCUUAUCUAAUUCCAAAUGGGCAUAUCUCCUGUUAUUACUUCUCUUUUGCCAAAUUGAGAUGAACUGAGAGACGUUAAGUAAGAGCUUGGAUAAGUAAACCUAUUAUUAAUUUAUUUGAGAAAAGAAAUGGCCAGUUGGGGUAGUUUGAACAUGUGCGAUUGCUACUUUUAAAUGAUCCAUUGGGAGCAUGUGGUUCUACGAUGGAGAUGCAUGUUAUAAAGGGAUCGGGAAAACCUAAAACGACUUGAAAGGCGAGUACAACAAAAGAUUCCAAGAUGUUGGAUUCACUGCUAAUUUGAUACAUUAACAAGUGGAAUGACGGAAGAGGAUCCCCAUAGUUAACCUUGUUUAGCUUCUGGCCAGAAGAAAAAGGAAACAGUUAGCAGGGUAAACCAUGGUUCUAGGAAGACCUUAUUUCCAACAUUAUUAAUUCUUCAGUUUAUUUGAAAGUUGUUAUCAUAUGGCCUCAACAGAACAACAGCAAUUUGAGCAAUAAUUUGAGCGUGCUUUGAGCUUCUUUCGUAGGCCUUGUCCAAUACUUCCAUCAUGUCGUCUGCGUUUGUCUCCCGCUGGGCAUUUCGCAUAGAUGUCCAGCAGAAUUAGAAGUCUUAUAAAAGUCAGAAGUGGCUUGGUGAAGCAUGCUUUUGUCCAUGUUAUGUAAAAGUAUCUCUUGAAGCAUGAAUAUGAGCUUGCAUGGAUACUACUCAACGAGCCUCGUUGCAAGACUCGUGCUCAUAUUCUUGAGCCCCUCAACAUAUAUUAUAUUUUUCAUGAUUUGCUCCCAGUAGAAGCAAAAAGGCCAUUGCUAAAAAGGAAAAGUCACAUCAUUAGGAUCCUAGUUUAGUAGAGAGUUUGGUGUUUAUGGUAAAUCCGCUUGUCAAGCUUACAAUGCUUUAUUGCUUUACCUGAUCGACUAGUCAUUGCACAGGUGAGACUGCAUGUGUAAAUAUUUUGUGGAUUCAGUAAUCUAUUUCUUGCAUCUUAUUUUUGUUUUGGAAUCUUCAUCGAUUGCUUCUUUUAAGUGUGAGCAAUACUGGUUCUUUGGAGCUGUUUUUUGGAUCUUAAUUUAGUUGCCAUAAUUGACACCAACCCCUUGCAGAGAAGCUGAUGUACUUCUCGGAAAAUUUUGAUGCUAAGAUUUUCUUAUCCCGGAUACACCAAGAUACAAGUGCAGCAGACUUAGAGGGUGGUGCUCUUGCUCUGAAAACUGAUCUUAGAGGAAGGACUCAACAGAGAAAGCAAUUGGUUAAAGAAAACUUUGAUUGCUUUGUCUCAUGCAAAACCACAAUUGAUGGUAUGCGGUGAUCCUGCCCAAUCUGAGGGCCUAUCUCUGAUUCUUUCAAGCUACUAUUUUUGCUGCAGUGGGGAUUAUAUUACUUGUUUAAGUAAUUAUGCCUGCCAAUUUCGUCAGUUUAUUUGAUUUGAUGAGUUAAAUGUUAAUUUUGUUAGACAUUGAGUCGAAACUAAAACGGAUUGAAGAAGACCCUGAAGGCACAGGGACUGCUCACCUAUUUAAUACUAUUCAAGAUGUAAGCUCAUUGGCUAGUCGUGCUUUCGAGCCUCUCUUUGAGAGACAGGUCAGUAGCAACAAUUGCUGCUCAUGCUUUCUGCAUACAUACCCUUCAUUGCGAGAGGUACUAUAAGUGAUCAAUGACUUGUUGAAUUUAAAUAUAGGCUCAAGCUGAGAAAAUUCGUUCUGUCCAAGGAAUGCUUCAAAGAUUUCGAACUCUGUUCAACUUGCCUAGUACAAUUCGUGGAAGCAUCAGUAAGGGAGAGUACGACUUGGCAGUUAGGGAAUACAAGAAGGCGAAGUCAAUUGCUCUACCAUCUCAUGUAAGAUUUUUAUGGAGCCUUGUUAUAUUGCCGGGACUGAUCCACUCUCUAGUUGGGUGGUCUUUUAGUAAAAUGCAAGUUCUGCAACUAGGAUGAAAUGUGUGUGGAUCUCUUCUUUAUCAUUUAGCUGCACCAGUGUUGUGACAUUCUUUGGAGAAUGGUUCUCAUGAAAGAUUAAGGAAGCAAUGGAACAUUAUUACCAUAGCCUCAGCUCUGCUGACUGAGAAGUUUUGCACUUUAGAAUUGUUGUAGCAGAUGGACAACAUCUCCCCUAUGCAUAAGUUUUUCUCCCUGUAGGGUGGCCUCCUAGGUGGAUAUAAAAUCAAUCUGGAGUAUCGGCAUUUUUCGGGGCAUCAAACUGGGUGUCUAAAGAAAAGAGGGUACGCCAGGCAGUCAUCAUGAGAAAAUCUAAAAGAACAAAAGUACGAGUUUGCUGUAUCUGAAAAUGAGAGAGACAACUUUAUUUUUGUAAUGGUUGAGUGAGGAACUCUUGAGAACGAUUUUAGUUUCUCCCUUAUAAAAAUGUCCUUGUUCCUUUAAUAAGGAGAAAAUGGUAGUUGGGAUAAAUAAUAAAGUACUUUGUGGUAUACUUAACAAAAGUUUGAAGUGCAUAAAUAUCUUGUUUGUUUACUUGUGGUGCAACUUUUGACCAAGAUCUCCACCCCCCCCCCAAAAAAAAAUCCUCCUUCUGCCCUCACAAUAUAAUUAAACUUGGAAGUGCUCUUGCAAGCUGCUUUUUCAUUAAAAAGUGACUUCUGUGGGUUGUCUUUUUCCCCCUUAAGGGAAAUGAAAAGAGUCCCCUGCAUCAAAGUCUUGGUAGAGCCCGAUUUAGUGACAAGAUGUUGUCUCCAUCCAUUUUGGCUGCGUCUUGUUACCAGUCCAUUUAAGGUCAUAUAAUGUAUAAACGGGACAAUAUCAUAAUGUGGUUCUAUAACAAAUAAAUUGGCUACAAACCAAAGAUAUGCAGCUUUAGCCUAUUUGACUUGUUCUUUUGUGGUCUUGAAUGACUUCCUUUCUUUAAUAAAACCAUAUCUCAUCUUCAAUGCCUACAGGUGGGAAUACUAAAACGUGUACUUGAAGAGGUUGAAAAAGUGAUGCAGGAGUUCAAAGGUACACUGUACAAAUCUAUGGAAGACCCUCACAUUGAUUUAGCAAAUGUAAGUUCCUCUUCUGUCGUUUUAUCUUUAAUUCUAUUUUUCCCAAGUAAGAAGCUGUAAACUCAAGUGAGGAUGGUAAAUAACAUGCAUACUUGGCUUCUGCAUUUCCUUGCAACUGAUAUGUACUGGAAAGUAAAAAAAGGUUGUUUCUUUGUAGUCAUAGUUAGAAAAUAGAGAAAUGCAGCUCUUCUCAGAUUAGUGUGAUUGGUAGAAAAAAAUGUUGGUCGGUAUAAAGGACUUCCUCUGAAACAAGGCUGUCUUAUUUUGGUAUCAACAUAGUCAAAUGACAUACCAAUCAGAAAAAAAAAACAUAGUCAAAAGACAUGCUCAAUGAUGCCUCUAUACGUUCGUCAGGUACCAUGAUCAUUUAACCGCUGCCUGAAAAGAAAAAAAUCCUUCAUAGUGUCAUUCACCUUGCUAGGGAAUGACAAUUUUGGCUUAAAUAUGGCAGAAUAGCCAAAAAUAUGACGUGUAGUCUAGCCAGCUCGUCUGGUAGUGAGCUUAGUUCAGUUGGCUUAUCAUUGUAAUUUCUACUAUGUAGAGAUCAUGGGAGUGAAGUGAUUAUGGAUCUGGGAACAUACAGUCGCAAGGCCAAGUUUGGCUGAUGGUUCUCUCAGCUGUGGGAAUAUUUAAGCUAUUUCAAUUGCUCCUUGUUUAAGCUCAGAUGGGAUUUUCCCAGAGGUCAUAGAGGGUUGUGUCCUCCCAUCCCUUGUGUCAUAUGAACAUGUGCCUUCGUUAGGGAAACUACUAUAAGACUAGUGUGAUGAACAGGUUGAAAUUAUUGUUUUCAAAUUUUCAGCUUGAAGUUAUCUACAUAAAUGAACGUUGUUCUAAGUUUUUCAUUAAUUAAAUGAUCCACUUCAUAUAAAUAAUAUCAAUAUGAAGGCCGCGUUAAUUGUUGGGGCAUAAUUUUGGAAUCACUAUGUUUGUUUCAGUCAUAGAAACAAUUAAUCAAUUUCAUUUGUUUUUUGUUCACAGCCUGAUUUUUUUUGUUUUUUUGUCAUGGAGGAUGACAUGCUUGUUUACUCAGUUUUCAAAUAAUAUGUAUUACUGAAUAAACCAAAAAUAACUCAGAUAUUAUUUUGUUUUAUUGUAUUUAUUUAAUUUUAAAUGCAUGUCAUUUUUCUAUCCCAAACACAGUGAAUUCGAAGAUUUAAAGUUACACAACAAGAAUAAUUGAGUAGUAUCUAUAUGAGCAUUGAAUAAUUUAUGUGUAAGAAAGAGUACUGAUUCUGGAGAAGUUAAUCGGUAAUGUGCUCUUGUGGUCACUCCAUGUGGUGUGGUCACGUGAAUACAUCACCUACUUAUACAGAUUAUCGAUUUUCAUUUUGUUACUAAAUUAAAUUAAAUAAGAAAUCACAUAUUGCUGUUUUAAAGUACUUGCUGUGGCUUUUAUCCACAUGUUUUGAUUGGACAAGAAAAAGGCAAUUAAAUUUUUCCUACCAUGUCUUUUGCCUUUAGGAAUAGAAAAGACUUUGAUAGUAGCAAUCAUCAGCUGAUACUUUUGGAACUUUUUAAGCUUGUCUUUUGCUGCGUUAUGCAAAUCACUUUGUUCUUUAAGGUGUUGGUCUUUUGAUUGGUUUGCUCUUGGCUGAUGGCUUGUAAUGUUUUUUGUAGCUUGAAAACACAGUAAGGUUGUUGCUAGAGCUGGAACCGGAAUCUGACCCUGUAUGGCAUCAUUUGAAUAUCCAGGUUUGUAGAUUUAUGUCCUUGUCAGAAUGUGAUUUUCCUUUUAUGGAAAUUGUAAGCAUUAUCUAUUAAUGAUUUUCUUGUGAACUCAAAGACGAUAAUUCAGCUUGACUUGCCGAGGUUAUGAACUCUGGAGAUUCUUUUUCUGCCCAUCCUUAAGGGUCUCUGCUAGCCAUUUAUCAACAGGGCUGAUGAAACUUUCCAAUCCCCUUAUGUAGCCAAAACAAAACAAUAAAUAAAGAGCAUGAAUAAGAGGGAAUCAACAAUUGGGCACUUUCUGAUUAGAUUUAUCCUUCCAUAUCUCUAGAAAAGUGAACUCUUCCCCCUCAACAGCACUAUUUCUGACUUUUCCAGAAUCAAAGAAUUCGGGGUUUGCUAGAGAAGUGCUCCUUAGACCAUGAAGCAAGGAGGGAGAAUUUGCAAAACGAGCUGCAUGAAAGGGCUGUUUCUGAUGCAAGAUGGAGGCACAUUCAGCAAAAUCCAAAUGAGCCCGUAAGCUCACAAUCUGAAGUACUAGACUAAUCAUCAUGUUGAAGUGGCAGAGGGAGAUCAUUUAUGUUGCUAAUGAGGAUUUCUUCUUACAGUCAGAUGACAAUAGUCCCAAUCCUGGCAAUAUCAACAUGUUGGUAGAUGCAGAGUCACUAGACAUGGCAGGCGAAGAAGUUGAUGCUCUCAGAGGAAAAUAUAUCCAUAGGUUGACUUCUGUUAUUGUCUAUCAUGUACCAGCAUUCUGGAAAGUAGCUCUUUCUGUUUUCAGCGGGAAAUUUGCAAAGGUAUUCCUUUCUAAUCUUCAGUUGAGAUUCUAUACUUGAUACGGGUCAAUACUUUGCGACAUUCUCAAUUUAGCAGUUUGGCGCUCAAUUUCAGCAUUAUGUCCUCUACGUAUUCUCUGAUAAGAGGAAUCAUACCAGUAUAGAGCUGUCGCAUUAAGUGGGAUGACAGUGUGUAGCUAGUGAGUUUCAGGAUUUAUUUAUAUUUGUAUAUGUCAAGAUUUAAGGAUUGCAAGAGAGAAGGUCACAGAAAGACGACUAAAGUGAUUAUCAAAUAUAAGAGUACAUAAGAUGCUCUAUGUAGAGAGAGUGAAACAUAAAACUGACUACCUUGCUUAAUAACUUUUUUACUAGCUGAUGACUAACACUAUUAAAUAUACUUCAACAGUGUAACAUUUAUCUGAUAGAACUACUUCAGAAUUUGUAAAAUCUGGCAAGUAUAUUGCUAGUUGCGGAUAGCAGUGUGCUUAGGUGAAGGGAAUCCACUCCUGAGUAAGAAAGAAGAGCCCCUUUAGCGAGCUACUUCAAAUUAUUUAAAGUUUUAUCAGAUUGGGUCAUUUUCAGGUUGAAUGUCUCCCACUUGCUUGGGUCAACCACAGGUUGAUCUUCCCCUUUGCUGUUUAUGAUUAUUUACGGUUUCAUGGCAAAGCACAAUUAGAUUAUUUAAUGAGAUAAGGAUACUAUCGCUAUGGCAAUUUCUGGCCAUAAUUACAUUGUUUCCUGGUUUGCUCAUUGCUGAUGUUUGCAUUGGAUGGGCUGUUGGAUUGAAAGCUUGUUUGUGUCGAGUGUCAUUUUGAACAUUCUUGCAUCAGCUUCAGAGUUAGUUUAGAACUCUCAGUUCCUUGUUACGUAACCCUUAUUUUAGGGAGUCCACAACCAGCUGAUUCCUCUAAGACCUUAUUGUGAUUAUUUCUCAGUAGUUGUGCUUUGCCACCAAAAGAGGAAGUGAAUUUUGCUUAGGAGUUAUUAUAUGUUCCCCUUAUGCUCUAUCCCUCUGUUUGUGUCUGUGGGUGGGUGGUGGUUUGGUGGGGGUGGAAUUGACUCUGCAGGUGUAAAAGUAGGCAUGGGUCAUGGUGCAUCCAUGCACACGUCAGUGCAUGUGCUCAUCCAUGUGACAUGGGCAUGUGCGUCAGCAUCCUUGUGUACUUGUUGGCAAUUUAGAAAAGACACUUUGUAAUUUCUCUGUUUGAAUGGACUUGAGAACUGACUUUAUUAUGGUCUUAAUGUCCCAGUCUUCCCAAGUUUCCGCUGAUUCAAACAUAAACAGCACUGGAAAUAAACCCGAGGAAAAGUACUCAAGCCAUUCUCUUGAGGAAGUUGCUGGCAUGAUACGGCAGACCUUAUCAGCCUAUGAAGCAAAGGUAUUUCUUUUGCAUUUUGAUAGUGAAUUUUUGGCAAGUUCCUGGACAUUUUGGACAGACAUCAGCAUUCUAUCCCCUGUUCCGAGAAUGUUAUGUAUUGCAAUGAAUAUUACGUUUUGGAUGAGGCUGAUCUUUAGCUGACAUUUUGAACUCAAUAUUUGAUUAAAUAAAAUAUUCCACACAACUUUCUAAAUUAGAGGAAUGGUUCAGCGAAUUUUUGGCUGCUUUAGGUCCUAUAUUGCUUUACGUAUAUUGGAGGUUGUGAUCUCGUUCUUAUAAUUGUUUGAAGUUGAUUACUUCAUGUAAGUUGAUGUGCAGCUAAACACAUAGAUGUACAUACUCUAUAAAGUUCUUAUGAACAAUCAAUUCUGGUACAAACUUUCUUGUUCAUCAGAAUCUACGUAUUUUAUGUUUAGUUAAAAGUUAUUUUCUUUCUCAGGGUUGUAUUGAUAUUUGAGUCUACUAAAAAAAAUGAUUACUUACGUCGUGCUUACUGUUUACCUAGUGGCAGCUUAUUAAGCAUGAAAUGUUAUCUUGCAUGUGAUAAAAUAUUAUUGAGCAAGGAUUGUUCCCUCCAUAUUGACUUGCAUUGGUGAUAAUGAACUUACAGCUAAAAAAGAAGAAAAUUAUUUAGAACACCGUGAUUCUAUUCUAGUCUUUUAGGCUUGUGCGGCUUAAUGUUAAGAGCUGGUCUGAUAUUGGUGGUGAGCCUAUGUGGCAUCUUUACUUUCAUUGUGGAUUCCCAUUAAUGCAAGACUUGAGAUAUAUAACUUUCUAUUGAGGAAUUAUAUACUUUUGAUUGGGAAUACAAGCUUCUGCUUGAAUGAAAUCUUGACGGGAAUUUUUGCUAUGAAAGCAUCAUUUUGUAAACUCUCUGAUAUUGGCAUUGCUGGCCAUCUUUGGAUUAAAGAAUCAUAUCACCAAAAAGAUGUGACAAGUUAGUUCAGUCGACAAUAAUUCCGAUGAUAACAUAAGAUCCUAAAGGAGUCCUUUGGGAUGAGGCUGGUAGAUUAGAUCAGGUUCAUUUCAAUUUAUGGCUUGAAUGAUCUGUGACUUCCAACGAUGACAGCAUCACCGGUUUGUGGGGAGGAAGGCAUAAGAGCAAGUCCACUUCUAUACUGGAUAGCAUUUAAUUUAACAAUCUAAUUGAUAUAUGAAGAUGCAUGUGGACAUUCGGUCAUGCUGAGAGUACCAGUGGGAGGAAGUUGAAGCCUUAAGGCCCUGGUUGAUUACAUAGACUGGACUUGAGGGAAUGGGAUCUUUCUCCUAAAUUGUUUGGUCACCUGUAAUUAAAGGGAAUGGCAGGUGAAAUUUGGGAAUAAAAAGGGCUCUGUUACCAUAUUUUCAAUCACAUGGAGGAACGUGGGUUAGGGUUGGGAAUAAUUGAGUUGUGAACUCAUAAAAAGGAAAGUUUGCAGAAAGACUAGUAAUAUGAUUUGGAUUUGACAACUUUAUCAGAAGCAUAUUUUGAUUUGGUAAGUAUAUUAAUCUACAUAAACUGUAUGGCAAGUGACAAACAGAAUAUCAUACCAUUUAUAGUUUGCUAUCUGAUUCUGACUUUAUGUCAAACAUGGUGAUUCAGACAUUACUUACCAUUUCAAUUACUCAAUUUCAUUCCUAUUUCUUUCAAUCUAUUCUGCUCAUCUCAUUGUUGCUAACCAAAUGGGGCCUCAAUGGUUUAUGACUAUAGUAAAAAAGUGUACGAAUCCCUUUAUUAAAAAAAAAAAUGUUUUUAUUUAUUUAUUUUAGUGGUGGGACCCGUCAGGGAAAAAAAUUGUUCUGUUGCCUGAUCAUGUUCCUUAUGUCAAUCUUCUAAUGGUACCGACUCUCAGAUUUUACGAAAGGAAUAGCGAGAUCUGCUUCUAGGCUUCUGCUCUUUUUGCUUUGUAAUAUACUUACCAGAACUUUAAUGUACAUUUAGGUUGAACUGCUAUCUCAUUGUGCGCUUUUCAAUGGAAUUGAGCAUUCAUUGUCUGUCCAGGUACAUAACACCUUCCGGGAGCUUGGAGAGUCGAACAUUCUCCGGCCGUACAUGAGUGAUGCUAUAAAUGAAAUAUCUAAAGCAUGCCGAAGUUUUGAAGUUAAAGAAUCAGCUCCUCCUAGUGCUGGUAUUUACCUCCUGAAGCUUCAUUCUGUUGACGUCUCCAAUUACUUGAUAAUCUUUGCUUCUUUGCAGUUUCAGCUCUUCGUGCAUUGCAUUCUGAGAUCACGAAGAUUUACAUAAUAAGGCUAUGCUCAUGGAUGCGGUCAAUGACAGAAGAGGCAUCUAAGGAAGAAACUUGGGUUCCGGUGUCUAUACUUGAAAGAAACAAAUCUCCAUACACGAUCUCCUUCUUGCCUUUGGCAUUCCGUGCCAUUGUGAGUUCAGCAAUGGAUCAGAUAAACAUGUAAGUAAUCUAUUGCACUUCAUGUCAAUGCUUUGGCUUAUACAUAAGCAGCUCAGUACUGUCCUACUCCGAUUAGCCCUUGGUUUGUGGGACUCUUGAUUGCCUUCCUUUGAUUUUGAUGGAAGUUUAUGUGUGUCUGUUUGAGGUGUCAUUUUUCAUUUUCAUUUGAUGAAAGGAAAAGAAUUCUCUCGAGGGGAGAACUUUAUUAUGCUCUAUCCAGAACGUGCUAAAGAGAGAAGUUUAUUGGCCGAACUGGGAACAUCAGUUAUGAGGAAAGAGAAGUUUAUUGGCAGAACUAGGAACAUCAGUUGGGAGGAAUAACAUGACUUGGAUGGAAACAUAGACAAACUGACGGAAUAGUAGCUUUUUUAGAUUGAUAAUGACAGAGAUUCUGUUCAUCUCCAUUUAUAUCUUCCACACGAUACAUUGUAGGUUUGUUCUUUCCAAAUCUUUACUGUUGAAGUGUUUUAAUCAGCACCUGGCUUUGCAGUGUCUUUUAGCUAUGUUGGGCAUAAUGAGACCAUUAUUUUUUUGGCCAUGCUGAUUGAUGUAGUUGGUUACAAGGUCACGCUGGAGGAGAUGAAUUUAUUCACCAUCUUGCUUAGACAUGCGUUAACAAUAGGAUUGUAAUAUUUUUUCCUUCCUAACAUUUUAUUGAUGAGAAUCUGGUUUCUCGCAGCUGUCCCCAGAAUAUAAAAGGGGAACUGGCCUCCAAAUCUGCUUUUGGACUAGUUGAAUAGGUCUAGAAUGAGCCUCAAUUCCUUUAAGUUUCAUUUAGAAGCUACUCUCGGUGUUUUUAUCCAAACUCAAACUUUACUGACAUUUCUACCUUUAAUGCGAACAAAGUAUUGAUAGAAACUUUAAGCUUUCCUUUUACCAGUCUUUAGUGAUUUAAAAUAUUGAGUCCACAUCAUGUUCCAUUUUGAAACAUCAGCUACCAUUUCUUGCUUUCGACAGCAAUAGGAAACAAAUCCUAGAGAGAGAAAUUAACAUCUUCAGCCUGCACGUCUUUACUUUUCUAUUAUUUUUCUAGAGGCUCGACCAAACUUUCCCAUCCACCCUUCUUAAUGCCAUAUGUGAAAUUUUCAUUUCAUAUGCUUUGCUUUUCGUCAACUGACCUCCAAAGUCAUUUUUGCAAGUGAGUCUAAGGGGGAGCAUACGAAAUCCCCGUUGUGAUCCAGAAUAUCCAUCUGCACAACUUCUCCAGAGGAAAUUCCUUGCAAAUUACGUAAUCUGGUGGAGAAGGAUGGGGGAAAUAGGACAAUUUUGGGAAGACUAUACAGUUUUUUGUUCUUUUUUUUUUUUUCCAAUGUAGAAGCAUCCCCUUUUGAUAAAAGAACUUCCAAAUGGUCAUUUUCUGUCCAUCCUCUCAAUUAUGUGUUCUAGUUAAACUGAAAUUACGACAUUUGUUCUUUACCAAAAAAAAGAAAAAAUUAAGACAUUUGAGGUUGGGGUGCUUUUUUUUUUUUGGGGGGGGGGGGGUAAUUCUACUCCAUGUCAAGCAAGCAAUCAAGGGCAGUGAAGGAUCCAUCUUUUUCUCUUUUCCUUUUUAUUGGCAUUCAUGACUUUUUUGUUCCCUCUCAUCCGAGUACCUGAUUUCAAAAGUUCGGUGAAUUAUGUUGGCAUUUCUGCCUUUUAAAAAAAAAGAAAAGGAAAUCUCUACAUUCAUAGUGCAGGCCACCCGCAGUAAUUGUUGUCAUGCCGUUUAGUCCCCUUCUUCUGUCCCAAAGAAGAAGGAUUACAAAUGUGGUAUCAUCUGAGAUGCUGUCUUGACUAAAUGGGUCUUCCCAUUUGACUCCCUCCUAUAGUAGGGAUGAAAUAAGAUGAAACUGCCAAUACACCCUUAGAAUGCGUUUCCGGAAACUGUCAUACAGGAAAAGUACACAUUCACAUUCACCUGUUUCGCUGAGGAUCGCUUGAAAAGUAGUUUAAAUAAAGUAUUAUGUCUGUAUGUGGGGCAAAUCUUUUGCUUUCAUGCACCCAUGAUAAACUGAUCGGUAACAAGCAGACAAAAGCAUGUGUCAUUUUCUUGCAAUUAUUUAAAUGAUUCCACAUGUGCUCUAAAAUAUGCUUUAAAUUGUGUUUAUGGCUUUCCUUUUCAGGAUGAUUCAGUCUGUGAAGAGUGAGGCAGCAAAGUCAGAAGAUAUGCUUGUACAGCUCCAAGAAAUUCUAGAAUCUGUUAGACUUGCAUUUCUGAACUGUUUUCUUGAUUUUGCUGGUAUGGUGAAGGUCAUUGCUCACUUUUCAUACUUCAAAAAUUUACAAGCAUCCUUGUUGGUAAUUGUGAUUUAUUUGCAUGCAUCAACCAGGUCAUCUAGAGCGCAUUGGUGUUGAGCUAGCACAGAACAAAUUAGGCAAAGAGAGUCCCUACUUGCAAAAUGGCUACUCAAAUGAACUGGAAGAAAAUAGCUCGACUGAUCUCCCUGGAAGUGCACAUCAGCGGUUAUUAAUUGUCCUCAGUAAUAUUGGAUAUUGCAAGGAUGAGCUUUCUUACGAGUUGAACAACAAAUACAGACAAAUCUGGCUUCAAUCUACGUAUGUCUUUUGCAUAUUGAAAUAUAAAACAUUAUUGAUAGGUUAUCCUAAAUUGCCUAUGGCAGUAAGUUCAGUGUAAAACCGGAAACAAUUUUAUAUAUGUGCUUAAUCACCCAGAUCAGCUCACAUCUUAAGUGCUAUUAUGUUUGAAAUCAGCCUAUUGAUUAAUUGCAAAAGGUACACAUCAAUAAUCUGGCACAUUGGAUUAUAUUUUACUUGUGAGAAAAGAUGGUUUAUGGGGUAAGUUUUUCAUUGGCACUUCAUAUCCUUCUACUUUUUGAGUGAGGCUUCUCUGCAUUUCCUUAGAUGGAGAAUAAUAUCCUGGUAAUAAAUUAGUCAAUGCACAAAGCAAUGUUCUUUUCUUGCUUUUCUUGGUUUUUAAUAGAACUUCUCUUGCCUUUUUAUAUAUUUUGAAUUAUUUAUGCUAUGGAAAAUACUUAUCUAGUCUUCAUUCAGCGUAAAGGACGAAGGGGACAGUGAUAUACAAGAUUUGGUAAUUUCUUUCUCUGGGCUUGAAGAGAAAAUUCUUGAGCAGUAUACAUUUGCGAAGGUAUUGCUUCACAUUCAUCCAUGGUGAAUCUUUGGAUCCAUUCUUGCGAAUGGGUUUCAUGUGCGUAUUUCUUCGUCUUACUUGGUCGUAGGAACUUUUUUUAAUGUCAAUGUUCAUCCCCAAUGGGACUUUGUAAAUGUGAUAUUGUGACUUAAUGGAAGUGAGGCGAUGUGCAAAUCAAACAUAACAUCAUGAAUCAUGUAAUACUUUUUUCUUGGCAUGUCACCUACCAUAGAAGUGUUUAUUGAUCAGUUACUGAGAAUUUUGGUGUCUCUGCAGGCAAAUUUAAUUAGAGAAGCUGCUGUGAGCUAUUUGUUGGAUUCUGGUGUUCACUGGGGAUCAGCACCUGCAGUCAAAGUGAGGUUUUGAACUAAUAUAGGACAGCCAUUUUCUUAACAUUUUUAUAUGCUAAACUUCUUGUCAAGAUCCAUCUUAAAAUUGGUUGUUACUUUGUAGGGUGUGCGGGAUGCAGCUGUGGAGUUAAUGCACACUCUUGUAGCUGUUCAUGCUGAGGUAUGUUCUGCCUCUCUUAUUAUUGUAUAAUUUUACCCCUCCUUGUUCCCACCUACUCCUUUUCAUGGCUAGUGUUACACUCUCUGAUCUCUUCUACUUUUGUGGUUCAUAAGAUGUGAUCUCUAUGGCCUAGGAAGUCAUAUGGAGUGGCAAUCUCAUCUUGUCGUAUCUGGUACUUGGUUAUCUAUAGUUGCUUCAGUAAAGCUUUUCUUAUUGUAUUUGUUACAACAGGUUUAUGCAGGGGCUAAGCCUCUGUUGGAAAAGAUCCUAGGUGUUCUUGUGGAAGGUUUGGUCGAUACUUUUCUUAGUCUCUUUAGUGAGAACAAAGGCAAAGAACUCAGAUCACUUGAUGCAAAUGGUUUUUGUCAGCUCAUGCUUGAGGUAUGAUUUAUUUUGGAACUGACUGAUGCAAUUUUUGCACUUUAGGCUUGCUGGCUGUUUCUUCGAAUUGUAUUGGGAAAGUCAAGACAUGAAGUUUUGUGACGAUGCAUCAGUUUUUGUUGUUUGUUUCAUUGAAAAUAGUUCUAAGGCAGAUGAAACACUGCUCUCUGUAACAGAUUGUUGCUAACAGUCACCCCAUGGAUGUGCUAAUGCGGUUGCAUCCAAAUAGUUAGGCCGGAGGAGAAUUGGAGUAAAAGGAUAACAAAAUAUGGAGCUUAUGUUCCAAAGCUUGUAUGUUUUCCUAGUACUUGCUUUUGCGUGUGGCCCUUAUACCUAACAUAUCCGCUUUUGCUACCACUUGUUUAGUCCUGGUGGAUUAUGUUACGCUGCAAACCAGUUUGCAGUAUAUUUGUGCAGCAACCUACAACAAUAGUGAUCCAUUACCAAUAUGUAAAUUUGUUUCAUGAUUUUUAACUCUUCUUACAUUUGUUUGUCGUUCUCUCUCUGGUUUGCUCUCUCAUUGUCCAGUAUCUUACAUUUCGUAUACAUCCGCCCUACCACUUACUUCAUGCCACGGCCUGCCACCAUCACUGUUGCUGCUGCCAUCAUCAUCAUCUCUCUCUCUCUCUCUCUCUCUCUCUCUCUCUCUCUCUCUCUUUGGGGUUUCCAUCUCAUUAUUUCUUUGUCUCUUCAUUUUUCUGCAUGGUGUGGCAUUUUUUGUCAUAUACUUCUUAUACAUCGUCAGUUUUAGGGAUGAUGGGGAAAUCACUCAAUUUGCUGAACCAACCUAUCUUACAUGUCUACUGCAGCUUGAAUAUUUUGAGUUCGUGUUGAAUCCAUAUUUUACGGCUGAUGCAAGGGAGUCCCUCAAAUCUUUACAAGGCGUACUGUUGGAGAAAGCCACUGAGAGCGUGUCGGAGGCUGCUGAGAAUCCAGGCCACCACCGGCGCCCAACUCGUGGAAGUGAAGAUGCGCUUGCAGACGAAAGGCAGCAGGGGAUGGGUGUAUCGCCAGAUGAUUUAAUCGUAAGGGAUAAUCUUGGUCUUUUUAUGUUUAUCCCCUCGGAGGACGAGGUUGCAAAUUUUAUUUUAUUUAUUUAUUUAUUUAUUUAUUUUUGGGGUACUAUCAUGUUUGAUGCAGCUAAUCUCUACUUUUUUGGCCAAAGUUCCAUGGAGCUAUUUAUGUGAGCCUUUUUCUCAUGGGGAAAUUUGAUAAUCCAUCGGAAAGUGAAUUUUUGGGUUUACCCUAGAAGAUCACAUUAAGCUCUGAUUAACAUCUGAUAUUUGUCACUUUACCUUUAAAGCCUGUCUAUGCAUGAAGGUCAUGUGAAGUGGAUGUUAAACAAAAUUAGUGGGCUGAAAAUUUGUUAUAGAGGUAGAGAGUCAUCAUCUGUCUUAAUAUUUCAUGGUUUGGUUUACAGAAUCAAUGAUAGGUGGUGCAAUUCUGCUUCUGUUUCACUUUCCUUCUCGGUCUCUUCAUCUUCUGAUUUUCUGGGUUUUGAAAAAAGUUUGGUGCAUAAAAGCUUCCUCUCCGUGCUUUUUUAAUUCUACAGGCCCUUGCACAGCAAUAUAGUUCUGAGUUUCUACAAGCAGAGCUAGAGAGGACUCGGAUUAACACGGCAUGCUUUCUUGAGUCAACUGCAUUGGAUUCGGUGCCAGAACCAGCCAGAGCUGCAUACACUCCCUUCAGGGGGUCAGUGAAUUCUCCCAGCAGAAACUACCGAGGCGCAGCUGUGGUUGGAUCGCCAAGUUACUCACGACAGAGGCGUAGAUAAGUUCAUGACAGCUACCCCAAUUUUUUUCUGGGGGGGCUGAGACUUCGUUGUAAUUUGUAUCUUUUUCCAUGUCUAUAUAUGGUUGGCAGAUACCUUAUUCUUUCAUAAGCAGCCUUUCCCCAUCACCAGAUGCCGACUCUGUUCUGAUCGAUUUGUUUUACUUGUUUCCUGCCAAGUUUCUGUUUUGCUGUUUAUAUCUAACUUGAACUCAUAGCUUGUACAUUUCCGGUUUCCUUUUCCCGGCUGGCCCGUCAUAGCUUGUAAAGAAGUUGAGAUGUUCUCAAUAGUCUUUGGAAUGGUUGUCCUCAUUGUUGGUUUUGUAAUGCGAUGUUGUGCUCGAUUCUCAACCUUAGGUUCCCUCUCAUCUGUAUGCCUUAGUUAGAAGCUCUCCGCUGAGAUGGCUCGUCAUCAAUUUCACUAAUCCUUGUCAGGUUGUGGAUGACGUAAUUUACUUACAGCUCCGCCUCCUUUCUCGAUGCUUGUUUAGACGUUUCUCCACUAAUUCUUUAGAAUAUUUUCCGAUUGGCACUUCCAAUUGACAGCGCCCUCAAAGUCGGCUCAAAGGGAAAGCUUCGGCUCGUUCCAUGAUUUUGUAACCCCAGGCGCUGCAAUGGCAAGUUUGGCCCGUGAGCAAUUUGCAUAGGCUGCGUUAUGCAAUCCCAAGUGAUGAACCCACCCAAGGGAAAGGUCAUAUCGACAAGUUCAACUACCCAGGCUCUUCAUACUUGGACAUCUAUAGCCCCUCCAAGCUGAAAAGCAAUCUCACGAAAGGAAAAAUCCCAACCUUUUCAUUAUUCAAAAGACUAAUUGAUAAUUUUGCAAGAAAAAUAAUCUGAUCAUUCACCUUCCAACGGGUGCCUAUAUUCUUUCCCCACAAAGACAAAUUUGUAAGACUAGCUUCGGAGUUUAUUAAUCUAUGCUAAAGUAGAAAGCUGACAUCACAUGAUUUCCUAUCCAUAUGAAUAUCAUGCGAGUCUCUAUUCAUAGAAUCAUCAAUUUGCAUAUGUAUUCACUGAUGUCAUGCACACUUUCGCCAUGGAACGAGUUAGAUAACCGCACUCAAUAAUGUGUGCAAUAUGGAAAUUGACUUUCUCUGCCUGCGCACCAUUCGCAAAGGAUUCAGUUCUUCCUUGCCGCCUUUUCCUUAUUUUCCUCACAAGUUAGGAGACACAAAUAACAGCGAGGGAACCAUAGGGCUCUCGUGCGGAUUCCCGACGCCUGUUAGUAGGUCGUGUGCUAAAAAGAAUGAACCGUACAACUCUCCUGUGGAGGCUGCGCUAUAUAUCGACUCCACCGGUUUUAUGUGAGUGCCCAAUGGAGGAAGGGGAGUAGGUUUGGGCGUUGGAAGGGACUUUUCCAUCUGUUCUAUCAAAUUAAUAUUCUGCUGAGUCGAAGGACGGCGUACAAAUAACACGAUCCAACCAAUGACUAAAGGAUGAAGACGCCAUUGCGAGUCAAACGUUUGAAGCCAUUCUUUUAUUUGCCUUGUGCUUGCCUUAUGUAUGGUAGUAUAUUAUGAUAGCGAGAUCGGGCGCCUGAGAAAGAAAGGGACAAUGUUGUUUAUCGAUGUAAACACCGAGACGAGAAUGGAUAAUGACCCCAAGGAAACGAAUAGGACAACACCGGGCAUUGUAGACCUUGAUGAUUUUGCUUGGGGCGACCGUCCGCGAAUCACUCCACGUCCUCGUUCAUCACUAGGCGGGAAAUUCGUCCUAUGGUGGGGCGUUAACCUUGUUCCCAGAAUGUACCCAAUUGUCUCUCGCAAAGAGAUGCUGCCGAAAAUCUCUAUAGCAACAAAGGACAAGGGAGAAUAUACCAAAGCAAGCACUUAUCUUGAUCAUUAUAAAGCCUCCUGUUGCUCCUCUCUGGCAUUUGCAGGUGCCUUUUGUGUUUUAGAAGCUCACAGAAUAUUUAGCUAUGGAGUUCAGCGUCCUGGCAAUGUUGGUGCUUCUGGUCGUGUUUGUAGUCUCGGCAGUUUUUCUUCAUUUAUGGAGAUCGCCAAAAGCAAUGGAGGACAUCCCGGGAACCUUGGGUUGGCCGAUCAUUGGUGAAAGCUUCUCCUUCAUAUCCGACUUUUCGAGUCCAUCUGGUAUCUACAGUUUCAUGAAGAAGAGACAAGAAAGGUAAUCAAUCAAGGACCGAGAGUGAGACAGCUUAUCAGAACUUCAAAAUCAGAAUACAUUACCUACAUGAUAUGUGCAUCUGUCAACAGGUAUGGGAAGGUGUUCAAGUCCUUUGUCUUGGGAAGGUUCACUGUCUUCAUGACCGGGCGAGAAGCGAGCAAGAUUCUAUUGACGGGAAAAGAUGGGAUGGUGAGUUUGAACCUCUUCUACACCGGGCAGCAGGUUCUUGGCCCCACAAGUCUUCUCCAGACAACAGGGGAAGAACACAAGCGGCUUCGACGGCUUAUUGCAGAACCACUAUCCAUUGAUGGCCUGAAGAAGUACUUCCAGUUCAUCAACGCCCUCGCCAUAGAAACAUUAGAUCAAUGGGAGGGACGAAAAGUUUUAGUUCUUGAGGAGGCUUCUACAGUUAAGUGUCCACAAAAAAGAUCUCAAGAAAUUCUGCUUUGAUCGCUCUGCACUUAGACAUAAUAGUAAGAUAUAUCCUUUGUGCAGUUCACUCUCAAGGUAAUUGGCCACAUGAUCAUGAGCUUAGAACCAAAAGGCGAAGAGCAGGAGAAAUUCCGAUCCAAUUUCAAAAUAAUUUCCUCUUCAUUCGCAUCCUUGCCAUUCAAAGUACCAGGAACUGCAUUUCAUCGUGGAAUUCAGGUAAUUUUUUUCCCAUGUACACGGACUAUACUCACGAUAGAACGAAAGACUUUGUCUAGUUACUUUCCGAAUAUAACGAUUCAAAAAAAUCAGGCUCGAGAUAGGAUGUAUAGCAUGUUGGACAACGUUAUUUCUAAAAGGAGAGAAGGACAAGGCUUCCAAAAUGAUUUCCUGGAGUCCCUGAUAAUCAAGCACGGCAAAGCAGCAGACAGAGAAGCCGACAAAGACAAGCUAACUGACAAGCAAAUGAAGGACAAUGUACUAACUCUUCUAGUUGCUGGUCAUGACACGACCACCGCUGCUCUGACUUGGCUCAUGAAAUUUCUCGGAGAAAACCCUCAAGUUCUGCAACGGCUCAGGGUACUCCCAUUUUGCGAUGAACUCUGUUAAAUUGAAAUCGUGACCUAUGAAUACUGAAGAACUGGGCUGUAUGCUUCGUAUACAGGAAGAACACAUGGAAAUUCAAGCGAAGGGCAAGGGUGGAGCGAAUCUAUCUUGGAGUGAAGUUAAUAACAUGCCUUACACCGCUAAAGUAAGCAAGACAUUAGCUUUAUCACGUUAACUAUCCUACUGAAAACUGGAAGAUGUAGAAAUUUCUUUUAACUUGGUAUUUCAGGUAAUAAGUGAAACUCUAAGGAGAGCCACGAUAUUACCUUGGUUCUCAAGGAAAGCUGCUCAGGAUUUUGAGAUUGAUGGUAUGCAUCCCAAUGAAAAGACAAAACACGCUGAUCAGAAAAAUGCAAUUUCAAGAUGCUUACUAUUGCUAGCUCUUGGUCUUUUACAGGAUAUAAGAUCGAGAAAGGUUGGUCGGUGAACCUGGAUGUUGUUUCUAUUCACCAUGACCCGGAAAUUUUCCCUCAACCAGAAGUUUUUUACCCUUCCAGAUUUGAUGUAAGCAUUUUUCUGUCGCUACAUCGUGUAGCUCACUUUUUAUUUCUUACUUCCAGCUGAUUUUUUUUUUUUUUUUUCUUUUUGAUUGANNNNNNNNNNNNNNNNNNNNNNNNNNNNNNNNNNNNNNNNNNNNNNNNNNNNNNNNNNNNNNNNNNNNNNNNNNNNNNNNNNNNNNNNNNNNNNNNNNNNNNNNNNNNNNNNNNNNNNNNNNNNNNNNNNNNNNNNNNNNNNNNNNNNNNNNNNNNNNNNNNNNNNNNNNNNNNNNNNNNNNNNNNNNNNNNNNNNNNNNNNNNNNNNNNNNNNNNNNNNNNNNNNNNNNNNNNNNNNNNNNNNNNNNNNNNNNNNNNNNNNNNNGAAAAAAGGAAAAAAAAAAAUUGAUACGGUUGAUGUGUUUGUGUCUGAGACUAUGCUUGAUGAAUUUCUCAAGCGUUAUGCGAGUGUAGAACUUGUUCCGACAAUCUCGAUCUUCUUGACAGGUGGACUCCUCUGGAGAGAGAUGACUCAGUCCAGCCUACUCUAGUAAGGAUGCCCAAGAACAAGUAUCCAGUUCUUGUCGAGCCACUGUAGAUGUAUUUGUUGCUUCACUUGGCAAUUUGGCACAGAGCCAUAUAGCCAAGGAAAGAAGCGACAUGGGGAAUUCGAACUUCAUUGUUAUGACCUGAUCGUCAAUGCAAUACCAAUAUGCUAAGAAUGACAAACUCACUGGGUAAAGGUAGCUAUAAGCGAACGCUUGCCCAGGAGCACAUUGUAUGACAGAAAAUGAGAAUAAGAAUGUCUGAAGCAGUUUAUUUUUCUUUAGACUAUAUCUUGCUGAACAACUAUCUUUCGCUACGAUCCUAUUACUCUAGCCUGUUAAUCAAACGAACAAAUGCAACUCCAACAAGCUUAAUCGCUGAGGGUGGACAAAUGAGUAAAGAUUGGAGAUAUGUCUCUAGUGAAUGAAAUUUUAUCCAUUGAUGCCCGCACAUAAGCAAAUAGGAGAGCCCGGCCGGUUCACCUCGGAGAAUAAAGGUGCUAGAGAUAUUCAAAAUCAGGAUACUGAAGUUUGAAUACCAUUUUUCCUUGAACAGACAAAAAUCUAGGCUACCAGAAAGAUAGUUCUGGACACCCAAUAGAGGUGUUGUGUCAGCUCCAGCUCGAGCUCCCAUUUAUCAGGAGGCAAGCAUUAAUGCAAAAAUCAGAGGCAUGGAAACCUGCUUCCAUUGUAUUUAUGGAUAGUUUAUUGCAGUAGGAAGGUUUUUUUGGUUGCAAAUUGAUAAAGGUAUGGUAACUUCAAAAGGCAGCAAUUUCAUCUAAAUGAUGCCAUAACUAAAUAGGUUUUAAAUUUCCUGUAAUUAGCAUCUUCUUCCCUUUUUGCUAACAGAAAUUAUGCAGUCUCGGAUAUAAGUCGAGGAAGGUCAACAUAACAACCCGUCAGAUUAAGUGGUUGGGUAACUGAUAAACAAGAAAGCAGAUGGCUCACCUCCACUUUCUCAAGUGCUUCUUUUAACGACAUAGCAAAAAGAGGCAAAUGAAUUUCAUUUUGUGCCUUCAUUGCAUGCAAUAAAUCUCACCCUCACAAAGAGAGGCAAACAUGACAUAGAGAAAACCCGUUUCCAAGCAAAGGGGUAACCAUGAAGCACUUAAAUAAAAGGGCCUUUGCUUUCACUUGUCUAGAAUCCCAGAUGGCAACAGCACGGAUGUAAAUUAUCGAUAAGUAAAACAAUGAAAAGCAGAAACAAAUGUCCCAAAACCAUACAAACCAAACAAGCUUAACCCAUUCAGGAGCCAAGCAACAACAAAAGACCUUCCUCCAUUCCAGACUAACUCAAUAGCUCACUAGCCAAAUCCUACAGAGAUUUUUCACAUCGUUGGAGAGAAGCUUUCAAUUAUCUUGGAACAGAAAAAGAAGCUCCAACAGCAAACUUAAUUUUGUAAAUCACCUUUCUAGCUUCGGACAAAACAUGCUAAUGUAGAACUACAUUUCUCUCUUGCUAAACUAAAUGGUUGCAUUCCCAUUCUAAUUUGAAGCUCUUAAGCUUUGCCCUUUAGCAGCCUGCAGAAUAAAAGGGAUCUCUACAAUUUAACUAUUUGCUGAUCUAGCAGAACUAUUCAAGUGUAAAAUGUGCUACCGAAUAGAUUUUGAGGAGGAGCAACAAAAGAACAGAUGCUCUGAGCAUUCGAUGCUUUCCAGCUGUGUCCAUUAUCAUUAGACCACCUGCAACAAUGUGAAUACUACAUGAUGAGACAUGGAAAUAUGCAUCAAGGAACAAACUUCAACUGCUGCAGGUCUGAUGUUUUCUUUAUUCAACAGAGUAUAAGGUGUCGUUCAUCAUAGAAUCCUCCAUAAGAUCACAGAAGUCAACAUCAGAGAUCUCAAAACUUACAUUCAAGAAGAUUACUUUUCUCUGUCAAAGAGAGACUUUCUUCUACGAGUAUGUGUGUAUGCAUGCUCUCUUGCUAAUGUUUUCAAACGGAAGAAAAGGGUGCUGGCAAAACCAAACGAAAUCAGUGUCUAGUGAAGCAACAGAGCAAGUGUGGAAGAAAAUAGGAAUCUUCAUAACAUUAUGAUGUUAGAAAGUUAUCGUCACUUCCCUCAAUAAAAAUUUGUGCCUGACCAUGAUUAUAAAUAGGAAUCUUCAUACCAUUAUGAUGUUAGAAAGUUAUCGUCACUUCCCUCAAUCGUAGUGCCUGACCAUGUUUAUAAAAGCAUAGACCUGAGCCUUCAUGAUCUUAAUCUAAGUUAUCAAAAGCAACUCAAACAAAAUGGCAUACCGUUCCGUAGACCCAGUCAUAUCAGAUGAAACUGUCACAUGAUGGAAGCUCAAAAGCUACCAAGUGAAAAGAAAAUUUUACCCAAACACGAUAUCCAAAAAAGAAUGUGUAAAACAUUCGCCUGGGAGCGAGCUGGGCAAAAUCAUCUUCAGAUUCAUCAUCCUCGUGAUUCACAUCCACUGGUGCCUAAGCUGGGGGUUUCUGCCACUUCUGCUUUGGUCAGUGGAGUACCUUUGGCAAGGUUAUCAUGUUGACAAAGAGCACGCUGCAAACUAUCUUUAAAUGUCAAUAGGGGCACGGCAUCUAACCGCAGAAGCUCCAAUAAUUAUGUUGGAUUGAAGUUCUUGCGCUGUGAGAUUCACAAGAAGCAUGACACGCUCUUGACAAGAAGGACGCUGAUCGACAAGGUCAAUAAACACCUCCCUCCGAAUCGUCCUUGUGCUAAAAACAUGUAUAACUCAAUAAGAAGUUCUGUCCCUAGUCUUCCUGUCAUCCCUCCGAAUCAUAAUCCCAACAGAUGCAUAGCCCAAAAUUUAGCGAUGGGUUUCAUAUUUGGAUGUCUUCAAAAUGCAGUCCACCUAAUCGAUUUGACCGACAAUACUUCUGCAGGAUCAUCACUUAAAAUGUAAUGAUGGAACCUUCAGGACAAAACAAAAACGUUGAAAAGUACAUUCUGUCCCACCGAAGGGAGGCAAGCGGAGUGCGUCAGGAACAGCUGUUGAGAAAUGUACAAGCGUAUAUUAGUUAUACGCAUGAAAAAAAUAUAAGAUUGUUUACGCAAAUAAUUUGCAUAUCUAUGCCAACCCAUCUGGAUUUGAUGCGUAGUUUGAGCAACAACGAAGAUUAAUCUCUUAUAAAUAUCUUCUGAUCAGAUCGAAUCGUCGCCACUUUGUGAAAUUAAAUUGUUCGAAAUUUCAAUUUUAGGUCAAGCACUUGUCUGACUCACACAAUUAAUUAUAUCUUAACCUCUAACUCAAGUGGAGGGAGUUCUCCUAGCAUACAAUUUGUGACGACUCGACUAGGUCUCGAGAAAGGAUCGAUCACAUGGGUGCCCGUCCAAAUGCGCCCACUAAGUUCUUGUCCUGAGGUUCAAGAUAUUUACGAUUUUGCCCCCAACAAAUUAUUUUAGAGAAGUGCAAACAGAACUCAUCUUUCAUUUUACGCCUCCGCACGUAGGAGGGAUCCCAACAGAGAAGAGAAUACAUAAAAACCCUGCUCCCCAAACCCCAAACGGAACUCAACUCUGUUCUAACAAUAAUAAUAAUUAAUAGUAUUUUACACUCAUCAACCUCCCCUCUCUCCCUCUCUCCCUCUCUCCCUCUUCCCUCAAUAAAAUAAAAGAAAGACCCCACCUCGCUCACUCCUCUCCCGAGGCUAGGAAUUCCAGCCUGGCAAUCUUGAUGGACUCAUCUUUGAUUUUACGUGCUGCCUCUCCAUAUGUCAUUUCCUCUACGGGACCCUCGCCAUUCAGCUCCAAAGUGACCCGUGCGGCUGGGUCCCACUCGAACUCCGCCCACCAGCUUUUUUCCACUUUGAUCGAGAAGCUUCCCCUCAUUCCGUUCGAGUCCAACGGUAACUUUCUGAGACCAAGGCAGUCGAAUAUUUGGAAUUCCACCCCUUGAGAGAAAAGUAGAGCGUGGUCGCAAAUGCUCCUUAGUUUUGGAAGAGCGGAGACGCAUAGGACUUGAGACGUGAGAAUAGUCCUGAAGCAGCUAAUUCCUCUCUUGCAAUUCUAUUCCCGAUUAUUUUCUUCAUCGAAUCGCACCACACAACUGUCAAACUUUGGAGUUUCGGAGCGUGCACAAGCCAGGACAAAUCAAAAAAUCCACAAUUUAUAAUCAAAACUUUAACGAGGCUGGGGAAGCAAUAGCAGUUGGGCGCUUGUCCUAUCCCUUGAUUAAUCUCCAUCUUCACAAGCAUACGGCAAUCGACAAAAUUAAGCACCUCUAAAUGCGAGAAAUUGCCGCUCCCUUUUAAUGAGUGACUUAUCGGGAUGUGGGUCAAGCCCUCACAAUUCUCGAUACCUACUCUCCUUAUGCAUCUCUGAAAGGAUUGGAAUAUUUUUAGGGUAGAGGAAGAUUCGCACACCUUGAUAGAUAAAUCGGUGAGACCUUGCAUGCGCCCUAGUUCCUCCACCACCUCCUCUUCAUUCUUUAGACUCAAUUCCCAACUGCUGAACACAUUCAACGGUAAGCUUGCGAUUGCCCUUGUCAAAAUUGGGAUGUGCUCCAUCAUAUGGUCUAGUAGCAACCACUGUAAACGAGUCAAGUUGCUGAUUUCCUUGGGCAACUCUCUGAUACAAGUGUGUGACAAGUUCAAGUACCGUAAGCUAAUCAGAUUGCAAAUCCCUUCGGGGAAUGACGUAAUAUUAUAAUUGUUGGAUAGGUCAAGGACCGUUAGACAAGCCAUUAUUGACUCAAAAAAUCCUCUUGGUAUUUCUGUCACACUUGUCUCCCUUAUAAUCAAAGUUUUGAGCUGGGAACACUUGGGUGGUGCUUGGUCGAUAUUAUGAANNNNNNNNNNNNNNNNNNNNNNNNNNNNNNNNNNNNNNNNNNNNNNNNNNNNNNNNNNNNNNNNNNNNNNNNNNNNNNNNNNNNNNNNNNNNNNNNNNNNNNNNNNNNNNNNNNNNNNNNNNNNNNNNNNNNNNNNNNNNNNNNNNNNNNNNNNNNNNNNNNNNNNNNNNNNNNNNNNNNNNNNNNNNNNNNNNNNNNNNNNNNNNNNNNNNNNNNNNNNNNNNNNNNNNNNNNNNNNNNNNNNNNNNNNNNNNNNNNNNNNNNNNNNNNNNNNNNNNNNNNNNNNNNNNNNNNNNNNNNNNNNNNNNNNNNNNNNNNNNNNNNNNNNNNNNNNNNNNNNNNNNNNNNNNNNNNNNNNNNNNNNNNNNNNNNNNNNNNNNNNNNNNNNNNNNNNNNNNNNNNNNNNNNNNNNNNNNNNNNNNNNNNNNNNNNNNNNNNNNNNNNNNNNNNNNNNNNNNNNNNNNNNNNNNNNNNNNNNNNNNNNNNNNNNNNNNNNNNNNNNNNNNNNNNNNNNNNNNNNNNNNNNNNNNNNNNNNNNNNNNNNNNNNNNNNNNNNNNNNNNNNNNNNNNNNNNNNNNNNNNNNNNNNNNNNNNNNNNNNNNNNNNNNNNNNNNNNNNNNNNNNNNNNNNNNNNNNNNNNNNNNNNNNNNNNNNNNNNNNNNNNNNNNNNNNNNNNNNNNNNNNNNNNNNNNNNNNNNNNNNNNNNNNNNNNNNNNNNNNNNNNNNNNNNNNNNNNNNNNNNNNNNNNNNNNNNNNNNNNNNNNNNNNNNNNNNNNNNNNNNNNNNNNNNNNNNNNNNNNNNNNNNNNNNNNNNNNNNNNNNNNNNNNNNNNNNNNNNNNNNNNNNNNNNNNNNNNNNNNNNNNNNNNNNNNNNNNNNNNNNNNNNNNNNNNNNNNNNNNNNNNNNNNNNNNNNNNNNNNNNNNNNNNNNNNNNNNNNNNNNNNNNNNNNNNNNNNNNNNNNNNNNNNNNNNNNNNNNNNNNNNNNNNNNNNNNNNNNNNNNNNNNNNNNNNNNNNNNNNNNNNNNNNNNNNNNNNNNNNNNNNNNNNNNNNNNNNNNNNNNNNNNNNNNNNNNNNNNNNNNNNNNNNNNNNNNNNNNNNNNNNNNNNNNNNNNNNNNNNNNNNNNNNNNNNNNNNNNNNNNNNNNNNNNNNNNNNNNNNNNNNNNNNNNNNNNNNNNNNNNNNNNNNNNNNNNNNNNNNNNNNNNNNNNNNNNNNNNNNNNNNNNNNNNNNNNNNNNNNNNNNNNNNNNNNNNNNNNNNNNNNNNNNNNNNNNNNNNNNNNNNNNNNNNNNNNNNNNNNNNNNNNNNNNNNNNNNNNNNNNNNNNNNNNNNNNNNNNNNNNNNNNNNNNNNNNNNNNNNNNNNNNNNNNNNNNNNNNNNNNNNNNNNNNNNNNNNNNNNNNNNNNNNNNNNNNNNNNNNNNNNNNNNNNNNNNNNNNNNNNNNNNNNNNNNNNNNNNNNNNNNNNNNNNNNNNNNNNNNNNNNNNNNNNNNNNNNNNNNNNNNNNNNNNNNNNNNNNNNNNNNNNNNNNNNNNNNNNNNNNNNNNNNNNNNNNNNNNNNNNNNNNNNNNNNNNNNNNNNNNNNNNNNNNNNNNNNNNNNNNNNNNNNNNNNNNNNNNNNNNNNNNNNNNNNNNNNNNNNNNNNNNNNNNNNNNNNNNNNNNNNNNNNNNNNNNNNNNNNNNNNNNNNNNNNNNNNNNNNNNNNNNNNNNNNNNNNNNNNNNNNNNNNNNNNNNNNNNNNNNNNNNNNNNNNNNNNNNNNNNNNNNNNNNNNNNNNNNNNNNNNNNNNNNNNNNNNNNNNNNNNNNNNNNNNNNNNNNNNNNNNNNNNNNNNNNNNNNNNNNNNNNNNNNNNNNNNNNNNNNNNNNNNNNNNNNNNNNNNNNNNNNNNNNNNNNNNNNNNNNNNNNNNNNNNNNNNNNNNNNNNNNNNNNNNNNNNNNNNNNNNNNNNNNNNNNNNNNNNNNNNNNNNNNNNNNNNNNNNNNNNNNNNNNNNNNNNNNNNNNNNNNNNNNNNNNNNNNNNNNNNNNNNNNNNNNNNNNNNNNNNNNNNNNNNNNNNNNNNNNNNNNNNNNNNNNNNNNNNNNNNNNNNNNNNNNNNNNNNNNNNNNNNNNNNNNNNNNNNNNNNNNNNNNNNNNNNNNNNNNNNNNNNNNNNNNNNNNNNNNNNNNNNNNNNNNNNNNNNNNNNNNNNNNNNNNNNNNNNNNNNNNNNNNNNNNNNNNNNNNNNNNNNNNNNNNNNNNNNNNNNNNNNNNNNNNNNNNNNNNNNNNNNNNNNNNNNNNNNNNNNNNNNNNNNNNNNNNNNNNNNNNNNNNNNNNNNNNNNNNNNNNNNNNNNNNNNNNNNNNNNNNNNNNNNNNNNNNNNNNNNNNNNNNNNNNNNNNNNNNNNNNNNNNNNNNNNNNNNNNNNNNNNNNNNNNNNNNNNNNNNNNNNNNNNNNNNNNNNNNNNNNNNNNNNNNNNNNNNNNNNNNNNNNNNNNNNNNNNNNNNNNNNNNNNNNNNNNNNNNNNNNNNNNNNNNNNNNNNNNNNNNNNNNNNNNNNNNNNNNNNNNNNNNNNNNNNNNNNNNNNNNNNNNNNNNNNNNNNNNNNNNNNNNNNNNNNNNNNNNNNNNNNNNNNNNNNNNNNNNNNNNNNNNNNNNNNNNNNNNNNNNNNNNNNNNNNNNNNNNNNNNNNNNNNNNNNNNNNNNNNNNNNNNNNNNNNNNNNNNNNNNNNNNNNNNNNNNNNNNNNNNNNNNNNNNNNNNNNNNNNNNNNNNNNNNNNNNNNNNNNNNNNNNNNNNNNNNNNNNNNNNNNNNNNNNNNNNNNNNNNNNNNNNNNNNNNNNNNNNNNNNNNNNNNNNNNNNNNNNNNNNNNNNNNNNNNNNNNNNNNNNNNNNNNNNNNNNNNNNNNNNNNNNNNNNNNNNNNNNNNNNNNNNNNNNNNNNNNNNNNNNNNNNNNNNNNNNNNNNNNNNNNNNNNNNNNNNNNNNNNNNNNNNNNNNNNNNNNNNNNNNNNNNNNNNNNNNNNNNNNNNNNNNNNNNNNNNNNNNNNNNNNNNNNNNNNNNNNNNNNNNNNNNNNNNNNNNNNNNNNNNNNNNNNNNNNNNNNNNNNNNNNNNNNNNNNNNNNNNNNNNNNNNNNNNNNNNNNNNNNNNNNNNNNNNNNNNNNNNNNNNNNNNNNNNNNNNNNNNNNNNNNNNNNNNNNNNNNNNNNNNNNNNNNNNNNNNNNNNNNNNNNNNNNNNNNNNNNNNNNNNNNNNNNNNNNNNNNNNNNNNNNNNNNNNNNNNNNNNNNNNNNNNNNNNNNNNNNNNNNNNNNNNNNNNNNNNNNNNNNNNNNNNNNNNNNNNNNNNNNNNNNNNNNNNNNNNNNNNNNNNNNNNNNNNNNNNNNNNNNNNNNNNNNNNNNNNNNNNNNNNNNNNNNNNNNNNNNNNNNNNNNNNNNNNNNNNNNNNNNNNNNNNNNNNNNNNNNNNNNNNNNNNNNNNNNNNNNNNNNNNNNNNNNNNNNNNNNNNNNNNNNNNNNNNNNNNNNNNNNNNNNNNNNNNNNNNNNNNNNNNNNNNNNNNNNNNNNNNNNNNNNNNNNNNNNNNNNNNNNNNNNNNNNNNNNNNNNNNNNNNNNNNNNNNNNNNNNNNNNNNNNNNNNNNNNNNNNNNNNNNNNNNNNNNNNNNNNNNNNNNNNNNNNNNNNNNNNNNNNNNNNNNNNNNNNNNNNNNNNNNNNNNNNNNNNNNNNNNNNNNNNNNNNNNNNNNNNNNNNNNNNNNNNNNNNNNNNNNNNNNNNNNNNNNNNNNNNNNNNNNNNNNNNNNNNNNNNNNNNNNNNNNNNNNNNNNNNNNNNNNNNNNNNNNNNNNNNNNNNNNNNNNNNNNNNNNNNNNNNNNNNNNNNNNNNNNNNNNNNNNNNNNNNNNNNNNNNNNNNNNNNNNNNNNNNNNNNNNNNNNNNNNNNNNNNNNNNNNNNNNNNNNNNNNNNNNNNUCGCUAUCAUAAGUUUUAGGAGGAGAAUAUGAGGCCAUUCUGAUAUAAAUGGAAGAGCUUAUUACAGAAGGAAAUAUGCCUCGAUCAAACUCUGCUACAAAAUCUAAAACGUUACCUAACAAACACAACAAUGCUGCCACUGACGAUGACCAACGGAACCGCAAUCUAAAUCACUAAAAGUGGUCACUUAUGCAGAGAACAACAACAAUUCUCAGCCCCUAUGUCUACAGCAAGACAAGGAGGCUGGACAGUUCCAUCUCCGUACCAAGUCGACUGCUUCUCAAUCAAUUCAUUCACAAAAACAUCCAAUUUCUCAAUACCAACACUCGGUAUCACCACGACGUGAGCGAUAUUUCCCUCACAAGCCAGUUGCCAUCUGCGCACAAACUCUUUUUCCGACGACCGUUCAAAUACAACUGUGCUGCUAAGCUCAUUUAACAUGGCACUUAUCCUUGCCUCAUGAAGACGAUCCUUCAGGUAGUGGGCAUUUCUAAGGCACUUUUGUACUUCUUUCUGAAACCCUUUGUAACCUUUAUGAUUGAGUGUGUAUCAAAGGAAAAUAGGAGCGUGGCCAUUCCUGCUACCCAUGAUCGUACAAAGAGAGAUAGUUAGACAUGGAAAUAAUUAAGAAAUAAUGGUGUUCUCUGCACAUUUGGCUCAGGAAUGGCAAGUCUGUUCACAACAAACAAGGACGGCUAAGCGGUCGAGGAUUCUGUCGAAGAACUAAGGAGCUUGGGAUGGGCCAAGCAUGCAGCCAGAGCUUUUUCUAAGCUAUAUACAAUUUCCGUGAUCGUCGGGCGAUCUUUGCCUUCCAAGUUCACUUAAUCUACAGCUAAGUAUCCUACGUACCUCACGGCUUCUAUUUCAAUAGGGUUAGGGAGCAAGACCUUCCGGUCUAGGACCUUGUGAAUCUCAUCUUGUAAUAUGUAGGGGAUCAAAAAGUCCACCACAUUCCUCGGUACACUGUGCUCGUUGUUGUGAACUCGUUGUUGUGAAUAGCCCUGUAGCUCGAUAGUAGCUUGAGCAGGACGACUUUGAAGCUGUACACAUCGCUUUUGGACGUGAGAACUUGGAGCGCUGUACACAUCGCUUUUGGACGUGAGAACUUGGAGCCAGUAGUACUCAGGAUCCACGUAACCAAUCGUCCCUGCAGUGUGGAGCGAGAGGUGGGACUCAUCGUCUUCGGGGAGAGAGCUCAAAAUCGGAAACUUUAGCCAUCCAGCUUUUGUCGAGAGGUGGGACUCAUCGUUUUCGGGGCCCAUAAGAGAGUUUCUAAAAUCGGAAACCUUAGCCGUCCAGCUUUUGUCGAGCAAAAUGUUGGAAGACUUGAUGUUGCGGUGGACAAAAGCUGGACAGCGAAGGUUUCCGAUUUCGGGCUCUCUUAUGGGCCCCGAAAACAAUGAGUCCCACCUCUUGCUUCACGCUGUAGGGACGCUUGGCUACGUGGAUCCCGAGUACUACUGGCUCCAAAUUCUCAUGUCCAAAAGCGACAUGUACAGCUUCAGAGUCGUCUUGCUCGAGCUACUGUAUAGGGCUAUUCACAACAACGAGCACGAUGUGCUGAGGAAUGUGGUGGACUUUGUGAUCCCCUACAUAUUGCAAGACGAGAUUCACGGGUUCUAACCUGGAAGGUCUUGCCCCCUAAACCUAUUCAAAUAGAAGCCGUGAAGUACAUAUGAUACUUAGCUAUAGACUGCGUGAACUUGGAUGGCAAAGAUCACCCGACGAUCACGGAAAUUGUAUAUAGCUUAGAAAAAGCUCUGGCUGCAUGCUUGGCCCGUCCCAAGCUCUCUAGGUCUUUGACAAAAUCCUUGACUGCUUCGCCGUCCUUAUUUAUUGUGAAGCGACUCGCCAUUCCCGAGCCAAAUGUGCAGAGAACACCAUUCUUUCUUAAUUCUUUCCACAUCUAACUAUCUCUCUUUGUACGAUCAUGGGUAGUAGGAUUGGCAUUGGACAGCAUUUAAUGACCCAUCCUUGUUAGUUGAACACCACAAGCCAUUGGACAUCCCACAAACUUGUGGCCUGAAACACUUACGCUUCCAAUGGGCUUCUUGAAAGAAACCUUUGAUGCCCUGUUCAAAAAAAUAAAUGACAAUGUUAAGGGAAUACGUUCAAGGGAAAGAAAUCUCUAUAUGCAUGAAUAGACAAACCUAGCUGAAAACAAGAAGAAAGCAAUUUCAUACAACUCAUUGCAAAACAAACAAUUAAUUUGAAAUAAUGAAAUCUCCAUAAACACCCGGUAUUUUGAAUACCUUUACUUUUUCUUGAAUCUUGUAUGCUAUUGAACUAGUUUGUAUUAAAUGUGUAUAAGCAUGUGUUAACAUGGCCAUAAGCCAAUUACAUAAAUGAAAAGUUUUAUUACUCAAUUCGUCUCGUAUUUGCUUGAUUUUGUGAUCUUCUCAAUGAUCUUGUUCAUACAUUGAUGCUUAUAUAAUUAAUAUCAAUGCUUAUUCGAUUUCAUGUUUUACUCGGAAAUCUUGAGAUUAGUAUAACAAUAAAAGAAAGUGCUUGUAUAUAUGGAGUAAAGACGCGGCAUGAAAAUGGUUUUCUAAAUCCAUAUUUGGAGCAUUAGGGCCGAAUGUGCAGCCCUAAUGCACUGUUUUUCCAACCUCUCAGUGAAGCACUGCCGACGUGAGGCAAAUGCCCUAGCUGAUUGGGCCGCGAAAGCCCACGGGCGAGGCCUCCUUCCAUCAAAUUGGGUUCAUUCUCCUCUUCAAGUUAUGUUGGAUAUAAUAUGUACUAAUGCCCUGGUCAAGGGUUGUUCUUUGUUUCCUACUUGAAUAUAAAUCUAGCCUUUUUCGACCAAAAAAAAAAAAACUUACAACUUGGACUGAUAUAAAUCUUUGAAAAAGAAAGCUAAACUACACAAAUACAAUAUAUACAUAUAUAUAUAACAUGAAAAUCUCUUUUCGACACAAUACAAAUCCCUCCCCAUCUAAAGAGAGUAAAACAACUCUUUUCCUUCCAGUCUUCUUCAAAAAUAGUAACAUGAAUAUCAAAUCACUUACCCGUUUCACGAAGGGCAUCAUGAGUCCAAAUAAAUCUCCAUCACAAUGUGUGUAGAAUCGUAUCUCGCGCAUGAGAUUGGAUUAGCUAAUUUUUAACAAAAUCGCAAAUCGUAUCUUGAGCGUGAGAUGGGUCACGGGAAUCACAGUGAGGAAGAUCAUCUCACAGCAGCAGCUGCUCAUGGUGGCUUCACGCAAGUUCGAUCAGAAUUUCCACGAUAUUCGCCUGUAUCGAGUUCUCCCUCGGUGAAUUACCAAGUACUCUGGAAAAUUCCUAAGCAUGAGGAGGAGUAGUCAGAACACAUGCACGAGGAAAAUUAAAGAGCACCAAUAGAAUCCUGUCAUUGUCAUGGCCAAAAUUGGGACAGCUCUAGGUUUGAAGAUAUCACAAUUGCAUGUGAUGUUGCCGCCACUGGACACACCAUCGAGACAUGCAAUAUUUGACCGGAGACAAGGACGCAGGUGUGGAAGCGUUGUAAUGAUCUGGAAACGUCAACGAGGGACGGACUUCAUCUCGGCUGAACUCGCGGUGCAAUAGGGUAUCGUCGUCGACGCUUAUGGCGUGGACAAUUCGCCCAAAAAAAAAAAAAAAAAAUCUGGAAACGACCUUCCAGAGCGACUCAAGGGCAGCUAGUGCGAUGCUGCAGUGUGGACUCGGCCAGGCUGGUGUCACGAGAGCAGCCGACGUGGUGGUAUGUGAAGAUCAGGACUGCGGCUCGUUCACUCAGUCCAGUGCGGGAAGCGCUGUAGCUAGCAGGAGCACAGUGCCGCGGUGGGAGGAAUCGUGAAGCCGAGACCGCGAAGGAAAUACCUCGCUCUAGCCUCUAGUCUCUCUCUGGAUUCUUGUGUGCCCGGUGUUGACCAAGGAAGAGAGAGAAGGCCGCCCUCCUAUUGGACGAAGCAAAGACCCCUCCUUUGUCUUCUUCUCCCUUUGCUUAUGGACGCUUGUUGCUUGUGUCCUCUUUCAGAACCUGCAGGAUGAACAGAAACCUUCUCUCUCUCUCUCUCCUUUUCAGGGUCACAAUGGUGGCCCCGUCAUCCCUUCCUCUCUCGAUGUGCUGUCGUGUCUAUUCUGUGGCCCCCUUUUUAGCUAUGCGAUGGUCUUAUUUAUAAUGUUUAGUAACUGACCUCCUCACAUAUUCUUGUCAUCAAUCAAUUAUUUCUUUCCCUGGUUGACUGAUUCCAUGCGAAUAUUUUAUUCUAUUUUGUGCGUUGAUAUCAGCAAAAGAAAUCUUUCCCAAGCGGUGGAUGAAUCGUUCGAGAAAAGAAAUCUCAUUUGUGAAUAACGUCAAAAUCUUCUUUCUUCCUUUUCCACUUGCUUUGUCCGCACGAUUGUAUUUACCAGCUCAGCUGAGUCCUUUUUUUUUUUCUUGUUUUAUUUGCCCAUACUUGCACAUAUAAUGCCAUGGUUACAUGUGAAGAGCAUAUAUGCUCAAUUUUUCAAAAUUUUAAUUCUUCUCUUCCAUAAGCAAAGAUAUUGGUCCAACGCUUGGAUUAAAUCCAUCAUAUAUUCAGCUUAUAUUUGCUGCACCCUUCCUUUCAAGGCUUAGAAUUAUAAAGAAUAUGCUCUCUUGAUUUCAGAACUCUUUCCAAUUUAGAUCACCGAUUUUCAGCUAUGCGGACUUUGAUGGGCUUGAUUGGAUUUCGUGCUUUUGUGGGCUCCAUUAAGUUCGAGACCAUUUACUCGAGUCUAUCCAUCACCCGUCCAAUGCAAUAAUGAUAAAUGCUCAUAAAACUUUAUUGCCUAUUGCAAAAUGAUCAGNNNNNNNNNNNNNNNNNNNNNNNNNNNNNNNNNNNNNNNNNNNNNNNNNNNNNNNNNNNNNNNNNNNNNNNNNNNNNNNNNNNNNNNNNNNNNNNNNNNNNNNNNNNNNNNNNNNNNNNNNNNNNNNNNNNNNNNNNNNNNNNNNNNNNNNNNNNNNNNNNNNNNNNNNNNNNNNNNNNNNNNNNNNNNNNNNNNNNNNNNNNNNNNNNNNNNNNNNNNNNNNNNNNNNNNNNNNNNNNNNNNNNNNNNNNNNNNNNNNACGUUAUUUCUAAAAGGAGAGAAGGGCAAGGCGUUCCAAAAUGAUUUCCUGGAGUCCCUGAUAAUCAAGCACAGCAAAGCAGCAGACGGAGAAGCCGACAAAGACAAGCUAACUGACAAGCAAAUGAAGGACAAUGUACUAACUCUUCUAGUUGCUGGUCAUGACACGACCACUGCUGCUCUGACUUGGCUCAUGAAAUUUCUCGGAGAAAACCCUCAAGUUCUGCAACGGCUCAGGGUACUCCCAUUUUGCGAUGAACUCUGUUCAAUUGAAAACGUGACCUAUGAAUACUGAAGAACUGGGCUGUAUGCUUUGUAUGCAGGAAGAACACAUGGAAAUUCAAGCGAAGGGCAAGGAUGGAGCGAAUCUAGCUUGGAGUGAAGUUAAUAACAUGCCUUAUACCGCUAAAGUAAGCAAGAAAUUAGCUUUAUCACGUUAACUGUCCUACUGAAAACUGGAAGAUAUAGAAAUUUCUUUUAACUUGGUAUUUCAGGUAAUAAGUGAAACUCUAAGGAGAGCCACGAUAUUACCUUGGUUCUCAAGGAAAGCUGCUCAGGAUUUUGAGAUUGAUGGUAUGCAUCCCAAUGAAAAGACAAAACACGCUGAUCAGAAAAAUGCAAUUUCAAGAUGCUAACUAUUGCUAGCUCUUGGUCUUUUACAGGAUAUAAGAUCGAGAAAGGUUGGUCGGUGAACCUGGAUGUUGUUUCUAUUCACCAUGACCCGGAAAUUUUCCCUCAACCAGAAGUUUUUUACCCUUCCAGAUUUGAUGUAAGCAUUUUUCUGUCGCUACAUCGUGUAGCUCACUUUUUAUUUCUUACUUCCAGCUGAUUUUUUUUUUCUUUUUGAUUNNNNNNNNNNNNNNNNNNNNNNNNNNNNNNNNNNNNNNNNNNNNNNNNNNNNNNNNNNNNNNNNNNNNNNNNNNNNNNNNNNNNNNNNNNNNNNNNNNNNUUCGGUAGUGGACCACGUAUGUGCCCCGGGAUCAAUCUGGCGAAGCUGGAGAUCUCUAUUUUCAUUCAUCACUUAGCGUGCAGAUACAAGAAAGAACAGAGAGUGUUCAUUUUUAUAAACAAAGUCUCAUCUUCCCGCCAGAACAUUUGAUUGCCGUCUAAUAUGUCAACCAGUCAAGGGGACAACCUUUUUUAAGCUAGUCUUUUUUAAUAAAUGAAGCAGAAAAAAAGAAAAAAAAAAAUUUGAUACGGUUGAUGUGUUUGUGUCUGAGACUAUGCUUGAUGAAUUUCUCAAGCGUUUAUUGCGAGUGUAGAACUUGUUCCGACAAUCUCGAUCUUCUUGACAGGUGGACUCCUCUGGAGAGAGAUGACUCAGUCCAGCCUACUCUAGUAAGGAUGCCCAAGAACAAGUAUCCAGUUCUUGUCGAGCCACUGUAGAUGUAUUUGUUGCUUCACUUGGCAAUUUGGCACAGAGCCAUAAUAGCCAAGGAAAGAAGCGGCAUGGGGAAUUCGAACUUUAUUGUUUUGACCUGAUCGUCAAUGCAAUACCAAUAUGCUAAGAAUGACAAAGUCACUGGGUAAAGGUAGCUAUAAGCGAAUGCUCGCCCAGGAGCACAUUGUAUGACAGAAAAUGAGAAUAAGAAUGUCUGAAGCAGUUUAUUUUUCUUGAGUUAGUCUAUAUCUUGCUGAACAACUAUCUUUCACUACGAUCCUAUUACUCUAGCCUGUUAAUCAAACGAACAAAUGCAACUCCAACAAGCUUAAUCGCUGAGGGUGGACAAAUGAGUAAAGAUUGGAGAUAUGUCUUUAGUGUAUGAAAGUUUAUCCAUUGAUGCCCUCACAUAAGCAAAUAGGAGAGCCCGGCUGGUUCACCUUGGAGAAUAAAGGUGCUAGAGAUAUUCAAAAUCAGGAUACUGAAGUUUGAAUACCUUUUUGCCUUGAACAGACAAAAAUCUAGACUACCAGAAAGAUAGUUCCAGAAACCCGAUAGAGGUGUUAUGUCAGCUCGAGCUCUAGCUCCCAUUAUCAGGAGGCAAGCAUUAAUGCAAAAAUCAGAGGCAUGGAAACCUGCUUCCAUUGUAUUUAUGGAUAGUUUAUUGCAAUAGGAAGGUUUUUUUGGUUGCAAAUUGAUAAAGGUAUGGUAACUUCAAAAGGCAGCAAUUUCAUCUAAAUGAUGCCAUAACUAAAUAGGUUUUUGCUAACAGAAACUAUGCAGUCUCGGAUAUAAGUCGAGGAAGGUCAACAUAACAACCCGUCAGAUUAAGUGGUUGGGUAACUCAUAAACAAGAAAGCAGAUGGCUCACCUCCACUUUCUCAAGUGCUUCUUUUAACGACAUAGCAAAAAGAGGCAAAUGAAUUUCAUUUUGUGCCUUCAUUGCAUGCAAUAAAUCUCACCCUCACAAAGAGAGGCAAACAUAACAUAGAGAAAACCCGUUUCCAAGCAAAGAGGUAACCAUGAAGCACUGAAAUAAAAGGGCCUUUGCUUUCACUUGUCUAGAAUCCCAGAUGGCAACAACAUGGAUGUAAAUUAUCGAUAAGUAAAACAAUGAAAAGCAGAAACAAAUGUCCCAAAACCAUACAAACCAAACAAGCUUAACCCAUUCAGGAGCCAAGCAACAGCAAAAGACCUUCCUCCAUUCCAGACUAACUCAAUAGCUCACUAGCCAAAUCCUACAGAGAUUUUUCACAUUGUUGGAGAGAAGCUUUCAAUUAUCUUGGAACAGAAAAAGAAGCUCCAACAGCAAACAUAAUUUUGUAAAUCACCUUUCUAGCUUCGGACAAAACGUGAUAAUGUAGAACUACAUUUCUCUCUUGGCAAACUAAAUGGUUGCAUUCCCAUUCUAAUUUGAAGCGCUUAAGCUUUGCCCUUUAGCAGCCUGCAGAAUAAAAGGGAUUUCUACAAUUUAACUAUUUGCUGAUCUAGCAGAACUAUUCAAGUGUAAAAUGUGCUACCGAAUAGAUUUUGAGGAGGAGCAACAAAAGAACAGAUGCUCUGAGCAUUCGAUGCUUUCCAGCUGUGUCCAUUAUCUUUUGACCACCUGCAACAAUGUGAAUACUACAUGAUGAGACAUGGAAAUAUGCAUCAAGGAACAAGCUUCAACUUCUGCAGGUCUGAUGUUUUCUUUAUUCAACAGAGUAUAAGGUGUUGUUCAUCAUAGAAUCCUCCAUAAGAUCACAGAAGUCAACAUCAGAGAUCUCAAAACUCACAUUCAAGAAGAUUACUUUUCUCUGUCAAAGAGAGACUUUCUUCUACGAGUAUGUGUGUAUGCAUGCUCUCUUGCUUAUGUUUUCAAACGGAAAAAAAGGGUGCUGGCAAAACAAAACGAAAUCAGUGUCUAGUGAAGCAACAGAGCAAGUGUGGAAGAAAAUAGGAAUUUUCAUAACAUUAUGAUGUUAGAAAGUUAUCGUCACUUCCCUCAAUAAAAAUUUGUGCCUGACCAUGAUUAUAAAUAGGAAUCUUCAUACCAUUAUGAUGUUAGAAAGUUAUCGUCACUUCCCUCAAUCGUACUGCCUGACCAUGUUUAUAAAAGGCAUAGACCAGAGCCUUCAUGAUCUUAAUCUAAGUUAUCAAAGGCAACUCAAACAAAAUGGCAUACCGUUCCGUAGACCCAGUCAUAUCAGAUGAAACUGUCACAUGAUGGAAGCUCAAAAGCUACCAAGUGAAAAUAAAAUUUUACCCAAACACGAUAUCCAAAAAAGAAUGUGUAAAACAUUCGCCUGGGAGCUAGCUGGGCAAAAUCAUCUUCAGAUUCAUCAUCCUCGUGAUUCACAUCCACUGGUGCCUAAGCUGGGGGUUUCUGCCACUUCUGCUUUGGUCAGUGGAGUACCUCUGGCAAGUUAUCAUGUUGACGAAGAGCACGCUGCAAACUAUCUUUAAAUGUCAAUAGGGACAUGGCAUCUAACCGCAGAAGCUCGAAUAAUUAUGUUGGAUUGAAGUUGUUGCGCUGUGAGAUUCACAAGAAGCAUGACACGCUCUUGACAAGAAGGACGCUGAUCGACAAGGUCAAUAAACACCUCCCUCCGAAUCGUCCUUGUGCUAAAAACAUGUAUAACUCAAUAAGAAGUUCUGUCCCUAGUCUUCCUGUCAUCCCUCCGAAUCAUAAUCCCAACAGAUGCAUAGCCCAAAAUUUAGCGAUGGGUUUCAUAUUUGGAUGUCUUCAAAAUGCAGUCCACCUAAUCGAUUUGACCGACAAUACUUCUGCAGGAUCAUCACUUAAAAUGUAAUGAUGGAACCUUCAGGACAAAACAAAAACGUUGAAAAGUACAUUCUGUCCCACCGAAGGGAGGCAAGCGGAUUGCGUCAGGAACAGCUGUUGAGAAAUGUAGACGCGUAUAUUAGUUAUACGCAUUAAAAAAAUAUAAGAUUGUUUACGCAAAUAAUUUGCAUAUCUAUGCCAACCCAUUUGGAUUUGAUGCGUAGUUUGAGCAACAGCAAAGAUUAAUCUCUUAUAAAUAUCUUCCGAUAAGAUCGAAUCGUCGCCACUUUGUGAAAUUAAAUUGUUCGAAAUUUCAAUUCUAGGUCAAGCACUUGUCUGACUCACAAAACUAAUUAUAUCUUAACCUCUGACUCAAGUGGAGGGGGUUCUCCUCACAUAUAACUUGUGACGACUCGACUAGGUCUCGAGAAAGGAUUGAUCACAUGGGUGCCCACCCAAAUGCGCCCGCCAAGUUCUUGUCCUGAGGUUCAAAAUAUUUAUGAUUUUGCCCCCCAACAAAUUAUUUGAGAGAAGUACAAACAAAACUCAUCUUUCAUUUUACGCCCCCACACGUCACGUAGGAGGGAUGCCAACAGAGAAGAGAAUACAUAAAAAGCUAUGGAAUGGAAUGGAAUGGAAUGGAAAGAGAUCCUGCUACCCAAACGCCAAAUGGAACUCAACUCUGUUCUAACAAUAAUAAUUAAUAGUAUUUACACUCAUCAACCUCCCUCUCUCCCUCUCUCCCUCUUCCCUCAAUAAAAUAAAAGAAAGACCCCACCUCGCUCACUCGGCUCCCUAGGCUAGGAAUCUGAUCCGGGCGUAGUUGAUGGACUCAUCAUCUUUCAUUUUACGUGAUGCCUCUCCAUAUGUCAUUUCCUCUAUGGGACCCACAUCACGCAGCUGGAAAGUGACCCGGGCGGCUGGGUCCCACUCGAACUCCUCCCACCAGCCAGUUUCCACUUCGAUCGAGAAGCUUCCCCUCAUUCCGUUCGAGUCCAACGGCAACUUUCUGAGACCAGGACACUUAAACAUAAAGAAUUCCACCCCUUGAGGGAAAAGUAGAGCGUGGUCGCAAAUGCUCUUUAGUUUUGGAAGAUUCCGGAUAUGUAGAAAUUUAAGACGUGAGAAUAGGCCUGAAGCAGCUAAUUCUUCUCUUGCAAUUCCAUCCCCGAUUAUUUUCUCCAUCGAAUUACACUGCACAACUAUCAAACUUUGGAGUUUUGGAGCGUGCACAAGCCAGAACAAGUCCAAAAAUCUGCAUCUUACAAUCAAAACUUCAACGAGGCUGGGGAAGCAAUAGUAGUUGGGCGCUUGUCCUAUCCCUUGAUUAAUCUCCAUCUUCACAAGCAUAGGGCAAUUGUAUAGAAAAAGCACCUCUAAAUGCGAGAAAUUGCCACUCUGUUCUAAUGAGUGACUUAUUGAGAUGCAGGUCAAGUCCUCGCAAUCCACAAUCAAUGCUCUCCUUAUGCAUCUCCGAAAGGAUUGGAAUAUUUUUAGGGCAGAGGAAGAUUUGUGCACAUUGAUAGAUAAGUCGGUGAGAUCUUGCAUGAACUCUAGUUCCUCUACCACCUCUUCUUCCUUCUGUAGAUCCGAUUCCCAAUUGUUGAACACAUUCAAUGGUAAGCUUGCGAUUGCCCCCCUAAAAAUUAGGGAAUCGGUACCGUUUAGUAGCAAACACCGUAAAUGAGUCAAGUUCUUAAUUUCCUUGGGCAUCUCACUAAUCCUAGUGUUCGACAAGUUCAAGUACGGUAGGCUAAUCAAAUUGCAAAUCCCUUCGGGGAAUGACGUAAUAUUAUUAUUGUCGGAUAGGUCAAGGACCAUAAGACAAGUUGCCAUCGACUCAAAAAAUCCUCUUGGCACUUCCAUCACAUUUGUCUCCCUUACAAUCAAAGUUUUGAGUUGGAAACACCUGGGUGGUGUUUGGUUGAUAUUCUGAAUCCAUUCUCCCCAUAUAGACACUUUCUUUGCUUCCCCCCAUUUGGAGAUCAUCUUUGCAGAAAUGUCCUCCUCCUCCUCUAUCACUAUUAACUUGUUCUCCCUUUGCCCAUGGUCACGAGCAAUCCAGAUCGCCAUGUCACGGAUGACGUCAUGCAUCUUUACAUAUUGUCUUUGAUAAUCAUCAAGCCCACUUUCCAAUGGACAAAGCCUCUUUAAAUCUCCCAAGACAUACUCUCCCUCUUCUCGCAUACGGUAUACAUUAUUGGUGUCUCCUAGCAAGCCUUCUCCAAUCCAGAGUUCAAUAAGCUCAUUAUUUACUAUGGGGUAAUCCUCAGGGAAAAGACAACAGUAAAGGAAGCAUUGUUGGGUAGAAUUUUUUAAGAUAUUAUAACUGAACUCUAAUAUGUUGUACACUUCUUCCACCAUACUUGGCAGGUUGUGCGGUUUGUUCCUUAGUGUUGUCAACGCAUGCUUCCACUCAUGGGGAUUAGCUAUGCCAGCCAUGGCUCGCCCAAUAGUAAUAAGGGCUAGUGGCAACCCUUUGCACUCUUGGGCAAUGCCCUUGGCGAGCAUUGGGAUAUCUGGAUGAGAAUCUAUAGUCGAUUUGCCAACGUUGUUCUCAAAUAAUUCCAAGGCUUCUUCGAACUUUAAGCACUCUACUUCGAAGGUUUUGUCGGCUCGCAUUUGGUAGCAUACUUGCUUUGACCGAGUAGUGAAUACUACUUUGGACCCAUUCUCGAAACUAGGACGAGGAACUCCGAUUUUGGAAAGGUCCAGCCUCGCCCAAACAUCAUCAAUCAACAACACAAACUUCUUAUCGGUCAAACGUUCCCACAAAUAAUUGAUCCUCUCAUCUUGGGACCAUCCUCCCCAGCUAUCAUCUUUAAUGUUUAGCCUUUUCCUUAUGGCGUCUUGAAUACUAUCUUCAUUCACUUGCCUUGAAACCACCACCCAAAUAACAACAUCGAAUUUGUGAUUUGCAUGCGAAAGCUCCUCAUUGAUCCUUUUCAUGAGGGUCGUCUUACCCACACCGCCCGUUCCGUACAACCCAAUCACUCCCACUUGUUUUUCAUCCACGAGCCAUUUCAACACUUUAUUAAGAGAAAUUUGAAGCCCCACGGCAUUGUCCAUAGGCUUCUUGAGCACUGAAGGAGGAGGCAACGGUGACGUGACGUCUCUAAAUUUCUCAUUUUGGAGCUGUCUCACUGCUUGGGCAUUGGCAACCCUUUUCCCCAAUUUAUAACUUGACCAGCGUUCCGAGAGCCAACGACUGAAACAUUUGAUUUCGUCACGUUCCCUCGCUUCUUGAAGAAUUUGAUCUGCUUCACCGAAAUACUUUUGCACCCUGCCUAACCAGUUCUCCACUUGUUUCGUGGGCCCCACAUGUGCUCCUUCUUCUUCGCGUUCCACCCUGUCUUCACAUCUUCGCUCAUAGCCUUCAGGGUUUCAUUUUUUUCAUCCAAUAAGCGGACGUUAUCUUUCAAAUGAUAAAUGUAGCGGAAGGGUUUACUGGCCAAGCCCCAUAAACCUUUGACGGUUUCUGAAAGAGGACUUGCAAUAAUUUCCAUAGAUUCUCUCAGAGGUAAUAGAUCGGAAUAUCGACUAUUUAGAUGGGUUAGAAAGGGAGGGAAUGAGUGGAGUUCUAUAAGCUCUGCUGUAUUUCUCUCGAUAAUUCCAGCUAGCAGACAAAGGAAAGAAUUUCGGAACCUUUUCUUUACUUCGAGAAGAGAAAUGGAACAAUUUUUCUUCUUCUUGUUUCUUCGUCUAGGUCGAGCUGCGAAGAAUCUCACCGUUCAGAAAUGCAAUCCACAAAAGCUUGAACCAAGAAAAAAGGGAAUGAAGGUAUCCUGACUAGUCCCUUUUAGAAGCACCCUGAGAAGUAUGAACGAAGACAGAGAAUGUUAGUGACCCAUGUUUCUUAGAUCUGAGGUAAUGCUCAUGUUCUUCUUCUUGCUUUUGCCUAUGGACUACGUGGAAUGUGAUCAAUGGUGUCCAAAAGCAAAGAAUCACUAUUUUUUGGAUAGAAGCAAAGAAUUGUUCGAUUCUAUUUUAAGGUGCAAAUUAAUGUUAACUGAUGGGUCUGUCUUUUAGAAGCUUUUCAAUGGAAAUUUCACAAAUUUACUCGGCUGUUUAUUUAGUUGUCAUAAUUCGACAAUUUGGUAUCUAUGGAAGGGAUCCGCAAAAAGCCUCCUUUAUUACUAACUAGAAUUAGAGUUUGUUUAGUUUUUAGUUUUUGCUUUUUAAGAAUCUUCAUUUUUUAAUGUAAAAUGCUGGAAACCUUUAGAAGUCAUCUUACAUUAAUAUAUAGAUUCGUAUAUAAUCUUCUCCAAAUUUUUUGGAAUUAAAAAAAAAUUAAUGCGAAAAGUAAUAAUAAUAAUAAUAAUAAUAAUAAUAAUAAUAAUAAUAAUAAUAAUAAUAAUAAUAAUAAUAAUAAUAUAAAAAAAAAUCCCUAGCCUUCUUAGAAAUCCACCGGCCAUCUACAGAUAUUUCCAUCUGGAGGAUUGGCGCAUCUCAAUUUGCAAGUCACAACUCACCUCAAAUCUACUUGUCAAGUUGUCAUUCUGCAGACAUCAAAUAUAUAACUCAUCAUUCUUAUAAUUGCCUUGUCACCAUUUUCAUACUAGUCACUUUGACUUCUCUCUUAGAAUUAUCAAAAUAAUGUCUAACAUUUUGCCCAAUAUCAUUUUAUGAUUACUCAAUCAUAACAAAUUAAAAUCUAAACAUAAGUUGCAUGCAAUCAGAACCUAUGUUUUCUUUUAUUCAUUUGUUAUUCCAUAAAUUAGUAUCUCAUAAUAAAAGCAUCGUUAAAUGUAUAUAGCUUAUGGAGAAUAUAAUUAGUAAAGUGAUGUGACAUAAAUCCAUUUAAUUUACAACCAAAUUAAACUAAAAUCUGAAUGUUGAAAAGACGACAUUGCAAUUUGAAGUGCGGAAUUGUUUCCUCAUUACAUUUAAAUUGUAAAUUGACAAGAACAAAAACUACUUGGACAAGUUAUUUCUUUGUUAAGUUUAAAUCAAUAAAUAGAAAGAGCAAAAGAAAAUUGAAAGUGAACUAGAAUAAAUUCAUUUUAUUACUAGUUCAAAAAGAAUCAUUGAAAAUUAAACAACUAUUGACAUAUCUGAUCGAUAAAAUAAAUUAGAAAUUCACUUAGGUCAAGUUUUACACGUUAAUACCAUUUACUUAUAAGAGUACUAGACAACUCACUAACUUGAUUAAAGGGCAGGUGACGAGCUUGAGUCUAAGGUCCGAGCUAAAUAAAGUCUUGCAUGAUGCCCCUUGUGAUUUAAUAAAUAUAAUAAUCUCUUAAUAUAAUAAUCGGUCUUAGAUGGCAUGAGGGAGGGAAGCCUAAGAAGGAAAUCGUUUGAUUAGCUCAACCAAAUUUGUGUUUUGGGCUUAUUGGACUUGGACGAAGUGAAAAUUUAUAACUUUAUCAAGCACGAUGAUUACUCUUUACAAUUUCCCAAUCUCUCUCAGACAUUUACUAAAAUUAACUUUAAUAGCUGAAUCCCUAUUUAUUUCAAGAAAUGAGAACUUACUUCUAUAGUGCAAAUUCUAAUUAACUCAAAAUAGCACAAGAGUUAUAGUUAUUAAUAUAGUCGAUAAGUUGUCGAAUCUACAAGACAAUUUACCAACCUCAACACUCAUAAAUGUAAGACGCUACUUAUUACGAGAAAUUAAAACUUACCAAUCUAUCGAAAAUAUUACUUAUUGGAAAGCAAUGCAAUAGCUACUUAUGCAUUUUAUGCCUUUGAAACUAUAAGGUGGAUGUGGGUGGAUGUAGAGAUCCACGGAACAUUCGAGACUUAUGUGAGAGGUUGGUAAAGGUUGACAUCAUGGUUGUAAAUUUUAGGUUGUUGUACUUGCCGUGGGUGAUAAGUUCUCAAUCCACACAACAAGUGCAGUUGAUCAAUUGCAUGUACAGUGACUUUGCAUAAUAAACUUAGGUUUACAUUGGCUGUGGUAAAUCAGUUUGAGAUUCAUAUUCAUCGACAUACAUAUAAAGAAGUUCCACAUAAUGAACGAUUAGAUCCGUGGACAAAUUUUAAGAUGUGCAAAAAUUUAAGUUUCUUGAUUAUUUAUUGAAGACUAAACUAUGAUUGACCAAGGCUUUAAUUAGCAAAAGAUAUAACUUGAUAACUCAUUUCAGAAACACAAAAAUAGGAUCUAAUUUUCGCAGUACAACAAAAAUGGUGAGAUUGACUCGAGUGAGAUACUUACAAAAGAUUUUUUUUGUGGGUUUUAAGGAUCUUCAGACUUUAAAUCUAGCUCUGUUUGCUAAGCUGGUAUGGAGGCUCAUUCAUAACCCAGAUGCUUUGUGGGUUAAGCUUUUUAAAGGUCUAUAUUAACCACGUUGUGACUUUCUUGAGGCUGUGAAAGGCGCUAAGACGUCUUGAGGAUGGAGAAGCAUUUUGGAGGGAGGAAAGAUCAUGAAUGAAGGGGACACUGGACAGUAUGGCAAAUAGUUUCUAGAGAUAGAGUUAAGGUGUGGAAGGAUAGAUAGGGAUAACAAAGGAGGAAAUCAAGCUUAUAUUGUUUAUUAAUUUGGUCGAUAACGAUUUGAGACGCUUUGAUGUGAGGCCUAUCCUAGAUUAUGUUGCGGCUAAAGGUAAGGAUGCCACUCAACAAAUUAAGCUUAGCGACAUCAGCGGUGAAGAAAAAUAUGCGUGGCCUUUUGACAGGAGGAUGGUUGACAGUGACAUCUGUUUAUGAUUUUGGAAAGGAGUUUUUUUUUUAAGGAAGGAAGGUCCAUCUAUCUCAAAGGUUAUGGAAAGCGGUGUGUGGAAAUGGAUUUGCGAUAUACAUUGUUCUCCAAAGAUGAUAAUGCACUUAGGGAACUACACUCUUAAUGCCUUUAGCAUCUUAUAGCAACCUUUUCAAGAGGAGGAUCAGAAAUGAUUCUAAUUCUGUGUUUUGUGGAGAGAAGACUAUGGAACAUGUUACUCUUUUACGCCUAUGGUCUGAAUAUAUGUGGUUUGCUAUGUUGAAUCUGAAAAUUAGGAGGAAGUGUCGAGUAUUGAUGUAUGGUUUGAUAGAAUACGUCAGGAUAUGGAGAAGAGGAAUCUCUGUGUUAGAUUAUUUUUUUUAAAGCUUAAAAUCUCAGAAUCUAAAUUUCAUGUUUUUCAACUUAACUAAUGAUAAGUGAAUAAAAACUUUUUGAUAAUAGAUGCAUACAAACACAAGUGUGAAUACUAGAUUAUCUUCACUGAGAUGCUCAAAGAGAGUUUUGGUGCACUUAUCCUUUAAUUUUUUGUUAGCUUAAUCACCAAAGUUUUAUGAUAUUUGAGUCAAAAUUUCAUGUUUUUGAACGUCAUCAUCAUAUUGGUCUUAAUUCAAACUAUGGAGAGAAAAUGAAAUCUCACUUUUUUUUUUUUUGUUCGGCGUUGGGGGGGGGGGGGGGGUGGUUGAUUCCAUUUUAGAUAACAUUAACCCCUCAGCAAUUGUCAGAACUUACCAUGUUCAAAGACAUGAUUUAUAAAAACCAGUUACAUGAAAAGAGAAUUCAGAUGCCUCACCUCUGCAGCCCUUAGAUGAAUCAAUCACUCCAAGUCAAGAUGACCGGCUUGAUUUCUGCGGCGAUGAGGAGGACCUUGUUGUUGCAAAAUCGACCAGAUCCUUGAAGAGUAAAUCCUCUUGUUUCACUUGUUUGUCCGUAGCAGGUGAAUCAAGAGAGUGCUUCUGCGUCUGGCCCACCAAACUGUCAAGCGAGGAACCGGUCUCGAUACAGGAAUGAGAGGUAUUGCCCGAUUCCCCGAAAAGACGAACUGUUGCUCAGUAACUUGUUCUCUCUGGUUAUAUGGAAUUGAACUAGAAAAUAAUGCAUCCAGAGGAAAGAACAAGAGAUUGAAAGAUCGACUAUUUAGAUGGUUGGAAAGGGAGCGAAUGAGUAGAGUUCGAUGAGCUCUGCUCUAUUUAUCCCCAUCAUUUCAGCUAGCAGACAAAGGAAAGAAUAUCGGAACCUUUACUUUACUUCAAGAAGAGAAAUUGAACUACUUUUCUUCUUCUUGUUUCUCGUCGGGGUCAAGCCACGAAGAAUCUUACCGUUCAGAAAUGCAAUCCACAAAAGUUUGAGCCAAGAAAAAAAGGAAGGUAUCAUCACUAGUCUCAUUUAAAAGCAUCAUGAGGAGUAUGAACUAAAGCAAAGAAUAGCAAUGAGUACUUCAAUAUGGGGCAUUGCUCAUGUUCUCCUUCCUGCUUUUGUCUAUAAGCUGCAUGAAAUGUGAUCAAUGGUGUCCAGAAGCAAGAAUUGACAUUUUUCGGAUAGAAGUAAAGAAUGAUCCAAUUCUCUGACCAAAAACAAAAAAAGAAUGAUCCGAUUCCUUUUUAAGAUGCAAAAUAAUGUAGUUGGUCUGAAAGUCAUUGCUCGAUGCCCCUUGUGAUUUAAUAAAUAUAAUAAUCUCUUAAUAUGACAAUUGAUAUUAGAUGGCAUGAGGGAGACGAACUCAAGAAGGAAAUCGUUUGCUUAGGUCAACCAAAUUUGUGUUUUAGGUUUAUUGGGCUUAGAAGAAAUGAAAAUUUGUAACUGUAUGGAGCACGGUGAUUCCUUUAUAAUUUACAAAUCUGUCUCAGACAUUUACUAAGAUCGACUUUAAUAACUGAAUCCCCUUUACUUCAAGAAAUGAGAACUUAGUCCUAUACCUCAAAAGCUAAUUAACUCAAUGUAACACGAUAUUUAUUAAUACAUUUGAUUAGUUGUCGAGUCUACUAGACAUUUACCACUCAUAAGCAUUUGCUAUUUAUCAUGAGAAUUGAAAACUUAUCAAUCUAUCGAAGAAGGCAAAUAAUAGCUACUUGUACAUUUUAUGCCUUUGAAACUAUGAGGUGGAUAUGGGUGGAUGUAGAGAUCGACAAGUCAUUAUACUCUGCAAGAGGUUGGUAACGAUCGACAUCAUGGAAGUAAAUUUUAGAUUGAUGUACUCGCUAUUGGUGAUGAGUUCUUAGUCCAUACAACAAGUGCAAUUUAUCAAUUUUAUGUAUAGUGACUUUGCAUAUUAAACUUCGAUAAAGAUCACAUGGGACGUUAUAAAUCAGCUUGAGGUUCAUAUCCCUUGAUAUACAUAUGUAUAAAGAUGUACAACGUAAAGCGUGGACAAAUUAGGAUGCAAAUUCUUUCAGGUCUUGUUUUAAUCCAAAAAAUUAACUCCUUGUUCAUGUCUACUAAGUUCAAUUGAAACUAAAUUAUAAAUGAUUUGGUCAUGAUUCUCCACUAGAUAAGAAUAAUCACCAAGCUCUAGGAGCUUAAAGACCGCAGCACUUGGCAACGCCGGCGCGGAUAACGAAUCAGGGAACCAUCACUCCCGAGUCAAAGAUGACGGGCUUGAUUUUUCUUCAGUGCCCGGUCGUAAUAUCAAUGAAAGCACUUCAGCAACAAAUGAUCGGGGCCCUCUUAUCGCGACACAAUUGCACAGAAGAGCUCAUAUUCAUCCAGAGAGAACGCAAGCAAAGUUGAACAUAAAACCUCACAUUAACAGCUCUUCUUUUCAGUCUAGUAGCCUUACUUUCUACCCACAUUAUAACAGCUCCAAGCAAAAUCCAUCCUUCUCUAAAUUUCAAGACAGAACGGGGAACAAGAAGAUAGAAACGGAUCCCUGUUAAGCGCCUUGAGAUAGGAGGAUCGCGAAACAUGGGUUGCUGGUUGCAGACAAAAGAUUUAUAUCACUAGAAAGGAAUGGUCGUCAUAGUGGCCUGAACGAUCCACAACCAUCGUUGACAUGAACGACGAUGAGGAAAACAUGAAAAUGGGCACAAUGACGAUACUCUCAUUCAGCAAACGUGGACAAGCACAUAUCACGUCUUUCCCAUCAUAAGUUUUAGGAGGAGAAUAUGAGGCCAUUCUGAUAUAAAUGGAAGAGCUUAUUACAGAAGGAAAUAUUGUUGGUAAAAUAUGGUUUCAAAAUGGGUUGAACAAUGAAAUCGGAUCGAGUAAAAUAACUCGGACUUUGAGGCAUGAUAUCACUUUCUUUAAGAAUUUAUUGCCCCACAACGUUGCUAAUGGUCACUGGCAAAAAUCCUCCAGGAUACAACAAAAUCUCGGAUGAGAAUACUAGAUAGCAAUUCUAGUAUUUUUCCAGGGUCUCUCUAGGAAACAAUUGAAAAAUUGGCUGCCGUUUUUCAAAAAGAAGACUCGAAAAAUGACCACACUUCUCUUUUUCCAAAAAAUGACAAGUAUAUAUAUGAAACAGUCUUGCAACUCUUCGUGAAAAUUGCCAAAGAAUGAACAAACACGUUCUUUAGAAAAUUGUUCGGAUAAACAAAUGCGAUUCUUCGGAAGAAGUCGAAAAACGAACAAUUGCAACCCUUCGGGAAAAAUUAAAACCGAAUAAGUAAUUUUCCAAAGGUUGUCUUGAAAAGACACAAACAAAAUUCGGAAUAAUAAUAAUAUUUUUUAAUAGAAUUUCGAAUUUUCAUUUUAUAUAUUUUAUUUCCGAAAUUCUCAAAAUAAAAGAUAACAUUUGAAUUUACUAAAAAAAUUAAUAACAAAGAAAUAAAAAUUAGAAUAAAUAACAAAGGGAUUAGUGUUAAUUAAACCGCGGGCGCGCAGGCGUGCAAAGUGCGCCAAAUAAUCGCGCUCCCGCACGCGGGUAUGGUGGGGUCUAGCCCCACCCAAUCAUUCUUUAAGUACAUAAAGAAAAACUCGCACUUUUAAAUUAGCCCACUCCCUCCCACUUUUCCUAUGUGAGACAAAUAAUUUAGGUGUCUUUUGUCUUUGAAUGGAACCUCUUCGAGCUCCCAAUCAAAGAGAGACAGCUGUUGACACCUAAAUUUUACAAUUUUAUUAUGUACAAGAUUAAGAAUUAGUCUACUUUUUACAAAAAAUUUGGGAAUUAGUCACUAAAACAAAAAAAAAAACAAAAAGAAACAAGAAAAAAAAAAUUCAUGGAAAGGGCCGGUCCAGAUCUCGCCUUGGCUCGGCCCAUGCCGCUUUCUGCCUCCAUCUUCGGUGAAACCCUAGCAACAGUAGAGGGAGGGAGCAGCUGGAGAGGGAAGAGGAGGGACCGAGCACGAAGAGAACGGAGGAGUGAACAGGAACGGGAGGGGGGAGAAACAGAGAGCAAAAAAAAAAAAAAAAGAGUUGGAGAGGGGAGCCCCUCUGUCGCCGGGGGGCCGAGCCCCUACGCUCGCCGCCUCCGUCCCGACCAGACCGCCUCCGCCAUUACACGUUCUACCACGUCGGAACGUCGACCCCGAGCCUGCUGCUCGUGACCUCGCCUGUCUCACCGCUGCUGCAUCCCGACGCCAGUAGCUCGAAUUGGUCACCGAGCCCCCUCGCAACACUAGCAACUCGCGAAGCCGACGCUGUUGCUGCGCGAACAAGCCAAUUCUGGGGGAGGAGGGCAGCGACGGCGCUGCCAUCUGCCGUCCAAGCCGCUGCCCUCCGUCGGCGUCGCCGCUUCGCCACUACUAAUUUCCCCUGUGACAGCACCGCUGUCCCGACCUCACGCUCGAGAACCCCGACGACAGCAGAUCUGAGCCGAUCGUCGCUCCACCGUCAAGCAAGCCCCGCAUCGGCCCGUGCCUCCGCGCUGUUGCUCCUGGCUGCAUCUUCACCAGUCACCGCCGUGCCUUGUCUCGUCUACUCACCCACGAACACCGCCCUGCCAUCGUCGCCCUGCAUGUCGCGGCCAAGCAUAAGUGCCUCCGAGCUUUGAAGCCGUGACGUCCCUGCUCCUUCGCCGCUGUAGCCCUUGCGACGCCGGCCUUCUUCGUUCGCUGCUCGCGGCCUCCGACGACAGCAGGUCCUGCUUCGGCGCUCAGCAAAUCUGCUCCGAGGCUCCUGCAACUCGAAACCCGCGACGCCCCUUCAGUUUCGCCUUUUGCUGCUGCCCAACGCCACAGGAGCCCGCAUUGCCGGUCUGCUGCCCCGCCAGACGUCGCCGCCAACGCCAGCAGCCUGACCCCCUUUUGCUACGCGACUUGUUGCACCAGUUGCCGCCGCCCGCCGCCCAUCGUGUCGCCGCCGCCGCCGUCAACACAGAACCCUAAAGUGGAUGUACAAAUCGGGUCAAAGAAAUGGGUAGGGUUUUAGGUGAAUCGGGUUGGGUUUGGGCUGUUUUUGCUUGUGGGCUUUUGGGCUUGGGCUGGUUUAGUAUAGGCUUGUGGGCCUGCUUCCUUUUAAAAAAGAGAGGAGAGGGACCUCUUGGGUUGGGCCCGCGAUUCGGGCCCACCUGCUCCUAACCGGAUCGGAGACCAGACCCGAUCCGCGCCGACCGGGCUGAACCUGGGUCGGGUUGGACUGGAUCGGUCUGUCACGACCCGAACCCCGGGCACAUGCACAUCCCUCAAUGGUCGAUAUUAAAUUUGCAACAUCCCAGGAAUUGUUGCCGACCCAUUCUUUUGAUUUGCACAUGCGGAAACGUAAAACAAUCUCCAUACAACAAAACAGUGGGAUAGAAACGUAGGAUAUUAUUUUUCACAAACCACAACUACCACAUCACAGUACUUAUACAUAUAGACCAGUUUAAUACCCCAAGAUCUGAUACAAAAAGUGAAGCUGUUUGAUUACCUACUAACUAAGCUUCUAUCUAUAAGACUGGGGUUUACUAUUACAAUACCAUAUUUCUCAAUAUCUCGGGGGUGAGCUGUCACCCUACAUCCAGUCCUGACGGAAAACCCGUCAUCACUUGGAAGGAGAUAACGAGAGUCCUAUUCCUCCUUUACCGCAAUCAACUGUACACGACCUGGCCUUCCUCCAUUUAGGGACCUGAAAAAUGUUAGCCCACUAAGGGGUGAGAUCACAUCUCAGCGAGUAAAUCUCCUAAUUCCAGAUUAGGUGAAGGGUACAUCCAACAUGCAAUCUAAUCACAUUUCUUACCACUCUUUUAACACCAGCAAGUUCCUGCAUAUUAGCCUCAAAUAAAAUAUUCCUAACAGUGUCAAGUUCACACAUCACAGGAACACUUUAGCAUAAGCAUAUGCAAGGGCGUGAAUAUCCAUGUAAGCAUACAGGCCACAGUCAAUGCAACAGAUAACAAUCUUCCGGUAAAACCGGGCAUCUCGUGUCUCACAAAUGAUGUCAAUGCUCAGAUAACAGUCUUCCGGUAUAACCGGGCAUCGCCUCACACCGUUGAGCGCGGCAACGUCUACAUCUAGACGGCAUUCCAAUUAAGGAGCAUCGGUCCAGCCUCCACUGCGACCGGCAUCCGUUGACGUGGGGCAUUCCCGAAGGAGCAUCGUCCGGCCUCAAAGGCUCGUGGCGGAAUCUCAUGUUGUGAAUGCAUAUGAUCAAUUUGACAUUUCAAUAAUCAAUUAUAUACAGCAUCCACAGCAUCAAUUGAGCACUUCUAUAGCAAGAAUUCUUCAAAACAAGUAUAUAUUCUUAUUCAUCCAAAUUGACAGAGAACUGCCCAAUAACGCUCUCCCAAUUUCGAAGUCAGAAAGUCAUCCAUACGAUCUCGAAAAAUUAUCAAAUUCGGAUACGUGCUAGAAAACAUUUAAACAACCAUUUUUCAUGAAGACACCGAGAUCCAGAUCCCUCUGGAUUCGGCCCAGAAAUUGUUUCUAUCCAGCACAAAAAUCGGAUCCAGUUUCAGAGAGCCAAACCUAUCGAAAUCAGUUCGUUUUUGGGUCGAAAUCUGCUUCGUUUGACUUGAAAUUUAAGUAUGUUAAACUAAAAGUUAUAAAAAACAACUUUCGUGAAGGAACCAAUUGGAAAUUCGACUUCUAAAGGUCAUUAACAGCCCUCAGAAUCAUAAUAGGUCACGGAUUACAAAACUGUCCGAUUACUGUUCCGAGGAUGACGUCAUUAAAAUCGUCAUCUUUUUAAUUUAUAAAAAUUAAGAGAAAAAUAUAUGUUAUUAUUUAAGAUGUUCACAACGUUUCUUCAGAACAAAAUCAUUUCAAAAUCGUAACACAAAGUUGUCUACAAAUUAGCAAAACAUACACGUUCUAGAAACUGUUUCAGUAAUCUACUACUGUUCUAAUCCGAAUCUUCCACCACGACUUUGUUUUGCUCUCUAAGCCUUAUCUAAGCUUUUCUAUGUCUAUCAUAACGUCCCUAACCAACAUCUAUCCAUAUAUACGCCAUCUACAUAUUUUUAACUUGUACAAAUUCCUAAUAGAGGUACUCAACCCCUAGUCCAAAUUUAGAAGACAACUCACCUAAACACAGCUAACGGCGGCUCUCGUUGGUGGUUGAACAGCAACACAGAGACCAGCCUUGAUCCUCUUGGUGAUGGUGUUGAGCCGAAACCGCAGAAGAUUGUGAAGUGGUAUGAUGGCAACGGCAACACACAAACUUAUAAAUUUUUCGGUAGAGGAAACUAAGUAUGGAGUUUGGUCGUUCAAGAGGGAGCAGAAAUGGAAGUAUCACGUUUAAGGGAAGAGAAAGCAACGGUUUGUACGUUGAAAGAGACAAAGGAAAAGAAUAAAAUAGAGGAAGAAAGGGAAAGAUGGAAGCUGCCGUGUAAAUACAGCAGACAGACUACAGCAGAAAACUUCUAUGCGUGAGGAAAGGUGGGGAAGGAGAGUGAAAGUUGCUGGGAAGUUUCAUUGAAGUUUCCCUUAGUCUUUGGCCUAAUUUUCCAUGGAAACUUUGGCCACCCAUCACCCUCAUUGGCCCCACAAAGUUUCCAAUCAUGUCUCUUCUAAAUAGGAUGAAAGAAAAGGUUGGAGUCCCUAAGAACUGCUGAAUCCGAAUUUUGGAAUGGAUUCUCGUAGCUUUUUCCCAUGGAUGUUGAGUCCUUUCCCUAUCAAGUGGUCCCCCUAUCUUUUCCAAGCCAAUAUCCAUCAAAUGCUAAGUAAAUUGAGGUGAAGUUGUAGGAGAGAGGGAGUCCUACGAAUUUCCUUUUUGAGGAGACCUCUCUUUUUAUUUAAUUACCAAUCUAAUAUCCCAUUCAAUAGGGUCAAGUCCUUUAGUAACCAAUUAUAAUGCCUCUUAAAUUGUUUCACAUUAGAGGUCUUAAAAUCCUACUUAAAAUGUGGCAAUUCCCUUGCUCUUCUAAUUUGCUGAUCUUGCAUAUUUCGUGAGCAAUUCCCAUCAUCCAUAAAUUUUGAGAAGACGCAACAAUGUCCUUGGGAUGAAUUGUGACAUGUGACAAUUCUUAAUUUCUGUAAUCGACAUCAUUUCCUCGGUUAAUUUCAGUCAAAAUGUGAUUUCUAGCACAACUUAAACUAUCGGUUAGUUUUUGGGAACUUUUGGUGCACUGACCCGUGGUCGAUUAUUCCCGAGCCACGAUAUAUAUUUUCGACGCAUUAGCAACUCUCGAUUGUCGUGAAAAAUCUCGAGAUUUCAAUUACGAGCACAGGGUACCAAAACAACAGAAAAAUCGGUUUAGUGCCGAUCGACGAGAAAUUUGUAAUUAGUUGGAAUCACCCAAUCCUAAUUUUAUUUCUAUCGAAUCGACCUAUUUCCGAUUUCUGAUAGAUUUUCGACUGUGCCGAACUGAUCCUUGUAGACUAACACGGUCGAGCAGUCGAUUCCUGGUCGAAUUUUCAAGUCUGUUGCAUCAAAAUUCUUUAAUAACUUUCCCGAUUAGUCAAGUUAUCUCAUGAGUGAUCAGCUCAGAGAAUAGCGCUAUAGGCACGUCGACGAAAAGCCCGAAUUAUUUAAUUGAAGACAGAAGUGAAAAAUCAGGCUGUCACACGGUCCGAUCCGGUUCAACAAAAAAGAUGUAUUUUAAUAUUUUAAAAAAAAUUUCGAAAAUCCAAAAAAUAUUUAAAAUAUUAAAAUUAAAAAAUAAAAAAAUAAAAAAAAUAAAAAAAUUAUUUUUCUUUUAACAAUUUUUUUUAAAAAAAAAUUUAAAAAUUUCGAAAAUCCAAAAAUGAUGGGGUUUGAUUAGGACUUGCCAUGUAUUGCCAUUUUAGCGUAAUUAGACCUUUAUGUGCUAGUAUAUUAAUUAUAUUGCAUGUUUAAUUUACAUAUCUAAUUAUGUUUGAUGGCAGAUGUGUAAUUUUAUGGCAAUUAGGAUCUUGGUAUUUAUGAUUAUUAUUUUAAUGAUUGCGCACCUGCAAGAUCACCUCACAUGUUAGUGGAUAAGCAUAAAAUCAAUUCAAGCUGCCUGCUAAAAAUUAUUUUGAUAAAAUGAACAAGAUUAUGUACCGAAAUGGCACUAAUUAGUCAAUUAGUGUAACCAAGUCCCCGACUCUAGAUUCUCUGGUUGCGUAGGAAGUGAGGCACGCUCCCAUGCCUUACUUGGUUCCUAGCCGACCCCAAUAGGCUAGUGGCGACUCCUUUUGUGCAAAAAUUCCUAAAGAAUAUUCCAAUGUCAUGCGGGGUAUGGGCUUGGGAGAGCUCACGUUCAAUCAUGGGCCUUAGGCCCGUCCUUUGGGCAAUACCCCUAAACCUGCUCCCUCCCCCGAGGGUAGGUCGCGACAGCUUGGCGACUCCGCUGGGGACUUGGUUUUAAACCUUAGAGGACUUAGGCCAAAAUUAAUUUUGUUCAAAAAUAUUUUUGUUUGGCAGCGAGGAUUCCAGGUACGCCCCUAACAUGAAAGGUGUUAAAUGUUCUUACAGAAUGGGAGGUAUAAGGGGAGGUGUUUGCUCACCUUUGUCUUGCAGGGAGGUGUAGGAAUGUAUGGUUUAUUUUUAUGUACGGAGUGUUGUUUGCCUAUAAAUUGUUGUGCAUGUAUUCUCUGCAUUGCACUACACCUUGGCACACACAACCUGCCGCCGGACCUGGGUCGCAUAAGAUCACUUAAGAUGGUGUUGAGGUGGAUACCACUCCGACUACAACCGCGUAGUACGAGUUGUCCAUCUCUACCCCGAAAUUUAUUUCUUAACGUCAAAGGUACCCACCCCGGUCUGCAACUGCGCGACACGGGUCGGUUCCUUGACGAAGCCGGAGUCAUGGAUAACUCGACCUAGCCGCGACCUUGCUGGUUUAGUCUGGUGAUCCCAUGGCUCCAUUUUGGGCUAUAUAGAGUAGAAAUCGAACCACAUCUCGUGUGCAUGUCUAUGUAAAAAAAACAAAACAAAACAAAACAAAGGUCGGCAUCCAUUGUAAGUGUCAUUUUCCUUUUUAUUUGUUCAUUUUGUAUUGCAUUUUCAUCUUGAAAUUCGCGGAAAUCAAUCGAAUGCCCUAGGUGAUGCAAGCUUAUGAUUGAAAAAUUGGCAAUCACUUUUGACAAGUGAGCAUUUGAAUGCAAGUUCUAAGCAUUUUGAUUUGGCCCUGUUGAACACAUGGUUUUGUUUAAAUUUCUAGUUAUGGGCUCGAAAUCAUUUUAAAAAAAAAAAACUUUCAAGUUGUGAUUUUAUAUUGGGGCACAAAAAUUGAAAUUGCUUUUUUUUUUUUUUUUUAUCAAAUUUUCUCAUUCUCAUGUUUUGGGACUAUAAUGCAAAUCAUUUUGUGUACAAAUUCUUCAAAAUAGAAAUCACUUCAUUUUUCUAGGAGUAAAAUCACAAAUCAGUCUUUCAAAAAUCAAAGACACUUUUGCGUUACGAAACUUUUGGAAUAAAAGUGGACAUUCAAUUGAUGGUCGUGGAUUGAUAAUUUUAAUGAUAUCUUCUCUUAUGAUAAAAUCUUGGCGAAAUACUAAAGUCCUGUAAUAAUGAUUGUGGGGCAUGUAUGGUCGCCUUGAUUUUAUUGUAAGAAGUGACGUCAUUAAAAUAUCAUUUUCUCUCAUUCACAUAUUGACAUUGUCAUCUUUUUGCAGGUUACGCGUGAUGCUCCAUGACAUUCUCGUGUUUGACUAUAUAGAGAAAUGAAUUCUAGGGCUAGAACAAGAGUUGAUUUUUACUCUUAUCUAUACAAGAGUUUCUUGCAUUUUAUCAUUGUUUUUAUUCUUGUUAAGAAUCUUGUUUUCCAUUUUGGGUUUUGAUCGCAAAUCCAAUUGAUGCUUUGGUAAAUCAUGUGACUCAUUUUUUAUGAUGGAAUUCAAUUUCGUGAAAAUCAUCCAAAAAAAAAACCGAAAAACGAAAGAAAAGAAAAAACAAAUUCAGAAAUGUUUCAAGUGAACCUUUAUGUCUACCUUCCAAAAUGAAUUUCAAGAAAACUUUGCUUAGGGCCCUCUCUUCAUGUAGUUUCUUAGGCUCAUUGAACUCGAGAAGCAAGCAUGCAUUGAGGCAGUGUCGACGCCAAUUUUCCAUAGAGGCGAAGUGAAGUUGAAUUCCAUUAUGGGAAGUUUUGUUAUUUGCAAAUGCCUUAGUAACCAUAAUAGCCCAUCAAUUUCAUUCACUCUGCAUGAUGAGACAAAUGAAGGGAGUUGCCAAGCAUCCAAAAAGGCGAAAUCGAAGGAAGAGUAAACUGUAUCGAUUUCAAUCAUCAAUUUCUGAUAUCGUUUCUGACAUGGUUUUCUUUUCCAUUAUCAAGGAGACAUCAAGAGUGUCAACUUUUUUUACCAAAAAAAAAGAAGAGUGUCAACUUUUGUAACGUUCCUAACAAAUGCGGUGGAGCAUUUUUAAGUCUUGUUCAUCUUAAACAAGGGAAGAUUCAAAUGAAACAGAGGGGCAAUAUUAUCCAUUCCUCCAUUAGAGAUGUAUGGGGAUGUUGAUCGCUCGACUUUGAAAAGGAUGUAUCUCGUUCCUAAAAUUGAUUCUCUUUAGCAUAAAAAAUGACAUGUCCUUUUCUUUGAUACAUGACGGAUUCGAACAGAACAAAGGUUUGUCAAAUAAAGAGUGGGAGAGCAACGUUUGAUUUAGAAAAAAAAGCUCUCAUCUCCCCACCAAUGAAAUGUGCUGGAACAACAUUGUUAGAUUCAUCAAGAAGGAUGUAUCGUUCCCAAAUUGAACCUAAUUAAGUAUGGAGAUAACUUGUUUCAUCUCCUCUUCUUGCAGGGUGAUGAAUGGGAAAAAUGUUGCACCUUGACUGUAGAAGCAGCGCCUUCCAUCAAGACAAUAAACGGACAAAGCAUCUAAAGAACAAUAUCCUCAAAUGUGGAAACAAGGAGCACCCACUCUCCUUUCAAAGGAAAAUCUUGAAAAACACAUCUCAUGAUCCAUAUAUAAAAUUUUCAAGCUCCUUAUCAGCUAAACAUCUCUUUAGAAAGAGCAUAAAAAAAAAAAAAACAGGAAUCAAACUUUGUGAAUUGUUGUAUACAAUAAAUAAGUGCUUUUUAUGGAUAAAAUCAGGGCCACAUAGCCAUUUUUCAAUCAAUUCUAGCAACUUCAAGCAAAAUUUAUACCUGAAGAACGAAAACAUGUGAAGGGUAAAUGGUGUUGAUUCCAAUUACUCAUUUUGGAUAGCGUCUCUGACAUGAUUCUUUCUUUCCUUUGAUAGGAUGACAUCAAACGCUUAAGGGAAAAUGUAAGCGAAAGGUAAUGCCAAGUUACCAAAUAUCCAUGGGGGUGAAUCCAAGAGAUGUUAGCCCUCAAAGGAUAAAAGGGACUGAAGGGUAAUAAUGUAUCGUUUCCAACAUUUCAAUCCCUAAAGAUCUUUGCACUAACGUAUUCUUUUACAUUCUUUACAGGGUUACCGGUUGCCAUGCCACAGGUAAGUACCCUUCUUCUCAAUCUUUUUUUAAAGCCCAAAAAAAAAAAAAUCCAUUACAAAAAAAAAAAAACCUUUGGCGCUUUCUUAGAGACAAGCACAAAAAUGAGAAGAGAAAAAAUUUCUGCAAACUUUUUGAGUAUUUUUUAUCUCAAAAUUGUUUUCUCGUCUUAUGAAUUAUUCAUUUAAAAUCAGAUUUUCCUAUGGAGAUUGAUCUACUCAGAUGAUCUUGACAAAGUGAGAUUGAGACGUUAACCAUGCCAAACAAGAAGUGCUUAGGAUAAAGAAAGGCAAUCCAUUUCCAAACACAUCCUUCAAACACUUUUGAGAGCUAAGUGAAAGAGACCUUCUCUUAGGACGAAUGAUUCAUUCGCAUUGAGCACAAAGAUCGAAAUGAUAAAGGCGUUUCCUUCAUCAAUCACAAGCAUUGCAUUGAUCUCUUGUUACCCCUUUGGGCUGAAAAAAAAAAAAGAUGAUCCUUCAAAGUACCCCUAUCGAGAAUGACCCUACAUUGGGGCAACAUAGGAGGUUACGGUUGUGUUGUAAAACGAAAGGUUGAGAAAGAUUCUAUUACUUUCACUUACAUCAAUCUUCUUGUGGUAGCUUCAGAGGAAUUCUCAUCGGAGCUUGACUCAUCCCAAGGUGAAGAAGAGCAUUUCCUUCUCUACCCAAACACUGAUACCCAUUGCUAUAACCAAUUUGGGCCUGAUUAUUCAUUUUUGAAUCCCGAGCGGUGAUCAUCUCCCUUCACUGGGGCAAGGCAUAAGAAUUGACCAAAUAUAAUUGACAAUCACAAGGAAAUGUGAAAAGCAUCUCGAAAGUCAUAAGAGCUACAAAAGUUCAAAAGCAAAAAGUUUGACAAACUAGGGGGCAUGAAAAAGCAGUGUGCCUAGUAAAAGCAAGGCCAAUGCCCGUCAAGAAAAAGAGCCAAAAGGCUGUAUAUUAUGUGAAAGAAAAAUUAUCAAAAUCCAAGUGUCGGUGAAAAAAAAAAAUCAUCAUUGCAAAGGGCAAAGGGCAAAGGAAAUUAGAGAAAGGAGCAAAACUCUCAUGUAGAAAUGAUUAGUCAAGGGACUUUUGAGAUGUGCAGCGUUUCAAAAGCCAAAUGCCUUCAAAAGGUCGAGUGACCCGGUCAUGAUGCUAUGAUGAUCACUGACUCUUAAAAACCCCCUUGAGAAUUUUAAGCCUUUCAAGCCUUUCUCGAGCCAACAUUACAACCCUCCUCCGAAGUCUCUUCUGAUUGGGAUGGUUUGAGUGAAAAUGAGAAUGCCACGAAGAAGCUAUUGCUUGAAGAAGUAGAAGUAAUCCUAUCUUGUCUUAUCUUUCAAGUUCUCGACUUGUAAACCCGACGAAGAUAUCAACAAAUGUUCCCCUAUUGGCCUCAAAGCAAUAAUUCCUUUGUGUAAGCCCUAAAUGAGCCUAUAUUGCGGUCCUUUCAAAAGACCUUUUGAUCUAUCAUAUUAUGCUCAUCGCGAAUGUUUCUGAAAGCCUUUGAUCUGGGUUAUGUGAGAUACCCUCAGCAACCAGUUAUCUCCCACAUGAAUGGAUGUGAUCAAGCAGCCAUUUUAUCGAAAGUGCGUGAGAAGCCCUUUCUGACUAAGAAGCUCUAGUUUGGCAUGCUUAAUGAACCUUUUUCAAGAGUCGUGACCGUCUUGAUAAGAGCUUGACUCCUAGAGAAUUUGAUGAUUAAUGAUAUAUCCACGAGCAAGAUGACAAUUUUGCGCCACAUGAUGCUGAUUGAAAUCAAAUGUUUUUCCAAGACAGUCGGACUUAGCUUGAUUAGCUUGUUCAAAUAAUGCUACAAUAUUGCCAAUACGUCUCUUAAUGACAUCUCUAAUGACAUUCACUCAAGUUGAGUUUGACAGGAUUCCUCAGUGAAGUCAUGCAAUUUUCAAAGGGUUAGCUGGUGCCUCCCUAAAAACGAAAGGUUCAUGGUCAGCCUUAAAUCAUGUUAUCUCCAAAGGUUCAUGGUCAACCUUAAACCAUGCCAUUUCCAAGAUUGGUGGAUUUAUCCCGAAGCCAUGAGGUUUGUGGUUUUUCCUAAACCACACGGUUCGUGGGUUUAUCCUUAAACCACACUUUUAAAAUCUUCAUGAGUCGAUCUUUAAACUACGGUUUUCAAAAGGUUCAUGGUCAACUUUAAAUCAUGUCAUCUACAAAGGUUCAUUGGUUUUCCUUAAAUCAUGCAUUUUCCAUUCGGUCGAAACCUUUUCGUACACGGUGAGACAUUCAUCCCAGUCGAAACCCGUUCGUACACAGUGAGACUAUCAUACCAGGUCGAAACCCGUUCGUACACGGGGAGACCUUCAUUCUAGUCGAAACCCGUUCGUACACGGUGAGACUAUCAUACCCGGUCGAAACCCGUUCGUACACGGGGAGACCUUCAUCCUAGUCGAAACCCGUUCGUACACGGUGAGACUAUCAUACCCGGUCGAAACCCGUUGUUACACGGUGAGACCUCUUUCAACCCCCUUCUUAUGAUCCGGUGGGCUUUCCGUAGCCCGGAGUCCUUCAAUCCCCUUCUUAUGACCCGGUGGGCUUUAUGUAGCCCGGAGUCCUUCAAUCCCCUUCUCAUGACCCGGUGGGCUUUCCGUAGCUCGGAGUCCUUCAACCCCCUUCUUAUGACCCGGUGGGCUUUCCGUAGCUCGGAGUCCUUCAGUCCCCUUCUUAUGACUCGGUUGGCUUUCCGUAGCCCGGAGUUCUUCAAUCCCCUUCAUAUGACCCGGUGGGCUUUCCGUAGCCCGGAGUCCUUCAACCCCAUUCUUAUGACUCGGUGGGCUUUCCGUAGCCCAGAGUCCUUCAACCCCAUUCUUAUGACACGGUGAGCUUUGUAGCUCGGAGAGCUUUUGUAGCCCGGUGAGCUUUGUAGCCAGGAGUCCUUCUUCCUAUGACCCGGAGAGCUUUGUAGCCCGGUGAGCUUUGUAGCCCGGAGAGCUUUUGUAGCCCGGAGAGCUUUGUAGCCUAGAGUCUUUCUUCCUCUUAUUGACAAGACGUGCUUCCAUAGUUAUGAGUUCUUUCCAUCGACCUAAUACGUGCCUAUCCACCUAGGGUCACUCUAUCGCCAAAAUAAUUUAGGUGUCUUUUGUCUUUGAAUGGAACCUCUUCGAGCUCCUAAUCAAAGAGGGGCAGCUGUUGACACCUAAAUUUUACAAUUUUAUUAUGUAUAAGAUUAAGAAUUAGUCUACCUUUUACAAAAAAAAUUGGGAAUUAGUCACUAAAACAAAAACAAAGACAAAAAGAAACAAGAAAAAAAAAAGACAUGGAAAGGGCCGGGCCAGAUCUCGCCUUGGCCCGGCCCAUGCCGCUUUCUGCCUCCAUCUUCGGUGAAACCCUAGCAACAGUAGAGGGAAGAGGAGGGACCGAGCACGAAGAGAACGGAGGAGCGAACAGGAACGGGAGGGGGGAGAAACAGAGAGCCAAAAAAAAAAAAAAGAGCUGGAGAGGAGAGCCCCUCCGUCGCCGGGGGGCCGAGCCCCUACGCUCACCGCCUCCGUCCCGGCCAGACCGCCUCCGCCACUACCCGCUCUACCGCGUCGGAACGCCGACCCCGAGCCUGCUGCUCGUGACCUCGCCCAUCUCACCGCUGCUGCAUUCCGACGCCAGUAGCCCGAACUGGUCACCGAGCCCCCUCGCAACACCAGCAACCCGCGAAGCCGACGUCGUUGCUGCGCGAACAAGCCAGAUCUGAGGGAGGAGGGUAGCGGCAGCGCUGCCGUCUACCGUCCAAGCCGCUGCCCUCCGUCCGCGUCGCCGCUUCGCCACUGCUCAUUUCCCCCGUGACAGCACCGCUGUCCCGACCUCACGCUCGAGAACCCCGACAACGACAUAUCUGAGCCGAUCGUCACUCCACCGUCGAGCAAGCCCCGCACCGGCCCGUGCCUCCACGCUGUUGCUCUUGGCUGCGUCUUCACCAGUCACCGCCGUGCCUUGUCUCGUCUACUCACCCACGAACACCGCCUUGCCAUCGUUGCCCUGCAUGUCGCGGCCAAGCCUGAGUGCCUUCGAGCUUUGAAGCUGCGACGUCCCUGCUCCUUUGCCGCUGUAGCCCUUGCGACGCCGACCUUCCUCACUCGCUGCUCGCGGCCUCCGACGACAGCAGGUCCUGCUCCGGCGCCCAGCAAAUUUGCUCCGAGGCUUCUGCAACUCGAAACCCACGACGCCCCUUUAGUUUCGCCUUCUGCUGCUGCCCAAUGCCACAGGAGGCCGCAUCGCCGGUCUGCUGCCCCACCGGACGUCGCCGCCAACGCCAGCAACCCGACCCCUUUUUGUUGUGUGACCUGCUGCACCUGUUGCCGCCGCCCGCCGCCCAUCGCGUCGCCGCCGCCGUCGUCAACACAGAACCCUAAAGUGGAGGUACAAACCGGGUCAAAGAAAUGGGUAGGGUUUUAGGUGAAUCGGGUCGAGUUUGGGCUGUUUUUGCUUGUGGGUUUUUAGGCUUGGGCUGGUUUGUAUAGGCUUGUGGGCCUGCUUCCUUUUAAAAAAGAGAGGAGAGGGACCUCUUGGGUUGGACCCGCGAUUCGAGCCCACCUACUCCUAACCGGACCGGAGACCGGACCUGAUUCGCACCGACCGGGCCGAACCCGGGUCAGGUUGGACCGGACCUGUCCGAUCCGGUUCAACAAAAAAAAAAUUAAAUAUUUAAAAAAAAAAUUCGAAAAUCCAAAAAAAAAUUAAAAUAUUAAAAUUAAAAAAUUAAAAAAAUUAAAAAAAUUAAUUUCUUUUAACAAAUUUUUUUUUACAAAUAAAAUAAAAUUUAAAAAUUUCGAAAAUCCAAAAAUGAUGGGGUUUGAUUAGGACUUGCCAUGUAUUGUCAUUUUAGCAUAAUUAGACCUUUAUGUGCUUGUAUAUUAAUUAUAUUGCAUGUUUAAUUUACAUAUCUAAUUAUGUUUGAUGGCACAUAUGUAAUUUUAUGGCAAUUAGGAUCUUGGUAGUUAUAGUUAUUAUUUUAAUGAUUGCGCACCUGCAAGAUCACCUCACAUGUUAGUGGAUAAGCAUAAAAUCAAUUCAAGCUGCCUGCUAAAAAUUAUUUUGAUAAAAUGAACAAGAUUAUGUACCGAAAGGGCACUAAUUAAUCAAUUAGUGUAACCAAGUCCCCGACUCUAGAUUCUCUGGUUGCGUAGGAAGUGAGGCACGCUCCUAUGCCUUACUUGGUUCUUAGCCGACCCCAAUAGGCUAGUGGCGACUCCUUUUGUGCAAAAAUUCCUAAAGAAUAUUCCAAUGUCACGCGGGGUAUGGGCUUGGGAGAGCUCACGUCCAAUCAUGAGCCUUAGGUCCGUCCUUUGGUCAAUACCCCUAAACCUGCUCCCUCCCCCGAGGGUAGGUCGCGACACUUAAUAAAUGUAAUAAUCUCUUAAUAAAACAAUCGGUCUUAGAUGGCAUGAGCGAGGCAAUCCAAAAAAGGAAAUUCUGUACAUAGGUCAAUCGAAUUUAUAUUUUGGGCUUAUUGGGCUUGGAUGAAGUGAAAAUUUAUUACUUUACAAAGCAUGAUCAAUGCACUUUAUAAUUUACUAAUCCAUCUUAAACAUUUUCGAAGGUCAACUUUAACAGCUGAAUCCCUGUUUCUUCAAGAAAUGUGGACCUACCCCAAUAUUGCAAAAGCUAAUUUAAUUCCAAGUGAAUCACUAAGCUCUAGGAACUGGAGACUGCAUUACUUGGCAAUGCCUGUGCGGAUAACAAAUCACCGGAACCAUCAAAGCCACGGAAAAAAAGAAUUGAUCGGGGCCUCUCUUAUGUCAGCAUAAUUACACAAAAGAGCUCAUAUUCAUUCAGAGAGGAGGCUAGCAAAGUCAAACAUAUGACCUUACAUUAAAAGUUCCUCUUUUCAGGCUAGUGGGUUUACUUUCUACUAACAUUAUAUUAUCCUCCGAGCUAAUAUCCAUCCUUCUCUAGAUUCAGGACCGGGGACAAGAAGAUAGAUAUGGAUCCCGAGACUCGACCACCGUGCAGCUUCUGCACAGUCUAGAAACCGUGCGCCUCGAGAUUGGAUGACCGCACGAAACGUGGGUUGCUCAUUGCGGACAAAAGAUUUAUAUCACUAGACGGGGAUGGUCGUCGUAGUGGCCUGAACGAUCCGCAGCCAUCGUUGACAUGAACGACGAGAAGAUAAACAUGAAAAUGGGCACAACGAUGAUACCCUCGUUCAGCAAACGUGAACAAGCACAUAUUACGUCUUUCGCAUCAUAAGUUUUAGGGGGAGAAUAUGUGACCAUUCUGACAGAACUGCAGGAGCUUAUUAGAGAAGGAAAUAUGCCUUGAUCAGACACAGCUACAAAAUCUAAAGCAGUGCCUAACAAACACAACAACAAUGCCGAUGACGAUGAGAACCAAUGAAACCGCAAUCUAAAUCAGUAGAAGUGGUCACUUAUGCUGAGCUCUACAACAAUUCUCAGCCCCUAUGUCUACAGCGACACAAGGAGGCUGGACUGUUCCAAAUAAAGCUCCAUCACAAUGUAUGUAGAAUCGAUCACGUGUAAACCCAAUUUCUUCAAGAGUUUUCAUAAUGAGAUCAAGGUCAUCUACAGCUCCUUUGACAGUUGUUCCUUCAAAAGAAAAUUAAUCAUUUAGCUAAAACUUCGUGAUCUGUCCGUUUACAACAAGCACCCCAUAUAUAUGGAAUGCAUGAGCCUUACAUGCGGAGAUAAGAGAGAAUAUAGAUACCUAUAUUGGCAUUGAUGAUAGCAGGCUUAUCCUUGUUAGCAAGUAGCUUGUCCUUAAAAUCUGCGGAGUCAAUUUCCCUGGAAACCAGAGUUGCUACUUGAACGCAUUCCAUACUAUACAUGCGUGCUGCCUUAAAAACAUAACAAUGCGACUCUCGUGAUGCAUAUAGAAUUCCAUCAGGAAAAACUUCCCUCCUCCUCAUUCAAGGUUUGUCAUCAUUUCAGUCUUCUCGUCAAGUUUGCUUUAUGCACACGGCAUGCACAAUGCAGCCAAUUUCUGUCAUUUACUUACCCCACUACGAUCCCAUGAAGAUUGCCUUCAGUCCCACAGUUGUAAUAUAACCCCAGUAAUCACUUUUCUCGAUUCCCCACAAACAAGCAAACCAAUCCAACACACCAACUUCAAACUGUCUUGAAUGCACUCCAUAAUUGCUCUCAGUAAAUGGAUCCCCAAGGUUACUGAUUAAGAAGUGCUGCAACUGUGCCGAAGCCCCUUAAUCGAAAUCCAGAUUGUAAGGAUGGCCUGCACGGACAGUAAAAUGCCAGUGAGAACUGGAUAUAGUUCACACUCAUACAUAAGUUCUGCCUCAAACAAUGCGUAUAGUUGCUAAAGUAUAGAAUUCCGGAGCUACAAAGUGUCCAUAUUCCAACAGAUGCAGAGUAUAUGAGGGCAAACAGGAUGAGAAUGUUCGCUAGCUUUCAUUUAUAAAAGUAAACGGGGGCAUCUUCAUCCAAACAACAUGCUACCGUGGUGAAAUUGUUGUCCUGAGAAAUUAGAGAACUUCCAGACAUUGAAUCAGUUUCUACCGUUAGCCAACCAAAUUAGAUAGACAAUAUUCAACUCCGAGAACAGAAUGCUAUCAUUGAAGGCAAGAAUUAUGUUUUGAUAGCCCGCAGUUGCAUCUAAGGCUAGCCAGAGACAUAGAAUUGACGACAACUUACAGCCAACAAUAUGUAAAGAACUGGCAAGGAAAACAUCACCCCCCAAACAAGUAUAAGAAACAAAUUCUGCUAUAUACAUAUAGAAGACAUAAAAGUUUGGCCCGGAUAUUGUGGUCAGCGAAGAUAAACUGAUUUACCGAAUCCACCCCCAUUUGAAAGAUCAAGUGCCGACAAUUGGACAAUAACCAACACAACCAAACAAAAAUCGUUGGGCAGACCAAAAGAAAUGGGGAAAAGUAGCAUGGUUAUUUUAUAGUGGAUCGAUCAUCAGUGAAUGUUGGAAGUCCUAAAAGCAAACAAGCAGCACAAAUGACCAAUGAAUAUUAUUUUGUGCCUUCAUUGCAUACAGUAAAUCUCACCAACAAAGAGAGGCAAAUAUGACAAAGGGAAAACCCAUUUCCAAGCGAAGAGAUAACCAUGAAGCACUGAAAUAAAAGGACCUUUGUUUUCUCUUGUCCAGAAUCCCAGAUGGCAACAGCAUGAAUGUAAAUUAUCCAUAAGUAAACAAUGAGCGGCAGAAACAAAUGUCCCAAAACCACACAAACCAAACAAGCUUAACUCAUUCAGGAGCCAAGCAACAGCAAAUGACCUUUCUCCAUUCCAGACUAACUCAAUAGCUCACUAGCCAAGUCCUACAGAGAUUUUUCACAUCCUCAGAGAGGAGCCUUUGAUUAUCUUGGAACAGACCACCAAAAGAAGCUCUAACAGCGAACAUAAUUUUGUAAAACAACUAUCUAGCCUCGGACAAAACAUGAUCAUGUAGAACUACAUAUCUCUCUUGCCAAACUAAAUGGUCGCAUUCCAAUUCCAAUCUGAAGCUCUUAAGCUUGUCCCUUUAGCAGCCUGCAGAAUAAAAGGGAUUUCUACCAUAUAACUAUUUGCUGAUCUAGCACAAUUAUUCAACAGUAAAAUGUGCUACUGAAUAGAUUUUGAGGAGGAGCAACAAAAGAACUGACGCUCUCCAGAUACCUCCUGUGAUUGGCAGAAGAAGCAUUUAUCAUCAAUGCAACCUCACUUCUUCAUUGUGAGGUAUGCAAUGUGUUAUGCACCACCAACCAUUUAAUGAAAGCAAAUUUAGGGACAUUAGGACUGAACCGGAUCAACCUAUGCCACAGACCACCAUUCCCCUAUUCCUCACCAGAUUCCCAGCAUCGUGUUCCUGAAACAAGCCAUUCUUAGAGCCAGUAUAGACAACUCUAUCGGCCACAGCAGAUUUUGCAAGAUGCUACCACAAAUGGCAGCUUGAAUUUCCACUAAGUCAUCAGAACGAGCUGGAGGGCAUCUCCAUUCAUUAUCCAUGUUAACAUCUCCCACUGCAGCGCUAAAACCCAGAGCUGAGUCAUAGAUGACUCUAGAAGGAAAUACAUCAGCCAAUAUGCCAAGACGAUGCCACCUGUAAUACCAAAGUGAAGUGUUCUGACCAUUAACUACAAUAUUUUUUCACAAAAGGGUUCCAAACACACCUCAACUUCAACAAUUUUCUCCUGGCGCAAGUACUAUCAACCUUAAUGACAACAGUCUAUCUCUAAGAUAUUUUUGUUGGCUGAGCCCAACAUAGAAGAAAACUGGGGAUAAGAUGGAGUAGAUGGCAUGGAACAGGUCGUGUUAGAAUCAGGAACUGAGGACAUUGUCAAUCCCAUUGUUGUGGGAAAUUCUUUGUAUUUAUAUACUUCACCACUGAGAUAAUUGGUCGAGCUUGAGUCUCCAGCAACAAGUCUCUUUAUGUGGGUCAAGGUGGAAGAAGUGGGCUGAUUCCUGACAGUUCAGUAUGGGCAUUCGCUGUUUUCUGGUUGCGUCCAUUAUCUUGUGACCACCGGCAUCAAUGUGAAUACUACAUGAUGAAACAUGGAAAUAUGUAUCAGGGAACGAACUUCAACUGCUGCAGGUCUGAUGUUUCCCUUAUUCAAACAGUGUUUAGGGUGUCGCUCAACAUCGAAUCCUCUGUAAGAUUACAGAAGUCAACAUCAGAGAUCUCUAAGCUGACAUUCAAGAAAAUUACUUUUUUCUGUCACAAGGAGACUUUCUUCUAUGAGUAGGCGUGUAUGCAUGCUCCCUUGCUAAUGUUUUUAAAUGGAAGAAAAGGGUGCAGGCAAAACAAAACGAAAUCGGUGUCUAGGGAAGCAACAGAGUGAGUGUGGAAGAAAAUAGGAAUCUUCACAUCAUUGUGAUGUCAGAAAGUUAUCGCCACCUCCCUCAAUUGUAGAAAUUUGUGCCUGAUUACGUUUAAAAAAGGCAUAGACCAGAGCUUUCAUGAUCUCAAUCUAUGUUAUCAAAAGCAACUCAAAGAAAGUGGCAUACUGUUCUGUAGAACCAGUCAUAUCAGAUGAAACUGUCACAUGAUGGAAGCUCAAAAGCAACUCAAAGUGAAGAGAAUUUUGCCUGAACGCGAAAUCCCCAAAAGACCGUAAAACAUUCACCUGGGAGCUAGCUGGGCAAAAUCAUCUUCAGAUUCAUCAUCCUCGUGAUUCACAUCCACUGGUGCCAAAACUGGGGGUUUCUGUCACUUACUGCUUCGGCCAGUGGAGUACCUUUGGCAAUGCUAUCGUGUUGACAAAGAGCACGCCGCAAACUAUCAUAAAAUGUCAAUGGGGGCAUGGCAUCUAACCGCAGAAGCUCGAAUAAUUAUAUUGGAUUGAAGUUCUUACGCUGUGAGAUUCACAAGAAGCAUGACAUGCUCUUGCCAAGAACGACGCUGAUCGACAAGGUCAACAAACGCCUCCCUCCAAAUCAUGUUUGUGCUAAAAACAUGUAUAACUCAAUAAGAAGCUUUUGUCCGUAGUCUUCCUGUCAUCCCUCCGAAUCAUAAUCCCAACAAAUGCAUACCCCAGAAAUUAGCGAUGGGUUUCAUAUGUGGAUGUCUUCAAAAUGCAGUCCACCCAAUCGAUUUGACAGACAAUACUUCGGCAGGAUCAUCACUUACAAUUUACCGAUGGAACCUUCAGGACAAAACAAAACGUGGCAAGUACAUUCUGUCCGAUCGAAAAACCUUUACUAUGUAAAUUAUGUGCUUUUUAGUGCUUACUAGUUACGCGAUACAUAUACUUUACCAAACUUCCCUUAAAACUUACGGCACAUUUGAUUAUAAUAUUGACUAUCACAUUACAUUUCUAUCUCAGGCUGUUUGCCUAUUACAUAGCCUUUGCUAAUAGUAACAACUAUCACAGCUUACUCAUAUAUCCUUUUCCGUUUCAAUUCAGGCUAGAUAGUCGUAGGAUGUCAAUCCAACAUCAACUGACAUUCGUUUCGACAAAGUUUGUGAAAUUACUUUUUAAAAUAAGUAAGCAUAAUAUUUCGACAAAAAUAUAGAGUUUUAUGAUGACGCCACAGCACGCACCAUAAUUUAAACGGCAAAUUGUCAAACUUUCAUUAGAUUUGUGGGGCUACAAAUUUGGUCUGUGGAAGUUAGGACUCCUUAAGUUGAGACGAAUCCAAGGGCCGAUGGCGAGAGUCUCUAUCAGGCCUUGACCUCUUGUUGUACGAUAUACGAAUUGUCAACCUUCCUCUAAACUUAUACCUCUCGACCCGUUCAAACGGAAAAUUAUUAACUACACCGGAAUAUACACCCCUGGUGCAUGACCUAUUGAAUCUUAUGGACCUCAAGUGAGACCUAUACGAACCAACGGAUAUUGGGACAAGAACAUCGGCUGCACCCGAUACUCCUGCUUCCGGAAUUAGGAUGCUAAAAAUGUCUCCCUUUGCCUAAGUUUCUAUGUCUGUUGCUGCAUUAAGUACUUGGAGAUGCUUUUAGAUUUAUAAAAUUGAAUGAACAAAAAACACUUUCAUCAUCCACAAAAAUAUUUAGAUAUGAAUUGUUGUCAAUAAUAAAAUCAUGUUUCAUUGACUAAUUAUUUGGCUAAUUAUUUCAAGUAAUAUAAACGAUCAUUUCUAGGAUAAUGUUUUUCAAAUCAUUUGAUUUCUGCAAAAUAAAAGUAAACUAUAUUCAACCAUUGGGCAAGUCCCAAAGGUCACCUAGGGGAAGGUGGGGGAUCCAAAUCCCCACCAUUUAAGGGAAGUUGAAGUGGGGACGAUUAGUUUUGAAUAUGAGUUUUAACUCACAUACCCUCCAAAGAGAAAUGGCAAAAGUUUGAGAGUGAAUUGAGAGUUAGAGUAUGAUUAAUUAAAAAGAAAAAAGAAAAAGAAGAAGCCUAUAUUCAUACUAAUAGGGCAGUAAGGUAUCGCUCACUAAGAAUUUCAGAGCUGCUACUAUAUAUGGGAAGCAACGCUAAGCGAGGGGUAUUAUUUAGUUCAUAGCAGUUCCUUUUUUAAAAGAAAAAAAUAAGUAAAUGGAAUUCGUCUUCAACAUGUCACUAUUAGGCGGUUAUAUCUGUUCUUGUUAAUUUUGUCUCGUGCGAGAUAUGGCAUGCGUUUGAUACGCGAAUCGGCUAGCAUUAGAUUCAUGCAGUAUAAUAAUACUGUGAUGGUAGCUUAGUUGCUGAGAAAUGUACACGGGUAUAUUAAUUAUACGCACAAAAAAAAAUAUAAUAUUGUUAAAGUAACAUGUUUAUGCCAACCCAUUUGGGUUUGAUGCGUUGUUUGAGCAACAACGAAGAUUAAUCUUUAUACAUAUCUUCCAAGUAAAGUCGAAUCGUUACUAUUUCGUGAAAUUAAAAUGUUCGAAAUUUCAAUUUUAGAUCAAACACAUGUCUGACUCACAAAGCUAAUUAUAUUUUAACCUCUGACUCACCAGAGGGGGUUCUCCUCAUGUACCAUUUGUGACGACUCGACCGGGUCUCGAGAAAGGAUCGAUCACAUGGGUGUCUGCCCGAAUGCGCCCGCCAAGUUCUUUUCCUGAGGUUUAAGAUAUUUACGAUUUUGCCCCGAACAAAUUAUUUUAGAGAAGUGCAAACAGAAGCUAUCGCCCCCACACGUCACGUAGGAGGGAUGCCAACAGAGAAGAGAAUACAUAAAAAGCUA